GCCAGCCAUGACCUGAACCGAUGCAUUUGUGUCAUUGUAUGCAGGAAAAUGAGGCAAGGAGGGAGGUGAAGAUGGAGUGUAGUAUCCCUUGUACUGUACAAUAGCUGUGGUGGUUGUGUUAUCAUAAAAAUUUUGAGCUGCUGGGGCAAUGGAAUAAGUUUUAGCCGCCAUGUAAUAGUGAUCCGGGUGUUGGUUAGCUUCUAGUAAGACAUCGAAGGUUUGGCCAGGAUAUAUUGUGAUAUAAUCUUGUGUCAAUGGUUUCAUGUAGCUACCAUCUGUUCCAACCACUGUCAUUUUAUGCUUGGCAAUUGAGAAGAAGAGAGCCUCGUGCAGGGCAGCAUUGAUUAUGCGAAGUAGAUAUGUCUUUCCAUGAUCCACCGUUAGCUUGAAUGUGUCUGCAAUUAGAAAAGGAAAGUUGUAUACUUACGACUAGAGAAAAGAAAAGGAAAAACUUUCCAUGAGGAUCCACCAAUUAUGAAGUGAUUGAUUUAUUAGGGGUGUAAAUUUGGCUCCAUAGUUCAAAAUUAUAUUUGGAUUGGCUUUUGCUCAUGUGUUAAAUCAUGGCUCUACCAUCCUCAUAGCUAUAUUCCUCUUUCUUAGCAUUAAGUUUUAAAUAUGUUGAUGUUAAUAAGAAAAAGUAAUAUGGUUAACAUACAAGAAAAUGAGAUCAGUGUACAAUUUUAAAAUGGGAAGUUAAACUUUAUACCUGAUUUUGAGCAUGGAUAUAGAUCACCGGGUUGUCCAUUUAUCAAUAAAGAAUCAGAGGCAUUGGGGUCAGCUCCAGUUGCAAGCCCUUCAUCUCGAACCGCAUUCACAUCACUCUUCCACCAUUGUCCUGCAUUUCAACAACUCCAAUAAUUUAGAUUUUGCUUUGUUGGUUAAUUCAUGAUAUGUAAAUUAACCUUUAAAAGCAACUACACUUAUACCUAAUAUGAUGGGAAUUUCUGCGUUAGGUUUGGGAAAAGGAUACUUGGUUCCAUUCUUGGGAUAGACGAUUAUAGCUCCAUGAACGGUGGCUCGAGUCCAGUCACUAUGAGCAUGCCACCAUAGAGUGCCUUCCUCAGAGGAAAGGAUGAUCUUCUGGCUAAACUUUGACCCUGGUUGAAUUGGGCAUUGUGUGAUAUACUCGGGACCAUCUGUCCAUGGAUAUCUAGGCAUGUUCACCCCAUGCCUGCAAAACGAUAACUAUACAUUAAAACUAGUACUAAUUUUUAGACUAACAAAAGAUGGCAUGUAGCAACAUAUUAUCAUAGUAACAAGAGGCAUCAACUAUAUUUCAAUGGAACUGAUGCAAAUAACCCUAAAAUAUUAUUUUAGAUUUAACUUUAUUUGCAAAGCAAUACAUUGCAGCCCCCUCUUAGAAAUAAAAGAAUGUAUGUCAUGCAAGCAUGUUGCCCACUGCUAUCUUUCUCCGAGACAUGCAUAGGACUUACCAGUGAAUGGUGAUAUUUUCUUUUCCCCUGUUAUAAACGUUGACGAUGAUCGUCUCUCCUUUCUUAGCAUAUAUAGUUGGUCCUGGAAAUUGUCCAUUUACUGUUAAGAUGUUCUUGGUGCUACAAAGCCUUGUAUAUGAAGCCUCCUUCACCUGCAACCAAUUAAAAGUUAACCAUGCAACCUCAUCCCAAAAGAAAUAUUACAUGCAUGAAUAGUUGCAUCGAUCCAUUCAUGCAAGUGUAUAACCAAUUAGAAAUUGAUAGCAUGCAUGAAGGACUCAAUGACACCAGGGUACCCGAAGACCCCAUGAGGGUCAUAACGGUGGAAAAUGAGAGCCACACUGCUCCCUAAAUAUUAUGAUCAAAAGGUGGCGUUAAGGCCAUAAUCAUAUAUAGUAUUUACCACAAAAGUAAGCCGACGAGUUGAAGCUUGGCAAUGGAUGCCACCACCAAAAAGUAGAAACACUAAAAUUUGCAAGAGGAAAACCUUCAUGAUCAGCCACAUCUUCUUUGGAAUAAAAGCCUCUUCUCUUGUCCUAAACACAACUGCUUCAAUUUUCUUACUAUUUCUAAUAAGCACGACUUAUCUUCUCUCUGACAUGAAUAGAUGAAUUCUUAAAGGUAUUUAUAGAGGCUGGAGGUGAAAGCUGAACAGCUGGUUUCCUGGGGUACAACCAUUCCUCGCCGCGUAUCAAUAUAAGAGAAGUAAUUUGAAUGUGUAUUGGUUUUGAAAGUUCUUCCAGGACCACUUCAAAGAGCAGGUUGUGUAUGAUAUCUGACCACUUACCAAAAUUUAAAUAAACCAAAUUCCUGAAGACGAGUUUCUUAGAAUCUCUUGAAUUUUCUAAUUCAAAAUACAUGAAAGAUGAUUUUCCUGGGGUACAACAAUUCCUCGCCGCGUAUCAAUAUAAGAGAAGUAAUUUGAAUGUUCUUCAGAAAGCAGGUUGUGUAUGAUCAGCUUCAAUCAGGUUGUGUAUCGUACAAGUUUGACUUUGAGAAUUGACCAAGAAAUUAAUCAAACAUAUUAUUUUAGAAUAAAUUUCAAAUACAUGUAGAAUACUUUUAAAACUUUGACCUCGCAUAUAUACAGUACCUUUAUCAAGAUUAGUCAAGAUUUUCUCUUUGUAUUUGGUAGGAAGGGAAAAGUCAACGCUGCUUUCAGAAGGAAUAUAGGAUUCCAUUAUAGGAAAGAAACAAUCAUUCAAUUAUAGGAACCGGAUCGAAAAUUCCUUGUCCGGUUGGAGGGUCAAUCCAGACAUUCAAAUCAUUCAACAUAUAAAUUAGUUUAAACGGAUAAGAGAACAUUCAGACAUUUUCAAACAUCAAAUCUCCACUUUUUAAAAAAUAAUAAUAAUAAUAAUAAAUAAUUAUAGAUUUAAAAAUAACUUUUUUCAGAACAAAUAAGAAAUAAUUCAAACUUCCUUGUUUGGUUUAUUGUACCAUAUAUAAUGAAAAAUCAUUAUAUAAAUAAAUUAUGCAAAGAUGUAUAUAUUUUAAAAUUAUUUAUAAACAGAAAAAAUGAUGAAUAAAAUUUGAGACGUGAAAAUUUGAUCAAGUUAAUUUAAAAACUUCUUUUAAUUUUUUUCACUUUUUUACUCCUAUUUUUUCACACUAUUUUUUUUCUCACAUUUCCUUUUAAACCUUUGAAAUAAAUUCCCUACUAUUUGUGGAGCUUUAAUAUAAUUUUUUUCUCCAUAUUAUACAUAUUUAUGCAAUGUUUGGUUAAACUAUUUUGAAUUUCUAUUUUUACCUUAACAAGAAACAUUUCUUGAAAAUGAAGAUUAUUUUCUCCUUAUUUUCAAAUUUGUGUUUCUCCACUUUUUUUUUUUUAAAUAAUAAUAAAUAAUUAUAGAUUUAAAAAUAACUUUUUUCAUAACAAAUACAAUAUAUAGCCGGCUUAUAAAAACUAUUAUCUAAAAAAAGGAAAAAAAGAAAAGAAAAGAAAAGUAAAAUAAGAAAUAAUUCAAACUUCCUUAUUUGGUUUAUUGUACCAUAUACAAAGAGUUUUAAAUAAUAAAUUGGAAGAUCAUCCCAAACACUUUAAAGAGUUUUAGAAAUCAAUACUAAAAUCAAUCUUGAUUUAAAACUCCUAAAUAAUUAAUUGUAAAGUUGUUUUCAAAGGAAACCCUUCUUAUCUCGAUUUCCCCUCACUAAGAUACUUCAAAAGUGGAAUAAUAGAUAAGAGUGAACUUAAAACUCAAUUAAGAAAAUUGGUCAAUAAGGAAGAUCAAGUAUAGUACAAAGUUAAAUCUUAGGAGAUAUCACAUCUUUAUAAAUAAAAAAUAAAAAAUCAAUUAGUAGGAGUUCAUUUAAUUCAAUAAUUAAAUUCAUUUUGUUCAAAAAAUUAUGCACUUUCAAUUUAAAGAUAGAAUUAAAUAAUAUACUUUACAUACUUAAAUUAUAUUAAAAAAAUUAUAAACAAACAUUUUACUCCGACUCAUUGAUAAUAACAUUGUGCCCAAAUAGUAGAACUUGCAUUAGGUGGCUAGUCUCACUUUGUGCCUUUUAGCAAUGGACAAAAUGAUUUAUAAUCAAUGAUAUACCAAAGGCUAAUAACACCCUUAUUAGCUAGAGUUACAUUAUAUCACUAUCCUCACCAAAGGUAACGCAGGUCAACAACUUCUCUCUUAAACCAAUGUAAUAAAUUAAAUGAUAAAAUUCAUUUGCAUAACAAUAAACAAAUCAUAUGAUAUUCCCAAUUUAUUUUAUAAACUAAGGAACAAAUCAUAACAUUUUUAGUAAAAUAUUAUUUGAUCCACUUUAAGGAACUUAAACAUUUUGAUAGUUUAAAAAUAGAUGAAAAAAAUUAAGAAAUUAUAAAAUGGUUUACUAUACUAUUAACCAUUACCUUGAAGAAAUCAUUCAAAAUCCUGAAAGACUUAAUCUACACCUAAUAUAAACAUAAAUAAAAAAUAAUCAUUAAAGAUUAAUUAUCUAAAUUAAUGACUUCCUAAUUUUUUUGUAAAACUUACUUUAAUUCCAAACCCUUUUCUAAAGUUCUAUUUUUUGAAUUAAAUUUUUUAUUAACCAUAUUAUUAUUAUCAUUUUCACUUCUCAUAAUUACAUUAAUGGGUUUUGUUGAAUUAUUAAUGUUAAUAUUCCUUCUUCUUUUUUUCAUGGUAGGAAGUAGGUAAUUAUUUAUUAAUUUACUACUAUUUUUACUUAUCUCCUACCCACAACCCAAAUCUUAUUAUAACUUUAUUAUUUCUUUGCCACAACCACUUUCCUCAUUUCCUCAAUUCUUCUUCCUAUUAAUCUCGUGGUUAAAGAAAGGUAAAAGAAUCUAAAAAGAAAAUCAUACAUGAAGAACUUACCUUAAAUUUCAUAAUGAAGCAAAUAAAAAAAGUUUCUUCUUUCUAACCCUUCAAACCAAACUUCUCUAUAUACCUUUCUCUUGUUUCUUUUUCCUCUCUAUUUUAUCUUUUCAAAUUUUAAUAAUGUGGAGAAAUCAAUGGAAUUUAGGGGUGAAUUAUACUUUUAUCGCUAAAAGUAACUUUUAUUGAUGGAAUUUUAGAUGUUGUCAGUGGUGCAAAUUUUUUUUAAAAAAUUUCUAACGAAUUUAAAAAUUUCAUCACUAAAAGACAUGAUGGGAAAAUUUUGGCAUCGUCAUUUUUUUGGCACAAACACUUUUCUGAUAGAAAAAACCUAUUUUCUCAGAAAAGUAUUUGUCACUAAUUAUAAUUUUUGGUGACUAAAAGUUACAACUUUUUAUAUAUAUAUAUAUUUGCUUGUAAAAUGGUUUCAUUAAGUGGUUGUAUUAUUUCUUGACAAAUUGAGUAAUUUUAUCAUUAUUAAAUUGUGAUAUUAAUAAGUAAUAUUGAUAAAUAACUAGAUGAUUUAUAUUGUGAAAUAACAUAUGUAUUUUUUGAGACUUAAUAUUUAUACUGUAAUAUUUUAUUUCUAUUAAUAAUAAUAAAAUAAUUACAGAUUCAUAAAAUGAAAUACUACAAUACAGAUUUAUUUAAAUUUAAACGUUUUGUAACGUAAUAAUAGUAUUGUUAUGAAAUAAUAAAAAGGUAAAUUAUUUAAGCAAUUAAUAUUUAUAUCGUAAUAUGUUAUAUUUUUUUUAUAUAAAUAAUAACAACAAAUAAUUCAAGACAUGUAAGAUUUGUUACUUUGAAACAAACUUUCGAAUCCUAGGUACAUCCUUAAGAAAAUUUGUUACAUUCAAUCCUUGAGCUAACGGGACACCUAUCUCUUUUCCCAUGGUCCAUUUAUUCAUUUGGAGACCUCGAAAAGUGAUUAGAGGUCAUUCCCCACCUUAAAACGAACUUUGACUCCCAUAGUACAUCCUUUACAAAAUUUGGUACAUCAUUCACAAAAAUUCGUACAUCCUUAAAAAAAUUUGGUACAUCUAAUCCUUGACCUAUUAGGACCCCUAUCUUAUUACUCAUGGUUCGUUUAUUCCUUUAGAGAUCUUUGGAAGUGAUUAGAGGUCGUUCCCUACUCCGAAACAAACUUUGGAAAUCCUUGGGAUAACGGGACACUUAUCUCCCUUCUCAGGGUCCAUUUAUUCCUUUGGAGAUCCUUAAGAAGUGAUUGAAGGUCGUUCCCCACCUCGGAAUAGACUUUGGCACCCUUGGUACAUCAUAUACAAAAUUUGGUACAUUCUUCACAAAAUUUGGUACAUCUUCAUAAAAUUUGGUACAUUCUUAAAAAAAUUUGGUACAUCUAAUUCUUGAGCAACUAAGACCUCUAUCUUAUUGCCCAUGGUCUGUUUAUUCCUUUAAGAAUCUUUGGGAAGUGAUUGGAGGUCAUUCUCCACUCUGGAACGAACUUUGGAACCCUAGGGACAUCCUUAAGAAAAUUUGGUACAUCCAAUCCUCGAGUUAUUGGGACACCUAUCUCCAUUCUCAUGGUCCAUUUAUUCAUUUGGGAACACUUAGAAAGUAAUUGGAGGUUGUUCCCUACUCUGGAAUGAAUUGUGGAACCUUGGGUACACCUUUAGAAACUUUUUGUAUUUUUAUGGUUAUGUAAUGGUUUGAUGUUGUUGAUUGAAAUGAGGUGGUUGAGUCACAAUUUAUAAUCAUCAAGGGAAAACAAAUUGUGUUUAUUCAUGACCAGAUGAAAAUGAAUAACAAAUGGAAUUAUUGUCACUUUUAAUGGUAUUAUAUUAUGAAUCAUUUGAAUAGUUUUCUUAAAACAAUUUGUCAAUUCCAAAUGGAUUAUAGCUGAAUUGAAAAAUGAAGGAAUAUAGUUGUAGAAAAGAAGGGUUGAAUUUUUGUGGGCAUUAUGGAAGAAAGAGGUCGAGCCUUAUAUGAAAAACAGAUUGUUAACACUAGGCAUAAUAGUGGACGACCUUUUCAUGUAGGGGCUGACCCUUUUUAGCUUAUAACCCUUAGUCAUGAUAUUAGUUUUAUUUGAAGUGAUUAGUAACAAAAAUAAAGGUGUUGUUCAUAGGCAAUCCCAUCGUGUUUUUAAUAUUGGUUUUGUUUUAUGUGGGUGGUAGGCAGAACAAAGGUUGACCCAUUGUUUAAUAGGUAGGCCUUUGAAUAUGGACGUUAUAACCUUAGAAUAUGGACAGUGAGGAAAAUAGUGGUCAACCCAUGUAUUCAGAGGUAGAGCCUGAACUUAUAUUACAUAUCAAAUAAGUUCCUAACAAAUAAAUAAAUAAAAGUAAAUGCAUUGUGUGAUGUUUGGUAUAGACAAUACAUUUCAAUAUUUAGCACAUUAAUGUCACACCAUAAAAUGUUAAUGAAACAAACUUGGAUUGUUCAUAAUCUGAAUGAGACGUUAAUAUAUGAUGACUAUAUAUGUGACCAUGACAAUUGUUAUAAGUAAUUAGUUUUGACAGGGUUAUUUAAAAAUAUAUAUUUAAAAAACUAAAUACCUAAUGAGGUCUAACUGUGAGAAUAAAAUAAUUUAUGCUUAUUCUAUAAAUGUUGAAAGUAUUUUUGUGAUGAAUAUAUGUAUUAUUGGAAAUAUUUACAAACAUGCCUAGUUUAUUGAUGUGUGUGUGUGUGUGUAUUAAAAAAAAAAAAGUAAAAUCAAGGAUGUUCAUCCUUUCCUCAUAAGAAUGUACAUUGGGUUCUGAAGUCCAUUUUAGGGUAGAGAACAACCUCCAAUCACUUCUCAAUGGUCUUUAAAUGAACAAACCAACCAUGGGUAAUAAGAUAGGGGUCCUGAUAGCUCAAGGAUUGGAUGUACCAAAUUUUGUGAAGAAUGUUACAAAGUUUGUAAAUGAAAUACCAAAUUUUAUAAAGAAUAUACCAAGGAUGCCAAAGUCCGUUCCGAGGUGAGGAACGACCUCCAAUCACUUCUCGAGGGUCUCCAAAGGAAUAAAUGGACCAUGUGAAGGGAGAUAGGUGUCUCAUUAGCCCAAGGAUUGGAUGUAUCAAAUUUUCUUAAGGAUGUACCUAGGAUUCCAAAGUCCGUUUUGGAAUAGGGAAGAACCUCCAAUCACUUCCCAAAGAUCUCUAAAGGAAGAAAUGGACCAUGGGUAAUCAAAUAAGGGUCCUAAUAGCUUAAGGAUUGGAUGUACCAAAUUUUUUAAAGCAUGUUCCAAGGGUGCCAAAAUCCAUUCCAAGGUUGAGAACGACCUCCAAUCACUUUCUAAGAGUCUCCAAAUGAAUCAAUGGACCAUAGGAAAGGAGAUAGGUGUCCCGUUAGCUCAAGGAUUAGAUGUAACAAAUUUUUUUAAGGAUGUACCUAAGGUUCCAAAGUUCAUUUCGAAGUAAGGAGCAACCUCCAAUUACUUCCCAAAGAUCCUUAAAGGAAUAAACGAACCAUGGCUAAUAAGAUAGGGGUCUCGAUAAUUCAAGAAUUGGAUGUACCAAAAUUUUUUUAAGGAUGUACCAAAUUCUGUGAAGGAUGUACCAAAUUUUGUAAAGGAUGUACCAAAGGUGUCAAAGUCUAUUCUGGUAAGGGGAACAACCACCAUUCACUUUUCGAGGGUCGGUCUCUAAAGGAUAAAUAGACCAUGGGAAGUGAUAUAGGUGUCCCUUUAGCUUAAAGAUUGGAUGUACCAAAUUUUCUUAAAGAUGUACCUGGGGUUUAAAAGUCCAUUUCAGAGUAGGGAUCAACCUCCAAUCACUUCCCAAAGAUCCCUAAAGGAAUAAAUAGAUCAUGGGUAAUAAGAUAGCGAUCCUUAUAGCUCAAGGCUUGGAUGUACCAAAUUUUUUUAAGGAUGUACCAAAUUUUGUAAAGGAUGUAUCAAGGGUGCCAAAGUCCAUUCUGAGGUCAGGAACAACCUCCAAUCACUUCCCGAGGUCUCCAAAUGAAUAAAUGACCUCCAUUUGUUCUAAGGUAGGAAAUGACAUAUAAUGACUUCCUAAGAGUUCCUAAGGGAACAAAUGGACCAUGGGAAGGGAGAUAAGGGUCCCAAUAGCCCAAGGAUUGGAUGUACCGAAUUUUCUUAAGGAUGUACCUAGGGUUCCAAAGUCUAUUUACAGGUGGGGAAUGGCCUCCAAUAACUUCUCAAUGGUCCUCAAAUGAUGAAAUGGCAUAAGGGUCCUAAUAGCCUGAUGAUUGGAUAUACUAAUUUUUCUUAUGGAUGUAAUUAGGGUUCCAAUGUUAGUUUCAAGGUGGGGAAUGACCUUUAAUCACUUCCUGAUGAUUAGAUAUACCAAAAUUUAUUAAAGAUGUAUCUAAGGUUCAAAAGUCUGUUUUGGGGUGAGAAAUAACCUCCAAUUACUUCCUAUUGGUCCCUCAAUGAGCAAAAUGACCUUGGGAAGAGAGAUAGGGGUAUAAUUAGCCGGAGGAUUGGAUGUACUAAAUUUAUAUAAGGAUAUAUCUAGGGUUCCAAAGUCUAUUCUAAGGUAGGGAACGACUUGCAAUCACUUUCUAAGGGUCCUCAAAAGAUCAAAUGGACCAUGGGAAUGGAUAUAUGGGUCCUGGUAGCCCAAGGAUUGGAUGUACCAAAUUUUCUUAUGGUUAUACGUAGGAUUCCAAACUCCAUUCCGAGAUGGGAAACAACCUCCAAUCCUUUCCUAAAGGUCUCCAAAAGAAUAUAUGGACCAUGAGAAGAGAGAUAGGGGUUUUGAUUUCCCUAGGAUUGGAUGUACCUAUUUUUGUUAAGGAUGUACCUAGGGUUUCAACAUUCGUUUUGGGAUAAGGAAGGACCUCCAAUCACUUAUCGAAGGUUCCCAAAGGAAUAUAUAGACCGUGAUAAAGGAGAUAGGGAUCCUUGUUCCCUUAGGAAUGGAUGCACCUAUUUUUCUUAUGGAUGUAUCUAUUUUUUUAUGAAAUUAAUAUAAAAGGUUAACUACAAUUUUUUUUUAAUGAAAAAUUAUAUUUUCUUUUAAUUAAAAAUUAAAGAUUUUAAUGAAACAAAAAAUUAGAUCCAUGAUCAAGUUAAAACCAUAAGAAAAAAAGAUAAAAGAAUCAUCACUUACUAUGAUUUUGAUAUGAUAAAUUUAAAAUAAAAAAUAUAUAUAUAUAUAAUAUAAACAAUAAAAUAGUAUUACAAAUAUAUUUUUACUUUGAUGUGUGAUAUGGUUUAUAAAAUAUAUAAAUCUUUUAUUUAGCAUUAAUAUAACAAAUCUUAUAUCAUAAACCUAUAAAUAAUAAAAUAUAUUUUUUAAAUUUAAUCCUUGAUUUAUUAAAAGUAUUACUAUAAUUAAUAUUUAAAAUCAUCAAGUAUAUUAUUUGUGGAAUAAUAUUUUCAUUUUUGGCCAUUAUAUAUUUAUGUUUUUAUAUAACUUGUUAUAUUAACUAUUUAUUAUAUAUUAUUAUUUUAAAGUUAAUAUGUCCAAAAAAUAAUUAAAAUCAAUAAAUAUGGAGAUAUUAGAGAGUUAAAAAAAUAUAAAAUUGAAGAAGUUUUAUGCGAUAAUACAAAGAAAAAAAUAGUUAUUGGUGUACUUGACAACAACAUUUAAUGUGGUAAGUGUACUUGCCCUCAACUUUUGAGGGUAAUUUUGGAACAAAUUCAAAAGCACUAUUGGAGUGCAUGAAUUGGUAUAAAAAAAAUUCCAUUUUACAUUAAAAUUGAAAUAGUAAAACCACAGUUUUAAAAACCAUAUUUUUUAAUUGGUGAUGUACCAAAGCAUGAUUAUCCCAAUUUUAAAUAAUACAAAAAUCAUAAAUUUUAAAUUUUAAUUUUAAUCUUCUUUUAAAAAUUUGUAAAUUUUAAUGUUUAAUUUUUUAAUUUUUUAAUUUAUAAAUUUUAAAUAAUAUAAAACUCAUGGCAUGUUGAAGUGCAUUAAAUGCAUUGUAGUAGCAUAUUGUAUUUUUGUAGCAUAUAUGACAUAGAUGGAAUUGUGUGGAGUGUUUUUUGGGAAAAAAAGAUGAAAAAAAAAAAAUUCUCAAACCCUCACCUAGUUAAGCACCAUUGCAAGUUUGAAAAAAAAAAACCCAAUUUUUAAAAAGAGAGAAAACCACCAUCGCAAACAAUGGCUCACCACAUUUGUACCUGAUGCCAUAUCCUCUUCAACCUUUCAUCAUUUUCACCACCAACCCAUCUACCUUCUUGAAAAGUCAUUUUCCAACUACCAAUCAUACCCACCAUUCUCCAUAACACAUUUGUAUCUAAUAAUAAUUGUGAAAAUGACCAAUUUGAUUAAGCAAAUCACUAAAGGGGGGGAGGGGGGAAUGUGGGAAGAGAUGAAUUAGGUGUUAUAUUUUUUAUUUUAUUUUUUCAAAAGCAACCAAUUAAUAACAAAAAGAAUAAGAGAUAUUAAUUAAGGCAAUAAUUAAGUAAAAGAUAAAGAGAAGAUAUAUGCAAACUCUUUUAUUGUGGUUCAAAACUCCACCUAUAUCCAUUCUUUUUAACCUCCUAAGUAAGUGAGGAUUCCACUAUCAAAGACCUUCAACCUAAGCCUUCAAGCUUUAUAUUUGGAUUCAUGGUCUUCAAUGGGCACUCACAAUCCUUUCAAAUACUUCACCCACUUGAAGUCUCUUCACUCAAAAUGAGUAAAUAAGGAAAGUUCUAAUGCUUUCUAUUAGGACAUUGAGUCUUAUUUAUAUGUUGGCAAUUUUGUUUACUUUAUGUUUCAUCAUAGAAGUCUUUUUAGAUAAUGGCUUGCUCCCCAUUGAAGAUCAAGGGUGGUUGUUCGUCCAACCAAGAAGUCAUACGUAUAUUUAAAAAGGUUUGACUUGUUGCAUAUAAGGCUUCUUUAAGGUAUAAAAGGUUUAGUAUCAUUUUUGGACUUAAAAUGUUUUAAAAUGAUUUUUUAAAAGAAGUAGGGGCUGCUCAAGUGGAAAGGACCGAUCAACCAGUUAGACUACUCAAGUGGUAAGGAUGACUCAAGUAGUCUAAGUCUACUCAAGCAAUCAUAACAGUCCUUUCGAGUUUAGACACAAAUUUUGGAUGAAUUUCACUUGAACUCUAGUUUGAAAACUUAAGUUACUGAAACUCUUUGGAUUAUAAAUACUUUCUUAAUAACCCCUUAAGGGUUAGGGAUCGAAGAUUGAAGAGAUCUUAGAGAUUAAAAACCUUUCAUUCUUAAAAAGAGGGACUCCUUGAUAGAAAGCUUAAAUUGCUAUAUAAUUCAUGAUUUCUCAUUCAAGGAUUUGAAUCUUUAAAUUGUGGGUUGAAGACCAUAAUCCCUUCGAAGUGGCAAAAAGAUCUACUAGGGAGCAACAGGAAGUUGCUACGUCACAAACGUGGAUUAAGUUGUAGGUGUUGAAGAGUAAGUCUUUAGGAUAAAGCAGCCAAGUAAAUUUGUGUAACUUGAUUUUGAAUAGUGGAUUUAGAUUGGUAGGUCUUAGACCUUGUGGGUUUUUUUCUCCAAAGUUUGUGGGGGUUUUUCACAUACAAAUCUUAUGCCUCAUUAUCUAUAUCUUUUAUAUUUGAUAUUAUGUUUGUAGGGUUUUCAUAAAAGGUGCAUAUUUGUAGACCCCUCAUUUUGUCCUCCUAACACAUCUGAUACUUUAUGUUUUCCUAAGCUUCUCUCUUACCCUAUGGUUGUCCCUUAGAGACCCAUUAAAACUCAUAUGAAUUUUUUUCCCUAAGCUACCUUUUGGGACACUUUGUUGAGGGGCUCAUUUGGACUCACAAUGUGACUUUGACAACUUCUCAAGUUAGUUUUUAGGUUAGACUUCACUUAGAUUUUUUUUCCAAGAUAGGGUCACUUAGAUCUUUUUUAUACUAGGAUCACUUGGACACUUCACUUAGGUUGGUUUUCUUGAGUUUGAUUUCUAGGUUUUAGGUUUAGGUGAGUUCUUGACUUGAUUUCAAUAUUUGAAUGCAUGGGGUGAGUAUCAAUCUUUAGUUAUGUGAGUUCAAUGCAUUGAUUUUCUUAUUAUCUAUUACAUUAAGAUUAAUAUUUGGAUUUUGAUUGCAUGCGUUAAAUUUCUUUUAUUUAUUUUUUAUUUAUUUAUUUAUUUUAGAAAAUUUAUGUGAGACUAAUGUUAUGACUUUUAAUUGCUUGAAUUGAUGCUUGAUCUUAAAUAUGCAUACAAUUGACCUUUAAUUUUUAAUUGCAUAAUUUUAAUUUGCUUUAAUUUUCAAUUUCAUAACUUUUACUAAUUUUAAACUUUAUUUUAAUUUUGCAUGAGAUUUGAAUGUAUACUUUGGAGAAGAUCCCUUAGCGUACACGACUGCCCCAAUAAUAGGAUGGAGAUCAAGAAACUUAGGAGAUUCUUUUUUAGUUCAAGUGAUACAACCUACAACCUACAUGUGAACAACAUGCACCCAUUGACCUUCUACAAAAUGCACAGUCUACACAAAAGGAGACAUUUAUGCAACAUAGAUACAGGUUUCUUUUCUAAAAAAAAGUGUAGGCUGCCAUAUGAUAGGGCUUUAAACUAUUAAAGGAAAGUUAUUCAUGAUUAUUUAUUUUUUAUUUUAAAAAAGAAACUUAUAGCACACAUAGGAUGCAAGGGGCCACUUUCUAAAAAGAAAAGGGAUUCUUUCUUUUGGAUGAGGAUGUAGCAUAAAAAGUGAGGACCACUUUGAGAAUGGAGUCCGGUUUGGAGAAGAAAAAAAAAAAAAGACCACACGGUUCCAUGGAGAGGGGAGGGCAUAGUCUACCAUUGAAGGAGAGUUGACAGCCAUGUGUUCCUUGAGAAGGGGGUUCGCUCCCCACAACACACAUUUCAUCCUAAGGAGAGGAGGAUCUUCACACGUUGUCGAUUAGGGAGAAUACAAAUGCACAUGGAGGAUCACUUAUAGCCAUGAAUAAUAGCAGCUCAUCCAUAGCCCCACACACAACCAUGCAUAUUGGAGAAGAACUAGAAAGUUGUCACUUCAAGAUUUACCAUAGGUGCACACAUCAUUUGGAGAAGGUAAGUUAGGUUUUUUUUUUUUUUUCAAUUCUUAAUUUUCAGUUUGCAAGUUAGUUUUCUUUGUAUUUGUUUUGAUUCCACUAGAUUGAAAGUGGGAAUUAUUAAUCUUAGUUAGUUUUAUUAAUCUUAGUUUUGAGUCAUCCUAUAUAGUUUAGACACUUUCAUAAGUUUAGGUUCAUUAAUAAAAUUAAUUUUAUGCUUGAAAGUUCAUGUUUUUAGUUUGCUUUGACUUAGUCUAGCUCAUUUUAAUUAGUUUAAGUACUUUUAUAAUUUUAGUUAUUCUAUGUUUGAAAGUUCAUGUUUUUAGUUUACUUUAAUUUAGUCAAACUCAUUUUAAUUAAUUUAGGUACUUCUAUAAUUUUAGUUUCUUAGCUGAAUUUAUCCCAUUUUUUUUUAGUUUUUAUUUUAAAAUCAUUAAUGUUAGUUCCUAAUCAUCCUUAUCUUAAUUUAUAUGUUUUUAAGAUCCUAGUAGUUAGUUCAUGAAUCGAUAUCUUGUUAGUUUGUCUAAUAUAAAAUGCUUUGCUUGUUGCUUUACUGAUCCUUCAUUUAAUUUGAUUGUUUUUUAGGCCCUUGGAAACUCAUGAUGAUUGGCCUCUACUCUCACCUAGUUUAGGUUGCUAUAAAUUAUCACUUUCUAAUGUUAUUUUCUCUUUUAAAAAGAAAGUCUUUUCCCAAAAUUUUAUUUAUUAAAAUGGAUUUAAAAAACUUCUUCUAUAAUCCUUAGGGUUAAAAAAAAAAAAUCAUUUUCUUAAAAACUAUACAACCAUGUUUUAAUAUAUUUACACCUUUCUUUUAUUUUCAAUAAAAAUUGUGAUUUUUAGUGAAAUAUGAAUCCAAGCUUGUGGUCCCAAACGAAUGGGACAAUUCUUGGCUUUGAUGAGUUUGUCAAUUCUCAUGCAAGGUUGGGAAUCCAUAACCUAAAUUUGUGUAUAACAAAUGAGGAUUUGGUGACUAACCCCUUCAUAAAAUUAUUUUUCAAAAACCUUUUAUUGUUAACUUGUUGGAUUUGUUGCAUCUUUGGAAUAAAAUUUUGAUUUGGAUAAUUUAUGAUAUUCCUAAAAAUUUUCUUGUGGUUGAUGAUAUUAUGAACUUCAUUAACCUCAUUUUAGAAGUUUGAUUGAAUCAAAAAUCAUAUUUUUAAUGGAAAUUAUGAAUUAAUCUUUUGGUAGGUUCAGUUUUUUCCCAAUUCUGGAUACCCAAAUUGUUUUUUGUAUUUUCAAAUUGCUAAAUGACUUUGAAAAAUUAUUUUGACUUUUCUUCCUUCAUUCUAGACUUCUUGAAAUUUAUUUUAUACACAUAAAUAUUUAAAAAAUGUUUUGAUAAUUAGGAAAAAUAUAUUUUCUUUGUUCUACCCACUGUUGGCAUCUUAGAUCUAAGCAACAGAAGCAAUACCAUUUUUUUAAAAAUUAAUAUUUUAGGGUUAAAGAACUAACCUUUAGGUUUUGAGGUUCCCAAACCUUAAAUUCCAAGUGUUGAAGACGAUCCUGAAGUUGUUAGAAGUCUUGUAAACCUAUGAUCUUUCGCCCAAUGACUUAACCUUGUUCUUGGAAAACAAUGAGAAGGAAAGGCGGGUGGAGGCUAUGACUCUCUUUCUCUUUGAAUGGUGAGAGGCAAAAGCUAUAGAAACCUUAAUCCAUAUAGGGUAUUUAUAGGGAACCUAACUAGGCUUAAGUGACUUGAGCCUAUAUGGUCGGGCUUAGGUCACUUAAUCUAUCCCAAAAUGGGUCCUAAUUGAUUAAUUAACCUAAUAGGGCUUACUAAUUAAUAAAUUAGCCCAAUCCAAAGACCUUAUUCACUUACCCUUAUGCAACCUUGAAAAAUUACCAAAACACCCUUAUGCACAAAAGUGAACCUAGAGCUAAUCUGACCCUCAUAAUGCAUUCUAACAAGGUAUAUGAGCUCAGAGUGAGGAUCACUAGGAUCCAUAUAAGUAUUGGCUCCCUCAUAAUCAAAUUUUGAAUUUGAUUCAACAUCCCACUAUAAAAAAUCAACUAAACUCCAGUAUCCUAUGUAAAUAAUAACAAGACACUAAGUGCUCAGGUUCAUGACCUAUUAUCCACUACAUGCAGACUCUCCAUGAACUGGUGUCUGUAAUUUAACAAGGUAGUAUUAUUACCUUUCAAGAUUACCUCUUAAAUCCUUGAGUUAUAGAUCCCACUUAUUAUGUGAUCAAUUGACAUACUCUUACUCUAAAGAUAAUAUGUCAAAUUCCACUAAAGGAAUUAUUAUGGCCACAUAUUUCAUGAUCAUAUUUCUUUCGAUCACCCAAAGGAACACAUUGUCUCAAUCCCAUGAGAUAUCAUGGUGCCUAUAUUGUGAAUUCCUAUUACCAUCAACCUUUAUCAAUAAUGACCCAAUCCAUAUGGAUAUAUAACCACUUUAGGGUCUCACCCAAAUGUUAAACCCUCCUAUUUAUUUUGGAAUAUACUGAAUAUCCUUUUAAGGUUAAAAGUCCAUGCAGUAUGGUAACUUGGUAAAUCAUGAUAAUCGAUAACCUUGUGUCAUGAUUGACUGUAGGCCUUGUCUAAUAUUCAUCACAUACACUAGUGCACUCACCAUAGGAAAUCCAUCCAGAUGGCCAAGACAAGUCACCCCUCCAAUUAGGAGGUGAUGCACUAGAGUCUCUACUAGAUUGCCCAAAUCCAUGAACCAGCGGUGGACAACUUAUCUACUUGCAAGGAACCCAUGACUUGUAUCUUUUGUGCAACUGCUAAUGCACCCAAGUCAUGUACAAUGUAAGAGACAUGGACUAAAUGCUCAAAUCAUUGUUAGUACACUAAAAGGAUAGCAAAGGGAUGGUUAAGUCUAACUUUGUUACAUCAUAUCUUGCUUUCAAAGGCUCAAUCCUAACAAACUCCCACUAGCCCUAAAAGCAAACUAGGCAUCAUAGAAAAAUUUUUGUUCCAUGUCUCAUCACAUCUUUAUACUAUCUCAUUAUAAAGUAACACUUCUUAUUUAUGUGUUUCCUCUUCUGGUGAUACUUCAAUUCUUUAGACCAUGCCAUUGUCCCGUUGUUAUCACAUAACAGGAUCUUAGAUGAUAUAGCCAAGGGAAAUACCAAUAAGCCAAAAGGCUUUCUUUGUUGCUAUAAAAACAACAAAAAAGAAAAACCCCACUUCGAGUGUACACAUACCUAGAGGUAGACUUAUAAGAGUCCUUAUCAGACCGAAGUCCAAUUUCCUAGUAUGAAAUGAGUACUAACUCAUCGCAAAGGAUCACAACAUAUAAUUCCUUAUUUUCCAAAGAUACUAGAGUAUAUGUUUGACAUCUGGCCAAAGCUCUAAUAAGGAAAUGGACUAAUAUCCACUCAUUAUUCAUACAACAAAGCAAAUAUCUGGUCUAUCACAUAACAUCGCAUAUUUAAGGCAAUUCAUUAUAGAGGCAUUGGAUAUCGCCUUAAUGUGAUCUCUCUCCAUAGAUGUCUAAGGUCAUUGAUCAUAAGAAAGACAAGUCUAAAACUAAAUAGUAACAAACCUUCUUAGAGUUUUGCAUCAUAUACUUGACCAAAUGCUCAUCCAUGUAGGUGACAUGGUGCAAUUCUCCUAUUCUUGUAAUCCUGAAGGAUCAUAACCCGAAGAAUAUAUUGCAUCUUCCUCUAGAUUUUCAUCCAGAAUUGAGUAGACUAUUAGUUCUUGACUGAUGACAAUAUCCCUACAUCAUAUCUAAUGAGUAGAUUUUCAUCUACCUGUAAGAUCUUUGAGCAUCACUAUGCUUUCUUGUGUCUUUUUAUACACACAAGGCUAUUUGCUAUGAAAAUGUUUGGUUGUUAUGUCUUACAAAUGAGACACACUGCAAUAGAUAGUAGUAAUAUGAUGGAUUUGAGUAUGAUCACUAUUGAAAAGGUUUUCCAUAGUUGAAACAAAUUUCAAAAUGAAUCGCAAUUCGGAGUUGAAAUGAGGGAGUUGUAGUCGAUUGAAACUAGGUUGCACAAUGAGCAUGGAAGCACAAUGAUGUUGACUUCAACUCAAAAUUGGGGCUACCUCCCAUGAGCUUUUUGAGGCAAACCACAUAUGGUUUUGAAGCUUAAGAAGUCAGAAAUCCAAUACUUCAAACGGAUUUCAAUUUGGAGUUGAAGAAACAAGGGAGAUUUGGUUGAUUGAAGCUAAGUUGCACAAAGGGCAUGUAAUUACGAGAUGGAGUUCAAGCCAAAUUAUUUUUGGUUGUUUGGGCUCAUUUUUUGGGCCUCUUUUUGGGCUCUUUUAGUGGCAAUUAGGCCCGUUGGGUUUUUCUUUUUUUACUAACCCUAUUUUUGGUUGCAGGGCUAUUUUGAUAAUUUGGAUUCUAUCCAAGUUUUAGAUACCAAUUUUGCAACAAGAUCCCUAAGGCCAUGAGAAUUAUUUAUUUAAUUUUCUUUCAUGUCUUUUAUACUUUUUUUUUUAGAUAAUUUAUUAAAUUGGAAUGUGCUAGGACUUAGGAAAUUUUUAUUUUAGGUAAAGACAAGUUGGAAAUAAAUAAGGAACCUACUUCAUUUUCAAAAUUAAACUUUUAGAGAUUUUUUUUUAAAUAAAUCUUUUUAGAUUUUAGAUCUCUAAGAAUCUUUUUAUUUUAAGGAAGAAGUUUUUUUUUUUUUUUUCAGGUUUUUUUGAAAUAAAAUUAUUUCUAUUUAGCACAAGAUUCUAAAAUAAAGAAAUAAAUUAUUUUUGGAAAAAUAUAUGAUAGAUAAUUCAUGAUUAAGAUAGCUUACCAAGAUAUUGUUUCAAAUAAAAUAAAUUAAAAUGGUAAUUUUGGAUUUUCUUAAAAGAAUAAAUUUUCAUGAGUUUUAUUUCCAUUAUUAUUUAGUUAACAAAUUGGUUGUUGUCAUUUGGAAUUUCAAAUUCCUUUUGGGACUUUUUUUUUUGGGUUAGAUAGUUUUCUAAGCUCUCUCUCUCUCUCUCUCUCUCUCUCUCUCUCCUCCCCCCCCUUCCCCCUCUCCCCUAGAGAGAAGGAGAAUGACACGUACAUUGGUCCUCCAGGCUUUUCCUCCUUGAGAGAAAGAGAAAAUCGUUUAGUUUGAAAAUGAAAGUUCAAGGAUAAGGAAUAUGAAAGAUAUCCUUAAUUGGCAUAGGAGUCCCAAUUCAAGUAAUAAAUAAAAGUUUUGGAAAUUUUCAUGAUAGAUAAUUUAUUUUAAGAUGGAUUAUUUUAAAAUUAUCUUAAAGUCUCUCUUCCAAAAUAUUAAGUGGGAGCGGGCCAUAGGCAAGAGCCCAUCUUGAUUUCCAUCCUAAAGAUGGGGUGGCCCAAGGAAUCAAGGGAUAUGGACUAUCCUUUAUGGACAAGACUAUAUAUGUUUAUAGUAAGAGUGGCCAAUCCUAAAGAUAGAACUCUUCACUUCGUAACAUUGAUGUUAAGGAUCUUGAUUACUCAUUUAACUUAGAAAUGAAGUGGUAGAAUCACCUAAAGUGGUCCCACUUGCAUGGGCUAAGGGCUCAACAUAAAGGUAUGUUGAUCAAUGCCUUAGGAUAACCUUUGGAAGUUUAAGGCAGGUUGAUUAAUUAGAGAGGGUCUCUACCUAGUAAUAAGAGUCAUAACCUGCCUAAAGUAAGCUUGAUUCUUAUGAUACUAGGUUACCUUGCAUAGAUACAUAUAGUUUGAGAGCACUACAGUUUUGCUAAAUUAAUUACCAAUUUGCCUUAAAUGCUCAAUUCCUUUUAUUAAUGCAUGGAAUUAUUAUUUUUAUUAUGGAUAUCAUGUCUUUAAUCUAUCACAUUUUAUCUUUUGUUUAAAUUGGACCUAAUUUUAAAUUAGAAAUAAUCUGGAUAUAGUAUUAGUUGCAUAGAAGCUGUUUUUGGUAGAGUUUGUUAUUUCCUUUGAACAAACCUAUCAUCAAGUAAGAGAAACAUAUCAAAGGUGGCAUAAGACGGAUCAAAAGACUAAGUCUCUCAUACUUGGGUCUUUAGAUAAUGUGUUGCAAAAGAAACACAUGUCUAUUGUCGUAGUCUAUGAUAUUCUCUUCAAAGUUGCAAAGGUUAUUUGGUGAUAAGGGCAAGUCAACUAAACAACUUGCCCUUAAGACUAUUAUGAACACUAGGAUUCAUGUUAUCUUAGAGAUCUUACUAGAUUCUUUUGGGAUGGGUAAGAAGAUUCUCAAAGAGUGGAAGGGUGUUCAUAUGGAAGUCAAGGUUCUUCAAGCUCUUCUAACACUAUCUCAAGCUACCUACAUAGAUAAGAUUUUGGUCAAGUGUGUGAUGUGGGAUUCCAAGAAAGGUUUGUUACCUUUUAAGCAUAGAAUUCCCCUUUCUCUAAAUCAGUGUGUGCUAAAACACUUGAGAAGAAUGAGUGCAUGUAGUUAAUACUUUAUGCCUCUGUAGUGGGUAGUCUUAUGUAUUUGAUGCUAUGUACUAGGCCAAAUAUUUUUUUUGCAGUGGGUAUGGUGAGUAGAUAUCAGUCUAAUCUAGUUGCAAAACAUUGGACAACAGUCAAGCAUUUACUCAAGUACCUUAGGAGAAUGAGAGAUUGUGUUUGUGCUCCAAAGUGUUGAGAUAGUUUAAAGGGUGACAUGAUGGUUGACAAGAUACCUUUUGUGAAGAACCUAGUGGAUCUCUUCACCAAGACAUUGUCAGGGAGAGUCUUUGAUGGUCACAAGGAUAACACAGGUUUCAAAUGAGUGUCUAACAUGCUUUAUAGGCAUGAUGUUUUGAGGGCUAGUGGGAGAAUGUUAGGAUAUAGCCCUUAAAAGCAUGGCAUGAUGUAAUAAAUUUGGAAUUCAUUAUUUAUUUAACGAUGUUCCAGUUUCACUUUUAUCGAUCCUUAUUCCAUGUAUUAUACUUUAUGAGCAUUCUUGCCUACAUCUUUUGCAUUGUAUGUGACUUAGGUACAUUAGGAGCUUCAUAGAAGAUCUAAGUCAUGGGUUCCUUACAAGUAGAUGACUUGUUCACAACUGGUUCAUGGGUCUAAGCAACCCAUUAGAAGGGCACCACCUCCUAAUUGGAGGGAUUAGACUAGUCUUGGCUAUCGGGAUGGUUUUUCCAUGGUGAGUGCAUUAGUGUGUAUGGUUACAUAUUGGACAAGACCUAUAGUGAGUCACGACUUAAGGCUAUCAANNNNNNNNNNNNNNNNNNNNNNNNNNNNNNNNNNNNNNNNNNNNNNNNNNNNNNNNNNNNNNNNNNNNNNNNNNNNNNNNNNNNNNNNNNNNNNNNNNNNAUAUUGGACAAGACCUAUAGUGAGUCACGACUUAAGGCUAUCAAGUAGUCAUGACCUCACCAAGCUGCUUCAUUAUGUUGUCUCUCAACCUUGAGAGAAUAUUAAGCUUGUGCUAAAGUUAGUAAUGACUUUGAUCUACGGGUAAGAACAUAAGCUGAUCAUAUAUUCCCUAUGGAUUAGGUCACUACUGAUGGAAGCCGGUAGCAAUAGGUAUUCUCAAUAGAGGCACCAUGAUAUCUUUUAGGAUCGAGACAGUGUGUCCCCUUUGGUUAUCAUAAGGAGGUGUGUUCAUGGAAACUAUGGUCAUAGUAGUUCCUUAAGUAAAACUUGACAUAAACUCUUUGAGAGUUAAGAUAUGUAAAUUGAACAUACAAUGGGAGGAUCCGUAACUUAAGGAUGGUAAAGGUCUUGAAAGGCUAAUAGAUUUCACCUAGUUAGACUAUGGACACCAGCUCAUAGGAAGACUGAACACAAUGGAUAGCAAAUCAUAGACCCAAGCACUUGGUGUCUCAUUGUUAUUUACAUAGGAUACUGGAGUUCAGUUGAUUCUCUAUAGUAGGAUGUUGAAUCAACUUUAGAAUUAGAUUCUAAGGGAGCUAGUAUUCCUAUGGGUCCCAAUGGUCCCCGCUCUGAGCUCAUUUACCUUGUUGGCAUGGGUUAUGAGGGUCAGAUUGGCUCUAGGUUCACUUUUGUGCAUAAGGACGUUUUGGUAAUUAAGUAAAGUUGUAUAGGGAUAAGUGAACAAGGUCUCUAGAUUGGGUUAAUUGUUUAAUUAGUAGGCCCUAUUGGGUUAAUUAAUCAAUUAGGACCCAUUUUGGGCUAGAUUUAGUUACCCAAGUGCAUGUGGGCUCAAGUAAGUUAAGCCCACUUAGGAACCCUAUAAAUACCCUCUAGGGGCUAGGGUUUCCAUAACUUUUUGUCUUCCAUCAUCUAGAGAGAUAGAGAGUCAUAACCUUCACCCUCUUUUCCUCUCCAUCGAAAGUGUGUGAAGAUCAAGGUUCGAGUCAUCGGGCAAAAUAUCGUAGGUUUAGAGCAGGUUGUGUAUGAUAUUUGAUUACUCACCAAAAUUUAAAUAAACCAAAUGCCUGAAGAAUUCUAAUAAUUGUGAAAAUUUCUCACAGCUCAGCUUCAAUCAGGCUGUGUACCAUAGAAGAUGAGUUUCUUAGAAUCUCUUGAAUUUUCUAAUUCAAAAUACAAGUUUGACUUUGAGAAUUGACCAAGAAAUUAAUCAAACACAGUAUUUUAGAACAAAUUUAAAAUAUAUGUAGAAUAUUUUUAAAAUUUUGACCUCGCAUAUAUACAGUACCUUUAUCAAGAUUAGUCAAUAUAUGUAGAAAAGUCAGCGCUAUAUAAUCAUAAUCCAUCAAAGAUACACUAUUUGCUACUGUGGGCGUACCGGCCAUUAGUAAUGGGCCAAAAUGUUCUCCAUGAUUAAAAAUAAAAUACAAUCAUGGCAUAAAAAUCUUGACCCUCAUUUUCAAGAGGUGACUUUCUCCAAGAAAGAAUUAUUUUCCUUUUUAUUUUCUCAUGGGGAGAAAGUUGGAGAUUCACAUUGUUUAUAUUUUUAUAAUAGUUUUAGAGUAGUUUUAAAGCUUCCAAAAAUUUCUCCCUUAUUUUUAUUUAGUAGGUUGGCUCAGUCCACUUGGUACCCAAAAACAAACCCAAUAAAUAAUUAUUUAUUGAAUUUGGUCAAUCCCAAUGUUUUCAAAACCGAAUUAGACAUUGAAUUAGAAAAAUUAUCGAUUCAUAGUUCACUGGUCAGACUAGUGACCGAACUGGUGACAUCAUAAAUACAUAAUUUAUAUUUUAUUAAAAUUAAAAAUAAUUUUAAAAUAUAUAUAUAAUUAAAAAUUAAUAAUAUUUGUAAUAUUAUUUAUUCAUUUUAUAUAAAUUUAUUAAUAUUUUAAAUUUAUUAAUAUAUGUAUAUAUAUAUAUAUAUAUAUAGAAUAUUUAAAUAUGAAAAUAUAUUGAAAAUGGGUAUAUAUAUAUAUAGGUAGUCUUUGAGUCAACAUGCAUAACAAGAUUGGACAUCAAUUAAUUCAUUUAAUAAUUAUGUUGAUUAGUUUAAUUAUACUUUUUAAAAUAUUUAACUCAUAUUUAACACAUUUUUAAUUUGAUUUUAAAUAAAUAGGUUAAUUGAGUUAUAAAUAUAUUAAUCAUAUAAAUUAACACAAGACCUAACUCAACCUAAUUAUUAAAUGGGACAAAUGAGUUAUACGAUAUGUUACUUGUUUAGUAAUUAUGUAGUAUUUUAGGUUUACGUUUUUAAUCAAAUUAUUAUUCGUGUCAAGUUUGACAUAACACACAUAUGACCCACCAACACAAAUUGUAACCCCUAAGCUUGUUCACUCAAAAAGUAAAUUUAUACUAAUAUUUAAUUACCUAGUUUAAACUAGUAGGAAUAUUUUUAAAUUAUUGCUUAGUUUUUUUAAAAUUUUUAAUAUUGACAUAUGUAUAUAGUUUCUCUAAAGACAUUUCAUUGAUGUAGAAUUCCAAAUAUAAUUUGUCUAUAUAAAGAUAUCAUAUAUUUUUAAUAAAUAUAUAUUGUAAGUUAAAUAUUAUAUUGUAUAAUAUGUUGUACUAUAUGCAUAAGUAAUACAUUACUAUUUUACAAAAUAAAAAAUACACUAUAUAAUAGUAAUAUAUUAUAUACAUAAAAAGUUUUUGUGUGUAAAGUAUCCAACCACAUUUUAAUUAAUAAUUGAUUAUUUUAUUUUUAAAUAAUCUAAUUAUGUAUUUAUUAUUUUUAAUUAUUAAUAACUAAUUUUUCAAAAGUGAUUUGUUAUUAAGAAUAAAAUCAUAAAUUAUGCCAUAAAAGUAGUAAUUGUUGUACAUACUAAUUUGUUAAGGAUUAUUAUUAUUAUUAUUAUUAUUUUACUUGCAUACAUUGUUUAAUAAAAUAUUUAUUUUAAGUUUUAAAUUCCUUACUUUAAAUUUUCAAUUUUAUUUUUAGUCUAAUUUUUAAUCUAUAAAUUCUAAUUUUUAAUUUUUAAAAUUUUAAUUCCUAAAUUUUAAAGGGGAAAUCAUGUAACCAUACAUCACCAAUAAAAUAAAUAAAUGAGAUUUUUAGAACUUUGCUUUUACCUUUUUAAUUUUAAUGUAAGAUGAGAAAAAAUAUUGCCUAUUCAUGUAUUUCAAUAGUGCUUUCAGAUUUGUUUCAUAAUUACUCUUGAAAGUAAAUGACAAAACACACAUCACUUUAAUACCACCUAUUGACAAGUACAUGAAUAAUUUAUUUUUCUUAUUUCUCUCACAUCAACUCUCUCACAUGUCUCACUUACCACUUGCCACAUUUCCACUUUUUUCUUUUUUCUUUCUUUCUUUUUUUCCCCCUCUUUUACCACCAUAAUCCUUAGUCACCUAUUAUAUUUUUCACUACUAUUUUUUUUCCUUUGAUAUUCUUUUUAAUAAGCUCAUAUAUUUUGUCAUAAAACUUCUUUAAUUUUAAUUUUUUUCACUCUCUAAUUUCUCUAUAUUUAUUUAUUACAAUUAUAAUUUUUUGGACAUAUUAUACUUAAAAUGAUAAUGUAUAAUAAAUAGUUAAUAUAACAAAUAAAAUAAAAUAUAUGUAUAAUGGAAAAAAAUGAAAAUAUUAUCCCACAAAUAAUGUACUUGAUGAUUUUAAAUAUUAAUUAUAUGAAUAUAUUUAAUAAAUUAAGGUUUAAAUUUAAAUAUUUUAUUUUAUUAUUUAGAGGUUUAUGAUAUAAGAUUUUUUUAUAUUAAUGCUAAACAAAAGAUUUAUUUAUUUUGUAAAUUCUAUCACAUGUAAAAGUAAAAAUAUCUUUAUAAUACUAUUUUAUUAUUUAUAUUAUUUUUAAAAUUUUUAUUUUAAAUUUAUCACAUCAAAAUCAGAAUAAGUUAUUGUGCUUUUAUCUCUUUUCUUAUGAUUUUAAUUUGAUUUUGGAUCUAACAUUUUGUUUGUUUAAAAUCUUUAAUUUUUAAUUAAAAUAAAAUAUAAAAGAAAAUAUAUUUUCAUAAAAAAAAUUGUGUUUAACCUUUCAUAUUAAUUUUAUAAAAAAUAAGUACAUCCAUAAGAAAAAUAGGUAAAUCCAUACCUAGGGGAAUCGAGACCCCUAUCAUCCUUGUCAUGGUCUAUAUAUUCCUUUGGGACCCUUGAUAAGUGAUUAGAGGUCCUUGCCUACCCCAGAAUGAACUUUGGAAUCCUAGGUACAUCCAUUCUUAAGAGAACCAAGACCCUUAUCUCAAUUCUCAUGGUUCAUAUAUUCCUUUAGGGAUCCUCGAGAAUGAAUUAUAGGUUGUUCUUCACCUUGGAUCAGACAUUAGAACCCAAGGUAUAUCCUAAAGAAAAUUUGGUACAUUUGAUCCUUGGGCUACCGAAACCCUUAUAUCCCUUCCCAUAGUCUAUUUGAUACUUUGGGGACUCUUGAGAAGUGAAUGGAGGUCGUUUCUAAUCUCGGAAUGGACUUUGAAACCUUAAGUACAUCCUUAAAAAAAUUUGUUACAUCAAAUUCUCAAGCUAUCGGGACCCUAUCUCCUUUCCCAAGGUCCAUUUGUUCAUUUAGGGAUCCUCGGGAAGUGAUUGGAGGCUAUUCCUCACCCCAAAAUGGACUUUUAAACCCUAAAUACAUCUUUAAGAAAAUUUGGUAUAUCUUAUCCUCUGGCUACCCCAUAUCGCUUCUUAUGGUCCAUUUGAUCAUUUAGAGACCAUUUAGAACUUCUUAUAUAAACAAAAAUAGAAUUAUAAAAUUCUUAUAAGAAAUAAAAUUUUUAUGACUUCUACAUGAAACCUUUUUUUUUUAAGUUAUAAGUUUUUUUAAAAAUAAUUAAAUAGGUAUAAAAACUUUUAUUUAACUCUUAAAAGUCAAUCCAAAUAAAAUUUAUAUAUAUAUAUAUAUAUAUAUAUAUAUAUAUUUGAAAAUCACUUUUAAAAAUCCAAAAAAUCACUUGAAAAUACUUUCCAAAACUUUUUUUAACUUACAUUUAAAAAAUAAAAAAUAAAAAAUGAUUAGUUUUUACUAGUUAUUUAAAUUUCAGGAAGCGAGAAAGAAUUUACUCUGAUGUAAAAAAAAUGAGAGAAAAGUAAUUAAAUCACUAAAAAAUAGACUUGGAGUUCCUUUGGUGUGCGGUUAGACUCAAUUUGUCCCCAUGCAAUGGAAAUGGACAAUAUUUUAUUUUUUUAUUUUUUUCCUUUUCCUUUAUGUUGGUGUAGUCUUGUGAUAUUGUUACUAAAAUAGGAGGUAAAAAUAUAAAUUAUACAUCCAUUAUUUUAAAUUUAGAAAAAAGUGCUUAUUUUAAUUUGAAAUAAAUAAAUAGAAAAAAAAACUGAUUUUAUCUCAAUUGUGUAAGACUUCAAAAAAAAUUUCUUAUUUGCAAAAUAUUUUGAGUUGUAAAAGUAAAAAUUAAACAAACCAUUUCAUGACCUUUUUCACAAGUAUCCAUUUAGAUCAUAGUCUAGUUUUAAAAUAUUUGAAUAAUCCAAUUACUCUAAACUAUAUCAUUUAUAAUUUUUUAAAUUAUUACUAUCAUACCUAACCUUGUAUGGAAUUGGAAUAAAAUAUGGAUAAGUAAAAGAUGUCAAAUGAAAGAUAAUUUCAAACUUUUCUAAUACAGCAUGAUAUUUUAUCAUGUUGAAUAAAAUUGGAAUGGACAAAAGUUGUCAAAUCAAGACUUCCAUGGCAAAUUCCACCAUUGCAUAUCUCAAAUAUUAUUCUACAACAUUAUCUUUGUAGACUUUUAACAAUCCAAGAAAUUGACAAAUUAUAUAAUAAUCCCAAACACAAUAUUCUACAACUUUACAAUAUUCUACAAUUUUUUGGAAUAAAAAAUAAAUAAUGAAAUCUACAACUUUAAAAUAUUCUACACUUUUUUUGAACAAAAAAAAAUAAAUAAUGAAAUCUUUGGCAUGUUAAUUCUUUGCAGCUUCAACAUGGUGGCAUGUCGGAUGGCGGAGGCAGCAUUUGAGCUUCUGGGUGUUUACAAUAUCUAUUGUUGUUAUUUAAAGGAAUCAUUGAAAUGAUUGCAUGAAAGAUUUAUUCCAUAGCCUAAAAUAAAUAUUGGCUUUAUAUAUAUAUAUGUGUGUGUGUGUGUGUGUGUGUGUGUGUGUGUUUGCUCAAAUGAUAGGCCGGUUUUAAGCCAUAAUAAUAAUAAUUGUAUUAUUGUAUUAUUGAAAUAAAAAGGUUAUUGUAUUAUUAUUUAUUUUUUUGAUUGAAUAGAAAAAAUCAAAAUAUUUGAUUUCUUUUUAUUCAACUAAAAGUAACUUGUUGAUAUACAAACACCCCAUCUCAGUGACUAUCAAACACGUACUCUUGUUAACANNNNNNNNNNNNNNNNNNNNNNNNNNNNNNNNNNNNNNNNNNNNNNNNNNNNNNNNNNNNNNNNNNNNNNNNNNNNNNNNNNNNNNNNNNNNNNNNNNNNUAAGCCAUAAUAAUAAUCAUUAUUUUACUUAUUAUUGAAAAAUAUAAGGUUGUUGAUAUCAACAAGUUACUUUUAGUUGAAUAGAAAAAAAAAUAUUUUAGCUUUUUUUAUUCAAUAAAAAAGCAAACAUAUCUAAAUUUAUAUAAUAAAAAUGCUUUAACUAGAAAUGAAUUUCAUAUGGACCACUAUCAAAUACCAUGCAUAGGGAGAAAUCCAGAUCCUCACUUGCUCUUUGAUUUUAAUGCAUUGAAUUUGAUGUUGCCUAAAACAAAUUAUAUUUCAUGUCCUGUAUUAUGAGUAGACAACCAUUCCUUAUGUUGGAUUUUAGAUAAAGAAUGGAUAUUGGAGAUUGGAGUUGUAAGAAAUUAGGAGAUCCUAAUUUUAAAUAUGUAACAAAGUUCUAUAAUCGCCUCAAUCCAUGUUUUAAAAAUUGUAUUUCUUUCUAAUAUUGGAGCAAACUUUUUCUUUGUUUCUUAUAAAUUUCAUUUGGGAAUGAUUUAAAAAUAAAUAAAUAAAAUCCCUUCUAAAUAUUAAAAAGUAACACUUUCUUAUAAAAAUUAAUUAGGUGGAUGGUAAGGUAAAAUUCAGGAUAACUUCAUAUUUUUUGCUUUAAUUGAAAAUUAAAAUCAAAAUUAAAGUAAUAAUUUUUAAGGGGAAAUAUUGAUAUUGUAAAACUUUUAUUAAACAUGAAAUAAUUUCUUAUAUAAACAAAAAUAGAAUUAUAAAAUUCUUAUAAGAAAUAACAUUUUUAUGACUUCUACAUGAAACCUUUUUUUUUAACUUAUAAGUUUUAAAAAAAUAAUAAUUAAAUAGGUAUAAAAACUUUGAUCUAACUCUUAAAAGUCAAUCCAAAUAAAAUUUAUAUAUAUAUACAUUUGAAAAUCACUUUUAAAAAUCCAAAAAAACACUUAAAAAUAAUUUCUAAAUAGUUUUUUUAACUUACAUUUAAAAAACAAAAAAAUUUAAAAUGAUUUGUUUUUACUAGUUAUUUAAAUUAAGGAAGCAGGAAAGGGUUUGCUCUAAUGUAAAAUAAAAAAAAAAAAAAAUGAGGGCUGAAAAGUAAUUAAAUCACUAAAAAUAGACUUGGUGUUCCUUCAGUGUGCAGUUAAACUCAAUUUGUCCCCAUGCAAUGGAAAUGGAAGAUUUUUUAUUUUUUAUUUUUUAUUUUUUUCCUUUUCCUUUAUCUUGGUGUGGUCUUGUGAUAUUGUUACUAAAAUAGGAGGUAAAAAUAUAAAUUAUAUAUCAAUUAUUUUAAAUUUAGGAAAAAAAAGUGCUUAUUUUAAUUUGAAAUAAAUAAGUAGAAAAAAACUGAUUUUAUCUCAAUUGUGAAAGACUUCAUUAAAAUUUUCUUAUUUGCAAAAUAUUUUGAGUUGUAAAAGUAAAAAUUAAACAAAUCAUUUCAUGACCUUUUUCACAACAUGAUAUUUUAUCAUGAUGAAUAAAAUUGGAAUGGUCAAAAGUUGUCAAAUCAAGACUUCCAUGGCAAAUUCCACCAUUGCAUAUUCAAAGACUAUUCUACAACAUUAUCUUUGUAGACUUUUAACAAUCCAAGAAAUUGACAAAUUAUAUAAUAAUCCCAAACACAAUAUUCUACAACUUUACAUUAUUUUUUUUAUUUUAAUACAAGAGAAAUCCUUAGUCAACAAUUUUUUUGAACAAAAAAUAAAUAAUGAAAUCUACAACUUUACAAUAUUCUACAAUUUUUUUGAACAAAAAAAUAAAUAAUGAAAUCUGAAUAAUGCAAACAAUCACUGAAAUCUUUGGCAUGUUAAUUCUUUGCAGCUUCAACAUGGUGGCAUGUCAGAUGGCGGAGGCAACAUUUGAGCUUCUGGGUGUUUACCAUUUUUCACUAUGAACGCAGUUUCCAUGCCCCAAGUCAGAUGGCGUUCUACAUGGCAGUGCAUGAACCACACCCCUGCAAUAGAGAAAACAUACCAACAUUACACCUAAUUUAUUGCAAUAUUAAGAAAAAUUAUUCCCUUGGUAUGCAGGUUGGCAGUUUCAAGGGUUUUUUUUAAUAGAGGACAUGAGUGCUUGCAACAUACCAGGGUUGGAUGCCUCGAAUCUGAUUGCAACCCAACCAUUCGUAGGAACAGAGAUGGUACUCUGAAGGGGAGGAUCCACUAGAUUAUAGCGCAAAGGGUCCCUAUUUUUAUCAAAAUUCCCAAAUCCCCAUCCAACAAGGUAGAAUCUAUAUCCAUGGAGAUGCAUGGGGUGGUGUGUCCCUGAAACCAAGUUUGUCCCUUGAAAAACAAUCUCCACUGUGGAGUUAUACUCGACCACCCUUACUUCUGUUCCAAUUUCCGGCGUUUGAUACUCCAAUGGAAGAUAAUCAGCUGUAAAAUCGAACACCAAUGGUGGAACGCUAGGAAAUUUAUCUCCAUAUACACCACUGAUGUUAUAAUAGUAAGCUUGUAGUAUGUCAAUCGUAGGGGAUUGGAAGCUUAUGUUGUUUAUACUUGCAGAGAGCCGCGUCCCAUUGGGCCCUGCACAUGAAUUAUUGGGGCAUAGGAACGAGUUUACAGAAAUAGUGUAAAUUAGUUUAGUGCUCGGGCUCAAUGGGACAUUGGAAGGAUGUUCCGCAUCUGCUAAGCUUCGAAGGCUAGCCAUGACCUGAACCGAUGCAUUUGUGUCAUUGUAUGCAGGAAAAUGAGGCAAAGAGGGAGGUGAAGAUGGAGUGUAGUAUCCUCUGUAUUGUACAAUAGCUGUGGUGGUUGUGUUAUCAUAAAAAUUUUGAGCUACCGGGGCAAUGGAAUAAGUUUUAGCCGCCAUGUAAUAGUGAUCCAGGCGUUGGUUAGCUUCUAGUAAGACAUCGAAGGUUUGGCCAGGAUAUAUUGUGAUAUAAUCUUGUGUCAAUGGUUUCGUGUAGCUACCAUCUAUUCCAACCACUGUCAUUUUAUGCUUGGCAAUUGAGAAGAAGAGAGCCUCUUGCAAAGCAGCAUUGAUUAUGCGAAGUAGAUAGGUCUUUCCAUGAUCCACCGUUAGCUUGAAUGUGCCUACAAUUAGAAAAGGAAAGUUGUAUACUUACGACUAGCGAAAAGAAAAGGAAAAACUUUCCAUGAGUAUCCACUAAUUAUGAAGUGAUUGAUUGAUUAGGGGUGUAAAUUUGGCUCCACAGUUCAAAAUUAUAUUUAGACUAGCCUUUUCAUAUGUGUUAAAUCAUGGCUCUACCAUCCUCAUAACUAUAUUCAUCUUUCUUAGCAUUAAGUUUUAAAUAUGUUGAUGUUAAUAAGAAAAAGUAAUAUGGUUAACAUACAAGAAAAUGAGAUCAGUGUACAAUUUUAAAAUGGGAAGUUAAACUUUAUACUUGAUUUUGAGCAUGGAUAUAGAUCACCGGGUUGUCCAUUUAUCAAUAAAGAAUCAGAGGCAUUGGGGUCAGCUCCGGUUGCAAGCCCUUCAUCUCGAACCGCAUUCACAUCACUCUUCCACCAUUGUCCUGCAUUUCAACAACUCCAAUAAUUUAGAUUUUGCUUUGUUGGUUAAUUCAUGAUAUGUAAAUUAACCUUUAAAAGCAACUACACUUAUACCUAAUAUGAUGGGAACUUCUGCGCUAGGUUUGGGAAAAGGAUACUUGGUUCCAUUCUUGGGAUAGACGAUUAUAGCUCCAUGAACGGUGGCUCGGGUCCAGUCACUGUGAGCAUGCCACCAUAGAGUGCCUUCCUCAGAGGAAAGGAUGAUCUUUUGGCUAAACUUUGACCCUGGUUGAAUUGGGCAUUGUGUGAUAUACUCGGGACCAUCUGUCCAUGGAUAUCUAGGCAUGCUCACCCCAUGCCUGCAAAACAAUAACUAUACGUUAAAACUAGUACUAAUUUUCAGGCUAACAAAAGAUGGCAUGUAGCAACAUAUUAUCACAGUAACAAGAGGCAUCAACUGUAUUUCAAUGGAACUGAUGCAAAUAACCCUAAGAUAUUAUUUUAAAUUCAACUUUAUUUGCAAAGCAAUACAUUGCAGCCCCCUCUUAGAAAUAAAAGAUUGUAUGUCAUGCAGGCAUGCUGCCCACUACUAUCUUUCUCCGAGACAUGCAUGGGACCUACCAGUGAAUGGUGACAUUUUCUUUUCCCCUGUUAUAAACGUCAACAAUGAUCGUCUCUCCUUUCUUAGCAUAUAUAGUUGGUCCUGGAAAUUGUCCAUUUACCGUUAAGAUGUUCUUGGUGCUACAAAGCCUUGUAUAUGAAGCCUCCUUCACCUGCAACCAAUUAAAAGUUAACCAUGCAACCUCAUCCCAAAAGAAAUAUUACAUGCAUGAAUAGUUGCAUCGAUCCAUUCAUGCAAGUGUAUAACCAAUUAGAAAUUGAUAGCAUGCAUGAACGACUCAAUGACACCAGGGUACCCGAAGAGACCCCAUGAGGGUCAUACGGUGGAAAAUGAGAGCCACACUGCUCCAUAAAUAUUAUGAUCAGAAGUGGCAUUAAGGCAUAAUCAUAUAAAGUAUUUACCACAAAAGUAAGCCGACGAGUUGAAGCUUGGCAAUGGAUGCCACCACCAAAAAGUAGAAACGCUGAAAUUUGCAAGAGGAAAACCUUCAUGAUCAGCCACAUCUUCUUUGGAAUAAAAGCCUCUUCUCUUGUCCUAAACACAACUCCUUCAAUUUUCUUACUAUUUCUAAUAAGCACGACUUAUCUUCUCUCUGACAUGAAUAGAUGAAUUCUUAAAGGUAUUUAUAGAGGCUGGAGGUGAAAGCUGAACAGCUGGUUUCUCUCCAACUUUUGCUGUAUUUCUUUAAUAUAUAAUUCAGAAUCUAUUGAAGAUGAUUUUCCUGGGGUACAACCAUUCCUCGCCGAGUAUCAAUAUAAGAGAAGUAAUUUGAAUGUGUAUUGGUUUUGAACGUUCUUCCAGGACCGCUUCAAAGAGCAGGUUGUGUAUGAUAUGAAGACGAGUUUCUUAGAAUCUCUUGAAUUUUCUAAUUCAAAAUACAAGUUUGACUUUGAGAAUUGACCAAGAAAUUAAUCAAGCACAUUAUUUUAGAAUAAAUUUAAAAUAUAUGUAGAAUACUUUUAAAACUUUGACCUCGGAUAUAUACGGUACCUUUAUCAAGAUUAGUUGGCGCUGCUUUGAGAAGGAAUAUAGGAUUCCUUCUCAAAUCAUUCAAAUCAUUCUAAUGAACCGGAUCGAAAAUUCCUUGUCCAGUUGGAGGGUCAAUCCAGACAUUCAAAUCUUUUUUUCUUUUUCUUUUUUUCUUUUUUGAAUAUUAAAAUUAGGUAAGCAAUGAAAUCAUUCAAUAUACUCAUCUAUUGUUCAUAACAUCAGCAUCUGCCAAUUGUUUAUUGUACAUUUUCAAACAUUCAGACAUUUUCAAACAUCAAAUCUCCACUUUUUUAAAAUAAUAAUAAUAAUAAUAAAUAAUUAUAGAUUUAAAAAUAACUUUUUUCAGAACAAAUAAGAAAUAAUUCAAACUUUCUUGUUUGGUUUAUUGUACCAGAUACAAAGAAAAAUCAUUAUAUAAAUAAAUGAUGCAAAGAUGUAUAUAUUUUUAAAUUAUUUAUAAACAGAAAAAAUGAUGAAUAAAAUUUAAGACGUGAAAAUUUGAUCAAGUUAAUUUAAACUUCUUUUAUUUUUUUUCACUUUUUUUCUCCUAUUUUUUCACACCAUUUUUUUCUCACAUUUCCUUUUAAACUUUUGGAAUAAAUAUUUAUUUGUGGAGCUUUAAUAUAUAUUUUUUUCUCCAUAUUAUACAUAUUUAUGCAAUAUUUGGUUAACCUAUUUUGAAUUUCUAUUUUUACCUUAACAAGAAACAUUUCUUGAAAAUGAAGAUAAUUUUCUCCUUAUUUUCAAAUUUGUGUUUCUCCACUUUUUUUUUUUUUAAAUAAUAGUAAUAAAAAAUAAUUAUAGAUUUAAAAAUAACUUUUUUCAGAACAAAUACAAUAUAUAGCCGGCUUAUAAAAACUAUUAUCUAAAAAAAGGAAAAAACAAAAAAAGGAAAAGUAAAAUAAGAAAUAAUUCAAACUUCCGUAUUUGGUUUAUUGUACCAUAUACAAAUAGUUUUAAAUAAUAAAUUCGAAGAUCAUCCCAAACACUUUAAAGAGUUUUAGAAAUCAAUACUAAAUUCAAUCUUAAUUUAAAACUCCUAAAUAAUUAAUUGUAAAGUUGUUUUCAAAGGAAACCCUUCUUAUCUUGAUUUCCCCUCACUAAGAUACUUAAAAAGUGGAAUAAUAGAUAAGAGUGAACUUAAAACUCAAUUAAGAAAAUAGGUCAAUAAGGAAGAUCAAGUAUAGUACAAAGUUAAAUCUUAGGAGAUAUCACAUCUUUAUAAAAAAAAAAAAAAAUCAAUUAGUAGUUCAUUUAAUUCAAUAAUUAAAUUCAUUUUGUUAAAAAAAUUAUGCACUUUCAAUUUAAAGAUAGAAUUAAAUAAUAUACUUUACAUACUUAAAUUAUAUUUUAAAAAUUAUAAACAAACAUUUUACUCUGACUCAUUGAUAAUAACAUUGUGCCCAAAUAGUAGAACUUGCAUUAGAUGGCUAGUCUCACAUUGUGCCUUUUAGCAAUGGACAAAAUGAUUUAUAAUCAAUGAUAUACCAAAGGCGAAUAACACCCUUAUUAGCUAGAGUUACAUUAUCACUAUCCUCACCAAAGGUAACGCAGGUCAACAACUUCUCUCUUAAACCAAUGUAAUAAAUUAAAUGAUAAAAUUCAUUUGCAUAACAAUAAACAAAUCAUAUGAUAUUCCCAAUUUAUUUUAUAAACUAAGGAACAAAUCAUAACAUUUUUAGUAAAAUAUUAUUUGAUCCACUUUAAGGAACUUAAACAUUUUGAUAGUUUAAAAGUAGAUUUUAAAAAAUAAGAAAUUAUAAAAUGGUUUACUAUACUAUUAACCCUUACCUUGAAGAAAUCAUUCAAAAUCCUGAAAGACUUAAUCUACACCUAAUAUAAAUAUAAAUAAAAAAUAAUUAUUAAAGACUAAUUAUCUAAAUUAAUGACUUUCUAAAUUUUUGUAAAACUUAUUUUAAUUCCAAACCCUUUUCUAAAGUUCUAUUUUUUUAAUUAAAUUUUUUAUUAACCAUAUUAUUAUUAUCAUUUUCACUUCCCAUAAUUACAUUAACAGAUUUUGUUGAAUUAUUGAUGUUAAUAUUCCUUUUUUUCAUGGUAGGAAGUAGGUAAUUAUUUAUUAAUUUACUACUACUUUUACUUAUCUCCUACCCACAACCCAAAUCUUAUUAUUACUUGAUUAUUUCUUUACCACAACCACUUUCCUCAUUUCCUCAAUUCUUCUUCCUAUUAAUCUUCUGGUUAAAGAAAGAUAAAAGAAUCUAAAAAGCAAAUCACGCAUGAAGAACUUGCCUUAAAUUUCAUAAUGAAGCAAAUAAAAAAAGUUUCUUCUUUCUGACCCUUCGAACCAAACUUCUCUAUAGACCUUGCUAUUAUUUCUUUUUUUCUCUCUAUUUUAUCUUUUUAGUUUUUAAUAAUGUGGAGAAAUCAAUGGAAUUUAGGGGUAAAUUAUACUUUUGUCGCUAAAAGUAACUUUUAUCGAUGAAAUUUUAGAUGUUGUCAAUGGUGCCAAUUUUUUUUAAAAAAAUUCUAAUGAAUUUGAAAAUUUCAUCACUAAAAGACAUGAUGGGAAAAUUUUGGUGUUGUCAUUUUCUUGGCACAAACACUUUUGUGAUAGAAAAAAAUUAUUUUCUCACAAAAGUAUUUGUCACUAAUUAUAAUUUUUGGUGACUAAAAGUUACAACUUUUUAUAUAUAUUUGCUUGAAAAAUGGUUUCAUUAAGUGAUUAUAUUAUUUCUUGACAAAUUGAGUAAUUUUAUCACUAAAUAAUGUUAUUAAAUUGUGAUAUUAAUAAGUAAUAUUGAUAAAUAGCUAGAUGAUUUAUAUUGUGAAAUAACAUAUGUAUUUUUUGAGACUUAAUAUUUAUACUAUAAUAUUUUAUUUAUAUAAAUAAUAAUAAAAUAAUUAAAGAUCCAUAAAAUGAAAUACUACAAUAUAGAUUUAUUUUAAUUUAAUUUUUUUGUAAUGUAAUAAUAGUAUUGUUACGAAAUAAUAAAAAGGUAAAUUAUUUGAGCAAUUAAUUUUUAUAUUGUAAUGUGUUAUUUAUAUUUUUUUAAUAUAAAUAAUAACAAGUAAUUCAAGGCGUGUAAGAUUAUAUCCUAUAAUAUAAAUUUAUUUAAAUUUCAAUAUUAUUACAUGAUGUUACCCAUUAUAAAUAAUACUAAAUGAUUUUUAUUAUAUUAGGUAAAAGUUAUCUAUACAACUCUAAAAUAGUAUUGAAUUUAAGUUAGUUAUGGAUAAGCCAUAGUCCACUAAUUUGUUCUCAUUCAAAAUCAUACCUUGUCUACUUAAGAAGUAAACUUAUACUAACUUUUAAUUACAUAGUUUAAACUAAUAGAUUUUUUUUAAAAAUAAUUGUUCAGAAUGGAAUUUAUCAAAUAAAUUGCCUAGCAUCUAUAAAGACAUUUUAUUUUCAUAAAAUUCCAAAUAUGACUUUUGUUUAUAAAGAUAUAUAUUAUUAAUAAAUAUAUGAUUGCAAGAUAAAUAUUAUAUGAUAUAAUAUAUGACGCUAUAUGCCUGACUACUAUAUUACUAUUUACAAAAUAAAACAUGUACGUAUAAAUUUUUUUUUUUUGUAAAGUAUUCAACCAUAUCUUUAUUAAUAUUUGAUUACUUUAUUUUUUAAUGAUUUCAUUAUGAAUUUAUUAUUUUAAUUAUUAAUUACUAAUGUACUAAAAGUGAUUAGUUAUUAAGAAUAAAAAUCAUAAAUUAUACCUUAAAAUACUAACUACUAUAGCUAUUAAGUUGUAAAGGAAUUUUUAUACUUGUAUACAUUUUUUAACAAUUUUUCUUUUUUUAUAAAAAAUAUAGUUAUAAAAGUAAUUGAAAUAUAUCAUAAAUUAUUAUAUGAUUUACCUUUAUAGUGUUUGAUAUUUUUGUUUGAAAUACAAUAGAAAGAGAAAGAAAAAAGAAAAUGAUGUAGAACUCUAAUCUCAUUUUGAUCAUUAUUUUAUUGAUGUUGGUUCAAGUAUUACACUUCAACAUUAUUCCAAUGUUUUCUAUUAAUCAUACUUUUCUUUUAGCUCAAUUUCAAAAUUUUCACUUUAAUCUAGAAGUCUAGAAUUAAAUUUAUGUUAGCUAUGAAUAAACUAUAGUCCUCUAAUUUGUUAUCAUUCAACAUAAGGCUUGUUUAAGGAUGAUAAAAUUUGAUACAAUUCGUCAACAAGACUUGAAUCUAACAUGCUUUUUAUGGGUUUGAUUUGAGUAUAAUUGAGUUUGAGUCAAAUUCAUGUUGACCUAUAUAACUCAUUUAAUAACUAGGUAGUCUUUGGGUCAACAUGCAUAACAAAAUUUGACAUCAAUUAAUUCAUUUAAUACAUGUGUUGAUUAGUUUAAUUAUAACUUUAAAAUAUUUAACCCAUAUUUGACACAUUUUAAAUAAAUAGGUCAAUUGAGUCAUAAACAUAUUAGUCAUAUAAAUUAACACAAGACCUAACUCAACCUGAUUAUUUAAUGAAAAGAUCUAAUUACUAAAUGAAACAAAUCAGUUACAUGACAUGUUACUUGUUUAGUAAUUAUUUAUUAUGUUAUGUUUACAUUUUUAACCAGAUUAUUAUUCGUGUCAGGUUUGACACAACAUAAAUAUGACCCAUCAACACAAAUUGCAACCCCUAAGCUAGUUCACUCAAAAAGUAAAUUUAUAUUAAUAUUUAAUUACCUAGUUUAAGCUAGUAGGAAUAUUUUUUUAAUUAUUGCUUAGUUUUUAAAAAAUUGUUAACAUUGGAAUUUAUCAAAUAAAUAGUCUAGUUUCUCUAAAGACAUUCCAUUGAUCUAGAAUUCCAAAUAUAAUUUGUGUGUAUAAAGAUAUCAUAUAUUUUUAAUAAAUAUAUAUUGUAAGUUAAAUAUUAUAUCAUAUAAUAUAUUGUACUAUAUGCAUAACUAUAUUACUAUUUUACAAAAUAAACAAUACACUAUAUAAUAGUAAUAUAUUAUAUACAUAAAAAGUUUUUUUGUAAAGUAUCCAACCACGUCUUAAUUAAUAAUUGAUUAUUUUAUUUUUAAAUAAUCUCACUAUGUAUUUAUUAUUUUUAAUUAUUAAUUACUAAUUUUUCAAAAGUGAUUUGUUUUUAAGAAUAAAAUCAUAAAUUAUGUCAUAAAAGUAGUAAUUGUUGUAGAUACUAAUUUGUUAAGGAGUGUUUUUACUUGCAUACAUUAUUUAAUAAAAUAUUUAAUUUAUGUUUUAAAUUCCUUACUUUGAUUUUUCAAUUUUAUUUUUAGACUAAUUUUUAAUCUAUAAAUUCUAAUCUUUAAUUUUUAAAAUUUUUAAUUCCUAAACCUUAAAGGGGAAAUCAUGUAACCAUAUAUCACCCAAAAAAAAUGAGAUUUUUAGAACUUUGCUUUUACCUUUUUAAUUUUAAUCGUAAGAUGAGAAAAAAUAUUGUCUAUUCAUGCACUCCAAUAGUGCUUUCAGAUUUGUUCUAAAAUUACCCUAAAAAAUAAAAGACAAAGUACACACCACUUCAAUACCACCUAUUGACAAGUACAUAAAUUAUUUAUUUAUUUUAUUUCUCUCACAUCAACUCUCUCACACAUCUCAGUUACCACUUGCCACGUUCUCACUUUUUUCCUUUUUUCUUUUCUCUUUCCUUUUUCCCUCCUCUUUUACCACCAUAAUCCUUAGCCAUCUAUUAUAUUUUUAUUGUUAUUUUUUUCUUUGAUAUUCUUUUUUAAUAUGUUCGUAUAUUUUCUCAUAAAACUUCGUUAAUUUUAAUUUUUUUCACUCUCUAAUUUCUCCAUAUUUAUUGAUUAUAAUUAUUUUUUGGACAUAUUAAACUUAAAAUGAUAAUAUAUAAUAAAUAUUUAAUAUAACAAAUUAAAUAAAAAUAUAUAUAUAAUGGACAAAAAUGAAAAUAUUAUCCCACAAAUAAUAUACUUGAUGAUUUUAAAUAUUAAUUAUAAUAAUAUAUUUGAUAAAUUAAGGUUUAAAUUUAAAUAUUUUAUUUUAUUAUUUAGAGGUUUAUGAUAUAAGAUUUUUUUAUAUUAAUGCUAAACAAAAGAUUUAUUUAUUUUGUAAAUUCUAUCACAUGUAAAAGUAAAAAUAUCUUUAUAAUACUAUUUUAUUAUUUGUAUUAUUUUUCUUUUAAUUUUUAUUUUAAAUUUAUCACAUCAAAAUCACAAUAAGUGAUGGUGCUUUUAUAUUUUUUCUUAUGAUUUUAAUUUGAUUGUGGAUCUAACUUUUUGUUUGGCUAAAAUCUUUUAUUUUUAAUUAAAAUAAAAUAUAUUUUUCAUAAAAAAAAAAAUUGUAUUUAACCUUUCAUAUUAAUUUCCUAAAAAAUAAGUACAUCCUUAAGAAAAAUAGGUAAAUCCAUGCCUAGGGGAAUUGGGACCCCAAUCAUCCUUGUCAUGGUCUAUAUAUUACUUUGGGAUCCUUGAUAAGUGAUUAGAGGUCCUUACCUACCCAAGAACGAACUUUGGAACCUUAGGUACAUCCAUUCUUAGGGGAACCAAGACCCUUAUCUCCAUUCUCAUGGCUCAUAUAUUCAUUUAGGGACCCUCGAGAAGGAAUUAUAGGUUGUUCCCCACCCUGGAACAGACAUUGGAACCUAAGAUAUAUCCUAAAGACAAUUUGGUACAUUCGAUCCUUGGGCUACUGAGACCCUUAUAUCCUUUCCCAUAGUCUAUUUGAUACUAUGAGGACUCUUGAAAAAUGAAUGGAAGUUGUUCCUCAUCUUGAAAUGGACUUUCGAACCCUAGGUAUAUCCUUAAAAAAAAUUGGUACAUCCAAUUCUUGGGCUACAAAGACCCCUAUCUCCCUUCCCAAGGUCCAUUUAUUCAUAUAGGGAUCCUCAGGAAGUGAUUAGAGGCUAUUCUUCACCCCAAAAUGGACUUUUAAACCCUAAAUACAUCUUUAAGAAAAUUUGGUAUAUCUGAUCCUCUAGCUACUGGAACCCCUAUAUCACUCAUCAUGGUUCAUUUGAUCAUUUGGGGACCCUUUAGAAGUGAUUUCAAGUCAUUCCCAAUCUCAGAAUGGACUUUGAAACCCUAGGUACAUCCUUAAGAAAAUUUGGUACAUCUAAUCAUCAAGCUACCAGGACCCCUAUCUCCAUUUCCAUGGUCCGUUUGUUCCUUUAGGAACUCUUGGGAAGUGAUUGGAUAUCGUUCCCCAACUCAGAACAGAUAAUGGAACCCUAGGUACAUCCUUAAGAAAAUUUGAAACAUCCAAUCCUUGGGCUCAUGAGACACCUAUCUCCUUUCCCAUGGUCCAUUUAUUCUUUUAGAGACCCUCAGGAAGUGAUUGGAGGUUGUUCCUCACAUUGGAAUGAAAUUUGGCACCCUUGGUACAUCAUUUACAAAAUUUAGUACAUCCUUUACAAAAUUUGGUACAUCCUUCACAAAAUUUGGUACAUCCUUAAAAAAAUUUGGUACAUCCUUAAAAAAAUUUGGUACAUCCAAUCUUUGAGCUAUCGGGACCCCUAUCUUAUUACCUAUGGUCUAUUUACUCCUUUAGGGAUCUUUGGAAAGUGAUUAAAGGUUGAUCCCUAGCUACUUCAAAACAGACUUUGGAACCCUAGGUACAUCCUUAAGAAAAUUUGUUACAUCUAAUCCUUGAGCUAAUGGGGCACCUAUCUAUCUUCCUAUGGUCCAUUUAUUCAUUUGGACACCCUUAAAAAGUGACUGGAGGUUGUUCCUUACCUCAAAAUGGACUUUGAAACCCUUAGUACAUCCUCUAAAAAUUUUGGUACAUCAUUCACAAAAUUUGGAACAUCAUUCACAAAAUUUGGUACAUCCUUAAAAAAAUUUGGUAUAUCCAAUCCUUAAGCUACCAGGACCCCUAUCUUAUUACCCAUGGUCUGUUUAUUCCUUUAGGAAUCUUUGGGAAGUGAUUGGAGGUUGUUCUCUACUCCAAAACAAACUUUGGAACCCUAGGUAUAUCCUUAAGAAAAUUUGAUACAUCCAAUCCUUGGGCUAAUGGGACACUUAUCUCCCUUCUUAAGGUCUAUAUAUUCCUUUGGAGACUCUCGGGAAGUGAUUGAAGGUCAUUCCCACCUCGAAAUAGACUUUGGCACCAUUGGUACAUCAUUUACAAAAUUUGGUACAUCCUUCACAAAAUUUGGUACAUUCUUUAUAAAAUUUGGUACAUCCUUAAAAAAAUUCAGUACAUCUAAUUCUUGAGAAAUUGAGACCCCUAUCUUAUUAUCCAUGGUCUGUUUUUUCCUUUAAAAGUCUUUGGAAAGUGAUUGGAGGUCGUUCCCUACUCUGAAAUGAACUUUGGAACCUUAAGUACAUCCUUAAGAAAAUUUGGUACAUCUAAUCCUCAAGCUAUUGGGACACCUAUCUCCAUUCUCAUGGCCCAUUUGUUCAUUUGGGGGCACUUAGGAAGUAAUUGAAGGUUGUUCCUUACUAUGAAAUGAACUGUGGAACCUUAGGUACAUCUUUAAGAAAUUUUUGUAUUUAUAUGGUUCUGUAAUGUUUUGAUGUUGUUAAUCUAAAUAAGGUGGUUGACUCAUAAUUUAUAAUCAUCAGGAGAAAAAAUAUUAUGUUUAUUCAUGACCAGAUGAAAAUGAAUAAAAAAUGGAAUUAUUGUCACUUUUAAUGGUAUUAUAUUAUGAAUCAUUUGAAUAGUUUUCUUAAAAAAAAAUAAUUGUCAAUUUCAAAUGGAUUAUAGUUGAAUUGAAAAAUGAAGGAAUAUAGUUGUAGUAAAGAAGGGUUGAAUUUGUGUGGGCAUUAUGAAAAAAAGAGGUCAACCCUUAUAUGAAAAACAGAUUGUUAAGUAGUGGGCAUAAUAGUGGACGACCUUUUCAUGUAGGGCUAACCCUUUUUAGCUUAUGACCCUUAGUCAUAAUAUUAGUCUUUUUUGAAGUGGUCAAUAGCAAAAAUAAGGGUCGACCCUUUAGUUCAUAGGCAGUCCCAUCAUGUUUUUAAAAUUGGUUUUGUUUUAUGUGGGCGGUAGGCAAAACAAAGGUUGACCCAUUGUUUAAUAGGUAGGCCUUUGAAUAUGGACGUUACAACCUUAGAACAUGGACAGUGAGGAAAAUAGUGGUCACCCCAUGUAUUCAGAGGUGGAGCCUGAACUUAUAUUAUAUAUCAAAUAAGUACCUAACAAAUAAAUAAAUAAAAGUAAAUGCAUUGUGUGAUGUUUGGUAUAGACAAUACAUGUCAAUAUUUAACACAUUAAUGUCACACCAUAAAGUGUUAAUUAAGAGGACUUGGAUUGUUCAUAAUCUAAAUGAGGCAUUAAUAUAUGAUGGCUAUAUGUGUGAUUGUGAUAAUUGUUAUAAGUAAUUAGCUUUGACAAGGUUAUUUACAAAUAUAUAUUUAAACAAUUAAAUACCUAAUGAGGUCUAAGUGUGAGAAUAAAAUAAGUUAUGCUUAUUUUGUAAAUGUUGUAAGUAUUUUUGUGAUGAAUAUAUGUAUUAUUGGAAAUAUUUAUGAGCAUGCCUAGUUUAUUGAUAUAUAUAUAUAUGUAUGUAUGUAUGUAUGUAUGUAUGUAUGUAUGUAUGUAUGUAUGUAUGUAUGUAUGUAUUAAAAAUGUAAAAUCAAGGAUUAGAUGUACCAAAUUUCAUGAAGAAUGUUCCAAAUUUUGUGAAUGAUGUACCAAAUUUUUUCAAGGAUGUACCAAGGGUGCCAAAGUCCAUUCUGAGGUGAGGAACGACCUCCAAUAACUUCUAAAGGGUCUCCAAAGGAAUAAAUGGACCAUGGGAAGGGAGAUAGGUAUCUUGUUAGCCCAAGGAUUGGAUGUAUCAAAUUUUCUUAAGAAUGUACCUAGAAUUCCAAAGUCUAUUUUGGAGUAGGGAACGAAUUCCAAUCACUUCCCAAAAAAUUCCUAAAUGAAUAAAUCAACCAUGGGUAAUAAGAUAGAGGUCCCAAUAGCUCAAGGACUGGAUGUACCAAAUUUGUAAAGGAUGUAUCAAAUUUUGUAAAGGAUGUACCAAGGGUGACAAAAUCCAUUCCAAGGUGGGGAAUGACCUCUAAUCACUUUCGAAGGGUCUCUAAAGGAAUAAAUGGACCAUAGGAAAGGAGAUAGGUGUCCCGUUAGUUCAAGGAUUGGAUGUAACAAAUUUUCUUCAGGAUGUACCUAGGGUUCCAAAGUCCAUUUUGAAGUAAGGAACAACCUCCAAUCACUUCCCAAAGAUCCCAAAAGGAAUAAAUGAACCAUGGGUAAUAAGAUAGGGGUCUUGGUAGCUCAAGGAUUGGAUGCACCAAAUUUUUUUAAGGAUGUACCGAAUUUUGUAAAGGAUAUACCAAAUUUUGUAAAAGAUGUACCAGAUUUUGUAAAUGAUGUACCAAGGGUGCCAAAGUUCGUUCCAACGUGGGGAACUACCUCCAAUAAAUUUCCGUGGGUCUCAAAAGGAAUAAAUGAACCAUGAGAAGUGAUAUAGGUGUCCCAUUAGCUCAAAGAUUAGAUGUACCUAGAGUUAAAAAUUCCAUUUUGAAGUAGGGAUCAACCUUCAAUCACUUCCCAAAGAUUCUUAAAGGAAUAAACGAAUCAUGAGUAAUAAGAUAGGAGUCCUUGUAGCUCAAGGAUUGGAUGUACCAAAAUUUGUGAAGGAUGUACCAAAUUUUGCAAAGAAUGUAUCAAGGGUACCAAAGUUGUUUUCAAGGUCGGGAACGACCUCCAAUCACUUCCCGAGGGCCUCUAAAGGAAUAAAUGGGCCAUGAGAAGGAAGAUAGGUGUCCUAUUAGCCUAAAGAUUGGAUGUACGAAAUUUUCUUAAGGAUGUACCUAGGGUUCCAAAGUCCAUUUCAAAGUAGGGAACGACCUUCAAUCACUUCCCAAAGAUCCCUAAAGGAAAUGGGUAAUAAGAUAGGGGUCUUGGUAGAUCAAGAAUUGGAUGUAUUAAAUUUUUUUAAGGAUGUACCAAAUUUUGUAAAAGAUGUACCAAAUUUUGUAAAUGACGUACCAAGGGUGCGAAAGUCCAUUCCGAGGUUGGGAACAAUCUCCAAUCAUUUCCUAAGGGUCUCCAAAGGAAUAAAUGAACCAUGAGAAGGGAGAUAGAUGCCUUAUUAGCCUAAGGAUUGGAUGUGCCAAACUUUCUUAAGGAUGUACCUAGGGUUCCAAAGUCUGUUUUGGAGUAGGGAAUGACCUCCAAUCACUUCCCAAAGAUCCCUAAAGGAAUAACAGAGGGUAAUAAGAUAGGGGUCCCGGUAGCUUAAGGAUUGAAUGUAUCAAAUUUUUUUAAGGAUGUACCAAAUUUUGUGAAGGAUGUACCAAAUUUUGUAAAGGAUGUACUAAGGGUGCCAAAGUCCAUUCCGAGGUCGAGAAAGACCUCUAAUCACUUUCCGAGGGUCUCUAAAGCAAUAAAUAGACAAUGAGAAGGGAGAUAGGUGUCCUGUUAGCCCAAAGAUAAGAUGUAUCAAAUUUUCUUAAGGAUGUACCUAAGGUUCUAAUGUUUAUUCCAGGGUGGGGAACGACCUCCAAUCAUUUCUUAAGGGCCCCCAAAGGAACAAAUGGACCAUGGGAAAGGAGAUAUAGGUCUCGAUAACCUGAUGAUUGGAUGUACCAAAUUUUCUUAACAAUGUACCUAAGGUUCCAAUGUCCGUUCCGAGGUAGGAAACAACAUCUAAUGACUUCCUAAAGGAACAAAUGAACCAUGGGAAGGGAGAUAGGGGUCCUAGUAGCCUAAGGAUUCAAUGUACCAAACUUUAUUAAGGAUGUACCUAGGGUUCCAAAGUCUAUUUAGAGGUAGAGAAUGACCUCCAAUCACUAGGGUUCCAUUAUUAGUUCCAGAGUGGGGAAUGACAUCCAAUCACUUCUCGAGAGUUCCAAAAUGAAAAAAUGGACCAUGGGAAAUGAUAUAGGGGUCCUAGUAUCUCAAUGAUUGGAUGUACCAAUUUUUCUUAUGGAUGUAAUUAAGGUUCCAAUGUUAGUUUCAAGGUAGGGAAUGGCCUCUAAUCACUUCCCAAGGAUCGGAUAUACCAAAUUUUCUUCAAGAUGUAUCUAGGGUUUAAAAGUCCAUUUUGGGGGUAAGAAAUAACCUCCAAUUACUUCCUGAUGGUCCAUAAAGGAGCAAAUGGACCUUAGGAAUAACGAUAGGGGUCUUGGUAGCCCAAGGAUUGGAUGUACCAAAUUUUCUUAAAGAUGUACCGAAUUUAUAUGAGGAUAUAUCUAGGGUUCCAAAGUCUAUUCUGAGGUGGGAAACGACUUACAAUUACUUCCUAAGGGUCUUUAAAAGAUCAAAUGGACCAUGGGAAGGGAUAUAAGGGUCCUGGUAGCUUCAGGAUCGGAUAUACCAAAUUUUCUUAAGGUUAUACCUAGGAUUCCAAACUCCAUUCCAAGAUAGAAAACAACCUCUAAUCCUUUCCUAAAGGUCUCCAAAUGAAUAUAUAGACCAUGAAAAGGAGAUAAGGGUUUUGAUUCCCUUAGGAUUGGAUGUACCUAUUUUUGUUAAGGAUGUACUUAAGGUUUCAACGUUCGUUUUGGGAUGAGGGAGGACCUCCAAUGACUUAUCGAGGGUUCCCAAAGGAAUAUAUAGACUAUGAUAAGGAAGAUAGGGAUCCUUGUUCCCCUAGGAAUGGAUGCACCUAUUUUUUCUUACGGAUGUACCUAUUUUUUAUGAAAUUAAUAUAAAAGGUUAACUACAAUUUUUUUUAAUGAAAAAAAUUUAUUUUCUUUUAUAUUUUAUUUUAAUUUAAAAUUAAAAAUUUUAAUGAAACAAAAAAUUAGAUCCAUGAUCAAGUUAAAACCAUAAGAAAAAAAAAGCAUCAUCACUUACUAUGAUUUUGAUAUGAUAAAUUUAAAAUAAAAAUAAAAAUAAUAUAAAUAAUAAAAUAGUAUUACAAAUAUAUUUUAUUUUUACAUGUGAUAUGAUUUACAAAAUAAAUAAAUAUUUUAUUUAGCAUUAAUAUAAAAAAAUCUUAUAUCAUAAAACUAUAAAUAAUAAAAUAUAAUUUUAAAAUUUAAUCCUUGAUUUAUCAAUUGAAUUACUAUAAUUAAUAUUAAAAAUCAUCAAGUAUAUUAUUUGUGGAAUAAUAUUUUCAUUUUUGUCCAUUACAUAUAUUUAUGUUUUUAUUUAAUUUUUUAUAGUAACUAUAUAUUAUUAAUAUUAUUAUUUUAAGGUUAAUUUGUCCAAAAAAUAAUUAAAAUCAAUAAAUAUGGGGAGAUUAAAGAGUGAAAAAAAUUAAAAUUGAAGAAGUUUUAUGAGAUAAUACAUUAGCAUAUUAAAAGAAAUGUCAAAUGAGAGAUAGAAAAAUAGGAUAUGGUGAUAAGAAAGAAGAAAAAAUGAUAAAAGAAAAAAGUAAAAUGUAGAAACGUGGCAAAAGGUGAGAUGUGUGAGGGAGUUUAUGUAAGAGAAAAAAAAAAGUGAUUGGUGUACUUGACAACAACAUUUAAUGUGGUAAGUGUACUUGCCCUCAACUUUUGAGGGUAAUUUUGGAACAAAUUCAUAAGCACUAUUGGACUGCAUGAAUUGGUAAUAUUUUUUUUUCCAUUUUACAUUAAAAUUGAAAAAAUAAAAACAAAGUUCUAAAAACCAUAUUUUUUUUGUUGGUGAUGUACCAAAGCAUGAUUAUCCCAAUUUUAAAUAAUACAAAAAUCAUAAAUUUUGAAAUUUUUUUUUAAUCUAAAUUUUUUUAUUUGUAAAUUUUAAUGUUUAAUUUUUUAAUUUCUAAAUUUUAAAUAAUAUAAAACUCAUGGCAUGAUGAAGCACAUUAAAUGUGUUGCAGUAGCAUGUUGUAUUUUUGUAGCAGAGAUGACAUAGAAGGAGUUGUGUGGAAUGUUGUUUGGGAAAAAAAAGAUGAAAAAAAAUCUCAGACCCUCACCUAGUCAAGCACCAUUGCAACUUUGAAAAAAAAAAACAAAAACAAAAAAACCCAUUUUAAAAAAGGAGAAAACCACCAUCGCAAACAAUGGCUUACCACAUUUGUAUCUAAUGCCAUAUCCUCUUCAACCUUUCAUCAUCUUCACCACCAACCCAUCUACCUUCUUGAAAAUUCAUUUUCCAACUACUAGUCAUACAUACCAUUCUCCAUAACACAUAUAUAUCCGAUAAUAAUUGUGAAAAAUGGCUAAUUUGAUUAAGCAAAUCACUAAAUGGGGGUAAAGAGUGGGAGGGGAUGAAUUAGGUGUUACAUUUUUAUUUUUAUUUUUUAAAAAAUAACCAAUUAAUAACAAAAAGAAUAAGAGAUAUUAAGUAAGACAAUAAUUAAGUAAAAGAUAAAGAGAAGAUAUAUGCAAACUCUUUUAUAAUGGUUUUAAAAUCCACCUAUAUCCACUCUUUUUAACCUCCCAAGCAAGGGAGGGUUCCAUUAUCAAAGGCCUUCAACCUAUGCCUUCAAGCUUUAUAUUUGGAUUCAUGGACUCCAAUGGGCACUCACAAUCUCUUCAAGUACUUCACCUAUUUGAAGUCUCUUCACUAAAAAAUGAGUAGAUAAGGAAAGUCCUAAUGCUUUUUGUUAGGACAUUUAGUUUUAUUUAUAUGUUGGCAAUUUUGUUCCAUUUUAUGUUUGAUCAUAAAGUUCUUUUUAGAUAGUGACUUGCUCAAGUGAAAAGGACCGCUCAAGUGGUCUAAGUCUGCUCAAGCAGUAAUGAUAGUCCUAUCGAGUUUAAACACAAAUUUUGGAUGAAUUUCACUUGAACUCUAGUUUGAAAACUUAAGAUACUGAAAAUUUUUGGGCUAUAAAUACCUCCUUAAUAACCCCUUAAGGGUUAGGGAUUGAAGAUUGAAAAGAUCUUAGAGAUUAGAAACCUCUCAUUCUUAAAAAGAGGCCUUGAGAGAAAGCCUAAAUUGCUAUAUCAUUCAUGAUUUCUCAUUCAAGGAUUGAAUCUUUAAAUCGUUAGUUGAAAACCUUAAUCCCUUCGAAGUGGCAAAAGAAUCUACUAAGGAGCAAUAAGAAGUUGCUACAUCAUGAAUGUGGAUCAAGUUAUAAGUGUUGAAGAGUAAGUUUUUAGGGUAAAACAGUCAGGUAAAUCUGUGUAACUUGAUUUCGAAUAGUGGAUUUGGAUUGGUAGGUCUUAGACCUUGUGUUUUUUUUUUCUCCAUAGUUUGUGCGAGGUUUUCACGUAAAAAUCUUAUGCCUAAUUGUCUAUAUCUUUUAUAUUUGAUAUUAUGUUUGUAGGGUUUUCAUAAAAGGUUCAUAUCUAUAUAUUUUUGCUUAGAUUUAAUGUGAUUAAGUUUGAUUGAUUUGUUGGGAUUGCUUUUGAGGUUGUUAGGGUUGUUAUCUUGGUAUUUAUGGUUGUUAUCCUUAUAACAAGUUAUUAUUAUCCCUAACAUCUAUCAAGAUAUCCUUUGGAUAUUAAUAAUUUAUUUAUUUUAUCCCAAAUAAUCUUUGGAUAUCAAUUAAUCAUAAAAAUCAAGUUUUACUAUUCUAAAUUUAGGGUGAACUCAUUUUUUAAUAUCGAGGAUAAACUUGAAAAUUUCUUAGAGGUAAAAAAAAUUGAUAUAACAUAUAAAUCUUUAUUUAAAUUUUUAAAUCACCCAUUCAUCCCACCUUUGGAUGUUCGUUAUUGGACUUUCAGUUGUUAUUCAAGUGAUAUUAAAGCAAUACUCAUUUUCAAUUGGUAUCGGAGUGGAAUAAAUAACCAAUUCUUUAUCCUAUUGAUUAAAAAUCCAAUUUUUAUUGAUUGGACUGUUUAAAAAUCAAAUUUUUAUUAAUCACAUAGGAUAAAAAUCAAAAUUUUAUUGAUCCUGUAAGUCUAAUAUGGAACAAUAAAAAAGUGGUGCUCCUUUGAAUAGUUACCCUAUUUUGAUGGGAAUAAUUACUCCUAUUAGAAAGCAUGAAUGAUGUUUUUCCUCAAAAUGUAAGGUGAAAGGGUGUGAAACUCAAUUGAAUAUGGUUGGGGACCACCAUUAAUCCUUGAUACUCAAGGAAGAUUAAUAGGUGAACUUAAACCUAAAAAAAAAAUGAGACAAAUCCAAUAAUCAACGUAGUGAAGCCAAUGCUAUAUUUUUAAUGGAGUUUAUCCAGAAAGGUUUUGUAGGAUAGCAAAUUGCAGAUGUGCAAAUUAAGCAUGGGAUAUUCUUCAAGUCACUCGCGAAGGUACAUCCUCUAUAAAGAUUUAUAAAUUACAAAUGCUUGCUACAAGGUUUGAAAAUAUUAUGAUGCAUGAAAAUCAAACUUUUUCUUCUUUUUAUUCUAAAUUAAGUGAUAUUGUAAUUUCUUAGUUUAACCUUGGAGAACUUAUUCCUAAUUCUAAGGUAGUUAGGAAAAUAUUGGGAUCUCUUCCAAAGAAAUUUAGAACUAAAGUAAUUGCCAUAGAGGAGAGCAAGGGCAUUGAAUCCAUGAGAUGAACUUGUAGGCUCCAUUCAGACAUAUGAGAUGACUCUACCUAGUUCCUAAAAGCCUAAAGAGUCUACUUUUAAGGCUUUUAAUGGUGAGAAAAAAAAUUAAAAUUCCAUAUGAUAUAACAAAGGAUGAAUUGGCCCAUAUGGCCAAAAUGAUUAAAAAGGUCAUAUAAUUCAAUAAAAGGUUUUACAAGAACCAAGAAUCUAGAAAAAGAAAAAGACCUAAUGAACAAUCAUCCAAUAAGAAAAGAAAAGAUUCCUCCAAAGGUAAGAAAGUUGAAUGCUUUAACAAUGGAGGUCUAGGACAUUAUGCUUAAGAUUGUCCUAGCCCCAAAGAUGCCAAAAAGUCUAUGCAAGCAACAUGAAGCAAUACUAAUUCUGAAGAGAGUGCUUCCACAACUUCUGAAGAUGCAAGGUAUGAUCCCAAUGACUUGUUAGCUUUUAUUGCUUUUAUGGAACUUGUGCAUGAUAGUGAUGAUGAUGAGUUUACUAAUGAACAAAGGACUGAAUUCUUGAGUAAUCUUGUUGUUGAGCAUGAAAGACAAAUUAAGAGUUAUAUGAAAAAUAAUGAUAUCCUUGAUGCUCAUGAUAAAAACAAAAUUGAUGUGCUUAGUGCUGAAAAGACUAAUUUGCUUGAGAAAGUUAGGUUUCUUGAAUUUGAACAUCAUUCUCUCCUUGAGAAGAAUAAUCCUCUCACUCAAGAGAAAAAAUAACAAGCCUUUUUCAUCUGUGAAUAAAUUUUUUUUACUGCAGAACUAAAAUGUUUAAUGAAAUUCUUGAUAAAUGCAAAAUCCAUGGUGAUAAAAGAGGUUUGGGGCGCAUUAAUAAAGAUGAAACUCCCUUUGAAUUCAUUAUUUUUCCAUUGAAAAUCCCAUCUUUAAAUUCCAUUACUUAGCCACUUUCCACUUUCCACUGUAAAUAUUAUAUUAAAAAAUUUUAAAAAAAAAUUAACUUAGAAUUUCUACAUAUGGCCAUUAAAAUAUUUUAUGAAAAAUAACUUACCAAAAAAAUAUUUAUGUACAUACCAUUAAAAAUUUGAUAUUAAAAAACUUUUUUUUUAUUUAAAAAAAGUAACUUACCAAGAAUAUAUUGAAAGCACUUUAAAAAAUAACUUACUAAAAUUUUAUUUACGUACAUACCACUAAAUAUUUUAUAUUAAAAACACUUUAACAAAAAUUGACUUACCAAAAAUAAAUUAAGUGCACUAAAACAAAUAAUCUAAAUGACCUAAGCCUAAAAAGUGUCUAAGUGAAAUUUAAACCUAAAAAGUGCCUAGGUGAAUUGAGCGGAAAUGGAUUUAAGUGAAACUUAACCUAAACUCAAAGAGCAACCGAGGUCAUAAUGAGGGUCUAGACGAGCUCCUCAACAAAAGCUCCCUAAAGGUGACUUGAAAGGAGUAAAUUUUAUAAGUUUCAAUGGGCCACCAAGAAAUAACUACGAAUCAAAAGAGAAGUAUAGGAAAGCACCUAAUGCCACAUGUGCUAAGAAGACAAAAUGGAAAGUCUACAAAUAUCCUUCUCCUCAUUCUCAAAAACCAUAAAGGCAGAGUCUUUAGGCUUUUGGGAACUAGGUAGGGUGAUCUCAUAUGUUUGAAUGGAGCCUACAAGUUCAUCAACUCUCAUGGAGUUGAUGUCCUUGCUCUCCUCUAUGACAAUUACUUUAGUUCUAAAUCUCUUUGGAAGAGAUCUUAAUAUUUUCCUAACUAUCUUAGAAUCUGGAAUAGUUUCUCCAAGGUUGAAUGAAUAAUUUACAAUAUCACUUAAUUCAAAAUCAAAGAAAGAAAAAGUUUGAUUUUCAUGCAUCCGAAUAUUCUUAAACGUAGUAGCAAGCAUUUGCAAUUUAGAAAUCUUUAUAGCAAAUGUACCUUCAUGAGUAACUUGAAGUAUAUCACAUGCUUCUUUUACACGUUUUCAAUUUGCAAUCCUUCGAAACUCAUCUAGACCAAUUCCAUUAAAAAUACUAAAUAAAGCCUUAGCAUUGGCUUCACUACUUUCAUUGGCAACUUUGUCCCAUUCAUGUUUAAAUUUAAGUUCUUUUGUUGAUCUUCCUUGAGCAUCAAGGAUAAAAGGUGGUCCCCAACCAUAUUCAAUUGAAUUUCAUACCCUUUCACCUUGCAUUUUAAGGAAAAACAUGAUUCUUGCUUUCCAAUAAGAAUAAUUACUUCCAUCAAAAUAGGGUGGACUGUUCAAAGGAACACCACUUUUUGACUAUUCCAUAUCAAACUUACAAGAUCAAUCAAAUUUUGAUUUUUAUCUUAUAUGAUUAAUAAAAAUUUGAUUUUUAAACAAUUUAAACAAUAAAAAUUGAAUUUUUAAUCAAAAUGAUAAAUAAUUAGUUUUUUAUCCUUCUCUAAUACCAAUUAAAAAAUGGGUACUACUUAAAUACCACUUGAAUAAUAACUGAAAGUCCAAUAAAAAACACUUUCAACGGUAGGGAACACCCACAGGAAAAGAGGGGGGGGGGGGAGAUGAAUGGGUGAUUUAAAAUUUUAAUUAAUAUUUGUAAAUGAUAACAAACUUUUUCUUACUCCAAUGGAUAUCAGGGAUAUCCCAAAUAAUUAAAUGUAUUAUACUUAAAAUCUUUAGGUAUUCAAAAAUAAGAUUUUUAACUUUUAGGGAUACCUUGCAAUUGUUUAGGGAUAAAGAUAAUAUAAUUCUUAAUAUCCAAAUAAUAAUAUCCCGAGAAAUGUUAUGGAUAAUAAUAAUUAGAUAUAAUGAUAACAACCACAACCACUAAGAUAACCACCAUAACAACCUCAAUAGCAAUCCCAACCAAUCAAACAACCUAAUCAAGUAAUAUAUGUAUGAAUAAAUAGAUAUGUACUUCUUAGGAAAACCUUGCAAGAUAUUAGGGAUAAUCAAUUUAAUCUAUUCUAGGCAAUUCAAAUAGAAUAUUAAAUAUAAAACUAUAGACAAUGAGUUACAAAUUUUUUUACAUGGAAAACUCCCACAAACUAUGGAGAUAAAAAACCACGAGAUCUAAGACCUACCAAUCUAAAUCCACUAUUCAAAGUCAAGUUGCAUAGAUUUAACUGGACGUUUUACCCGAAAGACUUACUCUACAACACCUACAACUUGAUCCAUGUCCAUGACAUAGCAACUCCAUGUUUCUCCUUAGUAAAUCCUUCAAUCUCUCUAAAGGGAUUACAAUCUUCAACUAAUAAUUCAAAGAUUCAAAUCCUUGAAUGAGAGGAUGGGAAUGGUGUGGCAAUUAGGCUUUUUUCACAAGGAGUCCCUCUAAAGAAUAACAGGUCUCUCAACAAUCUUUUAAGAUCUUUAUGAUCUUUCUAAUAUCCGAUCUCUAACCCACAAGGGGUUAUAAGAUAGGUAUUUGUAGGCAAAAGCCAUAAGAGUUUCAGUAUCCUAAAUUUUCAAAUUAAAGUUUGAGUGAAAUUCAUUCAAAAUAUAUUUUUAAACUUGAUAGGACUGACAUGACCACUUAAGCAAACUUUGACCACUUGAGCUAGCACUUUACUUGAGCGAUCCUUAUUGCUUGUAUAGGUUGACUGAUUGAGUAGGAUUAACCACUUGAGUGACCCUUUCUUUUUGAAAAAUCAUUUUGAGUUUAAAAAUGAUACCGAAUCUUUUUAUACCUCAAAUAAGCCUUGUAUCUCAUAAGCCAAAUCUUUUUAGAUGUACCUAUGACUUCUCGGUUGGAUGAAUAGAAACCCUUGAUCUUCAAUGGAGAGAAUGUCAUUAUCUAAAAAGACUUUUAUGACCAAACAUUAAUUGGAACAAAAUUUCCAACAAAUAAACAAGACUCAAUGUCUUAACAAGUCAUUCCCAAUCUUUCAAACCCAUGACUUAUUCAUUUUUCCUUUGCUUUGAUCUAUCCAUGCUUCUUAAGUUUUAAAUAUUUCUUUAGGCAUAUUUGAUCCCUUUCUAUUCUUCGGUUAAAAUUGAUUCUAGUAAUUUCUAUUUUUUUUCCUCAUGCUCAAAAUAUUGUUAGAUAUGCAACUAAGGUCCUAGCACUUAAUUUGGGCGAGUGGAUCCCUUUAUAUAGUAUAAAUCAUAUCAUAUCCUAUUAUAGGGUUAUGCAUCUUGGUUCAUUAAAGCAUUUGGGGACUAUUCCCCUUAUACAUAGCCAUUAAAGCCUAAUUAAGAAUGCUUGACGUUUGCAUCUGGAUACCUAGUUGGGUGCAUGCAGCACUAACCAUGAGUCCAUACACUUAUCACUUGAGUAAUUCUACCCAAAAUUAGUCAUCUUAUCUAGUAUAUAUCCACUACAGCUUAGGCAAAAGAGAAACUAUAAGCAUUAUUGUUAGAAUUUACAUAUCAACCCGAUAAACCAUGAUCGUGCUUUUCAUGGCCAUAAAUCUUAAACAAUAGUAAUCGAUAAACAACUUUUCAAAAGCAUCACUUGCCUUGACCUAAGCAUUUAGGACCUAGUUCUUUUUGCUCUUUCUUACUCGACCUCUUACACCAAUGAAUCAAUACGGAAGUGGACACUUUGUCAAGGGCACAUCUCAACAAUAACAUAUAUUCCUAACAAUCUAGUGAGCAUUGCCUAACACAGGCCUGCCCAACUAAUAGUUUUUUCAUGAAGAGAGAGUUGAUCUCAACCCUUUUAGUCAACCUACCAUGGAGUAGCAACAUAAACUAUCUCUUCCCAAACACCCUAGUUCAAUUAGCUUUCAACUCUCAAGUCGUAGGUAAUCCAUGCUUGUCAACCUUCAUUCAAUUAAGAUCUAACUUAACCUUUGGAGAGGCAUAGCCAAGGUUCACUUUCAAUACUCCUUAGUGCUAGUGCUAGGUGCUAUAGGCAAAGAGGUCAAUCACCACCUCUAGGAAGAGUAUUGUUAAUUCACAUCACUCAUGGACCCUAGCUCAAGAGUUUGAGAACUAGUAAUAACUAUGAAAUAACAAUGGUCAAAGUGUAAGAGAUUUAUUUUAGGGAAACAAAAAAUUAAAUAAACAUAAUAAGCUUAGCAUGAUUAAUUAUCAAUUAAUUAUAUAUUUUUUUUAAUAAAGAAGUUCCAAGUUUGAAACCAUCGUUUAUCUAUAACCCUUUCGCCUUGACAAUAUGAAACUAUAUUACAAAUUUAAAUAAUUUUUCAAUGUUUACAUGUGAGACAUUAACAUUUGUUCAGAAAUUUAAAAAAAAAAAAAAAAAAAAGGUUAUUUGGACACAUGACUCAAAAUAACUCUCAAAUUGUAAAAAUGGCCCCUCACACUUUAAUUUUGUUGAGAAAUAACUCUUUAUGGAUACUCUUACCCUUCUUCAUUUUGUUUGUUAUAAAAAUCAUUAUCUUUUCAUAACUAUCUUAUCUUUCAAAUAACUCAUUCUUGCUUUCAUUUUAGAUUUUUAUCUAAAUUAAAUAAAUACACAAUAGUCAAGUUUGAUUUACAAAAAAUCUUAACUAGAAUUAAAUUUAUUUACAAAUAAUUUAACUACUGUCAAGUUUUCCAUUUCAUCUACAAAGAACUCGAUUAUAAUGAUAUGAACUUUGUUGUUAUUAAGUUUUAUUUUUAAAAAAAAAACUUAAUUAGAGUUAAUUUAACAUCUAUUCUACAAAAAAACCUAAUUAUAAUUAAGUUCUUAAUUAGAAUAUUCAUAUGGACAUAAACAUUAAAUGAAAGGAUUAUGUGAUCUCAUCUUCACAUUUUAGAAGUUUAAAUGAAACUACAAAAACAAUUAACAAAAAAUAGUAAAAAUUACCACUAAAGGACAACCUCAAAAAAUCCUAACAAAAAUCCCACUAGAAAAAUCCCCACCAAAAAACCUUAACCAAAAUCCUAGUGGAACAUUGAAAAAAAAAAAAACAACCAAAUCCCAACAAUACAAUUGCAAAAAAUGCUAACAAAAAAUAACUACAAAAUCCCAAUAUAUAUAUAUAUAAAACAACCAUAAAAAACACUAACCAAACACACACACACAUAUAAAGGAUAAUGAAAGAUCUUGAAGAAGACCGCAAAAAACAGGAAAAUCUCAACAAAAACUAACUCCAAAUCAAAAGAAACAAAAAACCACUACAAAAAAAAUCACAAAAAAAUCCUAACUAAAAAUAAAGAAAAUGAUGAAAGAUCUUGAAGAAGAAAAAAAGAUGAGAGAAUUGUGGUCGAUUUUUAUCAUUUCUUCGAUUUGAACUACACCCCUAAAUUCACAAGGAAAGAACUUGGAAAAUUCAUUGGAAGAGUGAGAAGGAAAUGAUUGGGGAAUGAGGAAAAAAUGUCAAUUGAGAAAAAAAAAAAAGUAAUAUUAUCUUAAAUCAAUCAUUUUUUUUAGAGAAUAAAGAAGAAAGGUCAUUCUUCUGAUUUGAGAAGCAUUUGAAAUUUUUUAGCCAAAAAUCUCUUUAAAAAAUUGUAAGUAAAGUGGUGUUUUUUUGUUUGUUUUCCUUUUUUUGUUUUUGUUUUUUUUUUUUUUCAAAAUUGUUUUUUUUUUUUGAAAAAAAAAACUUUUUAAAAUUUUUUUAACUGAAUAAAAAAAGUCAAAAUAUUUAACUUUUUUUUUUUAAUGAUAAAAGUAACAUAUUGAUUUUUCUUUAUUCCUUAAUAUUCAAUAUAAAUAAAAUAUUACAAAAACAAACAACUUAAUACUUAAUUUUAUUAAGCACUAUUUAAUUUUGAAAGGUGAAAAUAUGAAAUAUUACAAUGUCAUUAAACAAAAUAAAGUCCAUUGUUUUUUUAAAAAUCAUAUCAAUGUCAUUAAACAAAAUAAAAUCAUGGAUGUUGGACUCUACCAAAGCCCAAUUGAUUUUGCAUGAAUUAAUUCUACAAAUUCCAUGAUUUGAAAUUAUAGAAUUUAAUUCAUGCUUAUUUUAAAACAAUUUAAAAAUCAAGGAAAAAAAUUGUGAAAAAUGUUUGCCGAAGAGAAAAUGGCAAUAAAUUUUAUUGGAAAUGGGAUUUUUGAGACUUAAAAAUUCUAAGAAUGAAAAAUUGUGGAAUCAAAACAAGAUCUUUUUUAAAAUAAUUUUUUAAAGACAUGCAUGCACACGGGUUUUGAAAUUGAGCAUAGGAGGGUCGCCAUGCAACUUUGAAUCAUUCAUGUGGCCCAGGGGUGCAACUGAGACCGCACUGUGAGGUUGGUGAUUGCAGCUGUCAUCCUCUCUGAAUUUCCCCUCUUGCCGACUUGACAAUCCCUCUCAUGCAGAUGGGACAUUUUCCAACAGAGAUGUUGUCAGUCCUGAAUCAGAGGCACUGUUCCUAAUAUUUUCAUGCAUCUUAAUUAAAGGUAAACCAGGAAGGGUAGAGAUGAAGGAGCGGGUCCUGCGUGCUUGGGAAUGACAUACCAAAAGGGGCCAUGCAAACCAUGCAAGAGUGGGGUCCGAGGAGUGCCAAAGUGGGACGACAUGAUUUCAGUCAUUGUGCAGGUUUGUCUGAACUGGGAUUCUAUUCGGUGUUUCACUUCUUUCCUCCAUCCUUAAUGAUCUUCAUAACAGUUGGAAAGGAGUCAGACCAGUUUUUGUUUCCUUUUACCUCUUCUGCUGAUGGAUUUUCUAGAAUGAUCUCCAAUUUCUGUGAUUUUGGACUUCGAAAAUUACCCAUGAAAUUUCUGGGGAAAAACUGAUUGGAGAGAGAGAGUCCCUUCCUGAUAACGCAUGCUGGGCAUGAUGGUUUCCAGUCCCCAGUUGAAGGCUAUCGUCUUCAAGCCUCGAGAGAUCAUAAAAGUAAGAUUGGCGAGGGCGACUCUGAAGUUAUUUACAAGAUAAAGCCUUCAUUCCAUGUGCGCCUUAACAACAGGUAGCACCAAAGAAACCAGAGUGGACCAUUCUCAACCUCGGUCGCGUCCAUCUUGUUCAACUCUAAAGGAUCAGACGACUGUUUUGACCAAGGAUAUGGUUGUAUGUCUUCUGGUCCGCUGCCUAUUUACAUCUGGCAGCACUAAGCUAACUUCAUUGGCACCUAUGUAACUGAAAGCAUAGGUCUCUAUAGGUAAGUCUACUACUUUGCAUGUGAAUAUUUGGAAUGCUAAGACAACGGCGAACUAGAAUAAUGGAGGCAAUGAAUGAGCUAUUCCCCUAGAUGGGGGCUAUACUUUCUCCCAUAAUUGCUUCUUGCUGUUGAAUAACCAUCAAGAUACUCAUCUAAUGAGCAAUUACUUCUCAGAAUUGGCUGUCGAAGGUUUUGAAUGUACUUCCAGAUCAGAUGAAACAAAUGAGGAUCCUCUUGCCAUUGGAAGACUGCUGAAAGUGAGCCGGAGCAUGAACUUUACUAAUUAGAUUCAUCAAAUUGCGCACCUUGGCCUGCCAGUGUGGACCCGUUCUGGAGCUGCUAUGAUUAUCCUGAAGUUUAUUUCUAGUAACUGGCUAUAAGACUCUGCAAAAAUUCGGUGGUUGAUGGGAAUGCAAAGAUGGGUAUUCAACGCAUGGAGUCUCGAAUAACAUUCCUUGCUGCUCAUAACUAGUUCUGAUCCAUGUAGCAGAUUCCCCAAUUGUAUGUACGCGGACAUUUCCAUCAAACGACUAUCGAAACUGAAUUGGAGAAGGAAUUGCACCAAUUGGAUUCACUUAACCGUGCAUCUUAACCUUGGCAAAACUGGAUUUGGGAAGAAGCAUUCUACAUGGAAGAUCCAAUUGCUAGGAGAAGGGGAUAAAAAAUGUCUUCUUCCAAGGUGUUGAGUUUGGACAAGUCAUGUGGAGGUUGCAUGCACACGAGAAAUAAUGGAAAUGAACUUGUGGGAGAUGAAUAGUGGGGUUGGCAGGUUGGGUAAGUGUGAAGGAUGGGGACUGGUGGUGGAAUGAAUGGAGCUGUAGGUGGUGGAUAUGGUAUUAAUUCGGUGAAUGUGAAGAAUGGGAACUAGUGAGUAUAAAGGGUGAACAUGCAUGCAUAGUUUCUACUAGUACGAAUCUGCAAAGGAGCUACAUCAUUCUUCCAGCUCCGAAUGAGACGCGCGGCGACUUUAAACAUUGCAAAGUGGCCAUGCAAGUUGAACCCACGUGUGUGCGAACCCGGGAUGGAGUGGUUGAGUGGCAAACUAAGUGGGAAUUACAAAACUAGAACUUGUCAAGUAGUUAACAACUUAACAAAUUGUUAUUUAAGUAGUUAACAGGCUGUUUGUUGUAACUAAUUAGAUGUGUUUGUUAGUAACUGAUCUUUAGAUUCUUGUAUAUAAGAAACAGAGGACUGAUCAGUGUUGUAGAGGGAUAUAGCUCAAUUUCAGUUCCGUCUUUCUGGUUUUCUCUUAAACAGAUGCUCUACACAUCUUCUUCUUCUCUUCAUAUCUCUGAGUUCUUUCUUGGUAUCAGAGCCAUCAACUAACAUCUGUAAAUCUUUUUUUCAUGGCAUCAGAAGGAUCAACAUCUUCAAUGGAUCAUCCUAAUUCCAACUUUACUCAUCAUACAAUGCCAUCAUUGAAUCAAGCAUUCACGGUAAGAAUCAAUCAAUCAAAUUAUUUACUAGGGCGAACUCAGAUGUUGAACAUCAUCAUUGCAAAUGGCAUUGAAGAGAUGAUCCAUGGAAAAAUCCCUGCUCCUUCAUGGUUUCUUGGCGAUUCAGAGAACAUAAAUCUAGAAUACAAUAUAUGGCAACGUCAGAAUCGCUUAGUAAUGUGUUGGAUCUAUUCCCUUUUAACAGAAGGAGUGAUGACACAGAUUAUCGGACUUGAUACUACAUCAGAAAUCUGGAUUGCUCUAGAGAAAAUUUUCUUAGUAGCUUCAAAGGCUCGUACCAUGCAGCUUCGCUUCCAACUGCAAACAACAAAGAAAGGAGGAUUGAGUAUGAUGGAAUAUCUACUCAAAAUCAAGUCCAUUGUAGAUAACUUGGUUGCAAUUGGAGAAAAUAUUACGAGCAAGAUCGAAUUCUCUAUUUACUUGCAGGACUAAGAGCAGAGUACAAUUCGUUUGUCAUUUCAGUUACCUUUGGGCAUGAAUCAUUAAGCCUAGAAGAAAUUCAUAGCAUGCUCUUAACUCAUGAAAAUCGAUUGGAACAACACACAACAGAAGAAACAAAUCUUAUGCAAGUAAAUAUUGCAACAAUGAACCUUCAAGGUCACAACAGAAAAAAUCAAAAGUUUGGUCAAUUCAAGACUCAAGGUAGAGGUAGUCAGAAUCCACAACAAUUUAAUCAUCAGAAUUUUGGUAGAAGCCGUGGGAGAGGUCACUAUAACAACAAUGGUGGAAAUUUUGGGCAUGGUCUAGGAAAAGGUAGCUUUAAUAACCAUUUUUACUCAUCUGGAAACUUCAAUAAUGUUUCUGGUGGCAGCAAUGGAAAACCACAGUGCCAAGUAUGUGGUAAAUAUGGUCACAUUGCGAUUAAUUGCUAUAAUAGAUUUUAUCAAAACUUAUCAAUCAACAAUGAACAAUCAGCUUGCUGUAAUGGUUUGCAACUCCGUCCAAUGUUGGAGAUGGAAGUUGGUACAUGGAUACCGGAGCUAUGCAUCACCUAACUCCAAAUCUCAACAAUUUGAAUUCACAUACUCCAUUUGCUGGUUCAGACAAAGUCGUCGUUGGAAAUGGUAUUUGUUUAAAUAUCUCAAAUAUUGGACACUCCAUUAUUUCUUCAGCUUCUCGGUCAUUAAAUCUAAGAAUAUUUUACAUGUUCCACAACUUACAACCAAUCUGAUAAGUGUGAAUAGGUUGUAUACUAACAAUAAUGUUACUGUGGAAUUCUUUACUAAUGGAUUUGUGGUGAAGGAUCAAACUUUGAAGAAGGCUCUUCUCCAAGGCAACCUUAACUAUGGCUUAUACAAUCUGUCUUCAACACCUAGUAGAAGAUAUCAAGAUCCUGAUGAUAAUAAACUUGCUGGAAGAACAAGCUUGACAACUGAGGUCCCAUGUAUGUCAUCUACAUUACAACUUCCCAAUAAGGCAGUUCUAUGGCAUUUCAGGUUAGGCCUCCUGCACAUAAAAUAGUCAAUAAAGUUUUGAGUGCUUGUAGCUUGCCCCUAGAACAUUGGACAGGUGUUUGUGAACCUUGUCAAAUGGCAAAGAGCCAUCGCUUACCUUUUACUUUGUCUGAAUCCAGAGCCUCUCAGCCUUUUGCUCUUGCACAUUCUAAUCUAUGGGGUCCUACCCCUGUUGUUGGUGCUAAUGGUGCAAGAUACUUUGUGCUCUUUGUGGAUGACCAUACAAGAUUUUCUUGGUUGUAUCUACUAGCUUCUAAAGAUCAACUAUCUCUGCCUUUUUGCAAUUUAAAGUGAUGAUUGAGACUCAAUUUGAUACUAAAGUUAGAAUGCUUCAAACUGAUUGGGGAGGAGAGUUUCAAGCCUUUACUAAUACCUUAUGUAAGUUUGGGAUUCUGCAUAGAGUAUCUUGUCCAUCCACUUCUCAACAAAAUGGUCGUGUGGAGAGAAAACAUAGGCAUGUGGUUGAAGUAGGUCUUUCCUUGCUUGCUCAUGCUUCUAUUCCACUUAAAUAUUGGCCUUUUGCCUUCCAAUCUGCUUUAUAUUUGAUUAAUAGGCUUCCUUCCUCUGUGCUGAACUUUUCUCUCCAUAUAAGACUCUUUACCAUUGUCUACCAAAUUAUUCUUUUCUUCGCGUCUAUGGUUGCACUUGUUAUCCUUUUCUCCAUCCUUUUAAUCGCCAUAAAUUUGCAUACCGAUCAGUUAAAUGCACCUUUAUUGGCUAUAGUUCUAAGCAUAAAGGAUAUCUAUGUUUGAACUUGUCCACUGGAAAAAUACAUAUAUCACGACAUGUUAUUUUUUAUGAACUAGAUUUCCCGUUUGCUAAGCCUUCUACAGUUCAACCUCCUUGUCAUGUUUCCCCCUCUCAUUGUGCCAUUCCUUUAGUAAUACCAACCACUCCAAUAUCUUCCCUCUUGCUUUCCUCAUCCAGUCCAUCUUCAGAGCUGGUUCCAAUCUCUUAUGAUAGUAUGUCAAUUUCCUCUUCAAAAGUUGCACCUAUUCCAAUAGCUCAACCGUCUUUCUCUCAUGUUCCUCCUUCUUGUCAUCCCAUGACAACGCAUGCCAAAAAUGGCAUUUUCAAACCCAAGAUAUUUCCAUCCCCUAUUAAGACUAUUUUUCAUUCACCUUGUGAACCGAAUUCCUUCAAGGAAGCUGCUAAAGUUCCUGAAUGGCAGCAAGCUAUGCACCUUGAAUUUGAAGCUCUUAUGAACAAUAAAACAUGGGUCCUAGUUCCUCCUCCGUCUAAUCAGAAUAUCAUUGGAUGUCGCUGGGUUUAUAAAUUGAAGUACAAACCUGAUGGAACUGUUGAACGCAAUAAAGCACGUUUGGUGGCUAAAGGAUUUCAUCAAACUCCUGGUUUUGAUUACUUUGAAACCUUCAGUCCCAUGGUUAAACCUACUACUAUUCGUGUGGUUCUCUCUUUGGCAUUAAGUAAAAAUUGGUCCAUCAGACAACUUGAUGUUCAUAAUGCCUUUCUUAAUGAUGAUUUAUUUGAGCAAGUUUUUAUGACACAACCCCCAGGCUUUGUGGAUCCCUCUAAGCCCAACUUUGUUUGUAAACUUACCAAGGCAUUGUAUGGUCUAAAGCAAGCUCCAUGGGCUUGGUUCACCAAACUCAGCUCCGCCUUAGUUAAAUGGGGUUUUUCCAUGUCUCAAGCAGAUACAUCAAUGUUUGUUUACUAUAACAAUUCUGCCAUGCUUGUUGUCUUGGUUUAUGUUGAUGAUAUUACUGUCACUGGCUCAAGUUCCUUGCUCAUUGAACAACUUAUGUCCUCCUUAAACUCUUGCUUUGCUUUCAAGGAUCUUGGUCCUCUUAACUUCUUUCUUGGAAUAAAGGUGUUGAAUUUUGGAUCUUCUUUGCAUUUAAGUCAAGCUAGAUAUAUCUGUCAUCUUCUUCAACGUGCUGGUUUGUCUGAAUCAAAGUCCAUGACUUCCCCAAUGGCUGCUGGCCCUGUUCUUUCCAUAGAUGAUGGUACCAGAUUAGAAGAUCCCACCUUGUACCGGAGUCUUGUGGGUGCCCUACAGUAUUGCACAAUCACUAGACCAUAUAUUGCUUAUACCGUUAAUAAGCUUUGCCAAUUUAUGCAUGCUCCAACCUCUACUCAUCUUCAAGCCGUGAAGCAUGUCCUUCGUUAUCUCAAAGGUUCAUUGUUUUAUGGGCUUUCUUUCCAACCAUCUUCUUCCCUUGAUCUUAUUGCCUAUACAGAUGCGGAUUGGGCAUCUUGCCCUAAUGAUAGAUGUAGCACCAAUGGCUACUGCAUAUUUUUUAAAGGCAAUCUGGUCUCUUGGUCAGCUUCUAAACAAAAGGUGGUUUCACGCUCUAGUACUAAAUCCGAAUAUAGGGGCUUGGAUAAGGCAACAGUUGAACUCACUUGGAUCCAGUACCUGCUUAAAGAAAUUUUUGUUCCCCUGUUUCAGUCUCCUGUUCUUUAUUGUGAAAAUCUCAGCACUACUUAUUUAGUUGCAAAUCUUGUCCUUCAUUCUCGGGCUAAACAUGUGGAAAUUGAUUAUCAUUUUGUUCGUGAGCAAGUCUUGCAAAAAAUUCUUGAUGUUCGAUUUCUCCCAUUUGAAGAUCAAGUUGCUGAUAUCUUGACCAAAGCUCUUUCAACUCAAUGUUUCCUCCAUCUCCAAAGCAAGCUCACAGUUCUUUCUCAUCCUGUGUGCUCGAGGAGGGAUGCCAAGUAGUUAACAACUUAACAAACUGUUAUUUAAGUAGUUAACAGGCUGUUUGUUGUAACUAAUUAGAUGUGUUUGUUAGUAACUGAUCUUUAGAUUCUUGUAUAUAAGAAACAGAGGACUGAUCAGUGUUGUAGUGGGAUAUAGCUCAAUUUCAGUUUCCGCCUUUCUGGUUUUCUCUCAAACAGAUGCUCUGCACAUCUUCUUCUUCUCUUCGUAUCUCUGAGUUCUUUUUGAACUCUCAUCAUAAUGUGCACCGAAGGGGCCAUACAUGUGGGCUGCAUACCCAUGGGAAAAAUUGGGAAGGUGUGCAUGGGGAGUGAAUGGUGGAAUGAGUGAUGGACAUGUUGGAUAGGUAUGAGAUUUAGGUUGCGUAGGUAUGAACGAUGAGAGAUGGGUAUGGUGACAGUGGGGUAAUCCAGUGGGUAUGAAGGUUGGAGAAAUGGUGGGUUUGCACAUAAGAAUUCUUGCAUGUUGAGGAUGAAUGAGAUGCAAUUUGCUGGAGAAAACAUCGAUUUCCAGCACACCAGAUCACCAAAAAUUACUAUCAUUCUUUUCACCAUUGAUCGCGUUUUCACCAUUGAUUAUUGCAUUUGGGUUCUCUUUACCAUCACUGAUGUCUAAAAGCUUCACAUGAUACAAGGCCCAACUCAAAAUUGCUCUCUCUCUUCGUUUUGACCAUCCAAACCUGUUUGUAGAUGAGCCAUGCCCUGUCUCUUGCAGCAGCUUUUUCUGAGCGUGGACUGCCACCACUAGAGCUGAGGUAUUCCAUUGACAACCGGAGCUACACCGCUACAUGAAUAGGAGUCAAAUGUUGCUCAUACCCUGCAUCUCGUCCCAUAUCUGACUUUCUGCAAUUCCUCUAGUCUGUCCUUGAAUAACCCACAGCUAGCAAAAUCUCCCACAAACUGUAUUAAAAGAGAGUAGACAAAUUCAUGCCACGAGCACAUAUCUAAUAUCUCGAUGCAUUCUUUAAGUAGAGGAUUCCAAGAACGAUGGGAAACAUCUUUUCCAGAAUAAUGAGAACCUGGCCAAGAAGAGUAUCGACUCUGUCAUUGGCUCGGGCCCAUGAAGAAGCUAUGAUUAGCCAACAAGACCAAGAGCAACUAAGGAAGUCAAAGGUAAAAGAAGUGUAGCUGGAAUCUGGGUGCCACCAUUCAAACUGUUGAGUAGCCAAGUGCUCUGUAACAAUGUCAUCUAAUAAGAGGACUCAUUGGACAUCUCUUCUAUGGACAAGUGGGGCAUCAACAAAUUCUGAAAGGUGUCAUUGAGUCAACUGAAACUCUCUUGAACCUCAUAAUAGAAACCUACUCAUCAAAUCAUAGUCCAUUCCCACCAUAUUGGCCGCCUUCAAAAAUAACACUGAUGAGGCCCGAAGUUGUUGAAACAUCUGAAGGCUCUUCUGACAAUUUUUUGCACAGCUUCACGAGAAAUCUUCUCAAACCAUUUCUCAAGGAUGUCUAUACAAUGAAAGGUGCUAAUUACUUGGUCAAUGUUUUAUAUUAACACACUAUUAAUCAUGACUUACAAUUUUUUCUUCGAAUUAUUGAAUUGGAGAUGAGUCAAAUGCAACUGCUUAGAUGUUAACUAUCUUUCCUCUGUCAUAAAUAAACAAAUGGUUAAUUAAGUCUUAUUCUAUUGUUAUUAAAAAAAAAAUAGAACAACAUAUGAAAAUAAAAAAGGAUUUACAUAUUAAAAGAAAUGUGCAUUCCUAUGAUUUAUAGGGAUAUUAGUGCUCAUAAUGAGGAGGCAAAGUCAACUCUCCAACAAUGAUCUCACACAUAGAUAACUCCUAGAAUUGUAAUGUUUAUGUUUAUUUUUACGGUGUAAUUAGAAGAUUAUUUAUAUAAAAGUUCUCAAUAAUAUUUCUAGCUUCAAUUGCCACAUACACCAAGUUUUACAUGGCAUCAAAGUAUGAACUAACAAGCCAAAAUAUGUUUUCUUCUUUAUUCUUUUUUUCUAUUAAAAAAUUGAACUUGAAUUCAAUAUUUAGUAAUUUCACAAGUGUUCUAAUUUCAUCUUAAUCAAACUAAAAUAUUACAAAGUUUUCUAUUUGGAAAAAUCAAGUUCUCCCUUAGUUUUAUUUGUGGCCUCAGUAUUCACCAUUAUUUUUUAAAUAAAACGAGGAAAACAAAAGUAUCCUAACCUACAAUACUAGAUAUGGGUCAAUAAUAAUGGGCUUCUCACUUUAUGGCUUCUUCAAACCAUGAAAGGAGGCAUUUUAAAGAUGAUAUUUCAUGUUGAAAUGAUAGAUGAUCGAGGUAUGAACUGCUCUUGAAGAGUAUUUGCCCCUUACCAUAGUGGAGAAUGAAAGAAACCUAGAAAAUAUAUUCAUGACCCUCAAAAAGAGGUCAUUGUCUCUUAAAGAGUAUUUAGGGGACUUCAAAACUAUAUGUGACAAUCUUGCAACAAUCAAAAAUCUUGUUUCAAAUCAAGACAAAGUUUUUCAAUUUGCUCAUGGCUUAGGACAUGACAAAGAUAUGAAAAGUUUUUAAAUUUUCAUUUAGUCUAAAAUCAAUUUGCCAUUACAACACAAUUUUAUUUACUCUGACUAUGAUGAUUUUGCUUCUUUAUUUUAAAAUAUUUACUUCAUUGUGGAGGUAUUUUCCCAAAAAAAAAAAGGUUUUCCCAUUGUUACAAGUGAUGACUUUCACACUUGCUUUAAAGAUAUAAGAUUUAGAUUUAACCAAUGUAACCUAUUUCACUUUGAGAAGCAUUUUUUAAAGAACUAUUUCAUUCAUUAUAUGAAAAAUUAUCAAAUUUGACAUAAUUUUCAUGAAUUUCAUAAAUCUAAAAUCUCAUUUAGAAAUCAAACUUAGAAGAUUCCCUAUUAAUCAAGAAAAAUAGAAAAUCUUACAUUACCUAUACAUCAAAUUCUAUAUUUACUCCAAUCUUAGAGUCUAGAGUGUCAUUAAAAUAUCUCUAGGGAUAAUAGAGAGAAGCCUCACUUUUAAAAGAACUUCAUAAAUGAAAGAUCACUCAAAAUAAAUAAAAUAGUGAAUGUAUUUUCAAUAUUUAAUCAUUGUAUAUAUAAAAGAGUUAAAAUAAAUAAAAUAAAUUUAAAGUAUAAUAUAAAAAUAAUUUAUUAUUUAAUUUUUUUUGUCUUACUCUUUUUUCUUUCCAUUUUAUUAUUUUCAGAUAUUUUAAUAAAGAAAAAAAAUGUUAAGGGUCUUUUUCAUAUUUAAUCUCAUCAUAAAAAAUAUAAAAGAAAAUUAAAUAUAUAGUUAAAAAUUUUAUAUUUUAAAUAAUUUAAUCUUUACAUAUGAGAAUAAGUGAAAUCGGUUUUAAACCAAAAAUUUAAAUUUCUUUAAUCUUUGCAUAUGAGAAAUAAGUGAAAUCGAUUUUAAGCAGUAUAUAAAAAUAAUUUAUUAACUUUAAAUUAAUUUUUUAACUUUUUAAUUUAUGUUUCCUUCUUAUUUUCUUUUUAUUUAUUUAUUUUUUAAGUUGUGUUUGGUUUUCAGAAAUUAUUAAGGAAAAAAGAAAAUAAUAAGGAAAAUGAUUUUCUUGUUUGAUUACAAUAUAGAAUAUAGCAAUAAAAAUGAAAUAUAAUUAAAAUUAAUAAAAACUUAUACAUUCUCUAAUCUAUGUAUUAAAGAAAUAAAAUAAAUAAAAUAAGUUUGGAGUAACAUAUAAAAAUAAUUUAUUGAUUUUAAAUUUAUUUUUUAUUUUCCUUUGUGUUUUUUUCUUUCUUUCUAUUUUCUUCCCCUUUCAUUUUCCCUCAAAUGUUUUUGAGCCAAACAUAGCUUUUGAGUUUUAGUAACCAAACAUAAGCAUGAUGUUAGAACUUCGAGGAAACAUGAAUACAAUUUAUAGUUAUAAUGAUACAUGUGAUCUCUCUUUCAUGAUCAAUCCAAGAAGAACUUGGAGUCCCCAUCACCUAAACCCUUAUCAACUGCUAUUUUACAUAUGAACUACUAUUUUACAUGAUCAAUCCUAAUAGUCUCAUACACUUCUUUGUUAGACUUCAGCCAGCCACAAGUAUUGGUUGAAGGAAAUAAGACAACAUUCAACAAACAAGAAUUGAUUUCUUAAUUCAUGAUACAAUGAAAGGUGCUAAUUACUUGGUCAAUGUUUUAUAUUAACACACUACUAAUCAUGACUUGGCUAAUAAAAUAGCCUUACAAUAACUAAUUGAUAAGAAAAACAGCCCACGUUUUACACUAACAAAUAACGUGGUAAAGAGUAGAGAAUAAGUCAAAGCUGGAAACUACCCUGCUUAUAAAACUACCCUGCUUAAUAGGAAUUAUUAAAAAAAAAAAAAAAAACUAAACAAUCAGAAAACUUAAAUCUUGACAAGGACAUAGUUCUGAUCAAUUAUGAGAAGAUGAAAACUUGUUGCGAAGACAGAUUCUGAUUUUGCAAGCUUGGGUAGACCAGAUGUAACCUAAUUCACUUUGAGAAGCAUUUUUUAUAGAACUAUUUCAUACAUGAAAUGAAAAAUGAUCAAAUUUGACAUAAUUUUCAUGAAUUUCAUAAAUCUAAAAUCUCAUUUAGAAAUCAAACUUAGAAGAUUCCCUAUUAAUUAAGAAAAAUAGAAAAAUCUUACAUUACCUAUACAUCAAAUUCUAUAUUUACUCCAAUCUUAGAGUCUAGAGAGUCAUUAAAAUAUCUCUAGGGAUAAUAGAGAGAAGCCUCACAUUUAAAAGAACUUCAUAAAUGAAAGAUCACUCAAAAUAUUUAGGAAAACAAUAUCAUAUCAAUUAAUCAAACUAUCAAACUAUCAAACCACAGGUAUGUUAACUAAUAAGUAAGGACAUAGUUCUGAUCAAUUAUGAGAAGAUGAAAACUUGUUGCGAAGACAGAUUCUGAUUUUGCAAGCUUGGGUAGACCAGACACAGCAUUACUGGUACAUGCUGAUGAACUAGCUGCUGAAGAUUCCCAACUCGAAAACUAUUGAUCUGUCUUGAAACCAGCCUAGGAGUGAGACACCAAGGCUAAUCUACUGGAAUGAAGCAUUGCAAUACCUUGGGCUGCCAUGGAAAUGCAAUGAAAGUUGGCUUUCUUGACAAGCUUGAUCUUGGGAUGCCAAUCAUUGCAUUACUAAGUGAUGCUUAUGGGGCCACAUCCCCGUUAUGCUUGUUGGAGACUUUAACAGCAUGCCACCAAGUACACCGUAUCAGUUUCUGGCCUCAUCUAAAAUGGAACAUCAGUCACAACAUAGAGCCUACAGAUACCAGCAGAAUGAAGAUGCAUCCAGAACAAGGCCAUUCAUGCAUACAUGGAGCAAUGAAGAAUUAAGGCCCGCCACUGGCAGCGAUGGAGUUAUCUCAUAUGGUCCUUGUCAAACUCCUAUUCUUGGCUUCUGUGUACAGCACCACUGGAAGUUUUCCCACUCCAAUAUCAGAAAGUUGAAAUAUUCUCAAGAAAUGACCUGACCUCCAGGUUGACCUUGGCUGUUGAUACUGCUUCCAUUGGACCUCUUCCUCUCUUGGGUUCAUUCAUCACUCAGAUGGGUACAAAUGACUACAGUUCAAUUCCUUAACAACUCAAAGAUCACAAAUGCGAGGGAUCAUAUGGAACUAGAUGGCCUAUAGAAAAAAGAUGGUGAAAGAGCAGAGAAGGUGGACUCAUUAACAGCUGAAGUCAAAAGGCUAAAGGAUCUUUUGUUAUUUCCACAUUAAAAUUAAGUGGGUGGCCCACUAACCUAGUAUUUAGCCAAUUAAAAGAAUACCCAAUAUCUUUAAACUGUUAUAAAGAUAUUUACCCUUGAUGGAGUGGGUAAAUUAUAAUAAUUUUAAUAUUAUUAUUUGGAAUAAAAACAGUUAUUCGAAUAACACGUUUAGAACGAUUUUUGAACGUGUAUUCUUGGCCCUCUUCUCCUAUCAAUAAGAUAUAUAUAUAGAAACCCCUUCAUGUGCGGUGAGUACUCUCUUCCAUCAAUUACAGAAAACAAUUCUGUGUAUUAAGGUUUGAUAAGGAGAAGAAGAGAUAAAGGAUUUAAGAUCUAUAAACUGAAGGGAAAUCUCUCAUGGCUGCUUGUUCUUCAAACGGUAUGUAAUCUAUUUUUAAUUAAUGUUUUUAUUAUUUUAUUAUUAGAGAUGAGUUUGAAUUCAAUGAUCUGGAAUAUCGUGUGUUAAUUUCCGUAUUAAAUAUCAACAAUUGGUAUCAGAGCAAGGUUGAAUUUAAAUAUUCAGAAUCACUGUUUUAUAAAGAUUAAAUUUUGAGAUUUAUCUUCGAUUAAUUCGUCUCACUAAAAUGAAUAAAAAAAAAAUUAAUUAAACAAAAUAAAGACCAGCCUCAACGCGUAGAAGGAAGAUUUUUAUUUUUCCUUGCAACGCUAACUGGAUCAAUGCCGAUGAGGGGCGCUGGUUUGGCGGACUGGUUUGGCGUCAGUCCGGUGGCCGUUUUCUGACGCCAUUGCCGGUGCCAUCGCGCCGUUUUCAGGCGCCAAUCCAGGCGCCAUUGUCGGAGCACCAUCUCGCCGUUUGCGCGCUGGUUGCAGGCGCCAUUGUUGGCGCCAGUCCAGGCGGCAUUACUGGCCCCAUUGAAGGCACCAUCUCGCUGUUUGCGCAUUGGUUGCAAGCGCCAUUGCUGGCGCCAUUGAAGGCGCCGUUUUUAGGCGCUAUCUUCUGGUUGCAAGUGUCGUUUCCUCGCCGUUUCAGGCGCGCUUCAAACACCAGACUAGAAGCUUCAAUAAAGGAGAAAUACAGAAUCACAACACUGGUUAGCCGAUUGUCAUCAUCACUUAUUUGAAUAUGAAACUGAAAUCCUCUUUUAAGAUGUCCAUGCAGCUUGUGCUAUUUGAACAACAAUUUCAUGAAACAAAAAAAAAAACUAUUCAAGUCAUAGCUUUAGCUUUAGGUUGAAAUUCAAAAAAAUAAAAGGUGCAUAAGACUUUAGUUUGAUAUACAAUGUAAAUUGAUUAUUGAAUCAGAUGAUUAUUAAAGAUACUAUUUCCUUGAUUUUUUAUUAUUUGAUUUGAACCUUUGUGAAAUUAUUAUUGUAUCUGAUGAAUGCAGAUUUCUUUGAUUUUAUUAUGAUUGAUUAUUGAAUUAGAUGAUUAUUAAAGAUACUAUUUCCUUGAUUUUUUAACUCAAAUAAAAGAAUUAAUUUCAUCUUGUGAAAUUUUAUCCAAAUGACAAUUUAUAAAUGUAAGGUUAACUAAUUUAGAUAGUUGCCAAAGUAACCUAAAUUAGUGAGCCUUGUAUUUAUUGAAUUGCAUAAAAGAAUAAAGGGAGACUUGUAAAAUUCUUAAUAAUUCUCUUUAUAAUUAGGAGAAUGAGACUAACCCAAAGGAGAGUCAAUUUCUACUAAUUAUUAAUUAAUGUUUUUAUUUUGUGUUGCUUAGAAAGGUAAAAUGGAUACCCAAAGGUAACAUAUAAAUGACACAAAAUAGUAAAGUGUUUUAAGCUCCCUCCAAGUGAACACUGGAUAUGUUAAAAUUUACCCAAAGGAGAAUUUUAAUGAUAUCAAUAGUUCAUUGCUAUUUAUUUUAUACUUGAGGCUUUAUUGUCAGCAUUGUUCUAUUUUGUACAGUUCCCACUUCAUUACACUCUCUUGCAUCUGGAAUGACUGUUUUUGAUGGGUCGAACUUUUCUGAAUGGUAUGAAAGGGUUCAAUUCUCACUGGGCGUAUUGGAUCUUGACCUGGCUUUAAUAACUAAUAAACCUCUUGAAGCUAUGGAUGACAGUACUCCGGAGCAAGUGGAACAAUCAAAAGCUUGGGCAAGAUCCAACAAACUCAGUCUGAUGUUUAUGAGAAUGACUAUUGCCAAUAAUAUCAAGACCUCUCUCCCUCAAACCGAGUUUACCUCGGAAUUUCUGAAAUCUGUUGAGGAGCGCUUCAAACGCGCUGAUAAGUCUCUUGUAGGCACAUUGAUGGCUGAAUUGACCACCAUGAAAUAUGAUGGUCAGAAAGGUAUUCAGCAACAUAUUUUAAACAUGACUGAAAAGGCUACAAAGCUUAAGGCACUAGGCAUGGGUAUGGAUGAGUCCUUCUUGGUACAGUUUGUCCUUAACUCACUUCCAUCAUAGUUUGCUACAUUCAAAAUCGACUAUAAUACUAACAGUGAUCAGUGGAACUUGAAUGAUCUCACCAGUAAAUGUAUAUAAGAGGAAGUGAGAUUAAGACAAGAAGGACAUAAUCUUGCUCUUGCUGUAACUCAUGGAGUCAUGAAGAAGAAAGGAAAAUUCAAAAAAGGAAAGAACUUUCCACCUAAGAAAAGCGGACCUGGGGAAGGUAGCCAGAGUCAUGAUGGAAAAUUCACGGUAAGUUGCUACUUUUAUGGCAAGAAAGGGCUUGUGAAGAAGGACUGUAACAAGAGCAAGGCUUGGUUCGAAAAGAGAGGUAUAAAUCUUUCUUUUGUAUGUUAUGAAUCCAAUCUUGCUGAAGUUCCUUCAAAUACUUGGUGGAUUGAUUCUGGAGCCACAACUCAUGUGACUAAUUUAAUGCAGGGAUUCCUUACAACCAGGAAACCAAAGGAAAGUGAAAAGUUCCUCUAUAUGGGAAACCGUCUCAAGGUUGAAGUGGUAGUUGUUGGUACCUAUCGCUUACUAUUAGAGACGGGUCAUUGGAUGGAUCUUUUAAACACUUUUUAUGUACCUUCUAUCUCUAGGAAUUUAGUUUCCUUAUCCAAAUUAGAUGCUACUGGAUAUUCUGUUUUAUGUUCUGGACAAUUAAGUUUGAUGUUAAAUUCUGUUACAGUUGGUUCUGGUAUUUUAUGUGAUGGUUUAUAUAAAAUUUCCUUGAAUCAUGAAUUUGCACAAGCUUUGAUAACCCUACAUUCAAAUUUUGGUUCAAAACGUGGCUUAAUUAAUGAAAAUUCUUCAAUCUUAUGGCACAGAAGACUAGGGCACAUCUCUAGGGAAAGAAUUGAGAGAUUAGUGAAGGAAGGAAUUUUACAAAAUCUUGACUUCACUGAUUUUCAUGUAUGCAUGGAUUGCAUAAAGGGAAAGCAAACUAAACAUACAAAGAAAGGUGCCACAAGAAGUAAUGCGCUCCUUGAGAUAAUUCAUACAGAUAUUUGUGGACCAUUCUCUGUUCCAUGUUUUACAGGAGAGAAAUAUUUUAUCACCUUUAUAGAUGAUCUAUCUCGUUAUGGUUAUGUUUAUCUAAUGCAUGAAAAGUCUCAGGCCAUUGACAUCUUCGAGAUGUUCAUAACAGAGGUCGAGAGACAAUUAGAUAAAAAGAUUAAAAUUGUGAGAUCAGAUCGAGGCGGUGAAUAUUAUGGCAGAUAUGAUGAAUCACGACAAAAUCCUGGUCCUUUUGCCAAAUUCCUUGAAAAGUGUGGCAUUCGUGCUCAGUACACAAUGCCUGGUAUGCCACAAUAGAAUGGUGUUGCUGAAUGGCGUAAUCGCACAUUAAUGGAAAUGGUUAGGAGUAUGAUGAGUUACUCUUCUGUACCUAUUUCAUUGUGGGGUGAAGCCUUAAAAACCACAAUAUAUAUCUUGAACAGAGUUCCUAGUAAGGCAGUUCCAAAAACACCUUUCGAGUUAUGGACUGGUAGGAAACCUAGCUUGAGACAUAUACAUAUAUGGGGUUGUCCAGCGGAGGCAAGAAUCUAUAACCCACAUGAGAAAAAGCUUGAUUCAAGAACGAUAUCUGGAUAUUUCAUUGGCUAUCUGGAUAAAUCGAAAGGGUACAGAUUUUAUUGUCCUAACCACAGUGUGAGAAUAGUUGAAACCGGUAAUGCCAGAUUCUUAGAGAAUGGCGAAAUCAGUGUGAGUAAUGAACCAAGAAAGGUAGAUAUUGAGGAGAUAAGAGUGGAUAUCCCACCACCUUUUUUACCUCAAGAAAUUAUUGUCCCUCAACCUGUUCAACAAGUUGAGGAAAAUGAGCAACAUAAUAGAGAUGGUUCAUUACCACCAGAAAAUAUUGCCAUUGAAAAUGUUGUAGAGCCACCACAACCGACACCUUUGAGGAGAUCUCAAAGAGAAAGGAGACAUGCCAUUACAGAUGAUUAUGUGGUGUAUCUACAGGAAUCUGAUUUUGAUAUUGGGAUAAGGAAGGAUCCGGUUUCAUUUUCACAAGCCAUGGAAAGUGAUGAUUCUAGUAAAUGGAUGGAAGCUAUGAAUGAAGAGUUGAAAUCUAUGGCCCAUAAUGGUGUCUGGGAUCUCAUCGAAUUGCCUAAUAGUUGUAAACCCGUCGGCUGUAAAUGAGUCUUUAAGACAAAGCACGACGCUAAAGGCAAUAUCGAACGAUUUAAGGCCAGACUUGUGGCCAAAGGUCUCACUCAAAAGGAAGGUAUCAAUUACAAAGAUACCUUCUCUCCAGUUUCCAAGAAAGAUUCGCUAAGAAUCAUCAUGGCACUUGUAGCUCAUUUUGAUUUAGAGUUACAUCAAAUGGAUGUGAAAACUGCAUUCUUAAAUGGGAAUUUGGAUGAAGAUAUCUACAUGGAACAACCUGAAGGGUUCACAAAGAAAGGAAAUGAACACCUAGUUUGCAAAUUAAAGAAAUCCAUUUACGGUCUUAAAACAAGCUUCCAGACAAUGGUAUAUUAAGUUCAAUAAUGCCAUUACAUCUUUCGGAUUUAAAGAGAACAUUGUUGAUCAGUGUCUAUAUCUGAAAGUUAGUGGGAACAAGUUUAUAUUUCUGAUACUGUAUGUGGAUGAUAUUUUGCUUGCUAGCAGUGAUCUUGGUUUAUUACGUGAAACCAAGGAAUAUCUCUCUAAAAACUUUCAUAUGGUUGAUAUGGGUGAGACAAACUAUGUUAUUGGCAUCGAGAUCUUUAGGGAUCGAUCUCGAGGAGUGCUAGGUUUAUCUCAGGAAGGAUAUAUUGAUCGGGUUUUAGAGAGAUUUAAUAUGCAAUCAUGUUCAUCGGGUAUUGCACCUAUAUUGAAAGGUGACAAAUUAAGUAAAAUGCAGUGCCCAAGGAAUAACAUGGAAAGGGAGCAAAUGAAGAAAAUUCCUUAUGCAUCAGCUGUGGGGAGUUUGAUGUACGCUCAAACAUGUACAAGACCGGAUAUAAGCUUUUCUGUAGCCAUGUUAGGAAGAUACCAAAGUGAUCCAGGAUUCGAACACUAGAAAGUUGCAAAGAAGGUGAUGAGGUACUUACAAGGGACAAAGGAUUAUAUGCUCACAUAUAAAAGAUCAGAACAAUUAAAGGUUGUCGGUUACUUGGAUUCUAAUUAUGGUGGUUGUCUCAAUAGCUUAAAGUCAACUUCAGGAUUUGUCUUUAUUCUAGCAAAUGGGGCAAUCUCGUGGAAGAGUGAAAAACAAUCAAUUACUGCUUCAUCCACGAUGGAGGCCGAGUUUGUUGCUUGUUUUGAAGUUCAAGUCAUGCUCUAUGGUUGUGGAAUUUUUUCUCAGGGCUUGGUGUUGUCAACUCUAUUGCUAAACCUUUGAGAAUAUAUUGUGAUAACACCGCAGUUGUUUUCUUCUCUAAGAAUGGCAAAUUUUCUAGUGGAUCGAAACACAUGGAUUUAAAGUAUUUAGUUGUUAAAGAAAGAGUCCAGAAACAACAAGUGUCAAUUGAAAAUAUUAGAACCACAUUUAUGGUUGUUGAUCCAUUAACUAAAGGAUUACCUCCAAAGGCAUAUUUGGAACAUGUUAUGAGGAUGGGCCUUUUGAGUAAUCCAUAAUAUGUAUGAUAAUGAAUGGUGGUUAUGUAAUUGACAAUUUGCGCAUUAAAAUUGUUUCUGUUUAUUCUUGUUUUCAAUUAUAGGUGACGUUUUAUUGUUUGAUAAACAAGAAUUGUCCUGACAAGACAAAUUACAGGGGUUAUUUGGCAUUAAGGACUGGGUUAGUAAGGGUUAUUGAUGUGUGGUGCAUGGAAGGAAACAUGACAUUAUGGUUAUGUGACCGCCAUGACUCGCAUUUAUGAUCUAAACUGAUUCAGUAUUAUGGUAUAUGAUUUUGGACGUGUUGGCUAAGUUUAUUGAAAUCAUGAUCACGUGUCAAAUUUAUUUUCCAGUAUAUAUUUUAUAUAUAAACUAAAUAUAUUAUAGUUUUCAUAAUCGGUUUAGUGGGCCAAGUGGGAGAAUGUUAUUUCCACAUUAAAAUUAAGUGGGUGGCCCACUAACCUAGUAUUUAGCCAAUUAAAAGAAUACCCAAUAUCUUUAAACUGUUAUAAAGAUAUUUACCCUUGAUGGAGUGGGUAAAUUAUAAUAAUUUUAAUAUUAUUAUUUGGAAUAAAAACAGUUAUUCGAAUAACACGUUUAGAACGAUUUUUGAACGUGUAUUCUUGGCCCUCUUCUCCUAUCAAUAAGAUAUAUAUAUAUAGAAACCCCUUCAUGUGCGGUGAGUGCUCUCUUCCAUCAAUUACAUAAAACAAUUCUGUGCAUUAAGGUUUGAUAAGGAGAAGAAGAGAUAAAGGAUUUAAGAUCUAUAAACUGAAGGGAAAUCUCUCAUGGCUGCGUGUUCUUCAAACGGUAUGUAAUCUAUUUUUAAUUAAUGUUUUUAUUACUUUAUUAUCAGAGAUGAGUUUGAAUUCAAUGAUCUGGAAUAUUGUGUGUUAAUUUUCGUAUUAAAUAUCAACAUCUUUGCUAUCACAGACGUAAUCAGAAGAAGAGGCCAAGCAAGCUGCCUCUAGUCUAGGUGGCACAACCCAAAUAGAUGGAAUUGGAGAUAUGCUUGAAGUGAGUUUGAAAGAGGUUAUUUAGGCACAAGCACAACAACAUGAAUUGUCGUUUAAGCUUUUGUUGAUGAUUCAAGUUGGGAUUCUGAGAAACUAGAGUUGAGUUGGAGUGCCUUGGCUGAUGAGGUAGUGCGCCAAAACCCAAUGAGCCCUCUAAAAUCAAUAUGGUCAGUUCUUUUCCAGACUACCAGCAAUCUGCAUAGGUCUCCUCAUGCAACCACCAGUGGUGCAGUCUCAGUCCUAUCCCUGGGCCUCACUCCUGCAUGGCUACCUUAAUGCACACUGUCCUCUCCCAAAUGCAUUUCUAUUGUUUCUUUGUGAUCUUACAUGUUUUUAAUCGGGUUUUCAAAUGUUUUUUCAUUCAGAUAAUCUCGGGUUUAAAAAUUAAUCCUUAAACAUUUUUAGGCAUUAAAAUCCUAAUUUUUAAUAAACACUUGCAACCAUUCUUCUCCUAGCAUGAACCUUCCUAAUUUUCUUUAAUUUUCAACAAUUUUCUCGAUUUUUAAUAAACAUGAAUAAAUUCCAUAAUUCCAAAAAUAAUGGAAUUCCUUCCAAAUUCCUGUAAUUCCUCUAUAAUCAUUAGAGUUAGAAUUUAUAGGAUUAGCUCAUGCAAAAAUAAAAUUAGGCCUUGAUGGGAGCCCAACAUCCAUGAUAUUUUCCUUCAUAAUAAUCCAAGUGAAAUGCAUCUUAGGUAUUUAUUGACUUUGAUCUGUUUGUGAAGUGUGUGUGAUUAUUUUCUAUGGUACACUAACCUUGUUUCUUUGAGACAUUUUUGUUGUUGCAUAGGUAUGCUUUCAUCUCUACCUUGUCUAUUUAUUUAUUCCUCAUUAUCAUGCAUGAUUUGUUUUAGUCCAUGACUCUUGCUCCUUGGCAUCCACCAAUUAACUAGUCAAUUACCAUACUUGCUUCAACUUGAUUAGUAGAAACCUGAUUUUAGGGCUUGGAGGAGUGCAAUGACUUAUCAUCAUAACUUCUUAAUAGAUAACUUGACCCUCGGAUCCUAACUCAGUUUUCACAAACUUGCUUUUCCCUUUUAAGAGUCACAAUUAGGGGUUUUUUUUUUUUUCUUAUUUUGUUUUCCUUUCUUAAAAAUAAUAAAAAAUAAUUGAUGACUCCAAGUCUUUUCCUAAAAAUAAAAUAUUUCACAAAUAAAAAGCGAGUCAUGCUAUCAAGUGGAAAUGCAUGUGAAAAAUGCAAGUCCACAAGAUCCUAUAAUGGGGCAUUUUUCACCACUUUGAGCUUAUUAGAUUCACAUCAUAUUCAAUUGGGGCUUCAUUAGGGACAUGAUUCUAUUCUUGAGACUAUCAAACCUCUUGUCAUUCUGGUCAUCCUUUUGAGAUUUGAUUUGGAGCAUUUCCUUUGAGACAUGGACAAAUUUAUAUUUUGAUUUCUUAGUUCAUUAUCAUUGAGUUGGAGACAUCACGAUUACCAUAGUUUCUUCAGGAGUAUUUUUACCCAAUCAGACAAGUGAGGAUGUUUAUGCUUUUUAAAUAUGUAACAAAGUUCUAUAAUUGCUUCAAUCCAUGUUUUAAAAAUUGUAUUUCUUUCUAAUAUUGGAGCAAACUUUUUCUUUCUUAUAAAUUUCAUUUGGGAAUGAUUUAAAAAUAAAUAAAUAAAACUCCUUCUAAAUAUUAAAAAGUAACACUUUCUUAUAAAAAUUAAUUAGGUGGAUGGUAAGGUCAAAUUCGGGAUAGCUUCAUAUUUUUUGCUUUAACUUAAAAUUAAAAUCAAAAUUAAAGUAAUAAUUUUUAAGGGGUAAUAUUGAUAUUGUAAGAGUUUUACUAAACAUGAAAGAACUUCUUAUAUAUAUAUAAAAUAGAAUUAUAAAAUUCUUAUAAAACAUAACAUUUUGAUGACUUGUACAUGAAAUCUUUUUUAAAAGUUAUAAGUUUUUUAAAAAUAUAUAUGAAAAUCACUUUUAAAAAUCCAAAAAAUCCCUUAAAAAUAAUUUCUAAACAUUUUUUUAACUUAGAUUUAAAAAAUAAAUGAGUAAAAAAUGAUUUGUUUUUACUAGUUAUUUAAUUUUAAGGAAGCAAUAAAGGGUUUAAUUUGAUGUAAAAUAAAAGAUAAAUAAAUAAAUAAAUAAAUAAAAUGAGGGUUGAAAAGUAAUUAAAUCACUAAAAAAUGGAAUUGGAGUUCCUUCGGUGUGGGGUUAAACUCAAUUUGUCCCAUGCAAUGGAAAUGGACGAUUUUUAUUUUUAUUUUUUUCCUUUUCCUUUAUCUUGGUGUAGUCUUGUGAUAUUGUUACUAAAAUAGUAGGUAAAAAUAUAAAUUAUGUAUCAAUUAUUUUAAAUUUAGAAAAAAAAAAUGCUUAUUUUAAUUUCAAAUAAAUAAAUAGAAAAAAAACUAAUUUUAUCUCAAUUGUGCAAGACUUUAUAAAAAAAUUCUUAUUUGCAAAAUAUUUUGAGUUGUAAAAGUAAAAUUUAAACAAAUCAUUUCAUGACCUUUUUAACAAGUAUCCAUUUAGAUCAUAGUCUAAUUUUUAAAUAUUUGAAUAAUCCAAUUACUCUAAACUAUGUCAUUUAUAAUUUUUUUUAAUUAUUAAUAUGAUACCUAAGCUUCUACAGAAUUGGAAUAAAAUAUGGAUAAGUAAAAAAUGUCAAAUAAAAGAUAAUUUCAAUCUUUUCUAAUACAACAUAAUAUUUUAUCAUGUUGAAUAAAAUUGGAAUGGGCAAAAGUUGUCAAAUCAAGACUUACAUGGAAAAUUCCACCAUUGCAUAUCUCAAUGAUUAUUCUACAACAUUAUCUUUGUAGACUUUUAAUAAUCCAAGAAAUCGACAAAUUAUAUAAUAAUCCCAAACACACAAUAUUCUACAAUUUUUUUGAAUAAAAAAUAAAUAAUGAAAUUUGAAUAAUGCAAACAUUCAAUGAAAUCUUUGGCAUGUUAAUUCUUUGCAGCUUCAACAUGCUGGCAUGUCGGAUGGCGAAGGCAGCAUUUGAGCUUCUGGGUGUUUACCAUUUUUCACUAUGAACGCAGUUUCCAUGCCCCAAGUCACAUGGCGUUCUACAUGGCAGUGCAUGAACCACACUCCUGCAAUAGAGCAAAUAUACCAACAUUACACCUAACUUAUUGCAAUAUUAAGAAAAAUUAUUUCAAGGGUUUUUUUUUAUAAUAGAGGACGUGAGUGCUUGCAACAUACCAGGGUUGGAUGCCUCAAAUCUGAUUGCAACCCAACCAUUCGUAGGAACGGAGAUGGUACUCUGAAGGGGAGGAUCCACCAGAUUAUAGCGUAAAGGGUCCCUAUUUUUAUCGAAAUUCCCAAAUCCCCAUCCAACAAGGUAGAAACUGUAUCCAUGGAGAUGCAUGGGGUGGUGUGUCCCUGCAACCAAGUUUGUCCCUUGAAAAACAAUCUCCACUGUGGAGUUAUACUCGAGCACCCUUACUUCUGUUCCGAUUUCUGGCGUCUGAUACUCUAAUGGAAGAUAAUCAGCUGUAAAAUCAAACACCAGUGGUGGAACGCUAGGAAAUUUAUCUCCAUAUACACCACUGAUGUUAUAAUAGUAAGCUUGUAGUAUGUCAAUCGUAGGGGAUUGGAAGCUUAUGUUGUUUAUACUUGCGGAGAAUCGCGUCCCAUUGGGCCCUGCACAUGAAUUAUUAGGGCAUAGGAACGAGUUUACAGAAACAGUGUAAAUUAGUUUAGUGCUCGGGCUCAAUGGGACAUUGGAAGGAUGUUCCGCAUCUACUAAGCUUCGGAGGCCAACCAUGACCUGAACCGAUGCAUUUGUGUCAUUAUAUGCAGGAAAAUGAGGCAAGGAGAGAGGUGAAGAUGAAGUGUAGUAACCUCUAUAAUGUACAAUAGCUGUGGUGGUUGUGUUAUCAUAAAAAUUUUGAGCUAUCGGGGCAAUGGAAUAAGUUUUAGCCGCCAUGUAAUAGUGAUCUGGGCGUUGGUUAGCUUCUAGUAAGACAUCGAGGUUUGGCCAGGAUAUAUUGUGAUAUAAUCUCGUGUCAAUGGUUUCGUGUAGCUACCAUAUGUUCCAACCACUGUCAUUUUAUGCUUGGCAAUGGAGAAGAAGAGAGCCUCAUGCAAGGCAGCAUUGAUUAUGCGAAGUAGAUAGGUCUUUCCAUGAUCCACUCUUAGCUUGAAUGUGCCUGCAAUUAGAAAGGAAAAGUUGUAUACUUAUGACUAGCGAAAAGAAAAAAACUUUCCAUGAGCAUCCACCAAUUAUGAAGUGAUUGAUUAAUUAAGGGUGUAAAUUUGGCUCCAUAGUUCAAAUUUAUAUUUGGACUAGCCUUUUCUUAUGUGUUAAGUCAUGGCUCUACCAUCCUCAUAGCUAUAUUCCUCUUUCUUAGCAUUAAGUUUUCAAUAUGUUUAUAUUAAUAAGAAAAAGUAAUAUGGUUAACAUACAAGAAAAUGACAUCAGUGCACAAUUUUAAAAUGGGAAGUUAAACUUUAUACCUGAUUUUGAGCAUGGAUAUAGAUCACUGGGUUGUCCAUUUAUCAAUAAAGAAUCAGAGGCAUUAGGGUCAGCUCUGGUUGCAAGCCCUUCAUCUCGAACCGCAUUCACAUCACUCUUCCACCAUUGUCCUGCAUUUCAACAACUCCAAUAAUUUAGAUUUCGCUUUGUUAGUUAAUUCAUGAUAUGGAAAUUAACCUUUAAAAGGAACUACACUUAUACCUAAUAUGAUGGGAAUUUCUGCGUUAGGUUUGGGAAAAGGAUACUUGGUUCCAUUCUUGGGAUAAACGAUUAUAGCUCCAUGAACAGUGGCUCGGGUCCAGUCAUUGUGAGCAUGCCACCAUAGAGUGCCUUCCUCGGAGGAAAGGAUGAUCUUUUGGCUAAACUUUGACCCUGGUUGAAUUGGGCAUUGUGUGAUAUACUCGGGACCAUCUGUCCAUGGAUAUCUAGGCAUGUUCACCCCAUGCUUGCAAAACAAUAACUAUACGUUAAAACUAGUACUAAUUUUCGGACUAACAAAAGAUGGCAUGUAGCAACAUAUUAUCAUAGUAACAAGAGGCAUCAACUGUAUUUCAAUGGAACUAAUGCAAAUAACCCUAAAAUAUUAUUUUAAAUUUAACUUUAUUUGCAAAGCAAUACAUUGCAGCCCCCUCUUAGAAAUAAAAGAAUGUAUGUCAUGGAGGCAUGCUGCCCACUGCUAUCUUUCUCCAAGACACGAUAGGACUUACCAGUGAAUGGUGAUAUUUUCUUUUCCCCUAUUAUAAACAUCGACGAUGAUCAUCUCUCCUUUCUUAGCAUAUAUAGUUGGUCUUGGAAAUUGUCCAUUUACUGUUAAGAUGUUCUUGGUGCUACAAAGCCUUGUAUAUGAAGCCUCCUUCACCUGCAACCAAUUAAAAGUUAACCAUGCAACCUCAUCCCAAAAGAAAUAUUACAAGCAUGAAUAGUUGCAUCGAUCCACUCAUGCAAGUGCAUAACCAAUUAGAAAUUGAAAGCAUGCAUGAACGACUCAAUGACACCAGGGUACCCGAAGACACCAUGAGGGUCAUACGGUGGAAAAUGAGAGCCAUACUGCUCCCUAAAUAUCAUGAACAAAAGAUGGCGUUAAGGCUAGAAUCAUAUAAGUAUUUACCACAAAAGUAAGCCGACGAGUUGAAGCUUGGCAAUGGAUGCCACCACCAAAAAGUAGAAACGCUAAAAUUUGCAGGAGGAAAACCUUCAUGAUCAGCCACAUCUUCUUUGGAAUAAAAGCCUCUUCUCUUGUCCUAAACACAACUCCUUCAAUUUUCUUACUAUUUCUAAUAAGCACGACUUAUCUUCUCUUUGACAUGAAUAGAUGAAUUCUUAAAGGUAUUUAUAGAGGCUGGAGAGGACCAAAACUGGAAUUGGUGAAAGCUGAACAGCCGGUUUCUCUCGAACUUUUGAUGUAUUUUUUUAAUAUAUAAUUCAUAAUCUAUUCAAGAUGAUUUUCCUGGGGUACAACAAUUCCUCGCCGCGUAUCAAUAUAAGAGAAGUAAUUCGAAUGUGUAUUGGUUUUUAAAACUUUGACCUCUCAUAUAUACAGUACCUUUAUCAAGAUUAGUCAAUAUUUUUUCUUUGUUUUUGGUAUGAAGGGAAAAGUCAGCGCUAUAUAAUCAUAAUCCAUCAAAGAUACACUAUAUGCUACCAUGGGCGUACCGGCCAUUAGUAAUGGGCCAAAAUGUUCUCCAUGAUUAAAAAUAAAAUAUAAUCAUGGCAUAAAAAUGACCCUCAUUUUCAAGAGGUGACUUUCUCCUAGAAAGAAUUAAUUUCCUUUUUAUUUUCUCAUCGGGAGAAAGUUGGAGACUCACAUUGUUUAUAUUUUUAUAAUAGUUUUAGUUUAGUUUUAAAGCUUCCAAAAACUUCUCCCUUAUUUUUAUUUAUUAGGUUGGCUCAGUCCACUUGGGUACCCAAAAACAAACCCAAUAAAUAAUUAUUUAUUGAAUUGGGUCAAUCCCAAUAUUUUCAUAACCGAAUCAGACAUUGAAUUAGAAAAAUUAUCGAUUCAUAGGUCACUGGUCAGACUAGUGACCGAACCGGUGACAUCAUACAUACAUAAUUUAUAUUUUAUUAAAAUUAAAAAUAAUUUUAAAAUAUAUAUAUAUAUAUAUAUAAUUAAAAAUUAAUAAUAUUUGCAAUAUUAUUUAUUCAUUUUUAUAUAAAUGUAUUAAUAUUGUUAAUUUAUUAAACAAAAUAUACAUAAUAUUUAAAUAUGAAAAUAUAUUAAAAUGGGUAUAUAUAUAGGUAGUCUUUGAGUCAACAUGCAUAACAAGAUUGGACAUCAAUUAAUUCAUUUAAUAAUUAUGUUGAUUAGUUUAAUUAUACUUUUUAAAAUAUUUAACUCAUAUUUGACACAUUUUAAAUUUGAUUUUAAAUAAAUAGGUUAAUUGAGUCAUAAAUAUAUUAGUCAUAUAAAUUAACACAAGACCUAACUCUACUUAAUUAUUAAAUGGGACAUAUGAGUUACACGAUAUGUUACUUGUUUAGUAAUUAUGUAGUAUUUUAGGUUUACGUUUUUAACCAGAUUAUUAUUCGUGUCGAGUUUGACACAACACAAAUAUGACCCACCAACACAAAUUGUAACCCCUAAGCUUGUUCACUCAAAAAGUAAAUUUAUACUAAUAUUUAAUUACCUAGUUUAAACUAGUAGGAAUAUUUUUAAAUUAUUGCUUAGUUUUUUUAAAAUUGUUAAUAUUGGUAUAUGUAUAUAGUUUCUCUAAAGACAUUCCAUUGAUGUAGAAUUCCAAAUAUAAUUUGUCUAUAUAAAUAUAUCAUAUAUUUUUAAUAAAUAUAUAUAUUGUAAGUUAAAUAUUAUAUUGUAUAAUAUGUUGUACUAUAUGCAUAACUACUAUAUUACUAUUUUACAAAAUAAAAAAUACACUAUAUAAUAGUAAUAUAUUAUAUACAUAAAAAGUUUUUGUGUAAAGUAUCCAACCACAUUUUAAUUAAUAAUUGAUUAUUUUAUUUUUAAAUAAUCUAAUUAUGUAUUUAUUAUUUUUAAUUAUUAAUAACUAUUUUUUCAAAAGUGAUUUGUCAUUAAAAAUAAAAUCAUAAAUUAUGUCAUAAAAGUAGUAAUUGUUGUAGAUGCUAAUUUGUUAAGGAUUAUUAUUAUUAUUUUUACUUGCAUACAUUGUUUAAUAAAAUAUUUAAUUUAAGUUUUAAAUUCCUUACUUUAAAUUUUCAAUUUUAUUUUUAGUCUAAUUUUUAAUCUAUAAGUUCUAAUUUUUAAUUUUUAAUUUUUAAUUCCUAAAUUUUAAAGGGGAAAUCAUGUAACCAUACAUCACCAAAAAAAAUAAAUGAGAUUUUUAGAACUUUGCUUUUACCUUUUUAAUUUUAAUGAAGAUGAGAAAAAAUAUUACCUAUUCAUGUACUUCAAUAGUGCUUUCAGAUUUGUUCCAUAAUUACCCUCAAAAGUAAAUGACAAAAUACACAUCACUUUAAUACCACCUAUUGACAAGUACAUGAAUAAUUUAUUUUUCUUAUUUCUCUCACAUCAACUCCCUCACAUGUCUCACUUACCACUUGCCCCAUUUCCACUUUUUUCUUUUUUCUUUCUUUCUUUUUUUCCCCUCUUUUACCACCAUAAUCCAUAGUCACCUAUUAUAUUUUUCAUUCCUAUUUUUUUUUCCUUUGAUAUUCUUUUUAAUAUGCUCAUAUAUUUUCUCAGCUCAAAAUAUAUGUUAGCUCUGCAACUAAGGUCUUAACACUUAAUUUGGAAAAGGGGGUUCCUUUAUAUAGUAUAAAUCAUAUCAUAUCCUAUUAUAAGGUUGUGCAUCUUGGUUCAUUAAAGAAUUUGGGGAGUAUUCCCUUUAGACCUAGCCAUGAAAGCCUAAGAAUGCUUGACAUUUGCAUCUGGAUGCCUAGUUGGGUGCAUGCAACACAAACCGUGAGUCCAUACACUUAUCACUUGAGUGAUUCUACCCAAACUUAGUCAACUUAUCUAGUAUCCACUACUCCUUAGGCAAAAGAGAAACUAUAAGCAUUGUUGUUAGAAUUUACAUAUCAACCUGAUAAACCAUGAUCAUGCCUUUUAAGGCCAUAAAUCUUAAACAAUAGUAAUCGAUAAACAACUUUUCAAAAUCAUCACUUGCCUUGACUUAAACAUUUAGGGCUUAGUUCCUUUUGCUCUUUCUUACUCGACCUCUUACACUAAUGACUCAAUACGGAAGUCAACUCUUUGUCAGGGGCACAUCUCAACAAUAGUAUAUAUUCCUAACAAUCUAUUGAGCAUUGUCUAACACAAACCUACCCAACUAAUAGUUCCUUCAUGAAGAGAUGGUUGACCUCAACCCUUUUAGUCAACCUACCAUGGAGUAGCAACAUAAACUAUGUCUCUUCCCACACUCUAGUUCAAUUAGCUUUCAACUCUCUCCCAACCUCCAUCUCUCAUCUCAGCCUAUAGGUAAUCCAUGUUUGUCAACCUUCAUUCAGUUAAGAUCUAACUUAAUCUUUGGAGAGGCAUAGCCAAGAUUCACUUUCAAUACCCCUUAGUGCAAGUGCUAGGUGCUAUAGGCAAAUAGAUCAAUCACCACCUCUAAGAAGAAUACUGUUAGAUCACAUCACUCAUGGACCCUAGCUCAAGAGUUUGAGCACCAGUAAUAACUAUGAAAUAACAAGGGUCAAAGUGUAAGAGAUUUAUUUUAAAGAAACAAAAAAUUAAGUAAACAUAAUAAGCUUAGCAUGAUUAAUUAUCAAUUAAUUAUAUAUAUCUAUAUAUAUAUAUAUAUAUAUAUAUAUAUAUAUAUAUAUUUAAUAAAGAAGUUCCAAGUCUGAAACCAUUGUUUAUCUAUAGCCCUUUGGCCUUGUCAAUAUGAAACUAUAUUACAAAUUUAAAUAAUUUCUCAAUGUUUACAUGUGAGACAUUAACAUUGGUUCGAAAAUUACAAAAAAAAAAAAAAAAAAAAAAAAAAAAACAAGGUUAUUUGGACACAUGACUCAAAAUAACUCUCAAAUUAUAAAAAUGGCCCCUCACACUUUAAUUUUGUCGAGAAAUAACUCUUUCUGGAUGCUUUUACCCUUCUUCAUUUUCUUUAUUAUAAAAAUCAUUAUCUUUUAGUAACUGUCUUAUCUUUCAAAUAACACAUUCUUGCUUUCAUUUUAGAUGUUUAUCUAGAUUAAAUAAAUACACAACAGUCAAGUUUGAUUUACAAAAAAAUUUAACUAGAAUUAAAUUCAUUUACAAAUAAUUUAACUAUAGUCAAGUUUUCCAUUUCACCAACAAAGAGCUUGAUUAUAAUGAUAUGAACUUUGUUGUUAUUAAGUUUUAUUUUUAAAAAAAUUUAAUUAGAGUUAAUUUAACAUUUUAUCUACCAAAAAACUUAAUUAUAAUUAAUUUCUUAAUUAAAAUAUUCAUAUGGACUUAAACAUUAAAUGAAAGGAUUAUGUAAUCUCAUCUUCACAUUUUAGAAGUUUAAAUGAAACUACAAAAACACUUAACAAAAAAUAGUAAAAAUUACCACUAAAGGACAACCUCAAAAAAUCCUAACAAAAAUUCCACUAGAAAAAUCCCGACCAAAAAUCCUAGUUGGACAUUGCAAAUAAAUAAAAAUAAAUAAAUAAAUAAAUAAAGACAACCAAAAUCCCAACAAUACAAUUGCGAAAAAUUCUAACAAAAAAUAGCUACAAAAAAAGAAUAAAAAAAAACUAUAAAAUCUCAAUAAAAAAAAUUAUAAAACAACCAUAAAAAAAUACUAACCAAACACACACACACAUAUAAAGGAUAAUGAAGGAUCUUGAAGAAGACCGCAAUAAAACAACAAAAUCUCAACAAAAACCAAAUCCAAAUAAAUAAAAAAAUGCCACUGUUUGAUUAUUGUUCACUAUUUUCAAUUUUUAAAAAUAAGGUGAAAUAAUGAACAACUUUUAGAGAACAAGUAAAAGUUGUUUCCACCAAUUUUUAAAAAUAAUAGAAAAACACACACUCUAUUAUUUAUCUUCUAUAUAGAAUUAUUAUUUCUCAAUUCUUUUUUUGCUAGACAACUUAACUCCAAAUUAAAUAAUUCUUAAAUAAUAAACUCAUUAAUACCAUAAAUUUAUUAAGAUAAUAAAUAUAAUUUUUUCUAACAUAUAAUAAAAUAAUAUAUUUUCUAUUAAAAAUAUAAUUUAUGAUUUUAUUGUCAUAUUACUAUUUAUAUUUUACUAAAAACUAUAUAUUUUUUAAUUUAUUUGUAAUUACAAAAUUAUUUUCAUUUUCAAUAACACUUCACUUAAAUUUAAUUAAAUAAAUGUUAUAUAAAUUGAAUUUAAAAUGUUUUUACAAAAUCAAAACAAAUUUAAAAAAAAAUAAAUAAAAAACAAUUUAUCCAAACAGGUCUUUUUGUUUUUUAUUUUUAAAAUCCUUUUAUAAAAACAACUUGACAAAUAUUCUUAUUUUUAUAAAACAUUUAAAAACUUUUUUUGGUUCUUUGACUUAAAAACAAUUUCUCAAAAAAAAAAAAAAACAUAAGAAAUCAUGAUCAAACAAGAAUUUUAAAAAAAAAUUAAUUGAAGUACUUAUUUAACUUGUAUUAAAAAUGAAUAUUUAUAUCAUUUUUAUCUUAUAGUAAUUUUCACUAUAAUAAUAAAAAAAAUUAUUUAUCUUUAACGUAUACAUAUUUGUAGAUUUAAUUUUUAUUUGUUAAUAAGACUUAACUUAAAUUUGAUUUCAUAUUAUUAUAAAUUAAAUUUAUAAAAUUUUUAUAAAAUAAAAGUAAGACAUUGCUUUUAAAAACAAUACACAUUCUUUCAUCCAAACAAGUUUUUUGUUUUUUGUUUUACAAAAACUAUUUUUAAAACAUCUUAUCAAACACUCUUAUUUAAAAAAAAAAGAAAAAAAUUAAACUGUUUUUUGUUCUCUAUGUGAAAAAAAAAAUUAAUCAAAAUUUUAAAAAAUAUUGCCAAACGGGCCCCUAAGUUAUCCAAAGAUAAUUUUUUUUUUUAAUAAAAUAGAUCCAAUAAAACAUUUCCAUUAAAUAAGAAAAGGGACCCAAAAUUUUCUUUUAAUAAAAAUAAGUUUUAGACAUUUUUUUAGAUAAAAUAGUUCAAAUUUUUUGUUUUAAUAAAAGAAAUAGUUCAGAAUUUUAAAAUAAAUAAAUAAAAGGUUCAAAAAUAUUUUUUUCAAAUAAAAUAAAAUAGUCCAUGCUACUUCAAAAAAAUAUUCUUUUUAAUAAAAGAAAGUUUUCUUAAUAGAAAGUUCAAAUAAAUGUUUUUAGAAGAAUCUAGAAAAAGAAUAAUAAAAAUUCAAAUAAAUAUUUUUAAUAACAAGCUAUCUAGAAAUUCAUUUGUUUAACAAAAGUUUCUAGAAAAAAUUGAUAUUUAAAUAAAAUUGUCCAAAAAGUUAAUUUUAAUAAAAUUGUCCAAAAUUGAUUUUUAAAUAUAAUUCUCUUUCCUUGAUAAGAAUGGGAUUAAAAGUAAUUUUUAUAAAUAGAGGUCCUAAAGAAUUUUUUUAAAUAAGAAUAGUAUGAGUAAACCUUUAAAUCGAACUGAGAGACCUUUUUUUUUAAUAAAUUGGAAAACUAAUCUCCCGCUAGAUGAAAUCCAAAAUUCUUUCUAAAUAUAAUUGGAAUCCUUGGGAACAAAUUUGUGAAAUUCUUUCUCUAAAUAAGUUAGUAAUAAAGAAUCUUUUUCUAGGUAAAAUAAAAUAUAUAUAUAUAUAUAUAUAUAUAUAUAUAUAUUUAAUAAAAUUGGGUUGAAAUUCCUUCUUAUAAAUUUGUAAAUAUCUUUCUUUAAGUUUGUAGAUUUUUUUUUUUCAAAUAAAUAAAGAUUGAAUCAAAACACUUUUUAAAAUAAAUAUGUAAAACUCACCCCUCUUCUUAAUAAGGUAAACAAAAAUCAUUUCUUAUAAAUCAAAUCUUUUGUAAUCAAUUGAAGCCUUGUGAAUAAAUAAAUUAAAAUCACUAAUUUGAAAUUGUUGUUAAAAUAAAUGAAUUCUUUGAAAAUUUCUGGAAAUUGUAUUAUGAUAUUUGAAAUAAUAAAAUCUUUCUAAUAAAUUAUUUUGUGCAUUUCUCAUGUAUCAUUUCCACGUAUCCUUAUAAUUUGCUUUUGCAUUAUUUCAUGUACUUGUACUAUUCUUUAUAUAUAUAUAUUCCUUUUACGUGCUUAUUAGAAACCUUUUUAAGGCUUGAAGGGGUGCUACCCUAUGGUAUCUGCCCAAUAAAUAACCUGACCUCUAGAUUUGGACUCGAUUUUUACCGACACAUCUUUUCUUUAAAAAGGAGUAACAAUAGGGCUUUAUUUCUUUUCUUUUUUCUUUUAAAAAAAAUAAAAAAUGAGUGAUGACUCCAACUUUAAAAAAUAAAAAAUAAAAAAUAGUUUUUUAUAAUAAAAACAAGUCUCACCAUCAAGUGGGAAUGCACAUGAAAAAUGACAGUUCACAAUUGUAUUUCUUAGACUUAAAAUAUAAUACAAUUACUAAAUCAACAAAUGUCGUAAGUUUUUAAAUCUUUGAUGAUACAAGAUUCAAAGUAUAAUGGAACAAAUAGUUUUCAAAAGAAAACAAAUAUUUAAAAUGGAAAAUCUAACAAUAAAGACAAUGAAACAAGGUGAUACAAUAGGAGUUAAAUAGAGAAAUCUUUAUUCCACGAAUUUAUAGUUUAUUUAGUAGAAAAAAGUUCAAAAGAAAUAUUGUAUACAUUAAUGGAUUAAGUAGAUAAAAGGGAUUUAAGUAAUUUGACAUUUAUGCUUUCGUUAGAUAACAUCAAAUAGAUAUUUGAUAUUAUUAGUUUCCAUAUUGACUUUAGAAAUCUAUCAAAUGGAAGUUAAGAUUAUCUUUCUUUGAAUGGUUAUAUAAAUUAAUAGUAUAUAGGGUAACCUAAAGGAUUUAUGACAAGAACACAAAAUUAGGGAUAGAUAUCUACAUUUAGCUAGGUUGGAUUAUAACCAAUCCAAGAAUCAAAUAGAAGUUGAUUGGUUUUAACUAAAGUAUAACAAAUUUAUUUAUUGACUCAAGCUAAUCCAACUUAAUAUUAGUUUGAUUCAAUUUAGUUAACUCAAUUUAGACCAAAAUAUUAAGUCUAUAUGUUUUUUUAUCCACGGAACCAAAAUGAUCAAAUUGUUUUAGAUAAAAAUAAUUUUUUUUUUUACAAAUAAUACAAUUAAAAAAUUUAAAAAUAAUGUGUAGGAGCAAACCAAUGGGUUAUUUUCUUAUUGGGAGUAAGUCAAUGAAUAGUAUUCUUGACAUAUUGGGUGCUUGUGACUUGAAAUUAUAUAUCAUCAUUAUUUAGUCCCACAGUACAAAGAUUUUAAAUUUUAGAUCAUGCUUACGCCAUAAGCCACUUUAAAUUUGUAAUAAAGCCACAGGAGUUAGGCUCUAGGCAUCCAACACCAAACUAUAGCCUAACAAGUUAGCUUUGGAAGAGCAUGAUUUGACUCAUAAAGUCUCAAGAUUCUCCACAACACUCCAAAAUCCAAGAAAUUAUAUUUGUUCCACUCCUCUACUACUUGGGUUUGUUUGCCAAUCCACUUUUAGUAAGUGAUCUAGGUCAAACCUUUCAUAAUCCAAAUACUUAAACUAGUUUGAUCUCUAGUUUCAUUGCACUACCAAAAUAAAGUAAUUCAAGUAGAAAAAACCAAUGGCACAUGCAAGACAAGUUUUGCUGUUGGGGAGGUUUACAAAUAGCUUGUGGAAACCUUUCCUAGAAUAAUUUGAGACAAAUGCAAAUGGGGUUCCUAUGAACUAUUAUGCAAGGCUAGUCAGGCUUAUCUAUCAAACAAUGGAAAUUGAAGAUUUGGGGACCAAAUGAAAGUAAUCAAGUUUGAAGUUGAUGGAAUUGCUUAUUAACUCAAUAUGGAGGCUUAUCUCAAGCACCUUCUCAAUACAAUGCUUCGAGUCAAUUAACUACAUGCAUGCACUAAAGACUUCCACAACAAAGAAAAUUUUGCAAGAAUAAUCUAAAGAGCUACUACAACAGAGAAUGAUCUUCUGAACAUAUGUAAUUGAUUGUGCAUUAAUUAAGAGGGCUUCUCAAGUUGGAUAAGUUGUUUAGAAUUUUUAAGAGGGAAUUUUUAAACUUCACUGAAUUGAUCUAAGAGACAUUUACCAAGUUUUAUCAUGAUAAUAAAGUAUUGAGGAGAAAAUGUACCACCAAAACCAAGUUGUAUUUGCUAAGAAUACUUACUAUAUUCUAUUAAGAAAGAAACUAUCUAGUGGUAAAGGACAAGUUGAUAGUUUUAGUUCAUGAAGUUUUCACUACCCAAGCUAACAUCAAAAUCUAUUACAAGACAAAUCCCAAUAAGGUAAGAUAAAAGGCUGCACAGAAGGGACAUCUUGCUCCUUGUUGAAAAUCUCAUUCAAUUGCAAAUCUACCACAUCAAUAAUGCUCUCUUCUAUAAUUUUCUCAUACCCAAUCCACAAUACUAUUAUUAUACUUAUUCUGCAUGCUUUUUUUUUUCUUGCCUUUCUAAGUUAUUUUUUCUUUGGUUAUAGCAACAACUUCAUUGGUGUGUUAAAUUCUCUUAUAGGUAAUUCCUCAAACAUGUAAUAUCCUCAUUGUUGCUAUUAAGUCUUGCAGUAUGAAACGAAAAAUUAAAAUUCUUGUAUUCAAAAUCAAAUGGAAGCACAUGAAUUAAAAAAAUGCAAACACAAGAGAAACACUGAAAUCCAAUUACAAAGAGUAGUAUCAAAAUUUCCAUAUCUACAAAAUUCGGGUGUUAAGAUUUCUAAAAAUGAAAAAAAAAAAAAAAGAUUCAUUGAGAAAAGACCUACAUCGAAAAAAGAUCAAGGUGUGAGGUUAAGAGAGGAAUUCAACCCAUGCCUAACAUGGAUUCAAACAUAUUGACUAGAUUUGAAGAAUGCAAUUCAUCCAUGGGAACUUGUGUAUCUAAAGAGGGUUGGUUUUUGGAGGUACUAGAAGAUGGUUGGAGUAUGGUGAUAGUUGUUGAAAGGGUUAAUGGUGGUGGGAAUCCAUAACUACUGGUGAAGAGGAAGUUAGGUGUAUUGGAGACUUGAUGAGGAAGAUAAUGUGAGCCUAAUAAAAUUUCCUCCUACUUUUCCCUUCUCUUUCUCUCUUAUAUUCCUCACUAAUUUCUAAGGAAAGUAGAAAGGAAAAUAUUACAAUAUUUUCUUUAGCAUUUUCAUUUAUAUUUUUUUCCAUCAUAUUUCUCAUGUCACCCAAACUAAGGAAAAUAACUUUCCAUAGUAUUUUUUUGGUCCUUUCCCUUGAAUUUUCUGAAAACCAAACACAAUCUUUGUAAAUAAAAAUUAAGAACUACAACAAAUUGUAUAUUCUUCCUCUUUAUUCUUCCAUUUCUACAUCUACUACUCUAUUUGACAUCAUAUUUUUACUCGCUUCUUCAAUAAGCAUUCCUCCCUUUAUACAAAGUUAUCUUCGCACCAAUUCAUAAUAUAAGAAAGAUGAAUGAACCUUGGGGCAAGGUUGGACAACCGGUGGCAACUAGUCAAGGCUUAAAGUCAACUUUUGCUUGACUUUUUUUUGGCAUGGGCAGCGACUUGUGGACCCCUCUUUAGCAUGAAAGUGGCUAGAAUAUGUUAAGCUCUCUUAUUCGAUGGUUAAUGAUGUGUGAACCAUAACAAUCAUAGGUUGGGGAAUAUAUGGUAAUCAUGCAAAUAUCUAUCUAUCUAUGUAUCUAUCUAUCUAUCUAUAUAUAUAUAUAUAUAUAUAUAUAUAUGGUAUCCAAUUAUAUAAAAAGACAUUUUUCAACAUUUGAUAUAAGUAAAAAUUAAGAGGAAAAUAUUAAAAAAAAUUAUUAAACCUAAAAACAGGGACUUAAUAAUAAAAUGAAGCAAAAAGUUAAAAUUAAAACCAAAUAUUAAAUAUGAAUAUAGUUUAAGUAUUAAAAAUAUGAUUAUUUAGGUUUAAUCAUUGGGUUUGCUAGAGUUUAUAUAUAUAUAUAUAUAUAAACUUUGUAAAUUAAAUAUCUCUUUCUAUUAUUUAAAGGAAUCACUGAAAUGAUUGCAUGAAAGAUUUAUUUCAUAGCCUAAAAUAAUGAUAUUGGCAUUAUAUAUAUAUAUAUAUAUAUAUGUUUGUGUGUGUGUGUGUUUACUUUAAUGGUAGGCUGAUUUUUAGCCAUAAUAAUAAUAACUAUAUUAUUGUAUUAUUGAAAUAAAAAGGUUGUUGUCCUCUAAAUUUGAUUUGAAAUACAGGGGUUAUUUCUAACACUAAGAUGAUGUUUAUUUUUUUGUUUGAAUAGAAAAAAUUAAAAUAUUUGAUUUUGUUUAUUUUUUAUUUAACUAAAAGUAACCUGUUGAUAUCAACCAACAUAACUAAAGUGAACUUAUUAUUAAUAGGUUUAGUUUAGUUACGUUGGUUGAUAUCGGUAGGUUAUUUUUAACUAAAUAGAAAAAAUAAAAUAUUUUAGUUUUUUCUGUUCAAUAAAAAAGCAAACACAUCUAAAAUUAGAUAAUAAAAAUACUUUGAGUAGAAAUAAAUUCAUAUGGACCACUAUCAAAUACUAUGCACAAGGAGAAAUUCAGAUCCUCACUUGCUCUUUGAAUUUAAUGCAUUGAAUUUGAUGUUGCCUAAAACAAAAUUAUAUUUCAUGUUGUAUAUUAUGAGUAGACAACCAUUCCUUAUGUUAGAUUUUAGAUAAAGAAUGGAUAUUGGAGAUUGGAGUUGUAACAAAUUAGGAGAUCUUAAUUUUAAAUAUGUAACAAAGUUCUAUAAUUACUUCAAUCCAUGUUUUAAAAAUUGUAUUUCUUUCUAAUAUUGGAGCAAACUUUUUCUUUCUUUCUUAUAAAUUUCAUUUGGGAAUGAUUUUAAAAUAAAUAAAUAAAAGCCCUUCUAAAUAUUAAAAAGUAAACCUUUCUUAUAAAAAUUAAUUAGGUAGAUGGUAAGGUCAAAUUCAGGAUAGCUUCAUAUUUUUUGCUUUAACUGAAAAUUAAAAUCAAAAUUAAAGUAAUAAUUUUUAAGGGGUAAUAUUGAUAUUGUAAAAGUUCUAUUAAACAUGAAAGAACUUCUUAUAUAAAAAAAAAAUAGAAUUAUAAAAUUCUUAUAAAAAAUUACAUUUUGAUGACUUCUACAUGAAACCUUUUUUAAAAGUUAUAAGUUUUUUUUUUUAAAAAAAUAAUUAAAUAGGUAAAAAAUCUUUUAUUUAACUCUUAAGAGUCAAUCAUAAGGAAAUUUAAAUAUAUAUGAAAAUCACUUUUAAAAAUCCAAAAAAUCCCUUCAAAAUAAUUUCUAAACAUUUUUUUAACUUACAUUUAAAAAAUAAAAAGUAAAAAAUGAUUUGUUUUUACUAGUUAUUUAAUUUUAAGGAAGCAGUAAAGGGUUUACUUUGAUGUAAAAUAAAAGAUAAAUAAAUAAAUAAAAUGAGGGUUGAAAAGUAAGUAAAUCACUAAAAAAUAGACUUGGAGUUCCUUCGGUGUGGGGUUAGAUUCAAUUUGUCCCAUGCAAUGGAAAUGGACGAUUUUUUAUUUUAUUUCCUUUUCCUUUAUCUUGGUGUAGUCUUGUGAUAUUGUUACUAAAAUAGGAGGUAAAAAUAUAAAUUAUAUAUCAAUUAUUUUAAAUUUAGAAAAAAAAAAGUGCUUAUUUUAAUUUGAAAUAAAUAAAUAGAAAAAAACUGAUUUUAUCUCAAUUGAAUAAGACUUCAUAAAAAAAUUCUUAUUUGCAAAAUAUUUUGAGUUGUAACAGUAAAAAUUAAACAAAACAUUUCAUGACCUUUUUCACAAGUAUCCAUUUAGAUCACAAUCUAAUUUUUAAAUAUUUGAAUAAUUCAAUUACUCUAAACUAUAUCAUUUAUAAUUUUUUUUAUUAUUAAUAUGAUACCUAAGCUUCUAUAGAAUUGGAAUAAAAUAUGGAUAAGUAAAAAAUGUCAAAUGAAAGAUAAUUUCAAACUUUUCUAAUACAACAUGAUAUUUUAUCAUGUUCAAUAAAAUUGGAAUGGGCAAAAGUUGUCAAAUCAAGACUUCCAUGGCAAAUUCCAUUGCAUAUCUCAAAGAUUAUUCUACAACAUUAUCUUCGUAGACUUUUAACAAUCCAAGAAAUUGAAAAAUUAUAUAAUAAUCCCAAACACAAUAUUCUACAACUUUACAAUAUUCUACAAUUUUGUUGAACAAAAAAUAAAUAAUGAAAUCUGAAUAAUGCAAACAUUCAAUGAAAUCUUUGGCAUGUUAAUUCUUUGCAGCUUCAACAUGGUGGCAUGUCGGAUGGCGGAGGCAGCAUUUGAGCUUCUGGGUGUUUACCAUUUUUCACUAUGAACGCAGUUUCCAUGCCCCAAGUCACAUGGCGUUCUACAUGGCAGUGCAUGAACCACACUCCUGCAAUAGAGAAAAUAUACCAACAUUACACCUAACUUAUUGCAAUAUUAAGAAAAAUUAUUUCAAGGGUUUUUUUUUUAAUAGAGGAUGUGAGUGCUUGCAACAUACCAGGGUUGGAUGCCUCGAAUCUGAUUGCAACCCAACCAUUCGUAGGAACGGAGAUGGUACUCUGAAGGGGAGGAUCCACCAGAUUAUAGCGCAAAGGGUCCCUAUUUUUAUCAAAAUUCCCAAAUCCCCAUCCAACAAGGUAGAAACUGUAUCCAUGGAGAUGCAUGGGGUGGUGUGUCCCUGCAACCAAGUUUGUCCCUUGAAAAACAAUCUCCACUGUGGAGUUAUACUCGAGCACCCUUACUUCUGUUCCGAUUUCUGGCGUCUGAUACUCUAAUGGAAGAUAAUCAGCUGUAAAAUCGAACACUAGUGGUGGAACGCUAGGAAAUUUAUCUCCAUAUACACCACUGAUGUUAUAAUAGUAAGCUUGUAGUAUGUCAAUUGUAGGGGAUUGGAAGCUUAUGUUGUUUAUACUUGCGGAGAAUCGCGUCCCAUUGGGCCCUGCACAUGAAUUAUUGGGGCAUAGGAACGAGUUUACAGAAACAGUGUAAAUCAGUUUAGUGCUCGGGCUCAAUGGGACAUUGGAAGGAUGUUCCGCAUCUGCUAAGCUUCGGAGGCCAGCCAUGACCUGAACCGAUGCAUUUGUGUCAUUAUAUGCAGGAAAAUGAGGCAAGGAGAGAGGUGAAGAUGGAGUGUAGUAUCCUCUGUACUGUACAAUAGCUGUGGUGGUUGUGUUAUCAUAAAAAUUUUGAGCUACCGGGGCAAUGGAAUAAGUUUUAGCCGCCAUGUAAUAGUGAUCUGGGAGUUGGUUAGCUUCUAGUAAGACGUCGAAGGUUUGGCCAGGAUAUAUUGUGAUAUAAUCUCGUGUCAAUGGUUUCGUGUAGCUACCAUCUGUUCCAACCACUGUCAUUUUAUGCUUGGCAAUGGAGAAGAAGAGAGCCUCAUGCAAGGCAGCAUUGAUUAUGCGAAGUAGAUAGGUCUUUCCAUGAUCCACUCUUAGCUUGAAUGUGCCUGCAAUUAGAAAGGAAAAGUUGUAUACUUAUGACUAGCGAAAAGAAAAAAACAUUCCAUGAGCAUCCACCAAUUAUGAAGUGAUUGAUUAAUUAAGGGUGUAAAUUUGGCUCCAUAGUUCAAAAUUAUAUUUGGACUAGCCUUUUCUUAUGUGUUAAGUCAUGGCUCUACCAUCCUCAUAGCUAUAUUCCUCUUUCUUAGCAUUAAGUUUUAAAUAUGUUUAUAUUAAUAAGAAAAAGUAAUAUGGUUAACAUACAAGAAAAUGACAUCAAUGCACAAUUUUAAAAUGGAAAGUUAAACUUUAUACCGGAUUUUGAGCAUGGAUAUAGAUCACCGGGUUGUCCAUUUAUCAAUAAAGAAUCAGAGGCAUUAGGGUCAGCUCCGGUUGCAAGCCCUUCAUCUCGAACCGCAUUCACAUCACUCUUCCACCAUUGUCCUGCAUUUCAACAACUCCAAUAAUUUAGAUUUCGCUUUGUUAGUUAAUUCAUGAUAUGUAAAUUAACCUUUAAAAGGAACUACACUUAUACCUAAUAUGAUGGGAAUUUCUGCAUUAGGUUUGGGAAAAGGAUACUUGGUUCCAUUCUUGGGAUAAACGAUUAUAGCUCCAUGAACGGUGGCUCGGGUCCAGUCACUGUGAGCAUGCCACCAUAGAGUGCCUUCCUCGGAGGAAAGGAUGAUCUUCUGGCUAAACUUUGACCCUGGUUGAAUUGGGCAUUGUGUGAUAUACUCGGGACCAUCUGUCCAUGGAUAUCUAGGCAUAUUCACCCCAUGCCUGCAAAACAAUAACUAUACGUUAAAACUAGUACUAAUUUUCGAACUAACAAAAGAUGGCAUGUAGCAACAUAUUAUCAUAGUAACAAGAGGCAUCAACUGUAUUUCAAUGGAACCAAUGCAAAUAACCCUAAAAUAUUAUUUUAAAUUUAACUUUAUUUGCAAAGCAAUACAUUGCAGCCCCCUCUUAGAAAUAAAAGAAUGUAUGUCAUGGAGGCAUGCUGCCCACUGCUAUCUUUCUCCGAGACACGAUAGGACUUACCAGUGAAUGGUGAUAUUUUCUUUUCCCCUAUUAUAAACAUCGACGAUGAUCGUCUCUCCUUUCUUAGCAUAUAUAGUUGGUCCAGGAAAUUGUCCAUUUACUGUUAAGAUGUUCUUGGUGCUACAAAGCCUUGUAUAUGAAGCCUCCUUCACCUGCAACCAAUUAAAAGUUAACCAUGCAACCUCAUCCCAAAAGAAAUAUUACAAGCAUGAAUAGUUGCAUCGAUCCACUCAUGCAAGUGUAUAACCAAUAAGAAAUUGAAAGCAUGCAUGAACGACUCAAUGACACCAGGGUACCCGAAGACACCAUGAGGGUCAUACGGUGGAAAAUGAGAGCCAUACUGCUCCCUAAAUAUCAUGAACAAAAGAUGGUGUUAAGGCUAGAAUCAUAUAAGUAUUUACCACAAAAGUAAGCCGACGAGUUGAAGCUUGGCAAUGGAUGCCACCACCAAAAAGUAGAAACGCUAAAAUUUGCAGGAGGAAAACCUUCAUGAUCAGCCACAUCUUCUUUGGAAUAAAAGCCUCUUCUCUUGUCCUAAACACAACUCCUUCAAUUUUCUUACUAUUUCUAAUAAGCACGACUUAUCUUCUCUUUGACAUGAAUAGAUGAAUUCUUAAAGGUAUUUAUAGAGGCUGGAGAGAACCAAAACUGGAAUUGGUGAAAGCUGAACAGCCGGUUUCUCUCGAACUUUUGAUGUAUUUUUUUAAUAUAUAAUUCAUAAUCUAUUCAAGAUGAUUUUCCUGGGGUACAACAAUUCCUUGCCGCGUAUCAAUAUAAGAGAAGUAAUUCGAAUGUGUAUUGGUUUUGAAUGUUCUUCCAGGACCACUUCAAAGAGCAGGUUGUGUAUGAUAUUUGAUUACUCACCAAAAUUUAAAUAAACCAAAUGCCUGAAGAAUGCUAACAAUUGUGAAAAUUUCUCACAGCUCAGCUUCAAUCAGGCUGUGUACCAUAGAAGACGAGUUUCUUAGAAUCUCUUGAAUUUUCUAAUUCAAAAUACAAGUUUGACUUUGAGAAUUGACCAAGAAAUUAAUCAAACACAGUAUUUUAGAACAAAUAUAAAAUAUAUGUAGAAUAUUUUUAAAACUUUGACCUCGCAUAUAUACAGUACCUUUAUCAAGAUUAGUCAAUAUUUUUUCUUUGUUUUUGGUAGGAAGGGAAAAGUCAGCGCUAUAAUCAUAAUCCAUCAAAGAUACACUAUAUGCUACCAUGGGCGUACCGGCCAUUAGUAAUGGGCCAAAAUGUUCCCCAUGAUUAAAAAUAAAAUAUAAUCAUGGCAUAAAAAUCUUGACCCUCAUUUUCAAGAGGUGACUUUCUCCUAGAAAGAAUUAUUUUCCUUUUUAUUUUCUCAUCGGGAGAAAGUUGGAGAUUCACAUUGUUUAUAUUUUUAUAAUAGUUUUAGUUUAGUUUUAAAGCUUCCAAAAACUUCUCCCUUAUUUUUAUUUAUUAGGUUGGCUCAGUCCACUUGGGUACCCAAAAACAAACCCAAUAAAUAAUUAUUUAUUGAAUUGGGUCAAUCCCAAUAUUUUCAUAACCGAAUCAGACAUUGAAUUAGAAAAAUUAUCGAUUCAUACGUCACUGGUCAGACUAGUGACCGAACCGAUGACAUCAUACAUACAUAAUUUAUAUUUUAUUAAAAUUAAAAAUAAUUUUAAAAUAUAUAUAUAUAUAUAUAAUUAAAAAUUAAUAAUAUUUGCAAUAUUAUUUAUUCAUUUUUAUAUAAAUGUAUUAAUAUUGUUAAUUUAUUAAACAAAAUAUACAUAAUAUUUAAAUAUGAAAAUAUAUUAAAAUGGGUAUAUAUAUAGGUAGUCUUUGAGUCAACAUGCAUAACAAGAUUGGACAUCAAUUAAUUCAUUUAAUAAUUAUGUUGAUUAGUUUAAUUAUACUUUUUAAAAUAUUUAACUCAUAUUUGACACAUUUUAAAUUUGAUUUUAGAUAAAUAGGUUAAUCGAGUCAUAAAUAUAUUAGUCAUAUAAAUUAACACAAGACCUAACUCUACUUAAUUAUUAAAUGGGACAUAUGAGUUACACGAUAUGUUACUUGUUUAGUAAUUAUGUAGUAUUUUAGGUUUACGUUUUUAACCAGAUUAUUAUUCGUGUCGAGUUUGACACAACACAAAUAUGACCCACCAACACAAAUUGUAACCCCUAAGCUUGUUCACUCAAAAAGUAAAUUUAUACUAAUAUUUAAUUACCUAGUUUAAACUAGUAGAAAUAUUUUUAAAUUAUUGCUUAGUUUUUUUAAAAUUGUUAAUAUUGGUAUAUGUAUAUAGUUUCUCUAAAGACAUUCCAUUGAUGUAGAAUUCCAAAUAUAAUUUGUCUAUAUAAAUAUAUCAUAUAUUUUUAAUAAAUAUAUAUAUUGUAAGUUAAAUAUUAUAUUGUAUAAUAUGUUGUACUAUAUGCAUAACUACUAUAUUACUAUUUUACAAAAUAAAAAAUACACUAUAUAAUAGUAAUAUAUUAUAUACAUAAAAAGUUUUUGUGUAAAGUAUCGAACCACAUUUUAAUUAAUAAUUGAUUAUUUUAUUUUCAAAUAAUCUAAUUAUGUAUUUAUUAUUUUUAAUUAUUAAUAGCUAAUUUUUCAAAAGUGAUUUGUUAUUAAGAAUAAAAUCAUAAAUUAUGCCAUAAAACUAGUAAUUGUUAUAGAUACUAAUUUGUUAAGGAUUAUUAUUAUUAUUAUUAUUUACUUGCAUACAUUGUUUAAUAAGAUAUUUAAUUUAAGUUUUAAAUUCCUUACUUUAAAUUUUCAAUCUUAUUUUUAGUCUAAUUUUUAAUCUAUAAAUUCUAAUUUUUAAUUUUAAAAUUUUUAAUUCCUAAAUUUUAAAGGGGAAAUCAUGUAACCAUACAUCACCAAUAUAUAUAUAUAUAUAUAUAUAUAUGAGAUUUUUAGAACUUUGCUUUUACCUUUUUAAUUUUAAUGUAAGAUGAGAAAAAAUAUUUCCUAUUCAUGUACUUCAAUAGUGCUUUUAGAUUUGUUCCAUAAUUAUAAAGUAAAUGACAAAAUACACAUCACUUUAAUACCACCUAUUGACAAGUACAUGAAUCAUUUAUUUUUCUUAUUUCUCUCACACGUCUCACGUACCACUUGCCACAUUUCCACUUUUUUCUUUUUUCCUUCUUUCUUUUACCACCAUAAUCCAUAGUCACCUAUUAUAUUUUUCAUUCCUAUUUUUUUUUCCUUUGAUACUCUUUUUAAUAUGCUCAUAUAAACUUCUUUAAUUUAAAUUUUUUUUCACUCUCUAAUUUCUCUAUAUUUAUUGAUUAUAAUUAUUUUUUGGACAUAUUAUACUUAAAAUGAUAAUGUAUAAUAAAUAGUUAAUAUAACAAAUAAAAUAAAAUAAAUGUAUAAUAGACAAAAAUGAAAAUAUUAUCCCACAAAUAAUGUACUUUAUGAUUUUAAAUAUUAAUUAUAUUAAUAUAUUGAAUAAAUUAAGGUUUAAAUUUAAAUAUUUUAUUUUAUUAUUUAGAGGUUUAUGAUAUAAGACUUUUUUUAUAUUAAUGCUAAACAAAAGAUUUAUUUAUUUUGUAAAUUCUAUCACAUGAAAAAGUAAAAAUAUCUUUAUAAUACUAUUUUAUUAUUUAUAUUAUUUUUUAAAUUUUUAUUUUAAAUUUAUCACAUCAAAAUCACAAUAAGUUAUUGUGCUUUUAUCUAUUUUCUUAUGAUUUUAAUUUGAUUGUGGAUCUAACAUUUUGUUUGGUUAAAAUCUUUAAUUUUUAAUUAAAAUAAAAUAUAAAAGAAAAUAUAUUUUUCAUAAAAAAAAAUUGUGUUUAACCUUUCAUAUUAAUUUCAUGAAAAAUAAGUACAUCCGUGAGAAAAAUAGGUAAAUCCAUGCCUAGGGGAAUCGAGACCCCUAUCAUCCUUGUCAUGGUCUAUAUAUUCCUUUGGAACCCUUGAUAAGUGAUUGGAGGUCCUUGCCCACCCCAGAACGAACUUUGGAAUCCUAGGUACAUCCAUUCUUAAGGGAACCAAGACCCUUAUAUCAAUUCUCAUGGUUCAUAUAUUCCUUUAGGGAUCCUCGAGAAUGAAUUAUAGGUUGUUCUUCACCUUGGAUUAGACAUUAGAACCCAAGGUAUAUCCUAAAGACAAUUUGGUACAUUCGAUCCUUGGGCUACCAAAACCCCUAUAUCCCUUCCCAUAGUCUAUUUGAUACUUUGAGGACUCUUGAGAAGUGAAUGGAGGUCAUUUCUAAUCUCAGAAUGGACUUUGGAACCUUAGGUACAUCCUUAAAAAAAUUUGUUACAUCAAAUUCUCGGGCUAUUGGGACCCCUAUCUCCUUUCCCAAGGUCAAUUUGUUCAUUUAGGGAUCCUCGAGAAGUGAUUGGAGGUUAUUCCUCACUCCAAAAUGGACUUUUAAACCCUAGAUACAUCUUUAAGAAAAUCGGGUAUAUCUUAUCCUCUAGCUACCCAAUAUCGCUUCUUAUGGUCCAUUUGAUCAUUUAGAAUUGAUUUUAAGUUGUUCCUCAUCUCAUAAUGGACUUUGGAACCCUAGGUACAUCCUUAAGAAAAUUUGGUACAUCCAAUCAUCAGACUACUAAGACCCCUAUCACCCUUCCUAUGGCCCAUUUGUUCCUUUAGGAACUCUUGGGAAGUGAUUGGAUGUCAUUUUCCACCUUAGAAUAAACAUUGGAACCCUAGGUACAUCCUUAAGAAAUUUUGAAACAUCUAAUCCUUGGGACACCUAUCUCCCUUCCCAUGGUCCAUUUAUUCUUUUUAGAGACCCUCGGGAAGUGAUUGGAGGUCGUUCCCCACAUUGGAAUGGACUUUGGCACCCUUGGUACAUCAUUUACAAAAUUUAGUACAUCAUUUACAAAAUUUGGUACAUCAGUCACAAAAAUUGGUACAUCCUUAAAAAAAUUUGGUACAUCUAAUCCUUGAGCUAUUGGGACCCCUAUCUUAUUACCCAUGGUUCGUUUAUUCCUUUAGGGAUCUUUGGGAAGUGAUUAGAGGUUGAUCCUGAGCUACUUCGAAAUGGACUUUGGAACCCUAGGUACAUCCUUAAGAAAAUUUGUUAUAUCCGAUCCUUGAGCUAACAGGACACCUAUUAUAGACCCCUCAUUUUGACCAUGACACACAUAGGUUACCAUCUAAUAAAUCAUUGUAAUUCAUCGACUUGUAAUCUUUGAUUCUUUCUCAAAGCUUCUUGGAGGAUAAUUUAUAGAAAUUUUGAUGUGAUCACAUAAACCUUUGAAUUUGUAGCUUAAGGCCUUCUGAUUGUUCUAACUUACCAUUAACAGUAAUUUAAAACAAAAUUAUUGAAUCCUUAUUUUUAAAAUAUAAAGCAAAAUAAAUUACUUCUUUGAAUAAUAAAAAUAACUAAAAAGAUGUAUAUAAUAAAAUUUGGUAACAAAUUAAAAGUAGAUUUUAAUACAAACAACUUAACAUGAUUCAAUUUUUUUUAUUAAGCAUUAUUUUUCAAAUUAUAAAGGCCAAUAUAUGAGUAAUAUUCUUUCUCUUUUUGUUUCAUAAACCAUAAUUUAAAAUAAAGUUUUUACUAUUGUCAUUAAAUAUACAUUUUGAAACAUAAAAUACGAUAUCUCUUUAAAUAUUUAUUUAAUUUCGAAUGUGCCAAAAAUCCCCUUUUUCCAUCAAUUCUAACUACAACAACUGCCAUUCAAAAAUCCCAUGCCUAUGCUAGCCACAUAUUCACAAGUCGGACUUUUUUAACUUUUGCGGCAAUUUUAAAAAAUAAUUAUUAAAAAAUGGUAGUUGUGAACAUAUUGAUAGAUAUACAUCAGUUUUGGCUACGUGGAAGGUGUCUUUUGAAGAGACACCUUUCACAAUUUUUAAAAUCAUGAAAGAAUUGAAUUUAAGCUAAAGGUGUCUCUUGAAGAGACACCUUCUACAAUUCCAAAAAAUUGGAUUUAUAUUAAAGAUGUCUCUUGAAAAGACACUUUCCACAUGGCAAAAAAUCCAAUAUGCAUUAAAGGUGUCUCUUGCAAAGACACUUUCCACGUGGCAAAAAAUCCAAUAUGCAUUAAAGGUGUCUCUUAAAGAGACACCUUCCACAAUUUGACAAAUUUGAAUGUCUCAUGAAUUUGAUUUUGAAGUUAAAGAUGUCUCUUAAAGAGACACCUUCUACAAUUCCUAAAACUUUUAAUCUAUACAAAAUGUGUCAAAGGUGAAGGUGUCCCGUCAAGAGACACAUUCUAGAAUUCCAAAAAAUUAGAUUUAUACUAAAGGUUUCUCUUGAAAAGACACUUUCCACAAUUCCAAAAAAUCCAAUAUUUAUUAAAAAUUGUAGAAAUGAUUUUAAAGUUAAAGAUGUCUCUCUUCAAUGUAUGAAAAUUGUGGAAAGUGUCUCUUUAAGAGACACUAAAGAGACACUUUCAGUAUAAACUCAAUUUUUUUAAAAAUAAUGGAAGGUGUCUCUUCAAGAGACACCUAUAAUUCAAUUUUUGGGAAUUGUGAAAGGUGUCUCUUGGCACCUUCCACAAUUUUAAAAAUAUUGGAUUUAUACUGAAAGUGUCUGUUCAAAAGACACUUUCUACAAUUUCCAUUCAAAUAGUGAAAAAUUUCGAAUUUAUGUUGAAGGUGUCUCUUGAAGAGGCACCUUCCAUAAUUACCAAAAAAAUGGAAUUAUAUUCGGACGCCUUUCAUAAUUUUUAAAAAAUUGGGUUUAUACUGAAAAUGUCUCUUGAAGAGACACUUUCCACAAUUUUUUAGUGGAAAAUUUCAAAUUUUGAAAAGGGACAUUCUAUAAUUCCCAAAAAAUAGAAUUAUACUAAAGGUGUCUCUCCAAGAGACACCUUCCAUAAUUUGAAAAAAAAAAAAAGGGUUUAUACGGAAAGUCUCUUCAAGAGACACUUUCCACAAAAUAUAUAUAUAUAUAUAUAUAUAUAUAUAUAUAUAUAUAUAUAUAUAUAUAUAUAUAUAUAGGGUUUAAAUAACAAAUUAAUUAUAACUAUUUUAUAAUUAAAUGAAAAAUUUUCAUUUAAUUGAUUAGUAAAAAUAUAUCAUAAUUUUAUUCAUAGUGUUUUUAAUAUUAUUAAAAUAUUAAAAAUUUAUACAUUUAUCAUCAUUUAUUUUAUAAUAUAUCAUAAUUUUAACAUUAAAUAGAUUUUAAAAUUAAACAUGUUAUAAUCACAUAUCACAAUAUUAUCAUCAAAUAAUAUUUUAUAUUAUUUAAUAAUCAAUGUAUACUUAUCAAAUUUAUUUAUGAACUUUCCAAAAUAAACUAUGAAGCAAAUGUUCUUAAUUGAAAUGAGUGUUACUGGUGAACCCGUGAAUGUUUUAUUUUUUAUUUUUUAUUUUUUUAGAACUAGGAAAAUUGGAUGAAGACUAUGUCAAAGAAGCUUAUAUCUUCAGCCAGGUCUCCCCCAUAUUUGUUCAAGUCUAUCUAUCUCAACAUGAGGUGAAUCCAAGUCUGUGUUUCGAAUCAAAUAUCAAUUCAUGAUUCUUGCAUGCUGUCGUAAUAAAAAAUUUUGUAAGUAAUAUAAAAAAAGUGAGGAAGGAGGUUCAAUGUUGUAACUAUCACUACUUUAUAAUCAAAUUGUAAAUUUGGAGUGCUAAAGAAAGCAGCCGGGUUGUAAGUAUUUGGUUUUUCGUCUUCUAUGAACUAGUGCCUGCAUUAUGGCUAAAUUUCUGAAAAGCCAGUUUAUUACUACCUGCUUGUUUCUCUACCUUAAGAUUCUCUCAUUCUCUCUUCUAUUAUCAUUUCAAGCAGCAGAUAGUGACCACUGUCUAGGCUUUUGUGUAGAAACAAAAAGGCUCUGAUCCAUCAUUCAUGCAAGUGACCUUCAGUGAUGUUAUUCUCUUGUGUGGUCUUCUCAGCGAUGGCCCCAUAUCUCUUAAAUAUCCUUUUUGUCUCUAGUUUACCAUUAACCCUGUUUUGAUCUUCACUCUUCAUUGCCAAAACCGUGCUUGAACCUCACCUGGACGAACUUCACUAUUAGACAAGAAUUGAAUUUGAGGCAACACGAACCAUCCAUGUCGAUGAGAAUAUGAAAUUUGGUAUCAAGUGAAGUGGACAAAAUUCAAAAACAAAAACAAAAAUAAUCAAUGAAUUUUAAUUUUUUUUGCAACCCCCGUUUGAUUCCCAAGAAAAUCCAUCCCCCAUUCGAUUUCCGGGAAAAUUCAUCCUCAUUUGAUUUCCGAGAAAAUCCAUGCAAAACCCCCCAAAGAAAACAAAAAAAAAUGCUUUUUUUUUUUGCUCCCUGUGCUUUCUGGAUCUGUUCUAGGGGUCUCUUUCCUUUUGUGCCAUUGGAUUUAAAUUUCACGAACCCUAAAUCCACGAUUUUUGAGCUAGGCUAAAAAACACAACCUUUCCCCGCAAAUCAUGAUCAGAUUACCAAAUAGCAUCUUAUGUUUUUUUAUAAAAAAAAAUUGGACGGAUUUUGUAUCCUGUGCGCGGGCUGGACUGGUUCGGAUACAGUUGAAAGUCCCAGAGUAUGGUUGGGCCACGAGAAGGUGUUCCACUCUCUCAAUUUCCUGGUGAAUAGGGUUAGAUCACUAGUUUUUUAUGUUCCGUAGAAAUGUGCAGCGCCUGCAUCCAGAGAUUAUCCAACAUGUCUUACUUGAUAUGCCAAGUCUUACUUUCUUCACGACCUAUGCGCUUUUGGCAUUGUUCUGGGUAGAAAUAUACUAUCAGGCACGUGCUGUAUCUACUGAUGUACUGAGACCAAGUUUCUACAGAAUUAAUGCAGUGGUUUAUGCCAUUCAGAUUGCUAUGUGCACCUUGGAUUCGAAACUAACCGGUUAAAAACUGAAACCCCUGCAUGUGAGAGAGCAUCACCACAGGCCACGCGAGGGAGCUCGUCAGUCACGUUUUCCAACUGCCAUGCAUUCGGUGAAGCGAUUUUUUGAAGGGAAGUCUCCAGGAGAAGAAUCUUUUUCUGUUGCGGGAGGAGAAUUGACAUAGUCUCUUUUUCUGGGCGUUUUUUUGGAGGAGAGUUCAAAGAUCUUCUUUCUGUAGAAAAUCAUCACAUAAACCGAUUCAAAGAAUUCAGAAGGCUUCUCAUUAGAGCCAAGGUUCACCAUUCUAGAUCUUCAUGAACAUCUCCUUCAUAGUGGCAUUGGCACCCCGAUCCCUGUACGAAUACACAAUCAGCCUGGAAACCUCUUCUCCAUUCUCUGAAUUGCCUCUUCAUCGUUACGGACUGACGCAUUUUGUUGAUCAUCGAUGUCACCUGUGAACUGGAUCACACACAUGAAGAGAUAUCUAAACAUCUCAAUGGUAGGAACCUCCAUGAUUGAUUGAUCUCCAUCAUCUUCGUGAUCGUGCACAGUUCUGAAAGAAGAGACGAGAAUCUCUUCAUCGUCUUCACUCUCUAUGCUUAUAUCUCGAAGGUUAUCCCGGUUUCUAUGGGCAUCGAAUCUCCAUAGAUGAACUCGGAUUCUGCAUUGACCUGAAUCUCGAGCAUGCAUUAUUUCAUGGACGGAUAGAAGAAAAAGAAGAGACUUCCAUAUUGUGCUGCCAAACUUGGUGUUUUUCUUCAUUUAUUCUUCACCACAACAGUUGGACAUAAAGGUUAGUCUCAAUGAAUCUUUACCAUUUGAAUUGGUUUAUUAAUGAUUUUUAAGUUAUUCAUUGAUAAGGUUAAAGGACAAUGGAUGAAAUUGGUUUGUCGAUUUUGAAACUCAUGGCUGUUUGUGAUGUGUCGGUUACUAUGUGAAUUAAAAAUAAAGAAGGAUAAAUGCAAUGAUGGAAUAAUGCAGAAUUGGUUGAUGCCUUGUUAAUAUGUACUAUACUUUUUUUCUAUAUGUUUAGUGUUGUCAUUUUAGUUCUAAGUAAAAUAUUUUUUAAUUACAUUAGUAGCAAUGAUGGAGAAGUGAUAUAGUUGUGUUAAUGGAAUUGUAUGGCUGAAAAUGCUGUGUGAUCCAUGAAAUUUAUGUGGCUAGGAAAAUUAGAGAAGGAAUAGAGGCUGGCUAUGAUUACUUGUUGAAGUUUUAAAGGAAAUAUCUAGAUAUAUGUUAUGGAAUAAUGACAGUUGUAGUGAAUAAUGCACAAUUGGUUAUGGGAUAAUGUUGAUGAUGCUUGUUGAUUUUUUAAUAAAAGCUAUGUAUAAAAAGUGGAUGUAUAUCCAGCCAUAAGUGUUUUUAGUGGCUCUUGAUGAUAAGUAAUGGUGCCUUGUUCAUAUGUACUAUAUAUAUUUUUUUUCUAUAUGUUUAGUGUCGUCAUUUUAGUUCUAAGUAAAAUAUUCGAUUCCUUAAUUCUAAUAUUUAUUGCCAAUAUUUUCACUUUAUUCAUUUCUUCCCACUUCAUGAUUGAUUUUUUUGAAUACAUGUUAGUUUAGGUUGGGUAUGGACAAUUUGGGCCACACGAGUGUUUAUAGAAUUUGAUAUUUAGGAAACUAAAUGAUUAAAUGUGGAUUACUUGAUGAAUUAUGAUUGAGAUUCAGCUAUUUUUUUCUUUUCUUUUUUUCUUCAAAAUUUCUUUUCAUCUAAAUAAACCAUUGGAUAAUCACAUGACAAUUGACUUUGAAUAAACUCUCUUGAUUUUGAUUCAUGGAAAUUUGAUUUAUCUUAAUUUUCUUAAAUAAUUCACACAUAUACACUUACAAUUUUUUUGGUAAUCCAAAUUUAAAAAUAUAUAUGAAUUAUUUUUCCUUUUGAAAAUUUUUUUUAUACCUCAUUCAUAACAGAAUUAAUCUUAGUCUCUUUUAUAAUGAAUUGUUUUUAUAUUUAAAAUCUAUCUUACUCUCUUUUAAGUAUGAAAUUUCAAUUUCUAAAAAGAAUAAUGCUGCCCAUUUUUAUUCGGUAUGGAACUUUGAAAUGUUUUAAAAAUGAAUUUUGGUUUUAAAUGUACGCGAAUUAAAAUUCAUAGUUCCAACUAAUGGAUUCUUUAUGAACUAAUUCAUGUAGAUAAAAAUGGGAUUUAAUAAAUCCCUACAUACAAAAAAAUUUCAAAAAUAAAGUUUUCUAUUGACACUAUUGACAGCCCAGUGCAUAUUUGAACUUGUAAAUUAUAAUCUGACCAUUUAUAGACUCCUUAAAAUUUUUAUAAUUAUUCCAUGAUAUUCUAACUCUUUGAAAUUAAUUUUAGAAUUUUAUUUUGGUAAAAAAUAAUUUCCCAAUUAGAAGAUAUAAAUCAAUCUUUCAGAAGGUUCAGCUUUCACUUUGUUUUUGAUACUUAGUUUUUUUUUGUAAAAUUAAAUUACUAAAAGAUCUCUUUAAAUUCAUUGAAUAUUUUUCGCUUAAUCUAGACCUCCUAAGUUUAAUUUUUGACACAUAAAAUAUUAAUAUAUAAUUACUAAAAAGGGAGAUAUAAUUUUUUUUCUUGAACCUAUUGCACCUGUGCUCUGCUGGAGCUGAAUGAAGUUUACUUAUUGUUAAACAUAUUAUGAAUGUAAUAUUGCCUUGUGAUUAUUUUUCAUUCAAAAUAGACAUGUUAGGCUAGUUUUACGAAUUUUUAUUUUUAUUUUUUAUGAUUUUAGGACAUCUCCAAAUUAAUUUAAAAAAAAUCAAUUGUUGAAUACUUUAACAAAAUGCCCUGUUCUAAACCUACUAUUAGCAUUAUGAAAUCUGGUAUUAAAUGAGAGCUAGUUGAUUAAUUUGAUCACUUGGAUGAUAAACUAGACGUAUAGAAGAUAUUCUCUAAAAAUUUUCAUGAUGAAAUUUAACUUCAAGAUAUUUGUUUUAGAUUUAUUUUGUAGAAACCCCUGGUUUCAACCAUUUGCUAUUUUUUUUUUUUUGCAAAGAAACCCUCUUGUGAAUACAUUUGACAUUGGUUAUAUAUAAGUUUAGUUUUUGAUUCCUUUUUGAAUUCAUUGCUAUUAUUUGUGAAUUAGUCUCAUUUCUAUGAAAGCACUUUAAAACGCUUGUUAUGAAAUAUGUGACUACUUAGAAUACAAUGUGAUGCUAUUGCUUGUUAUUUAAAUUUUGUGUUUUCUAGAAGCGCUUGGAAUGCAAAUUAGGUAUGCUUUUCUUUAUUAAAUUGGUGAAUUAUGUUGAUGUGUUUAGUUAGUUCAUAGUGUAUAUGAAUUAAUCAACUAAUCCUCAUAAUUAUCUCAACUUAGUAGAGAUCUAGUUUUUUAGGACUUAGAGGGGUGUUGCGGUUCUUUUCCGUACCUUUCCAAUAAAUAAUCUGACUCCUGGACCCAACUUGGUUUUCACAUACCCGUCUUUUCUUUUAGGAGUCACAUUUAGGGUUUUUUUUUCUUAUUUUGUUUGUCUUAAAAAAAAACCAAAGUAAGUGGCGACUCCUUUAUUUAUAAAAUUAAUUUUUCACAAACAAAAAGUGAGCCUUGCCAUCGAGUGGGAACGCAUGUGAAAAUACGGGAUCACAAAGUGGCAACUCCACUAGGGAUCUUAGAGGGUCAAAGCUUGAACUUAAGUUAAAGUAAAUUUGACGUUUAAUUGCUUGAUUAAUGAAUACCCUUUCUUUGCGCCUUUGUGUGAUUGUGUGAUUAAUGGCACAUUGAAGAUUUUUUGAUGCUGUAAAUAUCUAUGAUAGAUGCAUGUUAGAUGAUGAUGUUUAUUUAUGAUUGCUUCUCUUGUCUAUUAUGUUUUUCUUAACAUGAUUGAUUGUAUUCUUAUCACAUGCCUAUUAUCCCUUAGCAUGAUGGUUGAUCUAGUUGUAUGUUUUAUUAGAUUAUUAUGUCUUUGUUUAAUUUGAAUAUAGUGAUGGAUGAUUUAUACAUGUAUUGCAUGAUUGAUUGUUGCAUGACUACUCUUCUCUUAUGUGAUUGCUUGUUGCAUGUUCAUGUAGACGCACUUGUAUCCCCUUAACUCCAAUUCUCUAAUUUUGGUCGGCUUUGUUUCCCUUGAUCUUGUAUUAUAUAUGGGUGUGGACCCACAUUUUUCACGCGCACCCCCACUUGAUCAACGAGACUCGCUUUUAUUUGGUGAAAAAUUUAAUUUUGGAAAAGUUAGAGUCGCCACUUAUUUUAUUUUAUUUUAAAGGGAAAAUAAAACAAGAAAUAAAACCCUAAAAAAUGACUCCAUAGUUUUUGAAAAAACACGUGUCUUUGAAAAACCUGAGUCUAGGUCCGGGGAUCAGGUUACUAAUUGGGAAGGUACUUCUAGAAUGUAGCACCCCUUUAAGCUCUACAAAGCUCUCUACUAACCAAGUUGAGGGAAAUGUGGAAUUAACUAGUUGAUCAUGGAUACCUAGGUAGGCUAAGGUGAUUUCAAAAUUAGCAUGCCAAAAAAGAAAAACCAAUCAUACUCAUAAAGGAGAUUUAGGGUGCAUACCUAGACUCCUUCUUAAGCGCUAUCACAAGACAUCAAAAUUAGUUUGGAAAUAUAGCACACAUGUGUUUUAUCCAAGAAAAUCAAGCAUACAUCUAAGCACCUAAGGAUCACAUCAAGCAUAAAUAAGACUCACAACAACAUGCAUGUUCAUAAAAUUUUGAAAAGUAAGUGAUAGAGAGCAUACCUAGAUAGCAUGCAUAAUUUAUAAGAUUCCUCCAAAAAUGCUAGAGUGAUUAAGACAAGUAUGAAUUAUAUAACAUAUUCAUUAUGUCUAAUACACGGUACCAAAGCCAAAAUUGAGCCAAGGUAAGUCAAAUGACUCCAAAAAUAAAUAACGAAUUCAAGCAAUGUACAAGAUCAUCAGCAUGUAAUUAGAAUAGGGAGCAUCAAAAAAACAAUUUCUAAAAAAUGGAUUAGAGUAGAAUUUAAUUACAAAAAAUUUCACAAAACAACUCCUACACAUCUAGAUCAACAUACCGAAGGCCAAACUCUCAUUCAAAGGAUAGAUUGUAGCAAAGACACCUAAAGGUUCUACAAAUUCCAGAUUAGAUAAGAAAAACUGACAUGUGUAAAUGAAUUUUUUAAAAAUAAUAAAUAAUCACAUAAAAUCAUACAAAAAAUCACACACAUAGUUCAAAGUGUCUAUAUCACAAAAAAAUGAAUCUAGGGUCGGAUAGUACUCAAAAAUAUUUUUAAAGCACUCAAGCUAAUCAGAUGUCCAGAAUUCAGCAUGUGCAAUAGGUACGACUUUGAAAAAUCAUAUCUCCCUUAAAGAAGCAUAUAUUUUAAUAGUUUAUAUCUCUAAGAUCAAAUUCAAGAAGCUUAUAAUUAACGAAAAAUAUCAAAUUAAAUUUAGACAGUCGUCCAUUAUUUUAUUUUUGCAUUAUCCAAAACUGGGUGAAAACAGAGCCCUCCUAAAUUUUCAGUUAUAUUUUCUGUUCUGGAAUUGUUUUCUAACUCAAACGAAACUUUAAAUUCAAGUUCAAGGAGUGAGGAAAGUCAUACAAGCUUUGAAUUUUUUUUUAAAAUAUUCUAAAAUUGCUAUAAUGAAUUUAACUCUAAAAGGUCAAUGGUUGAAUGAAAACUGGCAGCAAGGAAAAAAAAAAGUUUUUGAAAAUUUUUGCAACACUAGAAUUUUCCUCUCAAAAUGGCUGAUGCGUUAGGAGAAUGUCCUCCAUAAGGUAUAAAAUUCAGAUUUACAAAAUCAACACUAAACUCACGAUGGGUAGCUGGAAUUUUGAUGUUAUCAAAGGAUUGAAGAGGAAUUUUAGUGGGUACCAUGAAGUACUCCCUAUCCUAGACAGCAAAGAGGAUGAUGGUUCCAAUAAGAAGAAGUCAGGUAUAUGCAGCCAAAAGGUAAUUAGGAAUAGGGAGCACGUGUCUUUUGAAGAGUCAGAGAUUACCAUCCAUAUUGUGGAGAUGAAUGAAUAACAAGUCAAAUCACAGUAGUAUUCUUGAAAUCCGUUUGAUUUCAAAGAUGAAUGUAUGUUCUUAUUGUAGCCAUGCAUUCUCAAUCACUUCUGCAUAUAUUUUGCAUGUAUUGACAAAUUCAAGGCUCGUGGGACCCUUCACGUCUAUGAACAUAUUCAACCGUGGGCGAAUUAUAACUCUUCUUCGGAAACACCCAUCAUCACACUUCCGGCCAAGUCUCUUGAUGCUGUGUGGUCUCAAGAUUCCCCCUCUAAAAAUCUGUUGAAUCUGCUUCAUUGGCGCGUGUGUGGGCUGUACAAAGGAGUUUCUAGAGAUACAUAGAAAAAAUGCGGAAGUGGCUGCUGCCUCCUCCCAUAUGGCUGCGUCAUGGCUGCCUCAUGCGAACAUGGUGGCCUUAUUGUGUCACUCACUUAAGGUGGCCUUGUGAGCUACUAUCAAUGGAGGAAAGAAGGUGACUAUGAGGCAUCAACCCUCCUCGUGCAGUCCAUGCGGCUGCCACUUAACAACAGAAAAAUCUGCUUAGAGAACUCCUUCACCAAAAUCUGCUGAAUCUGCUCCCGAAAAUCCCCAGAUAGCCUCACCAAAACCAGAACCUGUGUGGACCUUCCUUCUCAAAAAAAAAUGGUGCCUCUCUCUCAAUCUUCUAUCCCCCACAAAAGACCACCAGCCUGUGUCUCCCAUUCCAAUCAACUGAAAGAAACCCAAGCUUUUAAAACCCACCCGACUGUUUUCUUCCCGUAUUCAUCCAAUGAACCAGCAGUUUCAGAACACAUUUGCUGACCCCUGAACUCGCAUUCCUCACCUUCUCAAAGUGCAACCUGCUGCCAAAAGAGGAGUGUUGAAGCUUCACUAACUUCACAGCCUCUUAAACUUGCAAUUGCUCCCAACAGGAUGGCACUUGGUGUUGUAUAUUGCAACAAAAGCAUAAACCGAUACAUUUGAUCUCUGGAACCAAAAAAAUUCAUCUUAUCAUCUAAAAGAAUGAUUCCAAUUCCAAUCGAAGUACCAAAAGCCUUGCAACACUAAUUCCAAUUACAGUCCGAAUUCCAAGUUUAGAUUCAUAUGGACCCUCAACGAGCAUUCCUCCAAGGAUAAGCAACACGAAUGGAAUUGUUGCCCCAGCCAAGAUUGAUAAGUUGUCUGUGAUAAAUGAAAGUGGAGCAUCAUAGUCAAAAACAAAAGAUUUGAGCUGAGGAAACAUCCCAAUAAUAAUGGCUAACAGAGAAGCAACUGUAGGAGGUUGAAGUAUGUGCUGAAUUGGUGUUUGUUCAGCAACGAUCCUAAUUCUCCUAACCACCUUCGGCUCCACCAAACACCUAAUGGACUCGGGACUGUUUGGACCUCCCUCCUCCACUAAACCAACAUCAGGAAAAGUACUUGGUGAAAUGCUAGAGAUUCUGGUAAAGACCCUUGCAAUAAAGGGUGUCUUACAAUGCUCGCUUUCUUUAUCUUCCAUUCCUGGCCAUUUAGCUUCAACAAGCAGCGGCCUACUUAAAUCGUUAGCAGUGACCACCUCCUUAACCUCAUUCCCUUCGUCAACAAUUUCAUAAUACUCAAGGGGUGGUUCCAUCAUGUGGUAUGCAAGUGUGUAAACAAGAAUUACAGCAACCCACUGAGCAAAAGAAACAUAAAACACACCAGAGGUAUGACAAUCAGGACCAAAUGGGUUCUUCGCACUGUGGCAUAUUGACCCAACAAUGGCAAGCGGGAGAUUACCCGUGUUCCCAAAUGCAGUCAUGAUGAUGGUAAACCAAAAGAAUUCGGGUGGUGGCUGGCAUAUUAUUGCCACCAAGUACCUCAAAAUGCAACCGACAGCAGUACUGAUAAUGACGUUUACGGGUAUGAACCACCAGAGGACAAAAUUCUUGCCAGUAAUGGAUUGUCCCAAUUGGGUGAAGAUUAAGCAUAGUAGGAAUAGGACAAAAACAAGCUUGCUGAGAAGCCUGAAAGUAGCUUUUGACAUAACUUGGAGUUUUGGAUGGGCGAGAAUUAGGCCUAUGACAGUGAGUGAGAGCAGUUUCAUCAAAGGCACAACUGCUGAUAGCCAAUUUUCUCCACCAGAUUUCACAUUCCCAUCUGAUAGAUCCCAGAAGGAAUCCAUUUUUUUCCCUCUGUCUAAGAGGAAAAAUCCCAAAAGGAAACUUCCAAUGAAUUUGACGAGCUAAGCAAAAAAUCCGAGAAAUCCCUAGAAUUAACACUAUAUUCCAACAACUAAAUUUCAGACUCCAAUACCACAGACGAGAGUCCAGGAACACCCAGAAAAGGCCGGAUCCGGAGUGAUGGAUGAAAAGGAUUGGUCCACUGAGUGAUUGAUUUUCGGGUGGAUAGUUAGCGAUUCAUCGCCUCACCACGGGGUUCAUCUUUGACGAUGACUGACUAAUUGAUAUUGGUUGGUACAUCUAUCAGCACUUGACUCUCUUAUUUCACUGUCUUUUAAACCUUUAGAUGAGAAUAGAGUGGCAGUAGAGGCAUGUGGGUGCGCGAGAGUGGCGGGUAGCCGAAGGUGGUGGCAAACGAAGUGGUGUGUGGUUGCACCUCCUCUUCCAGUUUUGGUGCUGCCAACCGUGCCCUCUACUGAAAGAAAACCCCACUUUUCCAAAAGCCCUAUAUAUAGGAAGAUCACACAAAGACAGAUUUGCAUCAAAAGCUACGGAGGGCCUGGAUUGAAUUUUUUAGCAGCCAGCAGAAGAGCAUUUAGCAAAGCAUCUUUAGCUCCUAACUGCAAGUAAUAUCCUUCAUUUUGGAUCUUCCGCUUAAGAAUCUGGGCAGCGAAGAACUCGACUUCGAAAUCAGAAAGAAAGGAAUGAUGAUGACGAUGAUGAUCGGAAGUGAGGAUGGAGGUGACGACAUCCCAAGAAAGGUUAGUAUGCUGGAACUGGACGAGCCACUGAUUAGCAGCUACGCGGUUGCAGGACUGAGAGUCAUGAUUGAGGGCGUGAACAGCCUAGGCGGCCUUAAUUUGCAACUCCAUCUACGUCUCUCUUCUAAAUAAGCAACGGACGAAAGAGAACCAUAGAAAAUGAACGAGGAGAGACCGAUGCCUGUAAUUCCCCUUAUUUCCUACAGGCUCCUUAGAUCAGACGGUUGCUGCCUCAGAUCUGUUGCACUGAGUCUUAGAUAUGUGCGUGGGUUUCAAAUGUCUUAUGGAGUGCAUGAAGUGAGGGGGAUGAGUAGCGGAGUAGUGUAAUUCUUGGAGAAGAAAUCAAUCUGACACUGGCAAAACCACUUAGAGACAUGUUUGCUAGAAUGGAAAAGUCAACCCUCGAAAGUGUUUUUCUGGUGGCACGCCUGUUAAUAUAGAAACCACCCAUUCUUGAUCAAUGAAGGAGCGAAUCAGAUUGAUCCACACAAACCCCAAGGCAAACUAAACUUCAUGGAUUUUCCCUUCUCAGAUUCUUCAGAGGCGAGUUGUGCGCUGGUUAUGGGUCCAGAAACUGCAAGCAAUCCAUGAAGAAUCCAAAAUCAACAGCAUCAUGACCUUUAACGGCCACUCCAAUCAUCCAAACGAAUAUCAAUAAUUGCAAAUGGAAUAAAAUUUGAAAGGAACAUGGAUGUAAAAUGAAGAACUUGUCUUAGGAAGAUGCAGGCUGACGAAUAUCCCCUUAAGAAUCCCAGUGAGGUCCUCCCCCUGCUCCUCACUCUUCUUGCAACAACUCUCCUUCUGGACGUCCUCCUUUCCUUCCUAAAAGAUCAGCCAACCCUCUUAUCUUCAUUUUUCAGCCUGUGCUCUCCUCCCAACCCUCUAUUGCAGGCACAUACAUCUCCUUUUUCAGAAUAGCCAGUCCAACCUCCCUUCCAAACUCUCCAUGAUAUCUUCCUAAAGAGCGCCUCCUCAUCCAAAAACAAUCUCAAAGUUUCCAAAGAGAUUCUUAAACCUUCCAAAACCAAAAAUCCCUUUCGUGCAUGAAUAUCCCCAAAAAUUGCUCUUUGUCUGCAAUUGUGGACUUUCACUUGUCUUCCUUUCUAAAAAAAAACCUCAAACUCCGAUCUCUUUCCCCAAGCUGUGUCUAUCUUCAAUUGCUUCCUUAUCUCUUAGAGCCACCUUUCCUUAAACUCUCCCAAAACUUCCACACCUAUCUUCCAUACAUUUCCUACAAAAUUUCAAAGUUAAUAGAUUAAAUAAAAUAAUAAUAAUAAAAUAAUAAUAAUGAUAAAAAUGAGUAAAAGUAUUAAUAAUAAUAAUAAUAAUAAUAGUAAUAAAAUGACAAUAAAAAAAAUUAAACCAAAUUAUUAAAUUAAAAUAAAUAAGUAAGGAUAAGUAUUACAGAAAAGUGACAAAAUAAUAGGAAAAUAAAAUCGAGGAGGUAAUAGACAAGAUAAUAAAUAAAAUAAACAAAAAUAUAAUAAAAAGUCAAGUCAUGUGAUUUUACAAAAACGAGCCAUGCAAAUCAUGCAAGCCAUAUAAAAAAUGCAAUCUAUACCAACCAUGCAAACAUGCAAAAAUUACCUGAAAGGUGACCUAAGUGGGCCUAAGGUGUUGCCUAAUGGGCCAAGUGUAUCUAAAUGGGCCUAAGGUGCCUAAGUGGGCCUAAAGUGGUGCCUAAUGGGCCAAGUGUACCUAAAUGGGCCUAAAGUGCCUAAGUGGUGCCUAAUGGUCAAGUGUAUCUAAACGGGCCUAUGGUGCCUAAAUGGACCUAAAGUGGUGCCUACUGGGUCAAGUGUACCUAAAUGGGCCUAGGGAGCCUAAGUGGGCCUAAAGUGGUGCCUAAUGGGCCAAGUGUAUCUAAAUGGGCCUAGGAUGCCUAAGUGGGCCUAAAGUGCCUAAGUGAGCCUAAGGUGAUGCCUAAUGGAUCAAGUGUGCCUAAAUGGGCCUAAGGUGCCUAAGUGGGACUAAGGUGCCUAAGUGGGCCUAUGGUGCCUACGUGAGCUUAAGGUGCUUAAGUGGGCCUAAGGUACCUAAGUGGGCCUAUGGUGCAUAAGUGGGCCUAUGGUGCCUAAGUGAGCUUAAGGUGCCUAAGUGGGGUUAAGGUGCCUAAGUGGGCCUAUGGUGCAUAAGUGGGCCUAUGGUGCCUAAGUGAGCCUAAGGUACCUAAGUGAGCCUAAGGUGAUGCCUAAUGGGCCAAGUGUGUCUAAGUGGGCCUAUGGUGCAUAAGUGGGCCUAAGGUGCCUAAAUGAUCCCAAGUCUAAAUAGGGUUGCCAAGAGUCACAAUGGGGUUAGGUAAAUCCCUCAACCAAAGUCCCCAAGGUGGCUUAGAAAAGAUAGGCUACACGAGUAGUAAUGAGCCACCAAGGAAUUGUUGUAAAGUAUCAAACAAAUACCUAAUAGGACAUGUUCUAGGAGGACAAAAUGGAGGGUUUACAAUGGGACUUGUUAAUUCAUGUAUGCUUUCGAUCAAGCUAGAGACUAGGAGUAGAGUCUAGUAACGGGUUAUAUUAAUGUUUGGGUGCACUAUGGAGAUAGGCAUGUUAAUGCCAAUAGUAGUCCUAUCAUUGAAGACCUAUAUGACACAAAACUAGAUUGAAUGGAUACUCGUGUGGCCAGUUUGUUCCCUUUAUUGUUUUAGUCACAUAGGUUUUUCGGAAGCACCCACAUUAUUCUAAAUGUACACUUAGAUUAACCCUAAAUGUUGAGAAAUGUAAAAGCUUUACCUAUAGGAAACCCCAUGGGAUGUGAGGAAGUGCAUGUGUGGAGGUGAUGACCACCUUGCAUGGAAGCACCUUAUCUCUUAGGAGGCGUGCAAAAGGUUACAUACCAUCAGAGCAUACGAUCACCUUUGCUAGGGAUUCCCUUAACCCACCUACUUAAUUUUUUUAGGGCCACCUUCUUACCAAGUGGGUGGAGAAAACUUCUUAUACGAGAUUGACAUUAGCCAGAGUUGUUAGCUUCAUCAUAUCACACAUCAUUUGUCGUUAUGGAGUCCCACAUGAGUUGAUAUCUGACAAAGGAAUGCACUUCAGGGCAGAGGUUGAUGUUUUAUUACAAAGAUAUGACAUUUAGCAUCAUAAGUCGUUUGCGUAUAGACUGUAGACUAACGGGGUAGUAAAGGCCACAAAUAAGAAUAUUAAGAGGCUUUUGUAGAGAAUAGUUGACACUUCUCGAAACUGUUCAGAGAAGCUACUUUUGGAAUUAUGGGCUUAUCACACUUCUUGUCACACCUUUAUAGGAGCCACACCCUAUUCUCUAGUGUAUGUUAUAGAGGCAGUGCUACCAGUUGAGAUAGAGAUGAGAUUUUUGAGAGUAGCAUUUGAGCAAGAGAUAUCUGAGGUAGAUUGGACUUAAGCACAUUUUGAUCAACUUAGUCUUCUUGAUGAGAGGAGAUUGAGAGCAAUAGAACACACCUGCUUAUCAGAGGAAGAUGCCCCGUGCUUUUAGAAAUCGGAUCAAGCCUAGACCAAUACUGAGAGGAGAUUUGGUUUUGAGAGUUCUUAGAGGCUCGGUUGGAGACCCUAGAGGGAAGUUCAGACCGACUUGGAGUGGACCAUAUGUCAUUAGAGAGUUAACCCCAAAGGAUGCAACAUGGUUGAUGGAUCUAGAUGGAAACUAAUUCUCAGAGCCGAGCAAUGUAGAUUAGUUAAAGAAGUAUUAUGUUCGAGACUAUGGUUGCAGGAUGAGUGGCUUAUACCCUAUCACCUUUUGGAUAUUUAAACCAUUGCUAGCCCUUUGAGCCUCCCAUGAUCACUAUAGCCUAUUCUUUUUUAUAGCCUUGUUUACUUUUUAUACUUGGGACCCUCUAAUGUACAUAUGCUUUAUUUAGGAAUUUCACGAGUCUUGGACCUAUUGAUAUACUCUUUCCAUUUGUUUUGUCAUUAUCAUGAUACCCUAUUUUAUUCUCACUUCCAUUGUUUUUGUUCUUUGUUAUGCCUUUUUGAUACUAUUUGAUUUAUCUUGUUUCUUCUCAUACAUUGAGUGAUGAUCUUUCACAUUUCAUUAUAUGCAGAUCAGUCAUAUCACCACUUACAUUCCAUCUCGUAGACAUUAAUACAAAGGUCUUUGGUUGAGAUGGUCAUUUCAUUAGGGAGAGCUCGUCAUUUUUUGGAUCACUAUUUAAGAGUAUAUUCAUACCAUUGUAAAUAUAUAUGUGCAUGAGAUGUAUUACUCCAUUGAGCAUGUAUGAGAUAUUUGAGAGUUUAUUAUGUGGAGUUCAUUGGUUGAUGAGAUUGCAUGAGAGUUUGUGAUCCUCAAAUUUAUCUUGUAUAUGUUCCGAGUAUGAGAGAUGGGUGACUCCUUCCUAAAGACUCUAAAUCAUUAUCUCCUUCCAUCACUUUAGUCACCGCUGAUUUGAUCGCUUUCUAUGUUUUGUCUUGAGUAGAUCGAAGCUCUUCUGAUUCCUUUUGAUCUUAUCUGUUCUUUAUAUUCUUCAUCAUUCACCAUACAUUCAUCGUUCUUCAUUCAUAUCUAUCCUCAUUCCAUGAUUGAUAUUCUCUUCACAUUAUCUCUCUUUGUAGCUUGAUACUCACUUCUAUUCCUUUUCUCUAUCAUCGUUGAUUUUGCUGAGACCUUUUAUGUCCCACCCAUGCUCACAUCGGAUAUCUUUAGGUUCAUAGCUUAUGAGAUUAUUUAUGCAUAUUAUGUUUUGUACAUGAGGGUCUGAGUUUGAUCAUUGGGUAUUUGAGCCUAGUUUCCUUUCAUUUUUUUACCCUAUUACCCUAGCCUACAUUUUGUCUUGUGUCUUAAGACCACUUUGAGGCCAUGGGUUCGAAUAUUAGCUUUAACAACCUCUACUUGGGCAAGCGUUUCAGAUUUGGUUGAUGUGUAGGCAUUAUCAUAAUCUUUCUUUUGGGGAAUGUUUCUUCAAUGUUUGGAGUUAAUUCAUGAUGGAUGUAGAGGAUUGCUUGAUUUUAUGGUGGAUGAGAGAUGUUUUCUGACUUCCCAUUCUGUUAUAUUUCAAAUGUCAUACUGCAUGGGGCAUAUCCUUUUUACGUCAAGAUUGCUAGUCUAACAUUGGUUUUCACUUUGUUUCAUGAUGAUGGUUGUUGAUUUUGACUAUUUGAUUUCUUUACGAUCUUUAUUGGAGUUACAUCUCGAGUCAUUGGGUGAGACUUACACUUUCUGAUAUCCUCGCUAUUUUCGAUGGAAUUACCCUAGUGAGGUAUGCUUCUAUCCAGGCUUUUAGUGGAUUAGUUCAACUUCAUUAUCAUAUCCCUUGGUGGAGUUCCAUCUCGAGUCAUUGGGAUGAGCUUACACUUUUUUAUAUCCUCACUUUUUUUAUGGAGUUACCUUGAUGAGAUGUGCUUUCAUCCAUACACACAGUUGACUAGUUCAGUAUGGCUAUUUCUGAUCAUCAGUGGAGCCUGUUUGACCUAAGAUGAUUGGUUGAUGCACAUAUAUGUUCUGAGUCAUUUGAUAAUUUCAUCCAUAGAAAGAGAUGUGAUGAGUUGAUAUCAUUUGGUUAUCCUUAUGAUUUUGCAUUAGUUGCCAUACUAGGACAUAAUCCCCUUUCUUUUGUUGAGAUAAGAUCAUAGGGGAUCAUUACCUUUGAGCUUGGAUAUUUUCCAUGGAUCGGAGAUUCUUAGUGAAGUUGAUUCGUGCCCAAUUGGUGUCUCAGCUAAUUCGUAUCCAGCUGGUGCUCCUUGAUUGAGGGAGUAAUCAACAAAAUUUAUAACCUAUUACACCAUCUACUAGGGUAGCAAAGACAACGCUACUAUAGCAUAGUGGCUCUAGGAUUGUUCACUGGGAUGGGUUUUCACUUCACAAAUGAUAUUAAUUCAAAGUUGAAUUGGUGCCUUUUCAUUUCAAGGUUAGCUUUAAAAGAAAACAUAAACUUGAGUUGGAAAAUGUUUGGUUUUAAACUAACCACAAAUAGUAACUGAUUUUACUUACAAAGAAAAGUGUUUCUUGGAGUUUCAGAUCACUAGGCUCAGAUUCCUCAUACAAAAAGGGAGUUCCAGUCACUUGUUUCUUUUCCUCGCAUUAGAGAAUUAACAUAUAGUUAAUUCUCUAACCGGUGUUGUACAGAUGCUUCCCAUUAAUGGGUUCAAACACUAAAUCCCUCUCACUGAUGCACCUUGCAAUGGCUCAUACCUCUCACCUAGCAUUUACCAUUCAAGGUGAUCUUUAACCUUGGAUUACCCGUCAAAAGCUCGCAAGAGAUAACUAAUGGAUGUCUCCUUGGAGUCCAAAAGCUUACCAAGUGUUGGCUAUUCUAGAAAAUCCUACCUUCAAACCACCUCCCAAAAGCUCGCAAGAGAUAAACUAGUGAAUCUCCAUGGACGGAGAUCACUUGCCUUACCAAGUGUUGGCUCAGGUGAAUUGAAGACGUUUUAAGUUAACUAAAAAGAUAAAAACCAUUAACGGGUCACACUUUCUCUUCAUUAAAAACUAAAACAAAAAAACUUCCAAUUUAUGCAUGUGGAAACUUACCCGGCUUUCCUCACUCCAAGAGACAAAGAGCCUAGCCUCUCAUCCUCUGAGGAAAAAUCCUCAGAGUUUGGUUGGCUAGAAAUAAAAAGAAAUGAAAAUGAAAGAGAAGGAAAAACAGAGCAAGGCUCUGUAUAUUCUAUAUAUUUAUCUAUAUAUAUCUUUUACAGUGGAUGCAAGGGAAUAUAUAUAGAGACGUUUUUCCAACCUUCCUAACUAAGAAAUCUUAUGGUUGGUGGAUUACAAGGAGAAUAAUAGAAAUUUAUACAAAAAUAUCUGAAGAAAAAUAUCCAAAAAUGUCGGUCGCAAAUAUCUGGAAGCACGCGGGAGAAUUUCACAGGCGCACAAAAUGGCUGCGAAAUUUCGCAGACGACCAAGAUGGCUGCGAAAUCAUUUCGCAGCCAAAGGCUGAUUUCGCAGCCCUGCGAAAUUGGCCUUCAGCUUGGAGUGAUCUGCUUCCAAUGGCUGUAACUCCUUUAUUUCAACUCCGAAUCGCACACUGUUUGAAGCAUUGGAUUGUUGACUUCCUGAGCUUCGAAAUGACAUAUAGCAUGCAUAAAUUGAACUUCAGGAAGUGCUGCAAAAGUGGCUGACAUGACUGUCAUCAAGAAUGCUUCAUGGCAGAUUUCUCUUUGCUUCCCCUCCUUGCAUUCCGGAUUUGCUUAUGGCAAAGGACUUCAAAGCUUCAGUUCUUCAUGUUUCUGAGCUUUCCAUUGCUUUUCCAUGGAUUCCAAAGAACUCUCCUCAAUCUUGGAUUGCUUUGGUGAUCAAAAGCUAUCAAAACACCAAAACUUAACACAAUUUGAUUAGAAUUGAUUGCAAGGGUCCUUAACAUGCCAAUUGAGUUAAAAGGUAAUAACUACUACUCAAAAGUGUUUAAAAGAGUUAAUUACAAGCUAUCAAAUAGCACUUUUUGAGUAGUAAUCAGAAGUAUUUUGAGACAACAUUAGUUUUGAUGGAGCAUCUUUUUUGAGAUUAUGACAGUUUUCGCCAUCAUGAUUCCUUAGCAAAGUGUUUAUAAGAUGGAUUGGUUCAAUUAUUCUACAUUCCAGUUCCUAUGAUUAGUUGAUGCACAUAUAUCUUCUAAGUCAUUUGAUCAUUUCAUCCUUAGAGAAAGAUGUGAUAAGUUGGUAUCAUUUGGUUAUCCCCAUGAUUUUGCAUUAGUUGUCAUACUAGGGCAUAUUCUUUUUUCUUUUGUUGAGAUGAGAUCACAGGAGAGCAUUACAUUUGAGCUUGGAUAUUUUCAUGGAUCAAAGAUUCUUAAUGGAGUAUUUUGAUAUAACAUUAGUUUUGAUAGAGUAUUUUUUGGGGGGAUUAUGAUAGUUUUCGCCAUCAUGAUUCCUUAGUGGAGUGUUUUUGAGAUGGAUUGGUUUGAUUGUUCUACAUUCUAGUUCCUUAGUGAACCAUUUUUGAGAUAGAUCAAUUGGUUGUUUUUGAGUUGGAGAUAGUCUUUAGCAGAGUUAUCUCCCUGAGUGACCGAUUGGCCAUAUUGAUUUUUUUAUUGAUGAGCUAAUGGCAUUUUGGUCCCUUAGAGUAUUUUUAGAUGAUCUAUCCUUAGAGUAUUCUUGAUGUUAUGGUAUUGCCAUACUAGUAGUACAUAAACCUUGCAUAUUGGGGCAUAUUUCCCCCAUGUUGAGAUUAUUGAGAUCAUUACUUGUUCAGCUUUCAAAGCAGAGGCAUUCAGUGUCAUCUUUCAAAGCAUAAAUCAUGUGAUUGAUCACGAGUUUGUGUAUCGCAUCCUCCUUUACCAUCAAUUCAUCAGCUUUUAGAGUAGAGGCAUUCAAUGUCAUCCUUCAAAGUAUAGAUCAUGUGAUUGAUUAGGGGUUUGUGUAUCACAUUCUUCUUCAUGGUCGAUUCAUCAUCUUUUAGAGUAGAGGCAUUCAGUGUCAUCCUUCAGAGUACAGAUCACGUGAUUGAUUAUGGGUUUGUGUAUCACAGUCUCCUUCAUGGCCGAUUCAUCAGCUUUCAAAGUAGAGGCAUUCAGUGUCGUCCUUUAGAGUAUAGAUCAUGUGAUUGAUCUGUUUUUUUUUUUACUUACAUUUAAAAAACAAAAAAUUAAAAAUGAUUUGUUUUUACUAGUUAUUUAUAUUUAAGGAAGUAGGAAAGGUUUACUCCAAUGCUAAAAAUAAAUAAAAAUAAAAUAAAAUAAAAAUUGAGGGUUGAAAAGUAAUUAAUCACUAAAAAAUAGACUUGGAGUUCCUUUGGUGUGCGAUUAGACUCAAUUUGUCCCCAUGCAAUGGAAAUGGACGAUUUUUUAUUUUUUAUUUUUAUUUCCUUUUCCUUUAUCUUGGUGUAGUCUUGUGAUAUUGUUACUAAAAUAGGAGGUAAAAAUAUAAAUUAUAUAUCAAUUAUUUUAAAUUUAGAAAAAAAUGCUUAUUUUAAUUUGAAAUAAAUAAAUAUAAAAGAAAUGAUUUUCUCUCAAUUGUGUAAGACUUCACAAAAAUUUUCUUAUUUGCAAAAUAUUUUGAGUUGUAAAAGUAAAAAUUAAAGAAAUCAUUUCAUGGUCUUUUUCACAAGUAUCCAUUUAGAUCAUAGUCUAAUUUUAAAAUAUUUGAAAAAUCCAAUUACUCUAAACUAUAUCAUUUAUAAUUUUUUAAAUUAUUAAUAUGAUACCUAACCUUGUAUGGAAUUGGAAUAAAAUAUGGAUAAGUAAAAAAUGUCAAAUGAAAGAUAAUUUCAAACUUUUCUAAUACAGCUUCUCCCUUAAACUAAUAUAAUAAAUUAAAUGAUAAAAUUGAUUUGCAUAACAAUAAACAAAUCAUAUGAUAUUCCCAAUUUAUUUUAUAAACUAAGGAACAAAUCAUAACAUUUUUAGUAAAAUAUUAUUUGAUUCACUUUAAGGAAUUUAAACAUUUUAAUAGUUUUAAAAUAGAUGAAAAACAAAUAAUAAAUUAUAAAAUGGUUUACUAUACUAUUAACCCUUACCUUGAAGAAAUCGUUCAAAAUCCCAAAAGACUUAAUCUACAUCUAAUAUAAAUAUAAAUAAAAAAUAAUUAUUAAAGACUAAUUAUCUAAAUCAACGACUUCCUAAAUUUUUUGUAAAACUUAUUUUAAUUCCAAACCCUUUUCUAAAAUUCUAUUUUUUUUUAAUUAAUUUUUUUAUUAACCAUAUUAUUAUUAUUAUCAUUUUCACUUCCCAUAAUUAAUCAUAGGACAUAGGACAAUUGAUAAUUGUUAUUACAUAAAUCCUAACUCUAGAGCACCUCUUUUGUGUAGUAAGGCUAAGCUUGAUUCUACUAAGCUCUAGCAUAGAAGACUAGGUCACAUAAACUAUAGGGAUCUUGUGGACUUAGUGAAUAUUGAAAAAGUUAGAGGUAUCCUUAAACUUAGUGGCAAACCUAAACCCAUUUUUGGUGAAUGCAUGAAAGGAAAAAAAAACUAAGGGUUUACACAAAAAGGUUAAGGAGAUAAGGACCACUAGACCUUUAAAUCUUCUUCACAUGGAUCUUAUGGGUCCAAUGCGAAUUGAAAGUAAAGGUGGCCAGAUAUAUGUCCUUAUGGUAGUAGAUGAUUUUCCAAGAUACUUUGUGAGUUUUCUUAGGGAGAAAUCAGAGGCCAUACAACAUUUGAAGUUUUUAUUUAAUAGAAUACAAGUGGAAAUAGGUCAUCCAAUUGUAAGAAUUAGGAGUGAUAGGGGGAGAGAGUUUGACAAUGUUGAAGUUAACCUCUUUUUUUAUUCUAAAGGAAUUAAACAUGAAUAUUCAACACCUAGAACUCCUCAGCCAAAUAAAGUAGUUGAAAGAAGGAAUAAAGUGCUACAAGAAAUGACAAGAGUGAAGAUUCACAUACAGAAUACCCCUAAAAAAAAUAUGGGUAUUGCUUUAAUACCCCUUAAAUAACUGAAAGUCUAAUAGGGAACACCCAGAAGGGGAAAGGGAAUGAGGGAGAGGGGGGGUAUGAAUGGGUGAUUUAAAAAAUUCAACCAAUAUUUGUGAAUUAUAAUCAAUUUUUCUUAUCCUAAGAUGUCAUAAGGAUAACCUAGAUAUUCAAAAAGGAUUCCAUCCUAAUAAAAAAAAAACUGAUUUUUAUGAUUAAUUGAUAUCCAAAGAUUAACAAUAUAUGUUGAAGAAUGUUAUGGAUAAUAAUAACCACAAGAAUAACCAACCUAACAAACUCAACAACCAAUUAACCAAUCAAUCCAAUAUAUUCAAUAUCUUCAACUAGAAUGUUUGUAGGAAAAAAUAUAAACUUUUUAGAAUAACCUUGGAAGAUAUUAGGUUAAAACAAAUUAACCUAUUCUAGGCAAUUAAAAUGUGAUAUCAAAUAUAAAGAGAUAGACAAUGAGACACAAGAUUUUUAUGUGGAAAAUCCUCACAAACUAUGGAGAUAAAAAACCACGAGGUCUAAGACCUAUUAAUCGAAAUCCACUAUUUGAAAUCAAGUCAGACAAAUUUACCUAACCAUUUUACCCUAAAGACUUACUCUCCAAUACUUACAACUUGAUCCACAUCUACAAUGUAGCAAAUACUUGUUGCUCCCUAGUAGAUCCUUUGGUCCCUUUGAAGGGAUUACAAUCUUCAACCAACAAUUCAAAAAAUCGAAUCCUUGAAUGAUAGAAUGAGAAUGUUGUGGCAAUGAGACUUUUCUUACCAAAGAGUACCUUUAAAGAAUGAGAGGUCUCUAACAAUUCGAUCUCUACGAUCUCUAAUCUCUUAGCUUGAAUCUCUAACCCUCAAAGGGUUACAAAGGAGGUAUUUAUAUGUAAAAACCAUAAGGAUUUCGGUAUCUCAAGUUUCGAAAUUAGAAUUAGAUUGAAAUUCAUUCAAAAUACUUUUCUAAACUUGGUAAGACUAUCAUGACCACUAGAGCAUGCUUGUGUCGCUUGAGCGGGAUUAAUCACUUGAGCGGUCUUACUUUUUUAAAAAUAUUUUAAGCUAAAAAAUGAUAUUGAUCCUUUUAUACCUCAACUGAGCCUUUAUAUGCCACAAGUUAAAACCUUUUUAGAUGUACCUAUGACUUCCCAAUUGGACGAAUAACAACCCUUAAUCUUCAAUGGAGGGCAUCUUACUAUCUAAAAAGACUUCUAUGGCCAAACACAAAUUGACAUAAAAUUGCCAACAUAUAAGCAAGACUCAAUGCCCUAACAAUCUCUCCAUUUUGAAAUUUUGUGAUGAAACAUUGUUACAUAAACCCACCCAUACUCUCAUAAUGGAGUUUACAUAACACACAUUGACACUCAAAAAUAAACUAAAGGAAUAUUUUGCAAUGCUUUGUAGUACUUAUCUUCUAACCUUGUAACCUACACAAAAAACUAUACCAAAGACAAAACAGUGUGUGUUAUAAGAUAUGAUCAAGAAAGAAAAAUAGGAUAGUUGGAGAUUUUGCUUGAUGAAUUGUGUAAGCACGAAAAAGGAACAAAUUCCUAUAGUGACACCAAGGUACAAAGCAAAGAUCAAAAGGAAUUUGAAUGUAUGCAAAUCAACCAAACACAAUAGAAGCUAGAUAAGACCUAGUAAUUUAAUAGAAAAGUGCAAGGGACGUUCACCAACCAUAACAUAAGCAAUAAAGGCCCUAGGAAAAAGCUUCUAUGACUGAGAUUUGUUCUAAAGAGAUAGUCAAUCUAACAAUCGUAAUUUGCAAGAAACAUUCGUGUUAGGAAUCUUUCUUAAACUCUAAAGUCAUGUUUCCUAAGGUUGAUUUGGUUUACUUCAAUGCCUCAUUUUUAGUUUCCUCAAAUAUUUCAAAUAAUUCCCCUUAAUUCAGAAUUCAAAAACUACCUUUAAAUUCAGGAGUUUCUAUUUUCACCUUUUUUUUUAGCUCCUCUUUUUUAGGUGAAUCAAAUAUUCAAUGCUUUCUUUUUAUCUUAAUUUAAGUGAGUUAAAUAUGCAUUAUCCCCUUAUUUUUGUCACAAAAAAUGACAAAGCAAUAGAAAUAUAAAUACAAGAAGGCACAUAAAAGAGAAAGACAAAUAUGAGUGACAUAUAUAUAUUAAAAAUAUUAUUUUUGAUACAUAAGAUAAUCAAAGAAUAAACAUCCAGAUCAAUAAAGAUAUAAAUAAAAAAACUCAAUAACUAAACAUCAGAAAAAGGUAGAGAAGGAAAGAAGCUUGAACUCUCUAAGUAUGGAUCCAAGAAAUAAUGUAGGUUAACUGACCCUGGAUCUCAUGGAGUUGAACGUCCUAUGAGUCUAAACUUUGAAGCACUAUAGAUGAGGGAUCCAUUUUCUAAGAAGUUAGGGGUGCGGAAGACGAUGUGCCAUGAGAGGCUUUAGAUGAUCUAGCACAUCCUUAACUGGAGUGAGUCCUCAAUGCAAUAAUAAGAAUGGGUGCAUCCAGCUUCAAAGUUUGAAUCUCAUCCUUCUCAGCAAGUGCCUCUUAAGCAGCUUAUUGAUUUGGUGCAACAGCCUAGGAGCCAUUUGGAACUAGAGGACCCAAGGGACCAUACACGUGACCGUAGUGUUUGCCCCAAGAGCUCUCAUCCAACAAGGCAUGAGCAACCUAUACCCUCUAUGUAGUAGCAAUCUCAAAACUAAUAUGCUAUAAUAAUCUAGAGUUGAGGAGUAUGAAAAUAAGUGCACCACGACGGAAGAAGAAGUCUCGAUAAGGGGUGAUGGUAUCGAUGGUCACUUGACCAAUGUCGAAUUGCUGUCCAAAUAGAAUGGCAUGGAUGAGACAAGCAGUCGAUUGACAAAUUUAGGUGCAAUGGGAAGAAUGGUAGAAAGAAUAUGUCAAGAAAGUAGCAAAAAUCCAAACUAGCUCGGAGAAGCCAGCCAGAGGAAUAUAAGAAGAAGGCUCUCAAGGAGCACCAUAUAACGAAACGAGAAUAAAAAAACAAGCUCUCUAAGAGUGGGAGAUUGAAUCUCUAGAAGAAAAUAAAGAAGACAUGCAUCAAGUAUAGGCAUGUUGAGUACAUGCCUGAUUGACAAUGAGGUGAUCUGGAAUGGAUGACAAAACAUGGUCACUCAAAAGAAGCAACUAUGAGAAGUGGUAUGCAUGUUUGUAUAGAACAUGCGAACUAGAAGAGGAUAAUANNNNNNNNNNNNNNNNNNNNNNNNNNNNNNNNNNNNNNNNNNNNNNNNNNNNNNNNNNNNNNNNNNNNNNNNNNNNNNNNNNNNNNNNNNNNNNNNNNNNUAACUAGUAGGAAUACAAAAAAACACAAAAAAUAAGAAAUAUAUUGAAAAAUCUAAGCAGCUAUAAAUGUCCUAAACAAUGCGAAGAACAAUAUUAUGAAGUUGAAAAUGCGAAAAACAAAGAAAAUUGAUCUCAAAAUACAAAGAAACAAAGUCUUAAAGCGCUUGAGAGAAUAGAAAAAUGAUUGAAAUUACAAAAGGCACACUAGAUGGGUUUUUAUACUCAGGCGUACCACUAGAUGUAGAUUAGUGCUCAAGCAGGAUGCUCGAUCGAUACACUAAUAGAUGUAACUACGAGUGCUUGAGCAAUAAAGACGUUGGAAGUGGCUUGAGUGCUUGAGGACACUAAAUGUAGCACUCAAGCCACUAGAGCCAAAUAAAAAAAAUAAAAUAAAAAAUCUAGCAAGGGAUAGAAUACUCAACUAACUAACAUAUAAACAAGGAUUGACACCAAUUGAAACAAAUUUUGACAAUAAAGAGUAGAUAAUUAAGUUCAUAAACUUUCAACAUUAGCUCAAUCAGUAAUAGAUGAAGUAUGUUACUUUAGAUAGUAUAUGUCAAUCCAUUAAGAAUGAAAUUUCAAGAUCAACCAUUAGAUUUAAUCCUAAUCACAUAUUCAAAAACCCAAUACAUAACCAUCAAUGUAUAAGAGAGUCAACAUAGAAACAUAAGUAUUGAUUUUCAAGGAAAUACAACUUCCUAUUUAGUUCAAUAUUUUGAAAUUAAUUACUUCGAAUGGAUCCAACCACCACUUUGGUCAAAUUAAAGAACACAUUCAGUCAAUUUGAACUAAGAUUUUCAGAUUUCUAUUUAACAUGACCUCGUUGAUCUACAUACAAUGCAACUUGACUCCCCUUUAAUAUGAUAUCAUAUUUCUAUUCUUUACUUUUUAUUUUUCUAUUUAAAAGUGGAGGCAUUAUACAUCAUGAUCAAUUGAUUUUUUAUUUUUUUUCAUUCAUAGUUGUCUUUGUGUCCACUUUGGGGGUGUUUCCAAAUGUUGCAAGUGAGUAGUAUACGUUUAAGAGCAUGAAUCUUGCUAAGAGUUAUAUUUAACCAAAGAUUCAAUAUUUUAUACUCAUGUACCUUGGGAAACAAAAAAAAUGAUUUUAGUCAAACAAGGUAUGUGGAUAAUAAGAUUUGAGCAUGACAACAGAUCCUUUCAAAGUAAUCAAAGUCUACUUUAUGAGUUCAACUUAAGAAGUCUCCCCCUUGAUCAAGUAUAAGAUGUAACCAAUAUUGAAUUUUUCAUAUACAAUGACAUUUAAUUAUCAGGAAUCAAAUGCAUCAAUAGUUAUUAACAAUUAUCUAUGAUUCUAUCCAGAUCAAAUCUUGUAGAUAUAUAUAUAUUUCUUUAAAUCACAAACUUGAAACAUUACGAAUCAUGGUAAUAUUUCAAGUAACUAAAAAAAAUAAUAUGCCUAAAAAAAAAGGCCAAAGAAAACAAAAAGAUAUAAACACUAAGCUCAACACUUUUGAAGCCUAAACCUAUGAUGAUCAAUCAAUUAGCCAUAUGCCCAAGGAUUUCCUUAGGUACUCAAACCUAAGAGAAUCCAAGUGUUUGGUAAGAAUGUCUGCUAAUUAAAGUUCAAAAAGGAUAAACUCUAAAUAAGCAACCUUUUCUUCAACAAGAUCCUUAAUGAAAUGAUGAAGAAUUUCAAUAUGAUUACUACAGGAAUGAAGAACAAGAUCCUUUGAGAUAUUUAUAGCACUAGAGUUGUCAUAAUGCAUGUUCAUGGUUCUUUGUUUAAUUCCAUAGUCUUUAAGCAUUUGCUUAUCCACAGGAGUUGCAUACAACAACUUCUAACAACAAUAUACUUAGCUUCGACAAUAGAUAAAGAUAUAAAAUUUUGUUUCUUACUAAGGCAAGCCACAAGACAAUCUCCAAUAAAAGAUGUGUUUUUUCUAUCAUCAACGUUUCCAGCCCACUCAACAUCAAAAUAUCUAGCAAUUACAAGAGAAGAGUCAUAGGGAUACCACAAACCAUAAUUGAGAGUUCCAUUUAUAUAACGAAUAAUUCUUUUAAUAGACAUUAGGUGUGACUGUUUAGGGUUUGCUUGAUAUCUAGCACAAGCUCCAACACUAAAAGAUAUGUCAAGACGACUCGUAGUGAGGUAAAGUAAGCUUCCUAUUAUACUUCUAUAAAGAUUUUGCUCAACAUCUUUUCCAGAUGCAUCCUUGUUAAGCUUAGUGGUAGUGCUUAUUAAUGUCUUAUAGUGUUUAGAAGAUUCUAGAUCGAAUUUAUUAACAACUUUCCUAGCAUACUUAGAUAGAGAAAGAAAGAUUCCAUCUUUGAAUUGCCUAAUCUGCAAUCCUAGGAAGAAAAUUAAUUCACCUACUAUGUUCAACUUGAAUUCAAUCUUCAUCUCUUCUGCAAAACUAAGGGCAAGUUCACUAUAGGUAACUCAAAAAACUAUAUCAUCAACAUAAAAUAUAAGCUACUAACAACUCAUCAUUGGACCUAUCUAUAAACAAGGUUCUAUCAACUCCCCUUCUUUCAUACUUUUUCUCUAAAAGAUAGGUUAUGAGUCUCUCAUACCAUGCUCUAGGAGGUUUCUUUAACCAAUAAACAUAAUUGAGGAAUUUAGGAUCCUCAAAACCCUUAGGUUGCUCAACAUAGGCUUCUUCACUCAAAAUUUCAUUGAGAAAAGCACUCUUGACAUCCAUUUGGUAUAGCUUUAUCCUCAAGGAGCAUGCUAUUGCCCAAAGUAUCUUAAUUGAGUCUAAUCUAGCUAAGGGUGCAAAUGUCUCUUCAUAUGCAAUCCCUUCUAUUUGUGAAUAUCCUUUGGCAACUAGUCUUACUUUGUUUCUCACAAUGACCCCAUUUUCAUCUUGUUUGUUCCUGGGUUGAAAUUUGAUUAUCAAUUAUAUUCUGAUCAUACCCAGUAUCAUUUAUAACUACAUUAGAAGAUUCCUGGAUGACUUGUGAAUUUUGAUUAUAAACCCUAUAAACUUUACUCAUAGUCGAAUAACCUAGGAAGUACCUAAAUUAGAUUUAACAUCAAACUUUCCAAGGUUCUUCCCAUUCUUAAGAAUGUAGCAUUCACUUCCAAAAGUCCUAAAUUAUGAAGGUUAGGCUUUCUCCCAAUCUAUAAUUCAUAAGAUGCCUUUUUUGUUCCUGGUCUAAGAAAAAUCCUAUUAGUAUAACAAGCAAUAUUAAUUGUUUCUACCCAAAAUUGCAUAGAGGUAUUAUUCAUGUGAAUCAUCACCUUACUCAUCUCUUGUAGUACUUUGUUCUUUCUUUCAACUACUCCAUUCUAUUAAGGAGUUCUAAGGGUUGAAAACUCAUGUUUAAUUCCUUUUGACUCACAAAAAAGGUCAACGCCCACAUUGUCAAGCUCUUUCCCUCUAUCACUCUUAAUCGUUACAAUUGAAUGACCAAUUUACACUUGUACUCUAUUAAAUAAAGACUUUAAAUGUUUUAUGGCCUUAGAUGUCUCCCUAAGAAAACUCACAAAGGAGUAUCUUGACAAAAUUAUCUACUACCAUAAGGACAUAUCUCUUGUUGCCUUUACUUUUAGUUUGCAUUGGACUCAUAAGAUCCAUGUGAAGAAGAUCUAAAGGUUUAGUAGUCCUUAUCUCCUUAACCUUUUUAUGUGAGCUCUUAAUUUUUUUUCCUUUCAUGCACUCAUCACAAAUGGGUUUAGGUUCACCACUAAGUCUAGGGAUAUCUCUAACUCUUUCAGUAUUCACUAAGUGCACAAGAUCCCUAUAGUUUAUGUGACCUAGUCUUUUAUGCCAAAGCUUAGUAGAAUCAGGCUUAGCCCUACUGUACAUAAGAGGUGUUCUAAAGAUAGAAUUUGUGGCAUAACAAUUAUCAAGUGUUCUAUGUCCUAUGAUGACUACCUUUCCCUUUUUAUUAAUUACCUUGUAUAAGUCUUGGUGAAAAUUCAGUUUAUGGUCUUUUUCGCACAUUUGACUAAUACUUAUGAGAUUUUCUUUAAGCCCUUCAACAUAAAGAACUUCAUCUAAUUUGGGCCAACCAAGGGUAACUAUACCACCCCUGUCUUUCACUUUAGCUAGGUUUCCAUUUCCAAAAGCAACAGAUCCCACCAUCAAAGUUUUCUAGAGAAAUGAAAGAGGAUUAUCUCCUAUCAUGUAUCUAGGGCACCCACCAUCAAGGUACCAUUUAAUAGAAGAUUUAGCUUUAAGAGAAUUUAACACAACUUGACAUUUGAACUUAUCCUUUCUCAACCAAACUUGCUUAGUUCUAGGUGGUAACUUGGAGGAACUAGAUUGAUUUCUAGGUUUUUGAUUGGUUUUAUUUCUUUUCCCAUUAUUCAAAAUGUUAUUUUUAAGGGAAUUAAAAUCAUUCAUAAGUCUAUUCAUUUGAGUUUCAAACAUUUUGAGAAACCUAGAGUAGCAUCUAGAUUGAGAGUGUCCAGUUUUCUUAAAUUGUGUGCAUAGUGAUGUAUUUUUAAGAGAUUCUACUUGGUUAAGGGUAUCAUCCUUACCUUUAACAAACACAGUUUUUCCACUAGAUGCCUUUAUCAAGUAUUUCAUUAAGCACUUUAGUUCCAGGGUGAAAAUUUUCAUUCAUAGAUGAAGAAGACUUAUUAUUCUUGAUCUGUUGAGUGGGGACAUUAUUCUUCUCAAGGAGAGAAUGAUGCUCAGAUUUAAGAAAUCUAAUUUUCUCAAGUAAAUUAGAAUUUUCAGCAUUAAGCACAUCAAUCUUAUUUUUAUUUGCAUCAAGAAUUUCAUGAUUUGUCAUAUAACUCUUAAUUAAUCUUUCAUGCUCAAUAAAAAGAUUGUCAAAAAAUUUAGCCCUUUGUUUAUUAGUAAACUCAUCAUCAUUAAUAUCACUAUCACUAUCACAAUAAGAAUUAUUCUCAUGCUCUAUAGAUGCAACAAAAGCUAACAUGUCAUUGGGAUCGUACCUUGCAUCUUCAAAAGUUGUAGAAGCAUUGUCUUCAAAAUAUGAAUCACUCCAUAUUACUUGCAUAAACAUUUUAAUAUUUUUGGAGCUAAGACACUCUUAAGAGUAGUGUCCCACGCCUCCAUAGUUAAAGAAUUCAACUUUCUUGUCUUUGAAAGAACCUUUUCCUUUCUCAUUGGAUGUUUGUUCAUUUGGUCCUUUUCUUUUUCCCAAUUCUUGGUUCUUGUAGAACAUUUUGUUGAAUCUCAUAGCCCUUUUAAUUCUUUUGGGCAUAUGUGCCAAUUCAUCAUGAGUUAUAUCUUUUGGCAUUUCAAUAUCUUUUUCCUCAUUCUCAAAAACCUUAAAGGCAGAGUCUUUAGGAUUAUGGGAAUUUGGUAGGUUCAUUUCAUAUGUUUGAAUGGAGCCUACAAGUUCAUCAACUCUUAUGGAAUCACUGUCCUUGCUUUCCUCUAUGACAAUUACUUUGGGUCUAAAUCUCCCUGGAAGAGAUCUCAAUAUUUUUCUAACUACCUUAGAAUUAGGAAUAGGUUCUCCAAUAUUAAAUAAAGAAUUUAGAAUAUUACUCAAUUCAAAAUAAAAGAAAGAUAAAGUUUUAAAAUGGGUAUUUAUGGAGUUCACCGGCUGUACAUAUGAGGUGGUGAUUAAAUAAUUCAAUGAAAAUAUGGUUUUGUGUAUGAUGUUUGGUGGAAGAAUGUUUUAGUGGGAUUGAAGUUUUUAGUGGCCAUGUUGUAAUUUUAUUUUUUUUUUGGAAAGUUCAAUGGGGAUUUAAGGGGUGGGAAUUGGAAAGAGAUCUACAUGCUACAACAAAAGAGAUAUCCACGUUGCUAUAUAAGGAUCUCGACACCGUAUGCGCAAGGAGAAGGCGGUAUGUUCAGCAGCACCUAAAAAAAUCAGAUUUGGUUGCCUCUUUAGCGCACUAAGAGUUGAUUUUUUGAGAAAUGCAUUCGGGAGGGUAUCAACGACACGGGAUAAGUUCCAAUUUUUAAAUACGAUUUAGUUUAGUUUUAAUCUUUUUUUUUUAUUUUAAAUUUGGAUGUGUUUAUGAUUUUAAUUCAUUUGUUUGAUUAAUUCUGUUAAAUAAAGUUCAUUUUUUGUAAUUCCAAUUUAGUUUAGUUUUAAUUUAUUUUUAAAUUUAGAUACAUUUGAAAUUUUGAUUCUUAAGAUUAAUUAAUCCUAUUAGAUAUCAUGUUUUUAAUUCCGAUUUUGUUUGGUUACAAUUUAUUCUCUUAAUUUAAGUGCGUUUGUGAUGUUAAUUCAUUAAUUUAAAUAAUCUUGUUAUAUAAAGUUUGUAUUUUUAAGUCUCAAUUAAUUUAGUUUUAUUCUAUCUUUAGUUUAAAUGUGUUCGUGAUUUUAAUUUAUUAGUUUAAAUAAUCUUGUUGUAUAAAGUUUAUAUUUUUAAUUCUCAAUUAGAUUAGUUUUAACCUAUCUUUUAGUUUAAAUAUGUUUGUGGUUUGAAUUCAUUAAUUUGAAUAAUCUUGUUAGAUAAAGUUUUUUUUUUUUUAAUUUUGAAUUAGUUUAGUUUUAAACUAUCUUUUAGUUUAAGAAUGUUUGUGGUUUUAAUUCAUUAGUUUAAAUAAUCCCAUUGGAUAAAGUUUAUGUUUUUAAUUUCGAUUUAGUUUAGUUAUAAUUUAUUUUUUUUUAGUUUAGAUAUGUUUGUGAUUGCAAUUCAAUAGUUUAAUUAAUUCUAUUAAAUAAAUUUCAUGUUUUUAAUUACAAUUUAGUUUAGUUUUAAUUUGUUCUCUGGAUAGGUCUUAGACCUCGUGGCUUUUCAUAUCUCCAUAGUUUGUGGGGGCUUUCCACAUAAAAAUCUUGUGCCUCAUUGUCUACCUCAUUAUAUUGGUUAAUUUGUUUUAACCUAAUAUCUUGUAAGGCUAUUCUAAAAGGUUUAUAAUUUAGAUUUAUUGCUACAUAUAUUCUAGUUAAAGAUGUUGAAUAAAUUGGAUUGAUUGAUUAAUUGGUUAUUGAGUUUGUUGAAUUGGUUAUCUUGUGAUGGUUAUAUCUCUAACUUGUGGAUUAUUAUUAAGUUUGUUAGGUUGGUUAUUCUUGUAGUUAUUAUUGUCUCUAGCAUUUUUCAAUAUAUAUUGUUAAGAUGAAAUCCUUUUCGAAUAUCCAGGUUAUCCUUAUAAUAUAUUGAGAUAAGAAAAAGUAAUUAUAAUUCAUAAAUAUUGAUUUAAUUUUUUAAAUCAUCUAUCCACCCCACCAUCCCCUCUAGGGGUUCUUAUUGGACUUUUGGUUAUUUAAGGGGUAUAUAGAGCAAUACUCAUAUUUUUUCAAUUGGUAUGGAAGAGGGAUAAAAAAAACUGAUUCUUUAUCCUAUUGAUUAAAAAAUCAAUUUUUAUUAUUUAUCUUUAUAGUAUAAAAGCCUUUGUUGUAACUUUUUUACCCCUAUUUUCUUUGAAUAUUUACCGAACUACCCACACCAACUUUUUGAUGGGAUGGAUGGACGAUGAUGCCCUACACACACCUUGCUAUGUUGGUGCAUGAUAAGGGCACUUCCGGAAAUCUAGGAUUUCGUGGUGCCCACAUGGAUUUGGAGACUUGUCUUGCAAAGUUUUGAGAAUCACCGGGUCUCUGCAGCCUACUACUACUUCUGCUGCUACGUCAUCUUCAUUGAAGGAUCUGAAUAAGAAGAUCCGUCAGCCCUAUACCAUCACCAAGUCCAGAGAGGGUUGGAUUGAGCAAGAGCACGAUAAGUUUCUCGAAGCUUUACAAUGGUGUGUCACUCUCAAUUACUUGAUUUUGGAGUUUUGUUUUGUAGAUGAGAACAUUCAGCGGGAAUUGGAGAAUUGUGUGUGUGUUUUAUUUCUUCAUUUCGAGGAAAGAUUGGGAAAAAUGUUCAAUAGAGUCAAGUCAAUUGAUCAAUUGAGUGAGGUGGGUUUAUUGUUUUUUAGGACUUGUUUCUCUUUUCUUUCGUUUCUUUCUAUUUUCUCGCACUUUCUCCACAACCAAAUGAGGAAUUGAGGUUGGUAAUUCCGUUAAAUAUCAAAAAUUGAACAUUAUCUUAAUUGGUUAAUAUUUUUAUUUCCGUUUUUCCUAAUAAGGCUUCAAUUUUUGUCAUUUCACUUUGGUUUCCCUUUCUUUGCUUUUCUUUUUUUUUUUUUUCCUUUUUAAUAGAUGAUUUUAGUUUAUUUUAUGAUAAAUUACGAUUUUCAGUUGCAUUAGAUUGUAGAUUUAUUUAAUUUAACAUCUAAUUUUAGUAAUUUCCAUGGAUCCCCAAGUCUAAUCAUAAUUCCUCAAGAAAUAAUUGAUUAUUGGGGGAUUCUAGGUGAGACUGAACUAAAAUUUGAGGAUUUUUUUAGUUAGAGUUUUGUUUAUUUAGCUUUGUUAUGAAAUGGCUUUCUGUUUCAUUUCAUACGGUAGGAAAAUCAUGCAUUCUGAUUUUUUUUUUCUUUUGUGAUUUUUUUACAUAGGUUGAUUGAGAUUGGAAGAGGAUUGAAGCAUUUGUUGGGUCCAAAACAAUUAUCUUAGGAUAAAUUUGUAUCUUUUUAAAAUAUUGUAAAUUUGUUUAACUUGCCAAAAGAGCUACGUUUGGACUUUUUUUUCAAGCUAAAUUUGAAAGAGGAGUGAAAAGAAAGAGAAAUGAUGGAAAUUAGCUACAAGACAUUCCUUUUUUAAGUUAUUCAUCAUUUUCCUCUUCUUUCCGAAUCCAAAUCCUUGCCUUAGUAAGGUUGAACUGAAUUUGAUUUAGAAUUUCAUUUAUGUGAAAUGGUUUUGCUUUUGGUUUUAGAUUUUUUUUUUUUAAACACAAAUUUCUAUUUAUCAAAUUAAAUAAUAAAAAAUAUUAACAAAUUUAUAUUUAAAAGAGAAAAAAAUAUAAAUAUACCUUUUAAAGAUAUUCUUUAAAAUAGAGAAUAUAUGUGAUUUUCUAUGUAAUCCUUUUUUUUUCAUUUUUUUAAUAAUUUUUUAUUUAUAUAGAAUUAUAGAUAAAAAUAUAUUGAUUUCAAAUGCAAAUAAUUAUUUAAAUUUAAAUUUUAAGUUUUCAUUUGUAAAUUUAAAACUUAGAUAUUUUCUAAUUAUGCAUGUCAUUAAAUUGGGAUCUAUCUUUGGCUUGGUGUUUAUAAAUGCCUCUACUUUUAUAUAUAACUUUAAUAUAUAUAUUAGAAAAUUAUGAUUGAAGAGUAAUUUCUUUUUCUUUUAAUUUGAUCAAAAUUAGAAAUCUCAUCUAAAUAGGAUCAUUAUUUUAGUUUUUAAAAAAGUUUGAAAAUAUUGUUUCUAAUAAAUUUUGGUUAAAUAGAAUUAAUAAUUUUUUUAUUUCUUGAAUUUAAAAAAAAAUAUUUUCAAAUAAAUAAUAAUAUAUGUUUGUUUAUUACUAAUCUUAACAUUUUAGGAAAUUUAAAGCCAUAUACACUAUCUCAAAAAAUAAUAAUGUAUAUUUAUUUAUUAUAAUAAAAAAUAAUUAAUCACUUUUGAUUUGAUAUCUAGAUUUUUUUUAUUAUAUAAUAAAUAUAUGCAUAGAAUUAUCAUGAUUCUAUAAUAUAUUUUUAAAUACAAAUAUCUAAAAAAUACUUAAAAGUUUGACAAUUUUAUUUUAAUUAAAUUAAUUUUUAUAAUUUUUAUUAAAUAAUUUAAAAUUUAUAUAUAAUAUCAACUUUAUUACCUAUCUUGUCCACGUGCCUUGCAUGUGGAUCAAACCUAGUAUUCUUUAAAAAAACAAAUUUUUAUUAAUCAUAUAAGAUAAAAAUCAAAUUUUUAUCGAAACAAUCAAAAAGUGGUGCUCCUUUGAAUGGUCUACCCUAUUUUGAUGGAAAUAAUUACUUCCAUUGGAAAGAACAAAUGAUGGUUUUCGUCAAAAUGCAAGACAAAAUAAUUACUUAGUUGAACAUGGUUAGGGACCACCAUUAAUCCUUGAUGCUAAAGGAAGAUCGGAGAACUUAAACCUAAACAUGAAUGGGACAAAGCUAAUAAUGAAGGUAGUGAAGCUAAAGCUAGGGCUUCAUUUAGUAUUUUUAAUGGAGUUUAUCCAAAUGAGUUUCAUAGAAUAGCAAAUUGUAAACAUGGGAUAUUCUUCAAGUCACUCAUUGAAAAUCCCAUCUCUAAAUUCCAUUACUUGGCCACUUUUUACACAGCAAGAAAGAUAAAAGAUGACGCUUCUUUAAUGCGUCAUCUUUUGGCUUGUCAUUGUAUGUGUUAGCUAACAAUGACGCUUUUAGUAAGCGUCAUCUUUCAUAAAUGCUUUCAAUGACAUUUAAUAAAGCAUCAUCUUUGAAUAAUAUUAAUGACACUUAUAAAAAAUGUCAUCUUUGAACAUUUACUAGUGAAAUAAUUUUUACAAAGAGCUUCAUCUAUAAUAUAUUUUAUAAAUGACACUUUUAAAAACGCCAUCUUUGAUUAAUGUUUAUUACAACAAUGGGUUUCCUAUAUAAUUAAAUAAAAGAAAAAAACAAGCCCCAAAAUUAAAUUAAAUUUUAUAAUUAAAAUACCAUCAAAUAUUGAUAUACAAUAAUUUCUAAUUUUCAACAAAAGAACAAAUAUUAGGGCAACAACUAUUAAGAUCUAAAUUCUACAAAAACAUAGUUCAAUCUCCUAAUCACUUUAUUGAUAUAAUCUUCAUGAUUUCCGGUAUCACUUCCUUUACACAUAAUGGCUUAUCUUCUUUUGUCAAAUCAAUUUCCUUUGCAACUUGUAAACAAAUAUUGGAAAAAUAGAAAACCUCUAAAUUAUAUAUGCAACCAAUAAAUACAAUUGAAACAAUGACUUCCACAAAAACACACAAGUUAGGAAAAAAUAGUUAGAGGUUAUCACUUGAGGAUAAGAUGUCCUUCCCUAAUUGAGUGAAGAAACUCUAUAACAAAAUAAUGCUUCAUAAUUGAAAACGAACUCUUCAAGAGUAAUAUAUUUCUAAUUAUGAUAUAACAUUAAAAAGUUAAAAUAACAGGCCAUAAUGAAACUUUAUACAAAUUACAAUAACAAAAUAUAACACUAAUUUAUCCCUUAAAAAGGUUUUCUAAAAUUAGAGGGAGUUUGCCAUAAUGAAACUUUUAAAAUAUGGGGUGUAUAGGAAAGUAAAUAAUCUGAAGCUCACAAUGGAAAUGUCAACACCCAUAUAUUGAUCUGUUUAGCAAACCUUUAUACAGACGUUUACAAACCUAUCUAAGGAAUUUGUACAGCUAAGGAAAUAUCAUGUACAACGGUUACAGAUUUGCUUUACUAAAAAUAAAACAAUUACAUCAAUUUCAGGCCAUGAUACUCGGCUUGAUGAUUGCUGCAAAUCACUUCCAGAUUUGUUGUUGGGGCUUGAUGAUUGCUGCAAAUCACUUCUAGAUUUAAAUCUUAUUCUUGUCUUGUGUCACUUUCCUUAAUACGCCCUCGCAAAAUUGAGCUUCCAUCGGCAAGACCAAUUUUGGCUCUUAGACAUUUUGUGCAUUCCUGGGACAGUGGCUUAGUUAGUAGAUCAGCCAAUUGAUCUUGAGUAUGAACAUAACUCACUUUAAGUGCACCUUUCUGAACUUGAUCACGCACAAAAUGAAGAUCAAUUUGAAUAUGUUUCAUUCUUGAAUGUUGGACCGGAUUGAAGCUGAGAUGAGUUGCUCCAAGAUUAUCACAUAGAAGAGAAGGUGGCAGCUUUAAUGAAAAACCCAAUUCUUGAAGAAGGGCAAGUAACCACAUUGUUUCUGAUGCACCAUUGGCCAGCGCUCGAUAUUUUGCUUCUGUGGUGGAACGAGCAACAACUCGUUGUUUUUUUGAACUCCAUGAGAUGGGAUUGCAACCCAGAAAUGUAAUGUAAGCUGAUGUGGAUGUUCGAUCAUCAAUGUUUUCAGCCCAAUCUGCAUCAGUGUAGGUUAUUAAGCAUGGUGCUGCAGCUGACUUGAGGUGAAGACCGUGAAAGAUUGUCUUCUUGAGAUAUCGAAGAAGUCUCUUAGUGGUAGUCCAAUGAGUGAUUGUUGGCUUGUGCAUAAAUUGAGAGAGCUUAUUAACAGCACAAGAAAUGUCGGGCCGAGUAAGAGAAAGGUAUUGUAAGCUGCCAAUAACACGCCUAUACUCUGUGCUGUUUACAGCAUUCGUGACAUCUACCAAGUGAAGGGAUUGAGUUGUUGACAGCGGGGUAAAGACAUCCUUUGCACCAGCCAUGUGUGUAUUCUCCAAGAUGUCACGAACAUACUUAUGUUGGGAGAGAAAUACACCUGCAGUAGUCGGUAUAACUUCCUGUCCAAGGAAGUAAUGAAGGGAACCCAUAUCUUUCAAGGAAAAUUGGUCACCAAGUUUGGUAACAACAUGAGCUACACACUUCUUGUCAUUACCUGUAAUGACUAAAUCAUCAACAUAAACAAGGAAAUAGCAGACCAUGGAAUCAUGGCGAUAAAUAAAAAGAGAGGAAUCAACUUUAGAAUUUUGGAACCCGAGUGCUAGAAGAGCAGUUUUUAAUGCUGAAUACCAGGCCUUUGGGGCUUGUUUGAGAUCAUAAAUUGCUUUCCUGAGCCGACACACAUAAUCAGGUAGAGACAAAUCUUUGAAACCCGGAGGUUGCAUCAUGUACACAGUUUCAGUCAGAUUUCCAUGUAAAAAAGCAUUGUUUACGUCCAUUUGUUUCAAAGGCCACCCAUUCAUGAUUGCAAUGCUCAACAAUGUCCUUAUGGUGGCUGGUUUAACCACAGGACUAAAGGUUUCAUUAUAAUCAACACUAGGUUGCUGAUUAUAGCCCUUGGCAACAAGCCGGGCUUUAAAUUUAUCAACCGAGCCAUCUGCUUUCCUUUUGACUCUAAACACCCACUUACAACCCACUGGAUGACAAUUGAUGGGGGGAGGAAUUAAAUCCCAUGUACCAUGUCGCAUGAGAGCAGUCAAUUCACUAGACAUGGGUUCAUGCCAUUCAGGGUGAGAUACAGCUUAAGUCGCGCAUGUUGGUUCUAGAGGUAAUGGAAGAUAGUGCUUAGACAUAAUGUGUAAUUGCUUAGGUUUAAAGAUGUUGUUCAUAGAUCUAGUAGUCAUGGAAUGGGUUCGGUGGGAAGUGGGUUUAGUGUGUACAAGAGAUUGUGAAUCAAGAAUUAAAUUAGAUGCAAGUGAAUUUGAAAGAGAAGCAUGCGGAACAGUCAUAUGUAUACCAACAUCUAAGUUCAGAUUCAUAUCACAGGUAUUGUCAUGUGAUUCAUAAUGAAAAGAAGGAGAGAUAGAGGGGGAUAUACCUAGAGGUGGUGCAGGAAUGGCAGCUGCAGGUUCCGAGCUCAGUGGUGGCUGUGAGGAGCGAUCGGGACGAGAUGGAGGAGCAAGAAUGGAAGGAGGAGGGGAAGGAAAUUAGGGCACGGGUUCUGCUGAAGGAAAAGGUGAGGAGCAGAGGAAAAUAAGUGGGUUUCGGCAGAUGGCCCGUGCUUGGUUUUUGAAAGGAAUGGGCUCUGCAAUUCAUCAAAAGUCACAUGCCAUGAGAUAUACAACCGAUUCGUUAAUGGAUCCAUACAUUUAUAGGCAUUUUGUGUUUGGGAAUAGCCGAGAAAAAUGCAAGGGAUUGAUUUUGGUUGUAAUUUAUGGGUAUUGUAUGGCCUUGUGAGAGGGUAACAUAAACAACCAAAUUUUCUCAAUUUGAGAUAAUUUGGUCGUUGACCAAAAAGAACCUCAAAUGGAGACUUGUGUUUAAGAAGAGGGGUUGGUUGGCGAUUUAUGAGAUAAGUGGCUAUUUGAAAGGCAUGGGGCCAAUAAGAAAGAGAUAAAAAAGCAUCGUGAAGCAAGGUGAUACCCGUUUCGACAAGAUGACGGUGACGUCUUUUGGAAACACCAUUUUGUUGGGGGGUAUGGAGGGCGGUGGUGUAGUGGCUUAUGCCAUGAUCGGACAAAUAUUUUUUUAAACUCAAAAAUUCGCCACCAUUGUCUAAGUACAAGCUUUUUAUGGAACACUUGAAUCUUGUUUCAACAAGUAAUUUAAACUGUGGAAAGACUGUAGAAACAAGAGAUUUUGUGGACAUUGGAUAAAACCAUAUAUAUUUGGUGUAAUGAUCCACAAAAAUAAGAUAAUAACGUUCACCAUUUAAACCGGUAAUGUGCACAGGACCCCAAACAUCACUGUAAAUAAUUUCAAGGGGAGAAUGACUUUGAAAACUUGUAGAGCCAAAUGGUUGUUGAUGUACUUUAUUGAUUGAACAUGAAGGACAUGACAAUGGUAAUUUAUUUGUUGUCAGAGGAAGAGAAAAAAGAUUAACAAGAUUUUGAACAACUUUAAUCGAUGGGUAUCCAAGACGCUUGUGCCAUCCAUCGAUUGAAGUCCGUUCAUGCACAUAAGCAACCAUUUUGGGAGUAGAAGGAGCCACCAUGGAGUUGGGAAAAAUGUAGACGCCAUUCUCACACGUACCUCUUAGUAGUAUCGCCCCCGUGGAUCGUGCCUUCACAAGGAAAAAAAAAGGUGAAAUUAAAGAAAAACAUCAUUUUGCUUGGUGAAAUGAUGAACUGAAAUGAGAUUUUUGUGAAUAUUGGGAACGCAUAAAGUAUCAUGUAAAUGAAAUAUUUUUUUGGGUGUGGGUAAUGCUAAAGAACCAAUAUGCGUAACCGCUAAACAUGUACCAUCACCAAGAAGGACUUCAUCAGUGCCAUCAUACUCAGAGUGAAUUGAUAAAUUUUUUAUAUUUCUCGUGAUAUUGUGAGAGGCUGCAGAGUCAAUUAACCAUUUAUUUUCUUGACCAUCAGAAGUUCCUGCACAAUUAACAGUCAUUUCAGAAGAAUUUAAUUGAGGGCAGGCCUUGGCCGUGUGGCCCAUUUGAUCAUAGUACUGGCAUUUGGGCUGAUAGCGUCUCUUAUUAGAGUUGAAUUGGCCCUGAUUGUUGGAACGACGUGGGUCACGAGAUGGGCCAUUUGAGCUGGAAAACCAAUAAUGGCCUUGUGAACGGGGAGACCCAUUUCCCUUGUGAGAAGCUUUCUGUUGCUGAGAUGCAGAAAAGCCAGAGCGUCGGCUUGUGAAAUUUCCAGUGGCCACGAGCUGCUGGGUAGCAGCCUCCAUCCUAUGCAGGUAAUUUUCAUGCCUUAUAAGGAGGUCAUGAAGCUCCUCAAAGGCAAGGGAUUUUUCUCUUGCCCGAAUAGGGGCAGCAAUCUCACGAAAUUCGGGUCCUAACCCGUUGAGGACAUAGAGAGUGAUGUCGUCGUCGGAGAUUGGGUGGUCGAUGAGUGCAAUCUCAUCAACCAGGCCUUUAACAACAUGAAGGUACUCCAGAAUUGGGCGGUUUCCACGCUGAAUCAAGGUGAGUUCUUCCUUGAGUUGCAUGGCCCUUGUACGUGAUUUACUUACAUACAUGGUGGAUAAUUUUUUCCAGGCAUCAUAGGAGGUUUUUGCUGUGGCAAUAAGAGAGGUAAUGGUUGGGGAAGUAGAGGCAAGGAUGGCACUAAGAAUUAAUUUAUCUUGCCUAACCCAGUGGUGUUUCUUGGCUAUAGAUGGUGGGGUGCCAUCAGAGGGAGGGCAACGGGAUUCACUAGUAAUGUAGUCCAUUAGAUCAUAGCCAAUUAGGAGAGCCUUAAACUGAGCUCUCCAUUGGGGAAAAGAGGAAGGUGUGAGUUUCUCAUUGAUCUGAGCUGUGAUGUUAAAAACAACAAGGGGGAUUUCGAAGGUAGGCUGUGUUGGGGAAGACAUUAGGAUCAAAUUCUCGUUGGAGAGAUGCUCUGAUACCAUAUAGGAAAGUAAAUAAUCUGAAGCUCACAAUGGAAAUGUCAACACACAUAUAUUGAUCUGUUUAGCAAACCUUUAUACAGACGUAUACAAACCUAUCUAAGGAAUUUGUACAACAAAGGAAAUAUCAUGUACAACGGUUACAGAUUUGCUUUACUAAAAAUAAAACAAUUACAUCAAUUUCAGGCCAUGAUACUCGGCUUGAUGAUUGCUGCAAAUCACUUCCAGAUUUGUUGUUGGGGCUUGAUGAUUGCUGCAAAUCACUUCCAGAUUUAAAUCUUAUUCUUGUCUUGUGUCACUUUCCUUAAUAGGGUGAACCAAUUUAUUAGCUCAUUGAUCUCCUUCAUCGCGAUUGCAUCAUCCAACGGUUCUUGAUUUGGAUAGUAAAUUAAAUUUACCCAUAAUAACAAUUUUCCUUGUCAAAUUAUAUUUUUCUUACACUUUGCAUAUUUAUAAAUAAGUGAUGUUAAUGUUUCCAAUUCAACUUUCUCAAUCAUAUAAAUAUAAAUUUUUUUUCUUGUUAAAUAAAUUGUAAAUAAAAAGGAUAUUAAGAAAUUAUUUCAAAAUUAAAAUGAAAAAUAUUUUUCCUUCAAUUGAUUCUAAUGAACAAAACUUAAAAAUCAUGUAUUCAUUUUGUAGAAGUGAAUUACAAUCACCGAGUGUCAUAGAAGAUUAAUAUGAUGAUGCCAAUAAAUAAAAUCAAGAAUUGGUAUACAAGUUAGUACAAUUAAAAGAUCUUAAAAAGAGUUUUGAUAAUUUAUUUUAUGACAACAAAGUAAAUAAAUGAUAUAAAAUAUACUUUAUCUCUUUUGGGCUGAGCUCGUGGUGCGCAUGAUGGGAGUGUUAGAACUGUGAAUCUAACAACAUGAAUUCUGAAAGGCCUCAGAACAUAGAUAGGGAUUGUAAAAAGUAAUAAAUUUUUUUUGGGACUUUGAAUCAUAAGGUACAAAGCAUGAAUCAUUUAUUUGAUGGUCAGCAUUAUCCUAUUUUCAACUAAGUGAUCUGCCUCUCUAAUCUAUUACUCUAAUUUCUGUGAUUCAUCAUAUUAAUUUUAUGUAGUGUUAUAGCCCAAAUGAAGUUUGAAUAUUCUACUAGUCAAAUAAAGUUAAAGUGUUAUAGCCCAAAUGAAGUUUGAAUAUUCUACUAGCCAAAUAAAGUUAAUCUUGCUAGUGAAAAAUAAUUAGAAUUCAUUGUCUUCUAUUUAAUAAAAAACUUAUUAUACAUUAAUUUAUAUAUAUAUAUAUAUAUAUAUAUAUAUAUAUAUAUAUAUAUAUAUAUAUAUUAUUUCACUGUUAUUAAAAACUAAUAAAAAUAUGACAUUUAAAAAACAAUACAUUGUCUAAAUAAAAUAAAGAAAAAUAAUUACUUAAUUCAUUAUUAAUUUAUUGGAGAAUCGAUUUUAUUACCUAUUGAAACUAAUUAUAAUAUUUAAUAGUAAAUUUUUUUAAAAUACUAUACUUAUAGAGGUAUUAUUAAAUUUUCUACCAUAUAAAAAUAAUUAUAUAUUAUCCAUAAUAAAAACAAAGCUGAGUAUUUUCUUUUUUAAUUUUGUUAUAGAAAAUAGCAAUCCAAAAUUAAGAAUCUAUUAAUAUUAAAAAGUCAAACUUUAUAUAUAAGUUAACCACUAACAAUCCAAUUUAAUAGUUAAGACCCAAAAACGUUUGAAAUUAAGAAAACUAAAUAUUCUAUAAUUGUUUUUUUAGGGAAGAAUCAUUCACAAAAUCACUGCUUUCCAAUUGGAGGACUCCACUUCAAACCACAAACAGAGAUGAAGCUCCCAUUAUCCCAAUUCACCAAAGCCCUAACAUAUCGCUCACCACUCUCUUUCUCUUUGAAAUUGGAACAAAGCCAAACCUGUACAUACCCAAAUAAACAUUAAACUAAAUUAAAAAUUCAAAGCCCCAAACUCAAUUUUGAAACAAUUUUUUUUUGCAUAUUUGUAGCUAAUUCAUCCACUUUCCCUACAACCAAACACUAUAAAUGAAAAACCACUUACUUCAAUCUAAAGAGACCAAUGAAACCUAAGAUUUUGAAACAACAGAAUCUUUACUUCUCCCUUUACUUCACUUUCUCUUAUCUCGUUGUGGACCUGCAUUUUUCACAUGCGUCCCCACUCGAUUGGCGAGACUUGUUUUUAUUUUAUGAAAAAUUUAGCUUUUGGAAAAAAUUCGGAGUCGCCACUUAUUUUAUUUUAUUUUAAAAGGGAAAAUAAAACAAAAAAGAAAACCUUAAAAAAUGACUCCAUAGUUUUUGGAAAAGCAUGUCUUUGAAAAACCUGAGUCUAGGUCUAGGGAUCAGGUUACCUAUUGGGAAGGUACCUCUAAAAGGUAGCACCCCUCUAAGCCUUACAAAGGUCUCUACUGACUAAGUUGGGGGAAAUGUAGCAAUUAAUUGAUUUAAUUGAGGGUACCUAGGUAGGCUAGGGUGAUUUCAAAAAGUAGCAUGCCAAACAAGAUCAAAUCACAAUAAAGAAGAUUUUGGAUGCAUACCCAAACCACUUCUCAAGCGCUAUCAUAAAACAUCAGAGUUAGUAUAGCGAAUCAAGCAUACAUCUAAGCACCUAAGGAUCAUAUCAAGCAUAAAUAAGGCUCACAACAACAUGCAUGUUCAAGGAAUCCCGGAAAGUAGUGAUAGAGAGCAUACCUGAAUAUCAUGCAUAAUUUAUAAGAUUCCUCCAAAAAUGUUAGAAUGGUUAGAACAAGUAUGAAUUAUAUAACAUAUUCAUAAUGUCUAAUACACAGUACCAAAGUCAAAAUUGAGCUAAGGUAAGUCAAAUGACUCCAAAAAUAAAUAACUAAUUCAAGCAAUGUACAAGAUCAUCAACAUGCAAUUAGAAAAGGGAGCAUAAAAAAAACAAUUUCUAAAAAAUGAUUUAGAGUGGAAUUUAAUUAUGAAAAUUUUCAAGAAACAACUCCUAUCCAUCUAGAUCAACAUACCGAAGGCCAAACUCUCAUUCAAAGGACAGAUUGCAGCAAAGACACCUAAAGGUUCUACAAAGUCCAGAUUAGAGAAGAAAAAAUAACAUGUAUAAAUGAAUUUUUGAAAAACAAUAAAUGAUCACAUAAAAUCAUAAAUAAAAAAAAAAAAAAAACCACCCACAUAUUCAAAGUGUCUAUAUCACAUAAAAAAUGAAUCCAAGGUCGGAUAGUACUCAAAAAUAUUUUUAAAACAUUCAAGCUAAUCAGAUGUCCAGAAUUCAGCAUGUGCAAUAGGUACGAUUUUGAAAAAUCAUAUCUCCCUCAAAAAAGAAUAUUUUUUAAUAGUUUAUGUGUCUAAGAUAAAUUUCAAGAACCCUAAAAUUAACGAAAAAUAGAGAAUCAAAUUUUAAAAGUCAUCUAUUAUUUUAUUUUUUCAAAAAGAUCUCGGGUGUCCAGAACUAGGUGAAAACAGAGCCCCCCAUUCCCCCCUCCCCUAAAGAUAAGUUUAUAUCUUCUAUUCCAGAAUGGUUUUCUAACUCAAAAAAAAAAAAAUUUAACUCAAGUUCAAGAAGUGAGGAAAAUCAUACAAGUUUUGAAUUUUUCUUUAAGAGCAUUUUGAAAUUGCUAUAAUGAAUUUUAACACUAAAUGGUUAGUGGUUGAGUGGAAACUGGCAGCAAGGAAGAGUUUUGAAGAGUUUUCUUAUGUAGGGGUUUCACCAAUUCCCCAAUUGAUAUACACAAAUCUAGCCCAAAAUUAUCCCAUUUAUUUGAAUUUAUUUGCAUAGCAAUACAUUGUAGCCCCCUCUUAGAAAUAAAAGAAUGUAUGUCAUGCGGGCAUGCUACCAACCGCUAUCUUUCUCUGAGACAUGCAUGGGACCUACCAAUGAAUGGUGAUAUUUUCUUUUCCCUUGUUAUAAAUGUUAAUAAUGAUCGUCUCUCCUUUUGUAUUAAAAUAACAAGAAUAAUGUAAAGUUGUAAAAUAUUGUGUCUAGGAUUAUUAUAUAAUUUGUCAAUUUCUUGGAUUGUUAAAAGUCUACAAAGAUAAUGUUGUAGAAUAAUCUUUGAGAUAUGCAAUGGUGGAAUUUGCCAUGGAAGUCUUCAUUUGACAACUUUUGACCAUUCCAAUUUUAUUCAACAUGAUAAAAUAUCAUGUUGUGAAAAAGGUCAUGAAAUGAUUUGUUUAAUUUUUACUUUUACAACUCAAAAUAUUUUGCAAAUAAGAAAAUUUUAAUGAAGUCUUUAACAAUUAAGAUAAAAUCAGUUUUUUUUCUACUUAUUUAUUUCAAAUUAAAAUAAGCACUUUUUUCCUAAAUUUAAAAUAAUUGAUAAUAAUUUAUAUUUUUACCUCCUAUUUUAGUAAUAAUAUCACAAGACUACACCAGAUAAAGGAAAAGGAAAAAACAAAUAAAAGAUAAAAAAUAAAAAAUUUUCCAUUUCCAUUGCAUGGGGACAAAUUGAGUCUAACCGCACACUGAAGGAACUCCAAUUCUAUUUUUAGUGAUUUAAUUACUUUUUAAACCCUCAUUUUUUUUUUUUUUUUUUUUUUUACAUUAGACCAAACCCUUUCCUGCUUCCUUAAUUUAAAUAACUAGUAAAAACAAAUCAUAUUUAAUUUUUUGUUUUUUAAAUGUAACUUAAAAAAAAUAUUUGGAAAUUAUUUUUAAGUGAUUUUUUGGAUUUUUAAAAGUGAUUUUCAAAUAUAUAUAUAAAUUUAAUUUGGAUUGACUUUUAAGAGUUAAAUAAAAGUUUUUAUACCUAUUUAUUUAUUUUUUUAAAAAAAACUUGUAACUUUAAAAAAAAAAAAAGUUUCAUGUAGAAUUCAUAAAAAUGUUAUUUCUUAUAAGAAUUUUAUAAUUCCAUUUUUUUUAUAUAAGAAGUUCUUUCAUGUUUAAUAAAACUUUUACAAUAUCAAUAUUUCCCCUUUAAAAUUAUUACUUUAGUUUUUAUUUUAAUUUUCAGUUAAAGCAAAAAUUAUGAAGCUAUCCCGAAUUUGACCUUACCAUCCACCUAAUUAAUUUUUGUAAGAAAGAGUUACUUUUUAAUAUUUAGAAGGGCUUUUAUUUAUUUAUUUUUAAAUCAUUCCCAAAUGAAAUUUAUAAGAAACAAAUAAAAAGUUUGCUCCAAUAUUAGAAAAAAAUUGUUGACUAAGGAUUCCUCUUGUAUUAAAAUAACAAGAAUAAUGUAAAGUUAUAGAAUAUUGUGUCUGGGAUUAUUAUAUAGUUUUUCAAUUUCUUGGAUUGUUAAAUGUCUACAAAUAUAAUGUUGUAGAAUAAUCUUUGCGAUAUGCAAUGGUGGAAUUUGCCAUGGAAGUCUUGAUUUGACAACUUUUUCCCAUUCCAAUUUUAUUCAAUAUGAUAAAAUAUCAUGUUGCAUUAGAAAAGUUUGAAAUUAUCUUUCAUUUGACAUUUUUUACUUAUCCACAUUUUAUUCCAAUUCCAUACAAGGUUAGGUAUCAUAGCAAUAAUUAAAAAAAUUAUAAAUGAUAUAGUUUAGAUUAAUUGGAUUUUUUAAAUAUUUUAAAAUUAGACUAUGAUGUAAAUGGAUACUUGUGAAAAAGGUCAUGAAAUGAUUUGUUUAACUUUUACUUUUACAACUCAAAAUAUUUUGCAAAUAAGAAAAUAUUUUUGAAGUCUUACACAAUUGACAUAAAAUCAGUUUUUUUUUCUAUUUAUUUAUUUCAAAUUAAAAUAAGCACUUUUUUCUAAAUUUAAAAUAAUCGAUAUAUAAUUUAUAUUUUUACCUCCUAUUUUAGUAAUAAUAUCACAAGACUACACUAACAUAAAGGAAAAGGAAAAAAAAUAAAUAACUAAAAUAUCUUUAUAGACUUUUAACAAUCCAAGAAAUUGACAAAUUAUAUAAUAAUCCCAGACACAAUAUUCUACAACCUUACAUUAUUCUUGUUAUUUUAAUACAAGAGGAAUACUUAGUCAACGUUUUUUUUAAACAAAGAGCUGAAUAAUGCAAACAUUCAAUGAAAUCUUUGGCAUGUUAAUUCUUUGUAGCUUCAACAUGGUGGCAUGUCAGAUGGCGAAGGCAGCACUUGAGCUUCUGGGUGUUUACCAUUUUUCACUAUGAACGCAGUGUCCAUGCCCCAAGUCUGAUGGCGUUCUACAUGGCAGUGCAUGAACCACACUCCUGCAACAGAGAAAAUAUACCAACAUUACACCUAACUUAUUGCAAUAUUAAGAAAAAUUAUUUCCUUGUAUGCAGGUUGGCAGUUUCAAGGGUUUUUAAAAAAAAAUAAAAAAUUCACAUGAGUGCUUGCAACAUACCAGGGUUGGAUGCCUCGAAUCUGAUUGCAGCCCAACCUUUCGUAGGAACGGAGAUGGUACUCUGAAGGGGAGGAUCCACCAGAUUGUAGUGCAAUGGGUCCUUAUCUUUAUCGAAAUUCCCAAAUCCCCAUCCAACAACAUAGAAACUGUAUCCAUGGAGAUGCAUGGGGUGGUGUGUCCCUGCAAUCAAGUUUGUCCCUUGAAAAACAAUCUCCACUGUGGAGUUAUACUCAAGCACCCUUACUUCUGUUCCGUUUUUUGGCGUUUGAUACUCUAAGGGAAUAAUAUCAGUGGUAAAAUCGAACACCAGUUCUGGAACACUAGGAAAUUUAUCUCCAUAUACACCACUAAUGUUAUAAUAGUAAGCUUGCAAUAUGUCAAUUGUAGGGAAUUGGAAGCUUAUGUUGUUUAUACUUGCGAAGAACCGCGUCCCAUUAGGCCCUGCACAUGAAUUAUUGGGGCAUAGGUACGAGUUCAUACCAACCGUGUAAAUUAGUUUAGUGCUCGGGCUCAAUGGGACAUUGCAAGGAUGUUCCGCAUCUGCUAAGCUUCGGAGGCCGGCCAUGACCUGAACCGAUGCAUUUGUGUCAUUGUAUGUAGGCAAAUAAGGCAAGGAGAGAGGUGAAGAUGGAGUGUAGUAUCCCCUGUACUGUAUAAUAGCUGUGGUGGUUGUGUUGUCAAAAAAAUUACGAGCUGCCGGGGCAAUGGAAUAAGUUUUAGCUGCCAUGUAAUAGUGAUCCAGGUGUUGGUUAGCUUCUAGUAAGACAUCGUAGGUUUGGCCAGGAUAUAUUGUGAUAUAAUCUCGUGUCAAUGGUUUUGUGUAGCUACCAUCUGUUCCAACCACUGUCAUUUUAUGCUUGGCAAUGGAGAAGAAGAGAGCCUCGUGCAAGGCAGCAUUGAUUAUGCGAAGUAGAUAGGUCUUUCCAUGAUCCACCGUUAGCUUGAAUGUGUCUGCAAUUAGAAAGGGAAAUUUUUAUACUUAUGACUAGUGAAAAGAAAAAGAAAAAUUUCCAUGAGGAUCCACUAAUUAUGAAGUGAUUAGGGGUGUAAAUUUGGCUCCAUAGUUCAAAAUUAUAUUCGGACUAGCCUUUUCUUAUGUGUUAAAUCAUGGCUCUACCAUCCUUAUAGGUAUAUUCCUCUUUUUUAGCAUUAAGCUUUAAAUAUGUUGAUGUUAAUAAGAAAAAGUAAUAUGGUCAACAUACAAGAAAAUGAAAUCGUGUACAAUUUUAAAAUGGGAAGUUAAACUUAAUUUGUACCUGAUUUUGAGCAUGGAAAAAGAUCACCAGGUUGUCCAUUUAUCAAUAAAGAAUCAGAGGCAUUGGGGUCAGCUCCAGUUGCAAGCGCUUCAUCUCGAACCACAUUCACAUCACUCUUCCACCAUUGUCCUGCAUUUCAACAACUCCAAUAAUUUUAGACUUUGAUUUGUUGGUUAAUUCGUGAUAUGUAAAUUAACCUUUAAAAGUAACAACACUUAUACCUAAUAUGAUGGGAACUUCUGCAUUAGGUUUGGGAAAAGGAUACUUGGUUCCAUUCUUGGGAUAGAUGAUUAUAGCUCCAUGAACGGUGGCUCGGGUCCAAUCACUGUGAGCAUGCCACCAUAGAGUGCCUUCCUCAAAGGAAAGGAUGAUCUUUUGGCUAAACUUUGACCUUGGUUGAAUUAGGCAUUGUGUGAUAUACUCGGGACCAUCUGUCCAUGGAUAUCUAGGCAUGCUCACCCCAUGCCUGCAAAACAAUAACUAUACGUUAAAACUAGUACUAAUUUUUGGACUAACAAAAGAUGGCAUGCAACAACAUAUUGUCAUAGUAACAAGAGGCAUCAACUGUAUUUCAAUGGAAUUGAAGCAAAUAACCAUAAAGUAUUGUUUAAAUUUGACUUUAUUUGCAAAGCAAUAUAUUGCAGCCCCCUCUUCGAAAUAAAAAAAUGUAUGUCAUGUAGGCAUGCUGCCGAUUGCUAUCGUUUUUUGGAGAUACGCACAAGACCUACCAGUGAAUGGUGAUGUUUUCUUUUCCUUUGUUAUAAAUGUCGACAAUGAUCGUCUCUCCUUUCUUAGCAUAUAUAGUUGGUCCCGGAAAUUGUCCAUUUACUGUUAAGAUGUUCUUGGGACUACAAAGCCUUGUAUAUGAAGCUUCCUUCACCUGCAACCAAUUAAAAGUUAACCAUGCAACCUCAUCCCUAAAGACAUAUUACAUGCAUGAAUAGUUGCAUCGAUCCACUCAUGCAAGUGUAUAACCAAUUAGAAAUUGAUAGCAUACAUGAAUGACUCAAUGACACAGGUACCCGAGACCCUAUGGGGGUCAUAUGGUGGAAAAUGAGAGUAAUACUAGUCCCUAAAUAUUAUGAUCAUAAGGUAGCGUUAAGGCUAGAAUCAUAUAUAGUAUUUACCACAAAAGUAAGCCGACGGGUUGAAGCUUGGCAAUAGAUGCCACCACCAAAAAGUAGAAACGCUAAAAUGUGCAAGAGGAAAACCUUCAUGAUCAGCCACAUCUUCUUUGGAAGAAAAGCUUCUCUUGUCCUAAACACAACUCCUUCAAUUUUCUUACUAUUUCUAAUAGCACGACUUAUCUGCUCUUUGACAUGAAUAGAUGAAUUCUUAAAGGUAUUUAUAGAGGCUGGAGAGAACCAAAAAUAGAAUUGGUGAAAGCUGAACAGCAACUUUUAUGGCUGCUGUCACCUUCUGUGGGAACCCAACAGCCGGUUUCUCCCGAACUUUUGCUGUAUUUCUUUAAUAUAUUCAAGACGAUUCUCCUGGGGUUCAACAAGUCCUCGCCACGUAUCAAUAUAAGAUAAAGUAAUUUGAAUGUGUAUUAGUUUUGAAUGUUCUUCCAGGACCACUUCAAUGUGCAGGACCAGUUCAAUGAGCAGGACCACUCUAAUUAUGAUAUUUGAUCACUUACCAAAAUAAACCAAAUGCAUGAAGAAUGCUAACAAUUGUGAAAAUCAAUUUCUUGCAACUCAGCUUCAAUCAGGUUGCGUAUCGUGGAAUACAAGUUUGACUUUGAGAAUUGACCGAGAAAUAAAUUUAAAAUAUAUGUAGAAUACUUUUAAAACUUUGACCUCGCGUACAGUACCUUUAUCAAGAUUGGGCCUGGGAAGUGUUCUUGAGAUUUCAUGAAUACUUUUAAAAGUCUUCAUUAACUCUCCAGCCAUGAUGUUCAGAUUUUCUCUUUGUAUUUGGUAGGAAGGGAAAGGUCAGCGCUGCUUUCAGAAGGAAUAUAGGAUUCCAUUAUAGGAAAGAAACAAUCCAUAUGUUUAGAUUUCCAAAUUUGUGUGUUAAAAGGUUAGAGAGGAAUAUAGCCAUAUAUUUUUAUUCACGAUUUGAGAUGAAAAAAUUAUCAAUGAAAUGAUCAAUCUGUUUUAGAAGGUAACUCGAAAUGUUUCAUUUUUUUUCUUUCAUAUAUAAUAACGAACAAUCACCAGCAAGUCCAUGUAUUUGUCAUGUGACAUGAAUUUCAAUCCCACCACCUUUCAUAAUUAAAAUGCAAAAAAGACCCUCACAAAUAAUGUAAUUGCCUAUCCUCACUCUGCCUUAUCAUGGGCCCUUGAACUCGAGAGUUCACCUACUUGGAAUUAUAACCAUCUCUUCUUUCUUUCUUUCUUUCUUUUUUAAUUAUUAUUUUUGUCUCUUUUAAAUCUUUAUUAUGUUAGAAUUAUUCCUCUUUAAUUGAAUUUGUUAAUUGUAAACUUUGUUAUCAAAACACUAUGAGGAUAUAAUGACGAUGGGCCUACUUACAAGUUUUUCAAAGUUUACAUCUUAUUUUAUAAAAUUUAAAUUUAUUUAAUUUAUUUUUCAAUUAUGUUUAAAAUUAGUAAGAUCGAAAGCUUAUUAAAUUGGAAUUUUUUUCGGCCUAUAUGUGACCCAUUUUGUAUAAUAUAUGCUUGCAAAAGUUAAAUAAAAUCAUAAUUAAAGCAUGACAACCGUAUUUUGACCAUGCAGGACAAUAUUUUAUUUUCCACUUGCACUUGCAUGUAGACAAACGUGUACGUUAACAUCUUUUAAAGAAAAAAAUAAAAAAUUGUAACGGGUUGACCCGUUUUAAAUCAUAUAUGAAUCUAUUUUGAAAAAAAAAUCAAAAUUAAAUAAUUUAUAAAGAUUGGACCUGGAAGUGUUCUUGAGAUUUCAUGGUUCCUUCUAGGAAGAAGGAAUAGCACCAGAAUCCAUGGUAGUGGUAAAAAUCUUCAUUAACUCUCCAGCCAUGAUGUUUGCAUUUGGUAGGAAGGGAAAAGUCAGCGCUGCUUUCAGAAGGAAUAUAGGAUUCCAUUAUAGGAAAGAAUGUUUAGAUUUCCAAAUUUGUGUGUUAAAAGGUUAGAAACAGGAUCCAUUCUUAUAGAGUAACUGUAUCAGGUUUAUUUUAAUCAUAUGUUCAUUUCCUUUUUAAAUUUCUAAAGUACAAACCUAUACCCAUGCUUUCAUCUCCAUUCAAAUAUUUACCACUUUUUUUUACCUAUUUCUUAUCUUGCUGUAGACCCUCAAUUUUGUUCCUUUAGCACAUGUCUUUAAAUUCAUUUUCAAUGCUCCACAGUAGUUCCUUGGUGGCCCAGUACUACUCACCACUUACCUUUUUCUGAGUCACCUUGGAGACUUUGGUUGAGGGAUUAUUUGAUCCCUUAUUGUGACCCUUGGCAGCCCUAAUUUAGACUUAAGCUUUUCUUGUUUUUUUAGGAUAGCCUUUAGAUACACUUGGCCCAUUAGGCACCACCCUAGGUCCACUUAGACGCCCUAGGCCCAUUUAGGCACACUAGGCCUAUUAAGACUUUUUUUUUAGCGUGACUUAUAUGACCUGCGUGUUUGCAUGGCUCGUAGGGCCCAUUUUUUUGUUAAUUUGUUUAUUUUUAUUUUAUUUUAUUUUAUUUUUAUUAUUAUUUUUUAUUUUUAGUUUUAGUUUUAUGAUUAUCAUUCACUUCUUAUUGGUUAUCUUCCUCUUUAUAUUAUUUUCCUUAACUUAUUUAUUUAUUUAUUAUUUUUACUAUUUUCUAAUUUAUUUACUUAUUUAUCUAUUCAUGCAAUUAUUUAACUUCUAAAAUUUCAUGUUUUUGCAAGGAAACUUACCAUGGGAGUUUAAGGAAAGUGGGACUCUCCUUGGAAGGUUUUGGAGGGGGGAAGAUUUAAAAAAAGGAAAAUGAGAAAAGGAAGUAGGAUUUUCCUUUUCAGCAAGAAGGUUUUUUUUGGAAAAAGUGGGACUAAAAGCACGCAUUCGGAGGAUUUUUCUAGGAGGAGCAGCACGUAUUGGAGUCGGGAUAGGGAAAAGAAAGAAAGGAAAAAGGAGAAAAAGAGAGAUCUUGAAAAAAAAAGCGCAGAAAGAGAGGGAGAUUGGAGGCAAGACUGCCCAGGUACAUUUCUGGUUACUUUUGGUGUUCUUAUUCAUACUCGAUUCCUCCAUUUGAUGAUUUCUGAAUAUUCAAUAUAUUAUUGGUUGGUGUGGACGGAAAGGGCCACAAAUUGCUGUGUUGAAAUUAGAUCUUUGUCUGUUUGAUAUGUUCAUCAUUCUGUUAAUGUCAUCGAUCUCGCCUGAAAAUAAAUUGCAUACAUGUCCAUCUUCAGAAUGGAUGGUAGAAAUCACGUCCUGUUUUUAUUCAAAUCUUAUUCUGAAAUCACUCCCCUGUUCUAAGCUAAUGGAUUGAAAUGCGAAAUUGUGACUUUUGUUGAUCAUCUUUCCUCUCUUUCUAUACGUUUUUGUUGUCUUCUUCUAUUUUUGGUCCAUACCUCAACAAGCUCUAUUCCUGGCCGUCAAGAUUUGUUCUCUGCUUCGGAGUUAAAAAUUAAAAAUCAUGGGAAAAGGGGCACUCUGCUUUUUCUGCAUUCGAAUAAGCAUAAUGUGGUGCUCGAAAUCAUGGACUUCUCUAAGCCUUCUGGUACUGUCGUUGUGAUCCUAAAAUCUAAAAGUCAAAUACAACUUGGGCCAUUCACCUUCAGUAACAGCUCUAAUCAGUUCUACAGAGGAGCGUGUGAUUCUGAAAGCAAGGAAAAAGUUGACAGCGUUGGUUCAAAAAUUUUAGGGAUUAUGGAAAGAGAUGAGAAAUAAUGAGGAGAUGCGAUUGGGGUUGAGAUUCUGGAUCUUUAAGGAAAAAUGUCAUGGGGAAUGGAAGCUGGCAAUGUUCUUACACUAUUUCUACGGCUUCAGCCAUUGGUAGCUGUCAUGGGUUAGGAUCUAGUGGCGGGCAAAAUAGCAGAAAGAAAGAAAUUGAUGCAGCUUCUGUUGAUAAGUGAGUCCCAAAUGCUCCGGUUGGAAGAAUGUUCUCUAUAUGUUAAUUGAUCAGAUGAGUCAGUCAUGGAAUUCAAAAUCCUCAUUGCUGCUGUCUGGAAGAAAAACUAUGGCAAUUAGAGAAGACAAUCAGUUCGACCCUUUUGUUGAAGAUUUUGUUUUGGAAAGACUUCCUGUUCAAAUUUCUCUGCGGAUAUUGUUCGAUGUAGUCCCUAACAUUAGAUUUCAAAAUGUUAUUGAACUGAUAAGUGUGCAGUCAGUUGCUUCUAAUCUAGCAUUCUUGAAGAGAAUAUGCAUGGUGAUGUUUUUAUGAUGCUUUAAAUCAGAAUCCCAAGAGAUCAAAGUGGAAGGGAUCGGAUUGAAGGAAUUUCAACAACCGCUGACUUCUUGAAGCCCAGCUUGACUGUGCCCAGUCCGUACAAGAAGUCUGACUUAUCUUAUCUGGUUGGUUCAUCUGGAGAUUAAAGUUUGAACAGCUUUGGGACAAUGUUGCGUUUCUAGAGAACCCGCAUGCUAGGCAGAAUUCGGUUGAUGAUGUUCUACAUAAUAAGCAACAGGGGAAUGGUUUGGACAGAAGCAAUUUUCUUUCUAAAAAGUUCAGUUGCUACUUCACAAAGUAAGUUGCAAGUGCUGGCGAGCAAAUGUCUCGCUGCCUGAUAUACUGAGAUGAUAUUGUUCCUAAAGAUGCGAAUGCAGCUGUGGCCAUCUAUCCAGCAGUUUGUUUGCAGCAAGGACUCGAAUGAACUAUGGUUCUGGUGCCAAAGUAUACUAGAAGUUGCAGAGAAGUUAUGUGGAUCUUUGCUUGUUCAUCAUCCUGAAGCACUCCUGAUGAAUACGUAUUCAGGCAACUGGAAACGUGCUUAUAUGGCUUUGUAGCAUCUUGUUGAAUGUCUUACUUCUACUCAUGCUCCCAAGCAAAGAGCCACCUGCCAGGCCAAGAUGGAAUCUGUCCUUCAAUCUGAUUCUGUUCAACACUGAAAGAGAUGAUUGAUUAAGGCAGGAUUGCACUAGAAACUCCAUCUCAAGAACCUUCAAACAACCACUUCAAAAAGGGCAGUAAAGCAGACACCAAAAUCCAUAGAAGCUUUUAUGAGGCCGCACUUCCUAUUGAUGAUUUAGUCGACCGGACUACUGAGGUCCUCAACUCUUUUAAGACUUGGUGCAGUGAUUGAUUACUACCAAAAAGUGCUAUUUUGUAGACCUAAUAAUAAUGGUUUUAAGCACCUUUGAGUAGUAAUCAUAUUCAUUUAACCCAAUUAAUUCAUUAAGGUCCUUAGUAAUUGGUUUUAACCAUUUUGUGGCAAGUUUACAUGUUUUUAUCAGCUUAUGAACCAAUUCAAGCAUGCCAAUUGAUGGAGGAGCUAUUUGGGCGAGUUAAGCAAGGAUUUUGGAUGAUUACAGGCUUGAAUUUCAAGUGGAAACACGAGCACAAGCAAUGGAGAAGAGGAAAACAGAGUGAAGAAAACAGCUGCAGUCUUCUUUCGCACUUUUGAAGUACUUCCCGAAGUCCAUUUUCUACAUGCUAUAUACCAUUUCAAAGCUCAGGAAGUCAAGAAUCCAACACUUCAAACCGUGUAUGAUUUAGAGCUAAAAUGAGGAAGAUAUGGCCUUCGGAAGACAACUGCAUCAUGCCAAAUGACCAAUUUCGCAAGGUGAAUUUUACCUUGCGAAAAUUUCGCAAGGAGAUUUUCCUCAUGGUGCGAAAUUUGGCCAUUUCGCACCAUGAAGAAAUACCUUGCGAAAAUUUCGCAAGGAGGAUUUAGGCACCUUGCGAAAUUCCUUUGAAUCCUCUGUUUCUCCACGCACGCACCACCGACUUCCCAGAUAUUUUUAGCUUGAUAUUUUCUCGUGUAAAUUCCUGUUGUAACCUUGUAUUCAGCCGACAUAAGGCUUUAUCUUGUAAUUUUGCUAUAUAUAGAGGUGCACAACACCUCCAAAAAAUGGGAUUGGAUGGGGGAUGAUUGGGGGAUCGAUCCUCUGUACAUUAACUGAGAAAUAUAUAAAGCUCUGUUUUUCUCUCUUCUCCUGUUCUUCCCCAUUUCUAUUUUCUUAGUAGCCAAACAGCCUCUGAGGGCUUUUCCUCAGAGGAUGAUUGGCUAAAACUUUUAGUUUCUCAAAGUAUGGAUGUUAUGUGAUGGCUUGGAUGCAAUCCCAUGGAAAUUUCUCGCACCUGGAAGGUAAGGUAGUCGUUUUUCAUUAAUGGUUCAUUAAUGCAAAGUUUGGUUUUUAUUUCCUUUGGACAACUUCCAACGGCCAAUACUUAAUAAGCUUUUGGAUUUCUAUCCAUUAGUUAUCUCCUACGAGCUAUUGGAAGGUGAGGUUUUCAAUUCCAAGUUUUGCAUUAAUCCGUUAGAACCAAUUUCAAUGGCCAUUGAAAGGUGAGUUUAUCACCUGGAAUGACUUUGAGUUGCUAAUAUUUGGUAAGCUUUUGGCUUUAGACCAUUAGUUAUCUCUUACGAGCCAUUCAAAGGAAGUCUAAGGUGAAUAACCAUUGAUGAAAUUCACUACCAUCUGUUUUGCCAUUUUAAAGGAUUAAAACUUGAUUUGCUAAAUCCAUACCGGUUCAGGAAGCAAGCAUCACCAUAGUUGCAACCCCAACGCGAGGAGCCUAUCCUGAUAUUUCCAAUUUGCAUAAGAGCCAGAGCAUAGCUAUCCUAUCUUUGAGAAACUUGUUUUUACACCCUUUCAUUUUAGUCUUUAAUAUUAGCUUAGAUUAGUUUAAAUCUUUCUAAAACAUUUACAUCUUCUUUUAAAGCUAACAUCCAUAAGAAAAUCACCUAUUUUCCUAAUUUGAAUAUCACUUGUGUUUGCGAAAACCCUUCCCAGUGAACGAUCCUAGAACCACUAUGCUAUAGUAGCUUGGCUACUUUAGUAAUAGUAUUUAAGGUAUAAAUUUUGUUGAUACGCCUUUAAAGCUAAGCUACCAUGAGUCGCAUCAGUGAUGUACAUGGGGGUGUUGACUGAGCAGCUUGCAUUCCAUACAGAUGCUACAGUUGGGGAUUUUCUUAACUCUACCUUCGGCAAUGCAACUUGUAAAAAACCUGGAUCAGACUAACAGCCUUGUACGUAAAAAAGAGAUCAUCUCUAAAACCAUGGAUGGGUUUAUGGAUUAACGACAGCUCUGGUAUCAAUUCUGGAGGUCCUGUUACAACUUCUUUACAAAAUUCUUCAUUUGGUAAGAUGAAUUCAGAAGUGUUCUAAGAGAAUCAGUCAGAAUCCAGGCGCAAAUAAAGAAGAAUGAGUUAUUCUGCUUUUUCUUUAGAAAUUGAAUCAAAUACUGGGUCGGAGCUUAAGGUGAAACUGCAGAAAGAGCAUCUCAGGCAGGAGGUUAUCAUGAACUUGUAUGGCUAUUCUAAAGGAAGAACUAAGACCAAUCUCGCUGAAACUAGUGGUAGUUCCCCAGAUCAUGCAAGUGAUGAUAAUCUUAAUGGGCAGCAAGCUUUGGAACAUGGGGAAAUAGAAGGAGUUGAAUCAACUCAAAGCAGAGCUUGUUUCUCUGAAGUUUGACAAUGGCUGGUUCCAGUAAUUCUGCACUAAAGCUGGGUCAAAGACUUGCAUCCUGUGGUGAAUCCGUUUCACUUGCUUCUUAAAGCAAAAACCACAAUUUGAAGACUCUGCAAUUUGGUUAGAAAAUUAGAUCCCUUCAGAGUCAACUUGCCAUCCAAAUUUUAAAGGUUCAGAAUUUCUAGUUAUUUGAGAAUUUAGUGGCCUCUAAAAUACCAGAAACCACAGAAGAGUCUAAACCAACUGCUGGAAUGGCACUUCCACACAUUUCAGUAAGGCCAUUUGCCUGCUACUUCAUCUCGGAAAACUGCUGGGUGUGGAAUUAAGAAUUCUGACCUUCCAGAUUUAAAAUGCUAGAAGUACAGAAAAUACCCAGCUUUGCAAACUGUGUUGUUUCCCACCUACGACACUUGCUUUAGACACUACCUUAGGCCUCCACGUGAUUCCAGAUCUGCAUCAUAAAAGGACAUUGUGGUGGAUUUCUCACUUAUGCUUCAUAGUUCAGCGCAAAGAUCUGAAAAGGCCUGACGAAGAUGAACUUCCCAUGAAUUACCAAAAAAUAGACUUGACUCAAGGAUAAGAAGAGAGGUGAAAGAGAAACGGUGGCUAAAGAGGCAGUCCAGAUCAGUCAUGGACCAGAAAGUGGGAUGUUUCUGAUGAGGUUUACCUUGGAGUUGCCAAACCGAGUUCUGCAGCAUUUCAUUCUGUCACAGUCAAUGAGGGACAGUCUGGAAUUCAUGAAACUGUCCCCAAUAGCUCAGUCUCAAAACAUUCCUCUCAUUGAAUUUCUAACUCUUCCAAUAACUGUCAGUGGUGAGGGUGAUGGGUCGACUACCGAGGCUACAGAGAAUGAGCUGAAUACUGUCAGGUCUUUCACGGAUCAUAAUUAUGAAAAUGAUACCAAAAAUGCAAGAUUAGUGCCCGAGCCUGCUGAGAAUCUGAUCUAGGAAAUUGCAGUUCUGAGGCUGGAAGUGUCCGUCCGGGACAAUAUCUCCUUUCAUUGCAGCUGAGAAGCAGAGAUGCUGCAGGAGAAUUCUACAGGCUUCGAGUUGUGGAUGGGGUCAUCUUUGAGCCACUCAGGGGUGCACAUGCAGAUCUGUCUUGAACUCUUUCCAGUGUAUAGAAGCAUUGUCUGUUAUAGAUAAUUUUCUGAAGCUGAAAUAUAAAGACUGUAAAAAUUCCAAAGCUCUCAAUAAGGCCGCCCCUGUGAAUCUUGCAUAUCAUGCCUAUGGUACACCUUGGUCAAUCAUUGUACUGUGUUAACAACCAGAAUUCGGAUUUCCAAUGCGCCUGAAGAGAGAAGGAUAUGGUUCUAUGAAGCACAAAAAAUUUGAUUUCUAUGUGUCAUUUAUUCUUUUGAGCAAGAGUUACAUCCAAGGAAGAUAGAAAAACUACAGAUGAAAUAGAACCUCUAGAUUGCAGAGUGGUUAUCAAACUCCAGGAUUCUGCAGUAGCAGAGCUCUUUGGGCAGUCUCCUCAGCCUUUCAUCAACUUCAAUUGCAGCAACAAUUUCCUCAUGCACAGAAAAACUUGUCAGACUAAAAUGCUUGGAAAAAGACUUGAAAUUUUGAUUUGGGCACCAAAGAGAGCAAAGCGUAGUUAAGGAUCCAGCAUCAGCAAUGCAAUUCCAGUCUCAAGUGCACUCGCAGGCUCUUCUCCGUCUGGUCACCUCGGUGCACACCUCCUCCUCUGUUUGCUUCUUUGAUUGGGAAUUCAUUGUUUUAAAUUGAAUUUUCAAAUCCUUUUUCAACUAAACAUUUCCAGCUUUGAAAAAUCCAUCUUUAAAUCCCUUCUAGAUAAUAAAACCCAGAUUUUAGUAAAUUUGCUGUCAUUUUCCUUUUGACAUGCAUUUUCACUAUUUUCUUUAAUUUUCAACCAUUUUCUUGAUUUUCUCGAUUUUCAACAAGCAUGAACAAACUUCAUGAUUCCAAACAAUGGAAUUCAUUGAAUCGACUCAUGCAAAAUCAACUAGGGCUUUGGUGGGGGCCCGACAUUCAUGAUACCUUCUUCAAUAUUGUUUGCUUGAUAUGUUGAUUUUUUUUAUUCUUCUUGAUGAUAUACAUGAAUUUGUUUCGUAUUUAUUGUUGAGAUGCUCUUGAUUCCCAUAGAGGAGUACUAGCUUGCUAUCUAGGUACGCUCUCUUCUCAUCUAUUUUUUAGAACUCUAUAGACUUGUAUGCCAUUGAUGACCAUAUCCAUAUUUGACGUGAUUCUUGGAUGACUUGAUAUAUGCCUGACUUACUUGAAUAAAACAAAUGUUGUGUGCUACAUUUCUACACUAACUCUGAUGUUUUAUGAUAGCGCUUGAGAAGCGGUUCAGGUACGCACCCUAACUCUCCUUUAUUGUGAUUUGAUCUUGUUUAGCAUGCAACUUUUUUUGAAAUCACCUAGCCUACUUAGGUAUCCAUGAUCAACCAUUUAAUUGCCAUGCUUCCCUUAACUUAGUUAGUAGAGACCUCUUUAGGGCUUAGAGGGGUGCUACCUCCUAGAGGUACCUUCCCAAUAAGUAACCUGAUCCCCGAACCUAGACUCAGGUUUCUCAAAGACAUGCUUUUUCCAAAACUAUGGAGUCACUUUUUAGGGUUUUUCUUUCUUGUUUUAUUUUCCCUUUAAAAUAAAAAUAAAAUAGGUGGCGACUCCAACUUUUUUUAAAAUUAAUUUUUCACAAAUAAAAAGCAAGUCUCGCCGAUCGAGUGGGGACGCACGUGAAAAAUGCGGGUCCACACUUGCAUUUAUAGUUGUAUACAUUUUUUUAACAAUUUUUCUUAUAUCAUAAAUUAUUAUAUGAUUUACCUUUAUAGUGUUUUAUUGUGUUUGAUAUUUUUGUUUGAAAUACAAUAGAAAGAUAAAGAAAAAAGAAAAGGAUGUAGAAUUAUUGAUUAGUUUAACUAUAAUUUUUAAAAUAUUUAACUCAUAUUUGACACAUUUUAAAUUUGAUUUUAAAUAAAUAGGUUAAUUGAGUCAUAAACAUAUUAGUCAUAUAAAUUAAUACAAGACCUAACCCAACCUGAUUAUUAAAUGACAAAACCUAAUUAUAAAAUGGGACAAAUGAGUUACACGACAUGUUACUUGUUUAGUAAUUAUGUAGUAUUUUAGGUUUACAUUUUUAACCAGAUUAUUAUUCCUAUCGGGUUUGACAGAACACACAUAUGACCCACCAACACAAACUAUAACCCCUAAGCUUGUUCACUCAAAAAGUAAAUUUAUACUAAUAUUUAAUUACCUAAUUUAAGCUAGUAGGAAUAUUUUUUAAUUAUUGCUUAGUUUUUUUAAAAUUGUUAAUAUUGGUAAAUGUAUAUAGUUUCUAUAAAGACAUUCCACUGAUCUAGAAUUCCAAAUAUAAUUUGUCAGUAUAAAGAUAUUAUAUAUUUUUAAUAAAUAUAUAUUGUAAGUUAAAUGUUAUAUCGUAUAAUAUAUUGGUACUAUAUGCAUAACUACUAUAUUACUAUUUUACAAAAUAAAAAAUACCCUAUAUAAUAGUAAUAUAUUAUAUACAUAAAAAGUUUUUGUGUAAAGUAUCCAACCACAUCUUAAUUAAUAAUUGAUUAAUUUAUUUUAAAAUAAUCUCACUAUGUAUUUAUUAUUUUUAAUUAUUAAUAGCUAAUUUUUCAAAAGUGAUUUGUUAUUAAGAAUAAAAUCAUAAAUUAUGCCAUAAAAGUAGUAAUUGUUGUAGAUACUAAUUUGUUAAGGAUUUUUUUUUUUUUACUUGCAUACAUUGUUUAAUAAAAUAUUUAAUUUAAGCUUUAAAUUCCUUACUUUAAAUUUUCAAUUUUAUUUUUAGUCUAAUUUUUAAUCUAUAAAUUCUAAUUUUUAAUUUUUUAAUUUUUAAUUCCUAAAUUUUUAAGGGGAAAUCAUGUAACCAUACAUCACCCAAAAAAAAUGAGAUUUUUAGAACUUUGCUUUUACCUUUUUAAUUUUAAUGUAAGAUGAGAAAAACUUGCCUAUUCAUGCACUCCAAUAGUGCUUUCAGAUUUGUUUCACAAUUACUUUCAAAAGUAAAUGACAAAAUACACAUCAAUUUAAUACCACAUAUUGAUAAGUACAUGAAACAUUUAUUUUUCUUAUUUAUCUCACAUCAACUCUCUCACACAUCUCAUUUACCACUUGCCACAUUCCCUUCUUUUUUUUUUCUUUUUUUCUUUCCUUUUUUUCCCCCUCUUUUACUACCAUAAUCCUUAGUCACCUAUUACAUUUUUCAUUGUUAUUUUUCUUUUUUUCCUUUGAUAUUUUUUUUUAAUAUGUUCAUAUAUUUUCUCAUAAAACUUCCUCAAUUUUAAUUUUUUUUUUCACUCUCUAAUUUCUCCAUAUUUAUUGAUUAUAAUUAUUUUUUGGACAUAUUAAACUUAAAAUGAUAAUAUAUAAUAAAUAAUUAAUAUAAAAAAUUAAAUAAAAUAUAUGUAUAAUGGAAAAAAAAUAAAAAUAUUGUCCCACAAAUAAUAUACUUGAUGAUUUUAAAUAUUAAUUGUAUUAAUAUAUUUGAUAAAUUAAGGUUUAAAUUUAAAUAUUUUAUUUUAUUAUUUAGAGGUUUAUGAUAUAAGAUUUUUUUAUAUUAAUGUUAAACAAAAGAUUCAUUUAUUUUGUAAAUGCUAUCACAUGUAAACGUAAAAAUGUCUUUAUAAUACUAUUUUAUUAUUUAUAUAUAUUUUAAAAAAAUUUAUUUUAAAUUUAUCACAUCAAAAUCACAAUAAGCUAUUGUGCUUUUAUCUAUUUUCUUAUGAUUUUAAUUUGAUUGUGGAUUUAACUUUUUGUUUGGUUAAAAUCUUUAAUUUUUAAUUUUAAAAAAUAUAUAUUUUUCAUAAAUAAAAAAAAUUGUAUUUAACCUUUUAUAUUAAUUUCAUAAAAAAUAAAUACAUCUAUAAGAAAAUUAGGUAAAUCCAUGUGUAGGGGAAUCAGGACCCCUAUCAUCCUUGUCAUGGUCUAUAUAUUCAUUUGGGACCCUUGAUAAGUGAUUGGAGUUCCUUGCCCACCUCAUAACAAACUUUGAAACCCUAAAUACAUCCAUUCUUAAGGGAACCAAGACCCUUAUCUCAAUUCUCAUGGUUCAUAUAUUCCUUUAAGGAUCAUUGAGAAUGAAUUAUAAGUUGUUCUUCACCCUGGAUCGGACAUUGGAACCCAAGGUAUAUCCUAAAGACAAUUUGGCACAUUCGAUCCUUGGGCUAUCGAGACCCCUAUAUCCCUUCCCAUAGUCUAUUUGAUACUUUGGGGACUCUUGAGAAGUGAAUGGAGGUCGUUUCUCAUCUCGGAAUGGACUUUGGAACUCUAAGUACAUCUUUAAAAAAAAUUGGUACAUCCAAUUUUCGGGUUAUUGGGACCCCUAUCUCAUUUCCCAAGGUCCAUUUGUUCAAUUAGGGAUCCUUGGGAAGUGAUUGGAGGUUAUUCCUCACCCUAAAAUGGACUUUUGAACCCUAAAUACAUCUUUAAGAAAUUUUGGUAUAUAUGAUCCUCUGGCUACCCCAUAUCACUUCUUAUGGUCCAUUUGAUCAUUUAGGGAUCAUUUAGAAGUGAUUUCAAAUUGUUCCUAAUCUCGGAAUGGACUUUGGAACCCUAGGUACAUCCUUAAGAAAAUUUGAAACAUCCAAUCAUUGGGCUAUCGGAACCCUUAUCACCCUUCCCAUGGUCCGUUUGUUCCUUUACAAACUCUUGGGAAAUGAUUGGAUGUCGUUCCCCACCUUGGAACAGACAUUGGAACCCUAGGUACAUCCUUAAGAAAAUUUGAAACAUCUAAUCCUUGAGUUAAUGUGACACGUAUCUCCCUUCCCAUGGUCCAUUUAUUCCUUUUAGAGACUCUCAGGAAGUGAUUGGAGGUCGUUCCUCACAUUGGAACGAACUUUGGUACCCUUGGUACAUCAUUUACAAAAUUUGGUACAUUUUUUACAAAAUUUGGCACAUCCUUUAUAAAAUUUAAUACAUUCUUUACAAAAUUUGGUACAUCCUUAAAAAAAGUUGGUACAUCUAAUCCUUGAGCUAUCGGGACCCCUAUCUUAUUACCCAUGGUCCGUUUAUUCCUUUAGGGAACUUUGAGAAGUGAUUAGAGGUCAAUAUCUAGGUACUUCGAAAUGAACUUUGUAACCCUAGUUACAUCCUUAAGAAAAUUUGUUACAUCCAAUCCUUGAGCUAAUGUGACACCUAUUGUAGACCCCUCAUUUUGCCCAUGACACAUAUAGGUUACUAUCCAAAUAAAUCAUUGUAAUUUAUCAACUGGUAAUCUUUGAUUCUUUCUCGGAAGCUUCUUAGAGGAUAAAUUAUGGAAAUUUUGAUGUGAUCACAUAAACCUUUGAAUCUGUAGCUUAAGGCCUUCUUAUUGUUCUAACUUACCAUUAACCGUAAUUUAAAACAAAAUUAUUGAAUCCUUAUUUUAAAAUAUAAAGUAAAAUAAAGUACUUCUUUGAAUAAUAAAAAUAACUAAAAAGAUGUAUAUAAUAAAAUUUGGUGACAAAUUAAAAGUAGAUUUUAAUACAAACAACUUAACAUGAUUCGAUUUUUUUAUUAAGCAUUAUUUUACGAGUAAUAUUCUUUAUCUUUUUGUUUCAUAAACCAUAAUUUAAAUUAAAGUUGUUACUAUUGUCAUUAAAUAUACAUUUUGAAACAUAAAAUACGAUAUCUCUUUAAAUAUUUAUUUAAUUUUGAAUGUGCCAAAAAUCACCUUUUUCCAUCGAUUCCAACUAAGCAACUGCCAUUCAAAAAUCCCAUGCCUAUACUAGCCAGAUAUUCACAAGCCUUUCACGUAAUAUUAAACCCAUAAUUCCAGCAUCCACCACCAGCCAUCACCAGCCGUCCUUUCUCACAUUCUGUAACCCAUCCAUUUGGCUGCCUAAAAGCAUACCUAGGCCCAUACUUCAACCCCUGCAACCAGCCAUGCUGACGACACUCUGCACCAGCCGUCCAUUCUCCUCUGUUGCAGCUCAGUUUUAGCUGCCCAAGACCCAACUCCUUCACCCAUCAAUCCGUCCUAUCCCCCAUGCUAUAGCCAUACCUUUUAGCUGCCCGUGAUGCACCUUAGUACAGGUCCUGUUAAGCCGCCUCAUCCCCUGCAACAGCUCCAUUCAUAAAUUAUACCUUAAAACAGUAACUACUAUAGCUACUGACUUGUAAAGGAUUUUUUAAGCUUGCAUACAUUUUUUAACAAUUUUUUUUUAUAAAAAAUAUAGUUAUAAAGGCAAUUGAAAUAUAUCAUAAAUUAUUAUAUGAUUUACCUUUAUAGUGUUUUAUUGUGUUCGAUAUUUUUGUUUGAAAUCAAUGUUUUCAGAACCGGACCGGUGAUCGAACCGGAAAAAUUACCGGUUCACGGUUCACCGGUCGGACCGGCGGUCGAACCGCUAUUGAACCGGUGAUGUAAUAAAUAUAUAAUUUAUAUAUUAUAUAAAAUUAAAAAUAAUUAUAAAAAUUAAAAAUAUAUAAAAUUAUAAAUUUUAAUAAUGUUUGAUUUUUAUAUUUGGUAUAUUAUAUUAAAUGAUAAAGUUUAAUAUUUUAAAUUUUAUUAAAUAGAAAGAUGUAAUAUUUAAGAAUGAAGAUAUAUUUAAAAUGAAAAAAAUUAUAUAUUUAAUUUUAUCUUUUUGUCUUUGUAUUUUAUUGUUUUAAAAUUAUUCUAUUAAUUAAUUUAUAUUAUUUUUUAUAAUUGUUAUAAAAAUAAACAGGAAUUUAAAUAUUUAUAUUUCUUUAAAGAUUUUAUAUGAUAAAAAUUUAAAAUAAAAACAUUAAUGUUAAGUCUUAUUUUAUAUAUAUAUAUUUUAACAACAUUGCAAUGAUAUGAAUAGCUCACGCGUCCAGCCCUCAUGCUGCCAUGCAUCCGCGUCCAGCCCUCAUGCUGCCAUGCAUCCAGCCUUUGAGGCCAGCCCUCAUGCUGCCAUGCAUCCAGCCUUUGAGGCAGUCCUAUUCCAGUCCCACAUCGGAAGCACAUGAAUUCCAUGUGCUUCAAGUGCUCUAUAAAUACCUUGCAAGUUGCAACAGGCAAACCAAGCUAAACAAGCCAACAAAGUGGGCUUGAAAAGCAUGGCCCAAGGGACAUGUUAAUGAGUUAAUGAUUCAUUUGUUUGGGCCCAGUUGUUUAAACCAACUAUGGGCUUAUAAUUAAUUUGAGUUUCAAAAGUUAUGGAUGUGGAAUGGGCUCAAUGGAUAAUGGGCCUUUCAAUUUUAAACAAAUUUUUGAAGAAUUUUAAAAAGAAGGCUUGGCCGGUUCGUGAAAAAUCGGACGGUUUGUACGGUUCGGCAGUCCGACCGGUGGUUUGAACGGUUCAAUGCCGGUUCGACCAUAAAACGGUUCUUUGAGACGGACCGAACCGAAAAGUUGACCUGUCGGCGGUUCGACCGGUCGGACCGGCCGGUUCGGUCCGGUUUUUAAAACAUUGUUUGAAAUACAAUAGAAAGAUAAAGAAAAAAAGAAAAGGAUAUAGAAUUAUUGAUGUUGGUUCAAGUAUUAUACUUUAGCAUUGUUCCAAUGUUUUCUAUUAAUCAUACUUUUAUUUUAGCAUUGUUCCAAAAGUCUAGAAUUAAAUUUAUAUUAGCUAUGAAUAAACCAUAGUCCUCUAAUUUGUUAUUAUUCAACAUCAGGCUUGUUUAAGGAUGAUAAAAUUUGAUACACUUUUUCAACAAGACUUGAAUCUACCAUGCUUUUUAUGGGUUUGAGUUGAGUAUAAUUGAGUUUGAGUUAAAUUCAUGUUGACCUAUAAAACUCAUCUAAUAACUAGGUAGUCUUUGAGUCAACACGCAUAACAAAAUUGGACAUCAAUUAAUUCAUUUAAUAAUUAUGUUGAUUAGUUUAAUUAUACUUUUUAAAAUAUUUAACUCAUAUUUGACACAUUUUAAAUUUGAUUUUAAAUAAAUAGGUUAAUUGAGUCAUAAAUAUAUUAGUCAUAUAAAUUAACACAAGACCUAACUCAACCUAAUUAUUAAAUGGGACAAAUGAGUUACACGAUAUGUUACCUGUUUAAUAAUUAUGUAGUAUUUUAGGUUUACAUUUUUAACCAGAUUAUUAUUCGUGUCGGGUUUGACACAACACAAAUAUGACCCACCAACACAAAUUGUAACCCCUAAGCUUAUUCACUAAAAAAGUAAAUUUAUACUAAUAUUUAAUUACCUAGUUUAAACUAGUAGGAAUAUUUUAAAAUUAUUGCUUAGUGUUUUAAAAAUUGUUAAUAUUGGUAUAUGUAUAUAGUUUGUCUAAAGACAUUCCAUUGAUCUAGAAUUCCAAAUAUAAUUUGUCUGUAUAAAGAUAUCAUAUAUUUUUAAUAAAUAUAUAUUGUAAGUUAAAUAUUAUAUUGUACAAUAUGUUGUACUAUAUGCAUAACUACUAUAUUACUAUUUUACAAAAUAAAAAAUACACUAUAUAAUAGUAAUAUAUUAUAUACAUAAAAAGUUUUUGUGUAAAGUACCCAACAAUAUUUUAAUUAAUAAAUAAUUAUUUUAUUUUUAAAUAAUCUAAUUAUGUAUUUAUUAUUUUUAAUUAUUAAUAACUAAUUUUUCAAAAGUGAUUUGUUUUUAAGAAUAAAAUCAUAAAUUAUGCCAUAAAAGUAGUAUUUGUUGUAGAUACUGAUUUGUUAAGGAUUAUUAUUAUUUUUUACUUGCAUACAUUGUUUAAUAUAAUAUUUAAUUUAAGUUUUAAAUUCCUUACUUUAAAUUUUCAAUUUUAUUUUUAGUCUAAUUUUUAAUUUACAAAUUCUAAUUUUUAAUUCCUAAAUUUUAAAGGGGAAAUCAUGUAACCAUACAUCACCAAAAAAAAUAAAAAUAAAAACUGAGAUUUUUAGAACUUUGCUUUUACCUUUAUAAUUUUAAUGUAAGAUGAGAAAAAAUAUUACCUAUUCAUGUACUUCAAUAGUGCUUUCAUUUUGUUCCACAAUUACCCUCAAAAGUAAAUGACAAAAUACACAUCACUUUAAUACCACCUAUUGAUAAGUACAUGAAUCAUUUAUUUUUCUUAUUUCUCUCACAUCAACUCUCUCACACGUCUCACUUACCACUUGCCACAUUUCCACUUUUUUCUUUUUUCUUUCUUUCUUUUUUUUUUUCCCCAUCUUUUACCACCAUAAUCCAUAGUCACCUAUUAUAUUUUUCUUUGUAAUUUUUUUUCCUUUGAUGUUCUUUUUAAUAUGCUCAUAUAUUUUCUCAUCAAACUUCUUUAAUUUUAAUUUUCUUCACUCUCUAAUUUCUCUAUAUUUAUUGAUUAUAAUUAUUUUUUGGACAUAUUAUACUUAAAAUGAUAAUGUAUAAUAAAUGGUUAAUAUAACAAAUUAAAUCAAAUAUAUGUAUAAUGGACAAAAAUAAAAAUAUUAUCCCACAAAUAAUGUACUUGAUGAUUUUAAAUAUUAAUAUAUUUAAUAAAUUAAGGUUUAAAUUUAAAUAUUUUAUUUUAUUAUUUAGAGGUUUAUGAUAAAAGAUUUUUUUUAUAUUAAUGGUAAACAAAAGAUUUAUUUAUUUUGUAAAUUCUAUAACAUAUAAAAGUAAAAAUAUCUUUAUAAUACUAUUUUAUUAUUUUUAUUAUUUAAAAAAAAAUUAUUUUAAAUAUAUCACAUCAAACUCACAAUAAGUUAUUGUACUUUUAUAUAUUUUCUUAUGAUUUUAAUUUUAUUAUGGAUCUAACCUUUUGUUUGGUUAAAAUCUUUAAUUUUUAAUUAAAAUAAAAUAUAAAAGAAAAUAUAUUUUUCAUAAAAAAAAAAAAACCAUAUUUAACUUUUCAUAUUAAUUUCAUAAAAAAUAAGUACAUUCAUAAGAAAAAUAGGUAAAUCCAUGCCUAGGGGAAUCAAGACCCUUAUCAUUCUUAUCAUGGUUUAUAUAUUCCUUUGGGACCCUUGAUAAGUGAUUGGAGGUCCUCGCCCACCCCAUAAUCAACUUUGGAACCCUAGGUACAUCCAUUCUUAAGGAAACCAAGACCCUUAUCUCAAUUCUCAUGGUUCAUAUAUUCCUUUAGGGAUCCUUGAGAAUGAAUUAUAGGUUGUUCUUCACCUUAGAUCGGACAUUAAAACCACCCAAGGUAUAUCUUAAAGACAAUUUGGUACAUUCGAUCCUUGGGCUACCAAAACCGCUAUAUCCCUUCCCAUAAUCUAUUUGAUACUUUGGGGACUCUUGAGAAGUGAAUGGGGUCGUUUCUAAUCUCGGAAUGGACUUUGGAACCUUAGGUAUAUCCUUAAAAAAAAUUGUUACAUCAAAUUUUCGAGCUAUCGGGACCCCUAUCUCCUUUCCCAGGGUCCAUUUGUUCAUUUAGGGAUCCUUGAGAAGUGAUUGGAGGCUAUUCCUCACCCCAAAAUGGACUUUUAAACACUAGGUACAUCUUUAAGAAAAUUUGGUAUAUCUUAUCCUCUGGUUACCCCAUAUCGCUUCUUAUGGUCCAUUUGAUCAUUUAAAGACCAUUUAGAAGUGAUUUCAAAGUCGUUCCUCAUCUCAUAAUGGACUUUGGAACCCUAGGUACAUCCUUAAGAAAAUUUGGUAUAUCCAAUCAUCGGGCUACUAGGACCCCUAUCACCCUUCCCAUGGUCCGUUUGUUCCUUUAGGAACUCUUGGGAAGUGAUUGGAUGUCAUUUGCCACCUUGGAAUAAACAUUGGAACCCUAGGUACAUCCUUAAGAAAUUUUGAAACAUAUAAUCCUUGGGUUAACGGGACACCUAUCUCCCUUCCCAUGGUCCAUUUAUUCCUUUUAGAGACCAUCGGGAAGUGAUUGGAGGUCGUUCCCCACAUUGGAACGGAUUUUGGCACCCUUGGUACAUCAUUUACAAAAUUUAGUACAUCAUUUACAAAAUUUGGUACAUCAUUCACAAAAUUUGGUACAUCCUUAAAAAAAUUUGAUACAUCUAAUCCUUGAGCUAUUGGGACCCCUAUCUUAUUACCCAUGGUUCUUUAUUCCUUUAGGGAUCUUUGGGAAGUGAUUAGAGGUCGAUCCCUAGCUACUUUGAAAUGGACUUUGGAACCUUAGGUAUAUCCUUAAGAAAAUUUGUUACAUCCGAUCCUUGAGCUAACGGGACACCUAUUGUAGACCCCUCAUUUUGCCCAUGACACAUAUAGGUUACCAUCCAAAUAAAUCAUUGUAAUUCAUCAACUUGUAAUCUUUGAUUCUUUCUCAGAAGCUCUUGGAGGAUAAAUUAUAUAAAUUCUGAUGUGAUCACAUAAACCUUUGAAUCUGUAGCUUAAGGCCUUUGAUUGUUCUAACUUACCAUUAACCGUAAUUUAAAACAAAAUUAUUGAACCCUUAUUUUAAAAUAUAAAGCAAAAUAAAUUACUUCUUUGAAUAAUAAAAAUAACUAAAAAGAUGUAUAUAAUAAAAUUUGGUGACAAAUUAAAAGUAGAUUUUAAUGCAAACAACUUAACAUGAUUCGAUUUUUUUAUUAACCAUUAUUUUCCGAAUUAUAAAGGCCAAUAUAUGAGUAAUAUUCUUUCUCUUUUUGUUUCAUAAACCAUAAUUUAAAUUGAAGUUUUUACUAUUGUCAUUAAAUAUACAUUUUGAAACAUAAAAUACGAUAUCUCUUUAAAUAUUUAUUUAAUUUUGAAUGUGCCAAAAAACCCCUUUUUCCAUCAAUUCCAACUACAGCAACUGCCAUUCAAAAAUCCCAUGCCUAUGCUAGCCACAUAUUCACAAGCCUUUCACGUAAUAUUAAACCCAUAAUUCUAGCAUCUUAGCUGCACCACCAGCCACCAUCCAGCCGUCUUUUAUUGCUUUUCCCUUACCAAGAUCACUUUCACCCAGCCAUAACCAGCCGUUCUUUCUCACAUGCUGUAAUCCAUCCAUUUGGCUGCCUAAAAGCAUACCUAAACCCAUACUUCAACCCCUGCAACCAGCCAUGCCAAGACACCCCACCAGCCGUCCCUUCUCCUCUGUUGCAGCUCAGUUUUAGCUGCCCAAGACCCAACUCCUUCACCCAUCAAUCCGCCCAAGAUCACUAGUUUUUUAUGUUCCACAGAAAUGUGCAGCGCCUGCAUCCAGAGAUUAUCCAACAUGUCUUACUUGAUAUGCCAAGUCUUACUUUCUUCACGACCUAUGCUCUUUUGGCAUUGUUCUGGGCAGAAAUAUACUACCAGGCACGAGCUGUAUCUACUGAUGGACUGAGACCAAGUUUCUACAGAAUUAAUGCAGUGGUUUAUGCCAUUCAGAUUGCUAUGUGCACCUUGGAUUCGAAACUAACCGGUUAAAAACUGGAACCCCUGCAUGCGAGAGAGCAUCACCACAUGCCACGCGAGGGAGUCGUCAGUCACGUUUUCCAACUGCCAUGCAUUCGGUGAAGCGAUUUUUUGAAGGGAAGUCUUCAGGAGAAGAAUCUUUUUCUGUUGCGGGAGGAUGGACAUCACACCAGAAAGAAUAACGGUGGCCGUUUUAGAGACUUCGGAGGUUGAGAGAGGGGAGGAGAACUGACAUAGUGAGUCUCUUUUUCUGGGCGUUUUCUUGGAGGAGAGUUUAAAGAUCUUUUUUCUGUAGAAAAUCAUCACAUAAACCGAUUCAAAGAAUUCAGAAAGCUUCUCGUUAGAGCCAAGGUUCACCAUUUUGCACAGUGCCGUGGUGUUCUCUUGAAGCUUUUCGAUAUGUGCGACCAACAUUUUGAGAUAUUUUUCUUUAGAUAUUUAAUGUCUAAAUCCCCAAACUCUCCUUAUAACCCACCUAUCAUAGGAUUCCUUAGUCUUUAAGUAAGAACAAAGGGUGAAUAACCUCUUAUAUAUAGUUUGUAAUUUCCUUUACAUGCUAGAGAUCUCGGGAGCUUGUUCUCAGAGACAACCUUUUGUAAUAGUAAGAAAUAUAUUUUACAGAGCACUUGCUCUGCUUUUCCUAUAUAUUUUUGUUUUCUCGUUAUUUUUCUUUCUAGCCAACCAAACUCUGAGGAUUUUUUCUCAGAGGAUGAGAGGCUAGGCUCUUCGUCUCUUGGAGUGAAGAAAGCUGGGUAAGUUUCCUUAUGCAUAAAUUGGAAGUUUUGUUGUUUUAGUUUUUAAUGAAAAGAAAGUGUGACCCGUUAAUGGUUUUUAUCUUUUUAGUUAACUUAAAACGCCUUUAAAUCACUUCAGCCAACACUUGGUAAGGCAAGUGAUCUCCAUCCAUUGAGAUGCACUAGUUUAUCUCUUGCGAGCCUUUGGGAGGUGGUUUGAAGGUAGGAUUUUCUAGAAUAGCCAACACUUGGUAAGCUUUUGGACUCUAAGCAGACAUCCAUUAGUUAUCUCUUGCGAGCUUUUGACGGGUAAUCCAAGGUUAAAGAUCACCUUGAAUGGCAAAUGCUAGGUGAGAGGCACGAGCCAUUGCAAGAUGCAUCAGUGAGAGGGAUUUAGUGUUUGAACCCAUUAAUGGGAACCAUCUGUACCACACCGGUUCGGGAAAUAACUAUAUGUUAAAUCCCCAAUGCGAGGAAAAAAAACAAGUGACCGGAACUCCCUUUUUGUAUAAGGAACCUGAGCCUAGUGAUCUAAACUCCAAGAAACACUUUUCUUUGUAAUUAAAAUCAGUUAUUAUUUUUGGUUAGCUUAAAACCAACCUUUUCCACUAAAGAUUAUGUUUUCUUUUAAAGCUAACCUUGAAAUGAAAAAGCACCAAUUCAGCUUUGAAUUGAUAUCAAUUGUGGAGUGAAAACCCAUCCCAGUGAACGAUCCUAGAGCCACUAUGCUAUAGUAGCUUUGUCUUUGCUACCCUAGUUCAUGGUGUAAUAGGUUAUAAAUUUUGUUGAUUACUCCCUGAGGACCACAAUCAAGGAACACCAGCUGGACACGAAUCAAAUGGCACCACUGUCAAGGACCAUUGAGAGGACAUGAAUCAGCUGAGACACCAAUUGGGAACGAAUUAAUUCAACACAAGAAGAGGUACAAAUGGUGGGCGCUCACAAUCAUCUCACCAUCGACCACAGUGCCAGCUUUGUGGUAAGUUUGGCCACACCGUGGUUCGCUGCUGCCACAGGUUUGAUAUUAACUUCUAAGGCUUCAACCUUAAUAUGGACACUGUUCAAACCAAUAAACCAAAUGCCAAGAAUCAAGUGCAAGCUAUGAUGGCAUCUCUUUCCACUAUAUCUGAUGAGGCAUGGUUUUUUGACAUUGGUGCUACACAUCACCUAUCACAAAGUGUUAAUCCACUCUCAGAUGUACAACCAUACAUGGGUAAUGACAAGGUGAUUGUUGGGAAUGGUAAGCACCUUCGUAUUUUACAUACAUACACUACAUUCUUUCCUUCCUCUUCUAAAAUCUUUCAACUGAGACAAGUACUUCACGUUCCUGAUAUUGCUACUAAUCUCAUUAGUGUCUCACAGUUUUGUGCCGAUAAUAAUACUUUCUUUGAGUUUCAUCCUCGAUUCUUUUUUGUCAAGGAUCAGGUCACCAAGAAGAUACUUCUUCAAGGAAGUCUUGAACAUGGCUUAUAUAGAUUCCCUGCCAGAUUUGUGCCUUCCCCUACAGCUUUUGUUUCUUCCAGUUAUGACAGGUCUUCCAAUAUUUCUUUAACAACCAUAACUACACUUUGGCAUUCUCGGCUUGGACACCCUACUGAUAAUAUCUUGAAACACAUUCUUACUUCUUGUAAUAUUUCACAUCAAUGCCAUAAAAACAAUGUAUGUUGUGCUUGUCAAUUUGCAAAAAGUCAUAAAUUGCCUUUCAAUGUGUCUGUUUCUAGAGCUUCUCAUCCUUUUGCUUUACUUCAUGCUGAUCUUUGGGGCCCUACUUCCAUUCCGUCCACAACUGGUGCACGCUACUUCAUUUUGUUUGUUGAUGAUUUCUCUCAUUUUUCUUGGAUUUAUCCAUUGCACAGCAAAGAUCAAGCAUUAUCUAUAUUCAUAAAGUUCAAAAGUCUAGUUGAAAAUCAGUUUAAUUCUCGGAUACAAUGUUUACGGUCUGAUAAUGGUGGCGAAUUUAAAGCCUUCUCUUCAUAUCUUGCUACGCAUGGUAUUAAAAGUCAGUUUUCUUGUCCAUACAUACCUGAACAAAAUGGUCGAGCGGAGCGCAAAUUAUGACAUAUAAUUGAAACUGGUCUUGCUCUAUUAGCCACUGCAUCCUUACCUUUCAAGUUUUGGCUAUAUGCAUUUCAUACAACUAUUUUCCUUAUAAAUCGGCUACCUACUAAGGUUCUCAAUUAUCAAUCUCCCUUUCAAAUUCUUUUUGGCAAAUCACCAAAUUAUCACAUCUUUAAAAUUUUUGGUUGUUUAUGCUACCCUUAUAUUCGACCAUACAACAAAAAUAAACUCUCCUAUCUCUCUAGUCAAUGCAUUUUCCUUGGCUAUAGUUCCAAUCACAAAGGCUAUACGUGUCUUGACCCAUUGUCAGGCCGUCUCUAUGUUGUGUUUCAUGAAACGGUGUUCCCAUUUCAGUCUACUCUGGAUCAAUCCUCAUCUGUAGUUACUAUCCCCACUCUAGCCCUUCUUCCUUUCUCAUCUCCUCCCAUGUCCUCACUACCUUCCCAUACAACUCCUUCCACCUCAAGCCCAUCGUUAACUAAUAUGCCUUCCUCCACUACUUCUUUACCAGACUUGAUACAAGUUCCUUUUGUUGACAUCUCCACUUCUAAACCUCACCCUACUAAUCAGCAUCCCAUGGUCACACGUGCAAAGAAUGGCAUCAGCAAGAAGAAGGUCUACUUCUCAUCUCACAUCUCUGAACCUACUACAUUCACACAGGCUGUUAAAGAUUCAAAUUGGGUUCUUGCCAUGGAAAAAGAGUUUUCUGCUCUCCAAAGAAACAACACAUGGCAUCUAGUUCCACCACCCUCCAAUGGCAAUAUAAUUGGUUGUAAAUGGGUCUACAAACUCAAAUAUAAACCCGAUGGAACAGUUGAUCGCUAUAAGGCCCGGUUAGUUGCACAAGGAUUUACUCAAACUCUAGGUCUCGAUUAUUUUGAGACUUUUAGUCCAAUUGUCAAGGCUUCUACUAUCCGCAUUAUACUUGUAGUUGCACUCUCAUUUAACUGGUCAGUUCACCAACUUGAUGUUCAGAAUGCCUUUCUCCAUGGAACUCUUGAAGAGCAUGUGUUUAUGCAUCAACCCCCGGGCUUUAUCAAUUCUCAAUUUCCUUCUCAUGUUUGCAAGCUUAACAAGGCUUUAUAUGGCCUUAAGCAGGCCCCUCGGGCAUGGUAUACCAAACUCAGCACUUCACUUCUUGGCUGGGGAUUUCAAGCUUCUCGAGCUGACAGCUCGAUGUUUAUUCAUCAUUCAACACAUGAUGUCCUUAUUUUACUCAUUUAUGUAGACGACAUACUAGUAACUGGCAGCAAUUCAGCUCAGGUUUCGUCAUUUAUUACUCGACUCAAUUCUUCUUUUGCUCUUCGUGACCUGGGCUAUGUCAAUUAUUUUUUGGGCAUUAAAGUAGUUCGUUCUGGUAUUAUGUUUCAUCUCAGUCAGCACAAGUACACACAAGACCUCUUAUCUCGCACAGCCAUGUUAGAAUCCAAACCUGCUACUACUCCGGGAUUGUUAGGACAAACAUUAUCUCAUCUUAAUGGUGAACCUCUCUUGGAUACCACCUUAUAUCGCAGCAUGGUUGGUGUGCUUUAGUAUCUUACCCUUACCAGACCGGACAUUUCUUUUGCUGUUAAUAAAGCUUGUCAAUUCAUGGCUACACCCACUACUACUCAUUGGCUUGCUGUGAAAUGGAUUUUGCGAUAUCUCAAAGGCACUUUAUCCUAUGACAUUCAGAUGCAAUAGUCCACCUCGUUGGAUAUUCAUGGAUAUACUGGUGCCGAUUGGGCAUCUUGUCCAGAUGACAGAAGAAGCACCGGUGGCUAUGGCAUCUUCCUUGGUCCGAAUUUAGUGUCAUGGUCUUCCAACAAACAGAAGGUUGUGUCUCGCAGCAGUGCAGAAUCUGAGUAUCGUGCUCUUGCGUCUGCUACUUCAGAGAUUAUUUGGAUUCAAUAUGUUCUACAAGAACUUUGUCUCUCUUCCUUCUCUCCACCUCUACUUUGGUGUGAUAAUAAAAGUGCAGCUCACUUGGCUGCAAAUCCCGUGUUCCAUGCUAGGACCAAACACAUUGAAAUGGAUCUUCACUUUAUACGGGAUCAUGUUCUUCGUAAACAGCUCGUCAUUCAGUAUCUUCCUUCCGCUGAACAGGUUGCUGACAUUUUCACUAAACAUAUUUCAAGCUCCCAGUUCCUUAGUUUUAGAACGAAGCUUUCUGUUGUUCCCUCCCCUGUGAGCUUGCGGGGGGAUGAUAGACGAUACCUAGCUGAUCAACAAGAAAGUAACUGUCCGGGGUCAGCUGCAACAAACCUAGAUCAGGUGCAACAAACUAAAGUUAGCUGCAACAAACAGAAGCCGAUUAAGAACGUCUCGAAGAAGGAAGUUAGUUAGUUAGGUUGUUGUAGAUAUAAAUAUAAGAAAACGUCAGUGUAAAAACAUGGAUCACCUUUUCUAAUAGACAAUGAGAAAUAUUAGUUUUUCUAAAACCCAGUUUCUAAAACUUUCAAAGGUUACCAUCCAAAUAAAUCAUUGUAAUUCAUCGACUUGUAAUAUUCGAUUCUUUAUCAUAAGCUUCUUGGAGGAUAAAUUAUAAAAAUUUUGAUGUGAUCACAUAAACCUUUGAAUUUGUAGCUUAAGGCCUUCUGAUUGUUCUAACUUACCAUUAAUCGUAAUUUAAAACAAAAUUAUUGAAUCCUUAUUUUAAAAUAUAAAGCAAAAUAAAUUACUUCUUUGAAUAAAAAUAACUAAAAAGAUGUAUGUAAUAAAAUUUGGUGACAAAUUAAAAGUAUAUUUUAAUACAAACAACUUAACAUGAUUCGAUUUUUUUAUUAAGCAUUAUUUUCCGAAUUAUAAAGNNNNNNNNNNNNNNNNNNNNNNNNNNNNNNNNNNNNNNNNNNNNNNNNNNNNNNNNNNNNNNNNNNNNNNNNNNNNNNNNNNNNNNNNNNNNNNNNNNNNNNNNNNNNNNNNNNNNNNNNNNNNNNNNNNNNNNNNNNNNNNNNNNNNNNNNNNNNNNNNNNNNNNNNNNNNNNNNNNNNNNNNNNNNNNNNNNNNNNNNNNNNNNNNNNNNNNNNNNNNNNNNNNNNNNNNNNNNNNNNNNNNNNNNNNNNNNNNNNNNNNNNNNNNNNNNNNNNNNNNNNNNNNNNNNNNNNNNNNNNNNNNNNNNNNNNNNNNNNNNNNNNNNNNNNNNNNNNNNNNNNNNNNNNNNNNNNNNNNNNNNNNNNNNNNNNNNNNNNNNNNNNNNNNNNNNNNNNNNNNNNNNNNNNNNNNNNNNNNNNNNNNNNNNNNNNNNNNNNNNNNNNNNNNNNNNNNNNNNNNNNNNNNNNNNNNNNNNNNNNNNNNNNNNNNNNNNNNNNNNNNNNNNNNNNNNNNNNNNNNNNNNNNNNNNNNNNNNNNNNNNNNNNNNNNNNNNNNNNNNNNNNNNNNNNNNNNNNNNNNNNNNNNNNNNNNNNNNNNNNNNNNNNNNNNNNNNNNNNNNNNNNNNNNNNNNNNNNNNNNNNNNNNNNNNNNNNNNNNNNNNNNNNNNNNNNNNNNNNNNNNNNNNNNNNNNNNNNNNNNNNNNNNNNNNNNNNNNNNNNNNNNNNNNNNNNNNNNNNNNNNNNNNNNNNNNNNNNNNNNNNNNNNNNNNNNNNNNNNNNNNNNNNNNNNNNNNNNNNNNNNNNNNNNNNNNNNNNNNNNNNNNNNNNNNNNNNNNNNNNNNNNNNNNNNNNNNNNNNNNNNNNNNNNNNNNNNNNNNNNNNNNNNNNNNNNNNNNNNNNNNNNNNNNNNNNNNNNNNNNNNNNNNNNNNNNNNNNNNNNNNNNNNNNNNNNNNNNNNNNNNNNNNNNNNNNNNNNNNNNNNNNNNNNNNNNNNNNNNNNNNNNNNNNNNNNNNNNNNNNNNNNNNNNNNNNNNNNNNNNNNNNNNNNNNNNNNNNNNNNNNNNNNNNNNNNNNNNNNNNNNNNNNNNNNNNNNNNNNNNNNNNNNNNNNNNNNNNNNNNNNNNNNNNNNNNNNNNNNNNNNNNNNNNNNNNNNNNNNNNNNNNNNNNNNNNNNNNNNNNNNNNNNNNNNNNNNNNNNNNNNNNNNNNNNNNNNNNNNNNNNNNNNNNNNNNNNNNNNNNNNNNNNNNNNNNNNNNNNNNNNNNNNNNNNNNNNNNNNNNNNNNNNNNNNNNNNNNNNNNNNNNNNNNNNNNNNNNNNNNNNNNNNNNNNNNNNNNNNNNNNNNNNNNNNNNNNNNNNNNNNNNNNNNNNNNNNNNNNNNNNNNNNNNNNNNNNNNNNNNNNNNNNNNNNNNNNNNNNNNNNNNNNNNNNNNNNNNNNNNNNNNNNNNNNNNNNNNNNNNNNNNNNNNNNNNNNNNNNNNNNNNNNNNNNNNNNNNNNNNNNNNNNNNNNNNNNNNNNNNNNNNNNNNNNNNNNNNNNNNNNNNNNNNNNNNNNNNNNNNNNNNNNNNNNNNNNNNNNNNNNNNNNNNNNNNNNNNNNNNNNNNNNNNNNNNNNNNNNNNNNNNNNNNNNNNNNNNNNNNNNNNNNNNNNNNNNNNNNNNNNNNNNNNNNNNNNNNNNNNNNNNNNNNNNNNNNNNNNNNNNNNNNNNNNNNNNNNNNNNNNNNNNNNNNNNNNNNNNNNNNNNNNNNNNNNNNNNNNNNNNNNNNNNNNNNNNNNNNNNNNNNNNNNNNNNNNNNNNNNNNNNNNNNNNNNNNNNNNNNNNNNNNNNNNNNNNNNNNNNNNNNNNNNNNNNNNNNNNNNNNNNNNNNNNNNNNNNNNNNNNNNNNNNNNNNNNNNNNNNNNNNNNNNNNNNNNNNNNNNNNNNNNNNNNNNNNNNNNNNNNNNNNNNNNNNNNNNNNNNNNNNNNNNNNNNNNNNNNNNNNNNNNNNNNNNNNNNNNNNNNNNNNNNNNNNNNNNNNNNNNNNNNNNNNNNNNNNNNNNNNNNNNNNNNNNNNNNNNNNNNNNNNNNNNNNNNNNNNNNNNNNNNNNNNNNNNNNNNNNNNNNNNNNNNNNNNNNNNNNNNNNNNNNNNNNNNNNNNNNNNNNNNNNNNNNNNNNNNNNNNNNNNNNNNNNNNNNNNNNNNNNNNNNNNNNNNNNNNNNNNNNNNNNNNNNNNNNNNNNNNNNNNNNNNNNNNNNNNNNNNNNNNNNNNNNNNNNNNNNNNNNNNNNNNNNNNNNNNNNNNNNNNNNNNNNNNNNNNNNNNNNNNNNNNNNNNNNNNNNNNNNNNNNNNNNNNNNNNNNNNNNNNNNNNNNNNNNNNNNNNNNNNNNNNNNNNNNNNNNNNNNNNNNNNNNNNNNNNNNNNNNNNNNNNNNNNNNNNNNNNNNNNNNNNNNNNNNNNNNNNNNNNNNNNNNNNNNNNNNNNNNNNNNNNNNNNNNNNNNNNNNNNNNNNNNNNNNNNNNNNNNNNNNNNNNNNNNNNNNNNNNNNNNNNNNNNNNNNNNNNNNNNNNNNNNNNNNNNNNNNNNNNNNNNNNNNNNNNNNNNNNNNNNNNNNNNNNNNNNNNNNNNNNNNNNNNNNNNNNNNNNNNNNNNNNNNNNNNNNNNNNNNNNNNNNNNNNNNNNNNNNNNNNNNNNNNNNNNNNNNNNNNNNNNNNNNNNNNNNNNNNNNNNNNNNNNNNNNNNNNNNNNNNNNNNNNNNNNNNNNNNNNNNNNNNNNNNNNNNNNNNNNNNNNNNNNNNNNNNNNNNNNNNNNNNNNNNNNNNNNNNNNNNNNNNNNNNNNNNNNNNNNNNNNNNNACAUGUUAGUUUAGGUUGGGUAUGGACAAUUUGGGCCAUGCAUGAGUGUUGUUAGAAUUUGAUAUUUAGGAAACUAAAUGAUUAAAUGUGGAUUACUUGAUGAAUUAUGAUUGAGAUUGAGUUAUUUUUUUCUUUUCUUUUUUUCUUCAAAAUUUCUUUUCAUCUAAAGAAGCCAUUGGAUAAUCACAUGACAAUUGACUUUGAAUAAACUCUCUUGAUUUUGAUUCAUGGAAAUUUGAUUUAUCUUAAUUUUCUUAAAUAAUUCACACAUAUACACUUACAAUUUUUUUGGUAAUCCAAUUUUAAAAAUAUAUAUGAAUUGUUUUUCCUUUUGAAAAUUGUUUUUAUACCUCAUUCAUAACAAAAUUAAUCUUAAUCUCUUUUAUAAUGAAUAGUUUUUAUAUUUAAAACCUAUCUUAGUCUCUUUUAAGUAUGAAAUUUCAAAUUCUAAAAAGAAUAAUGUUGCCCAUUUUGGUUCGGUAUGCAACUUUGAAAGGUUUUAAAAAUGAAUUUUGGUUUUAAAUACAUGUGAAUUAAAAUUCAUAUUUCCAACUAAUGGAUUCUUUAUGAACUAAUUCAUGUACAUUAAAAUGGGACUUAAUAAAUCCCUACAUACAAAAAAUUUUCAAAAAUAAAGUUUUCUAUUGACACUAUUGACAACCCAUUGCAUAUUUGAAUUUGUAAAUUAUAAUUUGUCCAUUUAGAGACUCCUUAAAAUUUUUAUAAUUAUUCCAUGAUAUUCUAAACUCUUUGAACUUAAUUUAAGAAUUUUAUUUUAGUCAAAACUAAUUUCCUAAUUAGAAGAUAUAAAUCAAUCUUUUAGAAGGUUCAACUUUCAUUUUGUUUUUGACACUUAGUCUUAUUUUGCAAAAUUAAAUUACUAAACGAUUUCUUUAAAUUCAUUGAAUAUUUUUUUCUUAAUCUAAACCUCCUAAAUUUAAUUUUUGACACAUAAAAUAUUAAGAAAUAAUUACUAAAAAGGGAGAUAUAAUUUUUCUUCUUGAACCUACUGCACCUAUGCUCUCCUAGAGCUGAAAGAAUUUUACUUAUUUUUAAAUAUAUCAUGAUUUUAAUAUUGCUUUGUAAUUAUUUUUCAUUCAAAAUAGACAUGUGAGGCUAGUUGUACAUAUAUAUAUAUAUAUAUAUAUAUAUAUAUAUAUGUGUAUUUAUUUUAUUUUAGGACAUCUCCAAGUUAAGUAAAAAAAAUCAAUUGUUGAAUACUUUAACAAAAUGCCCUGUUGUGAACCUACUAAUAUCAUUAUUAAAUAAGAGCUAGUUGAUUAAUUUGAUCACUUGGAUGAUAAACUAGACAUAUAAAAUAUAUUCUCUAAAAAAUUUCAUGAUGAAAUUUAACUUCUAGAUAUUUGUUUUAGAUUUAUUUUGUAGAAUCCCCUUUUUGAUUUUUCACAAACAAAAAGUGAGUCUUGUCAUCGAGUGAGAACACAUAUGAAAAUAUGGGAUCACAAAGUGGUGACUCCACAGGGGAUCUUAGAGGGUCAAAGCUUGAACUUAAGUUAAAGUAAAUGUGAGGUUUAAUUGGUCGAUUUAUGGAUACCCCUUCUUUGUGCCUUUGUAUGAUUGUGUGAUUAAUGACACAUUGAAGAUUUUUUUAUGCUGUAAAUAUAUAUGAUAGAUGCAUGUUAGAUGAUGUUGUUUAUUUAUGAUUGUUUCUCUUGUCUAUUAUGUUUUUCUUAACAUGAUUGAUUGUAUUCUUAUCACAUGCCUAUUAUACCUUAGCAUGAUGGCUGAUCUAGUUGUAUGUCUUGUUAGAUUAUCAUGUCUUUGUUUAAUUUGAAUAUGGUGAUGGAUGAUUUAUACUUGUAUUGCAUGAUUGAUUGUUGCAUGACAACUCUUAUCUUGUAUGAUUGCUUGUUGUAUGUUCAUGUGGGACACACUUGUAUCCCCUUAACUCUGAUUCUCUAAUUUUGGUCGAUUUUGUUUCCCUUGAUCUUGUAUUAUAUACAAGACUAGUUAAUUCAAGUCUGCUUUUGACCAAGCUAGAGACUAAGAGUAGGGUUCAAUAAUGGGUUAUAUUGAUGUUUGGGAGCGUUAUGGAGAUGGGCAUGUUAAUGCUGAUAGGAGUUCGAUCAUUGAAGACCUCUAUAGCAUAAAACUAGAUUGAAUGGAUACUCGUGUGGCCAAUUUGUUCCCUUUACUAUUUUAGUCGCAUAGGUUUUUUGAAUGCACCCACAUUAUUCUAAAUGUACACUUAGAUUAACCUUAAAUGUUGAGAAAUAUAAAAUCUUUACCUAUAGGAAACUGCUUGGGAUAUGAGGAAAUGCAUGUGUGGAGGUGAUGACCAUCUUACAUGGAAGCACCUCGUCUCUUACGAGGCGUGCAAAGGGUUGCGCAUCAUCGGAGGGUACGAUCACCUUUGCUAGGGAUCCCUUUAACUCACUUUCUUAAUUUUUUUUAGGGCCACCUUGUCCUUAUAGGUUAAACUUAGACCUUUUUAUUAAGAAUUCUAAAUCCUGUAUGUGGGCGCAUCUGAGGGCCUUCAAAAGUCACUAUAAUCACAUUAGAGAUCCAAUACUUCCUCCACUUAGCUUCUUUUUAGGAGUAAUAAGAGACUUGUAAGAGUUUGAGUUAUAAUAAUAUACUUGGAAAUGUCAUGCUUGGUUAUGGUUCCUUAGUGCAAUAUAUGUAUUCCUUUUGCAUUGUGCCUUAUCCAGUCUUUGUACACCUUGUAGGAGUAGUCAUCCCUCCCAGUCUAGGUUCAUCGACGUGGGUUAGAGUCAAUGGUAGACUUGUUCGCAUAAGAGAUUAGAGAGAUAUGGACUAUAGCUAGUUACAGUUGAUCAGUUUUCCUCGGCUACGGUUUCUAUCCAAGAGGUUAUUGUGAGCCUCAAACAGAGGAUGGAUAGACAGUAGAUUCGAUAGACACCUAUUUAGGAGGAUCCUCAGUUUGACCCAGUGCCACCACUACCUCCCUCUAUUAGUCAAUUAGACCCAUCACCUGCACCAUUUAUUCUUCAUAGUCAGACUGAGGUUGCACCACCUCCUAUCAACAUGCCUACCCCUACUUCAGAUGAUACCCAUGCUCGCAUGGAUAGGCUUGAGCAAAGGCUAAGACAGAUGAGAGCUUCAGAUGGAGGGAUUACGUGGGAUGACUUUGAUGGAUCGCCAAUGGCCAGCUUAUUGGCUAAGUUCAGGAUGCCAAAUAUUGAGAGAUAUAUGGGCAUAGGUUGUCCCCGUAUUCAUUUGGGACUUUACAAUACUAUUAUGAGGGCUCACGAGUUGGAUGAAAGCCAAAUGAUUAAGCUCUUCCCUAUGUCUUUGAGUGGCAUUACCCAGAGGUGGUUUUCUUCAUUAGAUGCUCCGUGUCGUAGGACUUGGGACGACUUGGCUUAGGAGUUCUUGAGAUAGUUUACCUUUAACACUAUUAUUGAUAUCUCUAGGAGGGAAUUGGAGGCUCUGAGACAGAGGCUAAACGAGUCAGUGACUUCGGUUAUCUCUCAUUGGAGGGAGAAGAUAGCAUUGAUUAUUGAUCAUUCUUUAGAGAGAGAUCAUAUUUGCAUGAUUAUGAGGAGCUUACAACUUAGGUUUGCUAAGCAUUUGAUGGGGUUUACACAUGCAGAUUUUAGAUCUUUAGUUCAGGCUCUUUAUGAUGUUGAGGAGGGUAUUUCACAAGAUGGCCAGAGUCUUGCCCUACUAAUCUUAAGAGAAAGAAGUCAUUAGGAGGUCAGUGUUCAAAUGUGUGUGCUAUAUCUAUCUUUAGGUCGAGGCCGCCUAGAUAUCAAUUAGUCAUUUCCAUAAAAUUUCAAGGCUCAUUCUCUUUACACACCAUACCCUCAAUACUAAUAGAGGUUGUCGAUUCCUCCACAAGCUUAUGAUCAGACUUAUCUAUAUUCCAUUCUCUCUUAGCCUUACCAUGCUGCUCAGGCUAUUGAUACACCUGUUGCAUACUCCAAGUCUUGAGCAUCUCAAACCCCGGUUACUUACGCUUUUAGACUAUAGAGGUAGUUUUCCUAGUUGGGGAUGCCAUUGAGUCAACCCUUCAAGAAGCUUGCUGAUGUCGGAUUAUUAGCAGCACUAGCUCACACCCAAUACCUUUGUCGAUUCUCUCGAACUAUAGAUUGGAUCUUCAUUGGCUACACCAUCAAAUUCUAAGGCAAGACACAAAUAGGUGCACGACUUUGACACAUGCCAUACAGGAUUUGAUAAAUCAGGGUUCAGUGAACUUGGGAAGCCAAGUGUCACCACAAACCCACUACCGACUCAUUCCACUCAUCUAAUACCACCACCGAUCAGAGGUGUCCACUUUAUUGAUCUUGAUCAAGAUGACUUUAUUCACAUGAUGAGUUAGGAGGAUCAUGCACCAGAGCCUAUAGUAUUACAUGUGAGAUCAAAGGUUGAUGGGGUCACUUUGUGUACAUUGUCUAUCAUACUAUAGACCCUCAAUUUUGUCAUCCUAGCACAUGUCCUAUUAGGCACUUGUUCGAUACUUUACAACAAUUCCCUAGAAGCAGUUCACCAGUAGGUAUGAGGUUGGCGAAGAAGUGGGGAGAGGACAUUUUGGGUAUACUUGUUCUGCUUGGUUCAAGAAACCAAUGCCGAAGGGAAAAGAAGAAUUCACAGCCACGCAUUCGCCAUUAGAAGAGAAGGGGAAUAUGAGUAGGGGUCCACCAGACAAUGUUCUUUGGGUUGGCACGUUUCUUUUAUUAAGUCAAUUGAAAUAGAAAGUGCCAUUGGAAGUUUAGAAAGUGGGAUCUCUUUUAAGGCUAGAAAUACAUCUCCAAAAAGGAAAUAAAAAUUUCCCAUAGGAGUGGGCUGCCAUAUAAAUAAGACAAAAGGAACAGAAAAAAAGGAUGGAUUUUUUGGGGAGAGAUCCAGACAUAAAGCAGAGUUCUUCCAAAGAGGAUAGGCAUGGGAUACUUUUUGGGUUUUUAGAGAGAACACACGGAAUUUUGGAGGAGAGCGAGGGACUUCGGACGGAGAUCGGGCUGUCACUUUGAUCAUCAAGAGAGUAUUUUUUCAGACACAACACAGGUUAGUUUUCGUUUUCAAUAGAGCAUUCUCUUUAGUUUAGAUUUUAGUUCGUUAGUUUAAGUAAUUUUCAUGGUAAAUUCUUUUGAACGUCAAUUCGUACAAUUUUUUUCAUUUCAUUUUUUUUAUUUUUCUUAAAUUAGAUGUCUUUUUUUUUUUUUUUUGUGAUUGCAAUUCAUUAGUUCCAUGCUAGUUCAUCUUAAUUUAUAUGAUAGUUUAAUUAAAGUUUGUGUUUUUAAUUCCAAUUAGUUUAAUUUUAAUUUGUUUUUAGUUUAAAUGCAUUUGUUAAUCUUAAUUCUCUAGUUUAAAUAAUCAUAUUGAAUAAAGUUUGUGUUUUUAAUUCUAAUUAGUUUAAUUUUAAUUUGUUUUUAGUUUAAAUGCAUUUGUUAAUCUUAAUUCUUUAGUUUAAAUAAUCAUAUUGAAUAAAGUUUGUGUUUUUAAUUCCAAUUAGUUUGAUUUUAAUUUGUUUUUAGUUUAAAUGCAUUUGUUAAUCUUAAUUUUCUAGUUUAAAUAAUCAUAUUGAAUAAAGUUUGUGUUUUUAAUUCCAAUUAGUUUAAUUUUAAUUUGUUUUUAGUUUAAAUGCAUUUGUUAAUCUUAAUUCUCUAGUUUAAAUGAUAAUAUUGAAUAAAGUUUGUGUUAUUAAUUCCAAUUAGUUUAAUUUUAAUUUUUUUUAGUUUAAAUGCAUUUGUUAAUCUUAAUUCCCUAGUUUAAAUAAUCAUAUUGAAUAAAGUUUGUGUUUUUAAUUCCAAUUAGUUUGAUUUUAAUUUGUUUUUAGUCUAAAUGCAUUUGUUAAUCUUAAUCCUUUAGUUUAAAUAAUCAUAUUGAAUAAAGUUUGUGUCUUUAAUUCCAAUUAGUUUGAUUUUAAUUUAUUUUUAGUUUAAAUGCAUUAGUUGAUCUUAAUUCUUUAGUUUAAAUAAUCACAUGAAAUAAAGUUUGUGUUUUUAAUUCAAAUUGGUUUAAUCUUAAUUUAUUUUAUAAUUGGAAUGAGUUCAUGAUUUUAAUUCAAUUGUUUGAUUAAUCCUGUUAGAUAAAUUCCAUGUUUUUAAUUUCGACUUUAGUUUAGUUUUAAUUAGCUGAUUUAUUUAUUUGUUUUAGUUUAAAUGUAUUUGUAUGUUCAAUUUGAUAAUAUAGCCAAUCUUUUAGACGAUGUUGAUGUUUUUAAUUCUAAUUUAAUCUAGUAUUAAUUAUUUUUUAGUUUGAAUGUGUUUGUGCAUUUUUUAUUUUAAUCCAUUUAUAUCCAAUUUCGUAGUUGAUUAUAAUUUUAGUUAAUUAAUUUAGUUAAUCAUGUAUUAUUGUUUUCAUUUUCCAAGUAUGACAAUUUUAAUUUUAAUAUAUCAACAUUCAAUUUUAGUGUUUUUAGAGUUUUAGUUAAUUAAUCUAGUCAAUCACAUGUUAUUAUUUUCAUAUUUUGAGUAUGGCACAUUUCGGGUUUUGAUCUAUUAAUAUUUAGUUUGAGUUUUUAGGAGUUUUUGGAUAGUCAAUCUAGUUAAUUGCAUGUUAUGUUUUCAUAUUUUUAAGAUUGCUAAACUUUGGUUUUUGAUUUAUCAUAUUUCGUUAGAAUGUUAAUUUAUUUUUAUUGAUCCCAUGUUAUUAUCUCUAUAGGUUUAGUUUGUUGGUUUUAAUCCUUGAUUGGUCUGUACCUUAAUUCAUGUGCUUCUCAAAAUCAAUAUGUUAGUCUUGAAUAAUAUUUUGAUAGCUUGCUUGAUUUAGAAGUCAUUAGUUUGAUGCCUUAGUGAUUGUUGGUUAGACCCCUUUUUUUUGUAAGGCCAUUGGAAACUCAUGAAAGUUGGCCCUGUUCUCACCACUUUAGUUUGCUCGGAUUGUCCAAAAUUUCACUUUGUGAAUUCGUUUUCUUAUAUUUUGCUCGGUUUUUUAUUUCUUAUGUUUUGUUAUUUUCACAUUAAUUCCCUUUAUUUUAAAAUCAAAUGUUUUUCUCAAAAGAUAUCUUUGAAAAUUUUAUUUUAAAAAAAAUCAUUUAGAGUCUUUAGAAUCAAAAUUUUUUUUUCCUAAAAAUAAUAUGCAACCAUAUCUUGAUCAGUUCACAUCCUUCUCAAUUCUUAAUGAAAAUUUUGGUUUUGAACAAAACACGAAUCAAUGCUUGUGGUCCCAAAUAAAUAGGACAAUUCUAGGAUAAAUUCGUGUAUAUCGAUUGGGGAAUUGGUGAAACCCCCACAUAAGAAAAUCUUUUCAAAUCUUAUUUUUUCUACCACCCUUGUUAUUUAUUGUAAUCAUAUUUACAUUUUUCUUUUUUUUUUUUAGGAAUUAUAUAAUACUUGAUUAUUUCGUAUACUCUGAUCGUUUUGCUAUGCUAAUUAGAUAUGCAUGUUAGGAUUUCUUAUUUUAUUAUUUAUUGCCUAACCCCCCAUGUCCUGAGGAAGCGUAUUAUGAGUUAUCAAUGCUAUCCAGGUACGCCCCUUAUCUCCUACCUUCUAAAUUCUGUAAAUAUGAUUGUCAUUAUGAACUAUGCAUAUGUUUGAUAGUACUUGGGUGUCUUGAUAUUUGUUACAUUGUUCGAUUAUUUAUGAUAAAGUGCAUGCUGGGUCAUAUACUAUUUAAACUAACCUUUGAUGUUUUGUGAUAAUGUUUGAGAAGUGGUCCAGGUACGCACCCUAAAUCUCCUUUAUGAUUUGUGAUUGACUUUCUUGUUAGGCAUGCUAUUUUUUUUAAAUCACCCAACCUACUUAAGUAUUUAUAAUUAACCAAUUAAUUGCCACAUUUCCUACAACUUAGUUAGUAGAGACCUUUAUAUGGCUUAGAGGAGUGCUACUUCCUAGAGAUACCUUCCCAAUAAGUAACCUGAUCCCCGAACCCAAACUCGGGUUUUUCAAAGAUAUGCUUUUUCCAAAAAUUAUGAAGUCACUUUUUAAGUUUUUCUUUCUUAUUUUAUUUUCCCUUUAAAAUAAAAAUAAAAUAAGUGGCGACUCCAACUUUAAAAAAAAUAAAUAAUUUUUCACUAAAUAAAAGCGAGUCUUGCCGAUUGAGUGGGGACACAUGUGAGAAAUGCGGGUCCACACAUACCUUUUAGUUUGAUCCCAAAUAGACCUCCAUUCCAAUUUAUCCUAGUUCAUGACUUAGUUGUUGGCCACGAUGCUAUGGUUUUCUUUGUUUUGAUGCCUUAGGAUACUAAUGAGAUUAUUGAUCUAGAUGUCCAUAUAGUCACUUGUGGUGAGAGAGUGACUUAGCCUCCAUUAGAAGAGACUAGACCAUUUAAGGGCAUAGGAUCUAGAGAUGUCGUGAUACAAGAGCAUGAUGAGAUGAUGAGGUAGUUACAGAGUACACAGACUCGCAUCUCUAUCUAGAGUUUGCUAGCUUCUUCUACUACUCAUAGAGAUGCAUUGAUUAGGACUCUGAGUCAAACCAGAGUUGAGUUUGUUAUAUCUCUAAACAGUUUGAUUCACAUGUUGAUUACUAAUAGAGCUACAUGCAUUGUAUCAUUGUAUUCUCUGUUAAUGACUUACCCUUGGAGGCCUAGAUCAUACCCUACCUUUAUAUAUCAUUAUUGGUUGCUCAGGGCACCGAGUUCCAUCUAUCUUAUUGGACAAUGGCUUCACCCUAAAUGUGUCUAUUGGCUACUACUGUGGCACUUGGGUUUGGCUUGUCAAAUUUUAGGCUAUCUACGCAAUUUGUUAGAGCUUAUGAUAGCACACAGAUGGAGGUCCUUAACACAUUGACACUUGAGCUAUAGAUUGGUCCAAUUGUAUUCUUCACAAUAUUUCAGGUUUUGAGGAUACCUACAUCCUUUAACUUGUUAUUGGGCAAACCCUGGAUUCAUCGAGCUAGCACCAUACCAUCUUCCCUUCAUCAGAAGGUGAAGUUCAUACAUGAGGACAGAGUCAUUACCAUAUAGUCUAAUGGAGAUAUUUCUUCAUUCUCUGAGCCAGUUUUAUAAAUCAACCAUAGUGAGGAUGACUUAUUUUUUAUUGGUUUCACAUUUGAUGAGGUUCAUAUUGUGACUAUUAAAAAGUCUCACAAAGAUCAUGUACCUUUGCCUUUUGAUUGCCAUAGUGGCACCAUUUUUUUGAGUAUGAUGAGAGACAUGUUUUAUCUUCCUGGUUUGGGAUUGGGAUAACAACAACAUGGCAUCAGUGAGUUUAUAACUACUAUGAGUCAUGAUACACCCUUCGGUUUAGGAUAUACACUUAUAGAGGCAGACUAUCAAUACAUAGCAUAUCUACACAGACAGAGGCUUAGAGCCCGGUUACUUCACAUACCAUUUGAUUACCCACUCUAAUCAUGCAUGAUGGCUAUGACAUAUUAUUUUGUGAGCGCUUUUGAGAUGACUUUGACAUUGGAGAGUAUUAUUGGUAAAUCUGAUGGUGAUCAACAAAUUAAGGAACUUUUUCAGUAGUUUCAGUUGACAGAUAUAUUUCUUAGUACUUUCACCUCAGUAAUGGUGGCUCAUCCAUCUCUAGAUCAUGGCAACAUGAUGUCACUUUGUUUUCAUAAGGAGAUAGGUAGCCAGGAGCCAUUACUUCAACAUCUAGACAUAUCUGAUGAAGUUGACUUACCAAAUGACUACCAGGAUGAGAUAGCUAUGAUGAGUUUGAGCUAGACAUUUGAUACCAUUCAACUAGAUUCUUCUACUCCAACUGCCACAUCCAAGGCCUCUACCAUCGAGAUAUUCAACAUUGUCCAGACUAGACCCAUUUUAGAUUUAUUUGAUGUUGAUGUUUCUCUUAUAGAUGAUAUACUUGAGGGCACUAUUAGCCCGAUGGUGGUAGUGUCCAACUUUGUGGACUUAUUCCAUUCUUUUGAUGUAUUUUCGAGUUUUGUUUCAUGUGUUGAUGAAGUAUUUACUGAUUUUUCAUAUAUGGACAUAAGCAUUUUUUAAUAUUUGCCUACUUCUCAUGAGGAUGUUACCGUACAUGCACUUUGCUCUAUUUUAGCUCUUGAUUCCAUUCCCAUAGAUUAAAGGGUCUCACCUACUAUAGGAGACACUAGGUUGAUUUUGGCACACCAGAUCAGCCCAGAGAAUUGAAGAUUGGAUUGAGUUUGUCCACAUAUGAGAGAAAUUGACUUGUGCAGCUACUUAGGACAUACUUAGAUGUCUUUGCAUGGUCCUAAGGACAUGCCUUCUAUUGUUCAACACCGAUUACAACUUUUGCCACAUGUUAGACUAGUUAAGCAGAAGUUGAGGCAAUUACAUUCUCAGUGGAGUCUGAAGGUAAAAGAGGAGAUCCAAAAGCAGUUCAGUGUUAGAUUUAUAUUAGUAGUAGAGUAUCUUGAGUGGUUGACCAAUGUCAUCCUCGUUCCUAAUAAGGACAACAAAGUCAGAGUUUGUGUGAACUUUAGAGAUUUCAACAAGGACAAUGCUAAGAAUGACUUUCCCUUAUCUCACAUUCAUAUGUUGGUCAAUAGCAUAGUUAGUCAUUCAUUGUUAUCCUUCAUGGAUGGGUUUUCAAGGUAUAACCAGAUCUUGAUGGCUCUAGAGAACAUGGAGAAGACCGUUUUCAUCAUUGAGUGGGGCAUGUACUCUUAUAGGGUGAUGUCAUUUGGGUUGAAGAACAUAGGGGCUACAUAUCAGAGAAUGGAAACUAUUUUUUUCCAUGACAUGAGCACCAGGAUGUUCAGGUUUAUAUAGAUGACAUGAUAGUGAAAUCAUAGGAUAGAGCAGAUCAUUUAGUAGCCUUGGAGAGAUUCUUUGAGAGGAUCAGACAAUUCAGAUUAAGACUAAAUCCUAAGAAAUGCACCUUUGGAGUGACUUCUAGGAAAUUAUUGGGAUAUAUGGUUAGUGAGAGAGGCAUAAAGGCAGACACAAAGAAAAUUAGAGCCAUUCUUGAGAUGCCUACAUUGAGGACCGAAAAAAAGAUUGGGAGAUUUCUUGGCAGGCUACAAUGCAUUAGUAGAUUCAUAGUUAGAUUGACAAACAUAUGUGAGUCCAUCUUCCGACUCUUAAGAAAGAACCACCCUACUAUUUGGGAUGAUCAUUGUCAAUGUGCCUUUGAGAGGAUUAGAGAGUAUUUGUUGUACUCUCCAAUUUUUGAACCCUCUACUCUAGGUCGACCUUCCUUUUGUAUUUGUUUGUCUUAGAGAUAGCUUUGGGAUGCAUAUUAACUCAGCUCGAUGAUCUAGUCAAAGAGCGAGCCAUUUAUUAUUUAAGUAAGAGGAUGCUAGAGUAUGAGAUGAGAUACAUUUUGAUGGAGCGCUUCUGCUUAGCAUUGGUAUGGGCUACCAUGAGACUAAGACAUUACAUGACAUAGUAUUCAACACACUUGAUAUCUCGAUUGGAUCACUUGAGAUAUUUUUUUGAUAGGCUUACUUUACCUAGUAGAUUGAUGAGAUGGCUAGUACUCAUGAUUGAGUUUGAUACUCAAUAUGUUACUCAAAAGUCUAUCAAAGGGAGUGUUUUUGUAGGUCACCUGGCUUCAUUACUAGUUUCAGAUAGUGGAGUUAUAGAUGAUGAUUUCCUUGAUGAAGGGAUUGUUAUUGUGACUAGACUACCAGGUUGGGGUAUGUACUUUAAUGGUACAGCCAACCCUUUUGGAUAGGGGAUAAGAGUAUUUUUUAUAUCCCCUUAUGGUGAUCAUAUUCCGAGAUCUGUUGUUUUGACAUUCCCAAAUCAAUAUCCUACCAUGAACAAUAUAGUCAAGUACAAGGCUUGCAUAUUAGGAUUGGAGACAGCUUUAGAGUUGGGUAUUAGACAAAUGGAAAUAUAUAGGGACUCCAACUUGAUACUGAGACAAAUUUAGGGCACCUAGAAGACUAGGGAUGUGAAGCUCAGACAUUAUCAUGCUUACUUAAAGCUACUGGUCAGGAGGUUCAAGGAUUUAAGAUACACCCAUAUGCCAAGAGCAUAAAACUAGUUUGUUGAUGCCUUAGCUACCCUAACUUCUAUGAUUGACAUUCUUAUUUAUGUUGUUAUUUGUCCAUUGGUGAUAGAGUCGAGGAUUGUGCCAGCAUAUUGUUAUUUGAUUGAUGAUGUAGAGAUUCAUGAUGACUUUACUUGGUAUUAUGACAUUUAUUAGUUUCUCAUUUUCGACACAUACCCUAAGGUUGCCACAACUAAGAAUAAGAGAGCUUUGAGACAGUAGACCACCAGAUUUGUGAUAUGUGAUGAGACAUUGUACAGACGAUUAGCUAAUGGCAUGUUACUGUUAUGUCUAGACCGUACCUCUAUCGAUAGAGUGAUGAGAGAGGUUCAUGUGAGAGUUUGUGGAUGACACAUGGGAGGACAUAUAAGAUCAUGAGGAUUGGAUACUUUUGGUUGACCAUGAAGACAGAUUGCUACCAAUUCAUUCAGAGAUGUCUAGGGCGUCAGAUGCACAGUGAUCUUAUUUAUACUCGACCUUUAAAGUUACAUGCAUUGACCUAAUCGUGACAUGUAGACCCUUCAUUUUGUUCUACUAGCACAUGUCCUAUUACAUGUCUAUUUGAUACUUUAUAAUAAUUCUCUAGUGACCCAUUAGUCACCACCUUAGGCCCACUUUGGCACCCUAGGCGCAUUUAGAUGCACUUGGCCCAUUAGGUACACUCCUAGGUCACUUGACACAUUUCUAAUCACCCUACAUCACUAUUGUCCCACUGGCAGCUGCGACGACUCCCCUUUUUGGACAGCAUGGGCAGCGUACAUUUGGCCACCUUUGUCAGGACCACCCUAGCCCCGGGGUAGGUUUUUUAUCAUGUGAACCUCGUCGGCGAUGGCAUUUCGCCACCCCCACCGCACCAUGCAGUAGCCACAUUUUUUUUGUUUAUUUCUUCUUUUAAUGUUAAAGUUUAUUUAUUUAUUUAUUUCUCAAAUAACUCUUUAAAAUUCCAUUUUUUCAAAUACUAUUCUCAAAUAGUUUUCCAAAGUUUCCAAGAUUCCAAAAUUUCAAUUUAAUUUUUUAAGAUACCAUUUCCAAGUAAUUUCCAAAAUUCCAAAAAAAAAAAGAACAAAAUUUAGUUUUAAAAAAAUACCAUCUUCAAAUAAAUUUUCCAAAAUUCCAAAAUUUCAAUUUUUAAAAUACUAUCUUUAAAUAAAUUUUCCAAAAUUCUAAAAUUUGAAUUUUUAAAAUACUAUCUUCAAAUAAAUUUCCCUAAAUUCCAAAAUUCUUUUUUUUUUAAAAAAAAAAAUACCAUUUUCAAAUAAAUUUCCCAAUUUUCCAAAUAUUCCAAUUUUCGAAAUUUAAUUUUUUGAAAUAAUUUCUCAAAUUUUCAACUUUCGAAAAUUCUAAUUUAAAAAAAAUACCAUCUUCAAAUAAAUUUUCCAAAGAUUCCAAUUUAAAAAAUUUAAUUUUCCAAAAUAAUUUCUCAAAAUUCCAAAAUUCCAAAAUUCCAUUAUUUUAAUAAAAUUUAAUUUUCAAAAUUCCAAUUUUCCAAAAUUUCAAAUUUUAAAUUUAAUUUUUUAGAAAUCCAUUUUCAAAAUAAUUUUCUAAAAUUUCAAUUUCAAAUUUAUUUUUUUCAAGAUUCCAUUCUCAAAAUAAUUUUCCAAAAUUCUAAUAUUCAAGUUUAAUUUUCUAAAAUUUCAUCCUUGAAUAAUUCUUCAGAAUUCCAAUUUUUGAAACUUGAAUUUUCACACAAUUUUUUAAAACUCUAGUUUUAUUUCAAAUGAUUUUAAUCCCUCUCCAGUUUUCAAAUUUUUUUUUUUUAAUUCUAAUACUUUUCAUCCUUCAUUUAAGGUUUUAAGUCACUAAAAAUCCCAUUUUUAAAUAAAGUUGUUGCUUUUCCUUUCACUUUCUCAAAUUUUCUUUGAUUCUUAAAUUAAUUUUCUACUUUCCUUGAUUUUUAAUAAGCAUGAAGGUAAUUUUCAUAAUUCCAAAAUAAUAGAAUUUGUGAGAUUAAUUCAUGCAAAAUAAAUUGGGCUUUGGUGGGGGCCCAACAUUUAUAACAUUUCUUUCGAAAAUAAGUAAUCGAUUUUGUUUGAUUUUGAUUUGGUUUUGUGUGAGAUUUUUUUUUGCGUUUGUCACUGCACACUAACCUUGUGUUCAUGACAACACUUUAUUACUUGCUACCAAGGUAUGCUCUUAUCCUCACUUUGUUUAUUAUUUUGUUAUCAUGACUUGUUUUCAAACUAUGAUCAUUUUGGUAUCCAAUGAUUUCCUAGUUAAUUUUCAUGCUUGCUUCACCUUAUUUAAUAGAGACUCAUUUUUAGGGGCUUAAAGGGGUGCUACGAACCCAGUUUUGGUUUUUCACAUACCGUCUUUUCCAAAUGAGGAGUCACACUUAGGGUUUUCUUUCUUAUUUUGUUUUCCCUUAAAAAAAAUUUUAAAAAUAAGUGGCGACUCCAAGUCUUUUAUAAAAAUCAUGUUUUUCACCAAAUAAUAGAAAAAGGAGUCUCGUUAAUCGAGUAGGAACGCAUCAUUGAAAAAUGCGGGGUCUAUAAAUUAGUGACUUUGUUAGGGAUCGAACCCAGAAUCUCUGGUUUCAUAGAAGAUCAAGCUUGAUAAGUUGAGGCAAAUGUGGUGUUUGAUUAGGUGAUUGAUAGAUACCUUCUCUUUGUGCUUUUCUAUGAUCAAGUGUUCAUUGCACACUAAGAGUUUAAUGUGAUGAUUUCCCAUGCUUAACUAUCAUAUUCAUUUGGGACAUUAAUGUGCUAAUAACAUUGAUUGAUUCUCUUUGUUGUCAUUAGUCUAUUGGUUUUGCUCUUGCCAUGAUUAUCCUACUCACUUUGACAUGUAUGCUCACUUUGUUGUAUCUCUUGUUUGUCUUAGUGUUAACUCUUUUACUUGUAUAUUAUCUUGAUCAUCUUUAAGCAUGCUAUAUUUGUCACUAUUCGUCUUAAUUGUCAUAUUCUCGUUUAGCUUGUGUGUAGACAUGGAUGAUAUAUCUACGCUUUGCUUGAUUUUUUGUUGCAUGACUACUCUUCUCCUGUGUGUUUGCAUGUUGCUUGUCUGUGUGGGUCGCACAUCUACCCCCUUACCUCCAACCCUCUGGUUUCGGUCAUUUCCUUCAUCUCAGUUCUUACUUUUGCAAGUGUGAGGCCUUGUGUGUGCUUGUUUCUUUGAUCGAGCUAAAGGUUAGGAGUAGGGUCUAGUGACGGGCUAUAUCGAUGUUUAGGAGCAUUCUAGAGGAGGCCGAAACAUUGAUGCUGAUUGGAGUCUGAUCUUUAAAGAUCUGUAUAGCCCAAAGCUAGGUUUUAUGGAUAUUUGUGUGACCAGUGUGUUUCUUUUUUUGUUUUAGCUUUAUAGGAUUUUGGGAUGCACCUACACCACUCAAUGUGCACUUUAGUUGACUGUUGAAUGCUGAGAGUUGUGAGAGCUUUCACUCUAGGAAACCCCCUAGGAUGUCGAGGUAGUGCAUGUGUGGAGGUGAUGACCACUUUGCAUGGAAGUGUCUCAUCUCUUUGGAGGCGUGCAGAUGGUUGUGUACCACCGGAGGCUAUGAUCGCUUCUACUAGGGAUCCUUUAACCCACCUUGUUUUUUUUUUGUUUUUUUUUAUUUUUUUAUUUUUAGAGCCAUCUUGUCCUCAUAGGCUAAUAUUAGGCCAUAUUAGGACUCCCUUCCUACACAUGGGUGCAUUUGUGGGCCUUCAAAGUUGGGUUAGUAGCAAUAGGUUUAGUUACUUUCGUAGUAGUCUCUUUUAUAUUUGCUUAGAAUUGGAUAUCAGUUUGAGUACUUCCAGGUUACCUUCCUGCAUAGUUAAUAGACAUUCCUUGUAGAGUUUCCCUUACACCAUAUCUUAUCUAGUGUUUCCACUAUUCCAAGAGUAUUGAUACGUUCGAUCUGGGUUCAGCUUCUUAGAUCAAAAUUAGAGGUAGAUUGAUCAGAGUGUCAAACUAGUCAGAUAAGACAAAUAUAGAUUCAUAGGUGGUUACAAUUGAUUAGUUCGUUGUUGCUAUGGCUUCGAUCCAAUAGGCCAUAACUAGUCUUUAGGUUAGAGGAUGGAUGGGCAACAGACCCAACAGGUUCCAAUUCAGGAGAGUGUGUUGUAUGAUCCCACUAUUCCGCCACCUCUCCUACCUUGUUAGGCAACUCCACAAGACACUCAGAUAUCACCACCUUUCCCCACUUGGUCAAACACUUCCACAACCUACACCAUUUAUUUUGCAGAGUCAGAUUGAGGUUGACCCAUUACCUGCCAUGGUGGUUGUUCUGACCUUAGAGGAUGCCCAUGCACACAUGGAUAGGCUUGAGUAGAGGAUGAGACAGUUGAGAGUAUUAGAUGGAGGGAUGGUAUGGGAUGAUUUUGAUGGACUACCAAUGGCCAGUUUACCUGCCUAAUUCAAGAUGCUAGAGAUCGAGCGAUACACGGGGAUUGGAUGCCUCUACAUUCAUUUGAGACUAUAUAGUAUUAUGAUGAGGGUUGACCAUUUGGAUAAGGCUCAGAUGAUUAUGCUAUUCCCUAUGUCCUUAAGUGGGGUGACCCAAUGUUGGUUUGCUUCUUUGGACGUGUCACGCCAUCGAACAUGGGAUGAUUUAGCCCAAGAGUUCCUACGAUAGUUUGCAUUUAACACUAUCAUAGAUGUCUCAUAGAGGGAGUUUGAGGCCUUUAGGCAAAGGCCCAAUGAGACAAUCACAUCAUUCAUUUCCCGUUGGAGGGAGAAGAUUGCCUAGAUCAUUGAUAGGCCAUCUGAGAGGGAUCAAAUCAGCAUGAUUAUAAGGACUUUUCAACCUCGAUUUGUUAGACAUUUGAUGAGGUUCCCACAUGUGGACUUUGGAUCUUUGGUGCAGGCAUUAUAUGGUAUCGAGGAGGGCAUUACUAGAGGAUUGUGGCUUGAGUCUUCUUCUUCAAACUCGAAGGGGAAGAAACUAGCUAUUGGAUAGAGAUCAGGAGACAUCAAUGCCAUCAGUGUUUGGACAGAAAUUGGGAGACAUCAGUGCCACCAGUGUUGCUAAACCGAGGUCCCCUAUAUAUUAUCAGACAGUUGGGUAGACUUCGGGAGUUUAUUAUCCAUCAUCAUCCUAGGUGCAGUAUAGGCCACCUUUUCCUUUUAGACCUAUGUCUCCCACAUAUUUACACCUAACUCCACAACCAGUUUAUGCUACUUAGACCACAUAGAGGCUGCCUUCUCAUUAUCCCCAGCAUAGGGCUCCAUCUGCAUAGAGACAGAUGCGACAGUUUUCCUAGUUGGGUAUGCCUUUGAGUAGAGCUUUCUAGAAGCUCCUAUAGGGAGGAUUAUUGAUUGCAUUAGCAUUGAGACCACCACUUCAGCCUAUGUCACCUUAGUUCAGGUUAGACCUUCAUUGUGCUUACCAUCAGGGUCUAAGACAUGACACUGAUUACUACUCUGCUCUGAGACAUGUUAUUUAGGACUUGAUAGAUCAGGGUCUGGUUAACUUGGGGCAACCAAGUGUGACUAAAAACCCUUUACUUGCUCACACCACACAUUCAGUGCCUCCACCUACUGGUGGUAUUCAUCACAUGCAUUUUGUUCAAGAUGACGUCAUGCACAUGCUGAGUUGGGAUGAUGGAUUGCCUAAAAUGAUUGUUCCAAAUGAUGGCUAUGAGAUUGUAGGAGUUACAUCAAAUUUUUCGAUCCCUAUACCAUUCAAUUUGGUCCUAGAUAUAACAACAUUACAAUUGAUUCCUUCUACACCAUCAAAUGUCGGGCAUGAGGACACGUUUACCUCGUUUAUUCUAUGGCCAAAGGAUAUUGAUGUACAUGUUAUGACUCGUAGUGGGAGGAUAGCUCAAGCUACACCUCCAAUUACUAGAACAUUUGAUGGUACAGACUCUCGCAAGGAGGUUAGAAGGGAAGAUGAUGAAAUCUUGAGACAACUGUAGAGCACCCAGGCUCGGAUAUCCAUUUCGAGUUUGUUGGCCACUUCUAGUACCCAUAGAGAUGCACUUAUUCGAGUUUUGAGUCAGAUACAUGUUGAGAUCUCUACUACUCCAAAGGGAUUGAUUCAUAUGAUGACAGCCGAUAGGACCACUUGUAUUGUGUUUUCUAUUGAUGAUCUACCACCAGCGAGUUUUGGUCAUACUCGCCAUCUCCAUAUUACAGUUGUUUGUUUAGGCCAUAGAGUCUCAUAUGUCAUUUUGGACAAUGGCUCGGCUCUGAAAGUCUACUCCUUAUCUACUGCCAUUGCUCUUAGUUAUGCACCCUUAGACUUUGGUCUCUCUACUCGGACAGUCAAAGUGUAUGAUAGCACUAAAAGGGAGGUCAUGGGCACUUUGGAGAUUGAGUUAUUGAUAGGUCCAACCACAUUUCCUACUUUGUUCUAGGUUUUGAGGAUUCCUACAUCCUUUAACCUACUAUUGGGCCGACCUUGGAUUCAUAGAGCUAGAACCAUUCCAUCUUCCCUUCAUAAAAAAGUGAAGUUUAUCCAUGAUGGGCAGGUUAUUACAAUAUAGUCUACCAGGAACAUGAUUUCAUCAUCUAAGGCAGUAUUGCAGAUUAGUCAUAGUGAUGGUGAUAUUUUUCUCGCAUGAUUCACAUUUGAUGAGGUAUAAACCCUUGAGAUUCAGGAUUUUUGUAAAGAUUUCGUGGCCAUGUCAUUUGACCAAUAUAGUAGUAUCCUUGUUCUUGAUAUGAUGAGAUAUAUGUCUUUUCUACAUGGUUUUGGGUUAGAACAACGCCAACAUGGAUCUAGUGAGUUUGUGACUACAGUUGAUCGUGAUACUCCUUUCAGUCUUGGUUUUGUUCCUACAAAGGUUGAUUACAGAUACAUGGCAAUUUUGCACAAGGAAAGACUUAGAGCUUGAUUGCUCCACAUGCCAUUUGACUAUCCUAUUUUUCCAUACAGGAUGAGCUUAGCAGAUUAUUUCAUGAGGGCACCAGAAGACGUUGCAUGGUUGAUGGAUCUAGAUAGAAACCAAUUCUCGGAGCCAACCAAUGUAGAUCAGCUGAAGAAGUAUUAUGUUUGAGACCAUGGUUUUAGGAUGGGUGACCAUCAUUUCAGUUAGCCACAUACCUUGUUAUCCCCUUUUGACAUACAGACCGUUGCUAGCCUAUUGAGCCUCGCAUGUGCAUCAGAGUCUUUAUUUCUUCUUAUCUUGCUUACACUUCUACACUGAAAUAUAGGCCCUUUAGUGUAUGCAUGCUUCAUUUAGGAGUUUCAUGAGCCUUGGGCCUAUGGGCGCAUCUUUCUCUCAUUAUUUUUCCUACCAUCACACUAUUGCAUUUCCUCAUAUCUAAUUGGUUCUAUUUUUCAUCUCUAUUUUGUCGCAUUUUCUACUUGUUCUGCUUCAUCUUUUCUCCACCUUGAGUAGUGAUCCUUCUCAGUUCAUUACAUGGAGGAUAGUCACAUCAUUUCCACUAUCUAUCUCACAAACACUGAUUUAGAGAUCCUUAGUUUGAGAAGGUCAUCUCAUUAAAGAGAGCUUAUGUUACUUUAGCACUUGAGAGUGUGUCUAUCCAUUAUUGAUAUCAUCUUUGGGGCUUAUUUUGUUCAUGUUCAAGGGAUGUGCAUUUGUAUAUAUGUAAAAAAAAUGAAAAAAAAAAAUUGAAAGGAGAAAAAAAAUUAAAAUAAGCACAUGUGUGUAUGUGCAUAGUAUUCUCCAUCAUUGAGCAUACAUAUUGAUAUCCGAUGGUCAUUUUAUCGAGUAUGUUUGUUGGUGAAAGUUUGUAUGUGAGCUUUCCAAGAUCAUUUUUUAUUUGUAUUCACUUCGUCACAUAUUUUCUUUGAGAGUGAGAUGAAUGACCUUCUCAUAGGGCUCUGGGUCAUUGUCUUUUCCAUUAUUAUAUUCAUUGUUGAUGUGACUUAACUUCAUGUUUGAUUUGGGUUGAUCAUCACUUUUUUUUUUUGCAUAUUCAUUGUUUCGCUAUCAUCCUCAUCAUUGCUUUUGAUUCAUCACCUUUGCUUCACCCACUUUUUUUUUCUUACACUGACCUAUUCCAAGUUUGAUAUUCCCCUUUGCAUCAUUCUGGCACAUCUCAUUAUCAAUUUGAUUUGCUUCAUUGUCUCAUUAUUGAUAUUUUAUUCACAUUGGGCACCCUCAGGUCCAUGACUCACAAACUCUUCUAUACAUGUUGCAUUUUAUACACGAGGACAUGGGUUUUUGAUCAUUGAGUAUUUGGGCUUAGUUUCCUUUCAUUUCUAUUACCCUAUCACCCUAGCCUAUGUUAUGUCCCGUGUCUUAAGAUCAUCCUGAGGCCAUGGGAUCAGAUGUCGUCUUCGACAGCCCCUACUUAGACAAGUGUUUGAGAUUUGGUUGAUCUUUAGAUACCAUCAUGCUUUUUCUUCUGGGAGAUGCCUCUAUGAUGUUUGGACCUGAUUCAAUUAUGGAUAUAAAUGAUUGGGAUUGGACAUUUGAUGAUGGAUGAUCCGAUGUUCUCUGAUUUUUUUGAUCUACCAUACAUAUGAUGUCGUACUAGGGCAUAUUUUCAUUUUAGUUGAGAUUUAUAGAUCUUCAUGGAGUUGCAUGAUCAUCUCCACUUACGAGAUGAAGCACUGUUUGUUAUCUUAUCAUGAUUUCCUAGUGGAGCCUUUUUUGGGCCAUUCAAUCAGGCCCACACUUUUUGAUAUUUAGAUGCCAUCAUGCUUCUUCUUUUGGGAGAUGCCUCUAUGAUGUUUGGACCCGAUUCAAUUGUGGAUAUGGAUGACUGGGAUUGCACAUUUGAUGAUGGAUGAUCCAACAUUGUCUGAUUUUUUUUAUCUACCAUACAUCUGAUGCCAUACUGGGGCAUAUUUUCCUUUUGGUUUAGAUUUAUAGAUCUUCAUGGAGUUGCAUGAUCAUCUCCACUUACGAAAUACACAUUGAGACAAUGACCUAUUUGUUAUCUUAUCAUGAUCCCCUAAUGGAGCCUCUUUUGGGCCAUUCAAUCAAGCACACACUAUUUGAUAUUUAGAUGUCCUCAUGCUUCUUCUUCCGAGAGAUGCCUCUGUGAUAUUUGGACCCCAUUCAGUUUUGGAUAUGGAUGACUAGGAUUGCACAUUUGAUGAUGGAUGAUCCAAUGUUGUCUGAUUUUUUUUCGAUCUACCAUACAUCUAAUGCCAUACUAGGGCAUAUUUCCAUUUCGGUUGAGAUUUAUAGAUCUUUAUAGAGUUGAAUGGUCAUUUCCACUUAUGAGAUACACACCAAGACGAUGACCUAUUUGUUAUCUUAUCAUGAUCCCCUGGUGGAGCCUCUUUUAAGCCAUUUAGUCAAGCUCACACUUUUUGAUAUUUAGAUGUCCUCAUGCUUCUCGUUUUGAGACACGCCUUUUGAUAUGUCGAUCUGAUUCAGCUAUGGACAUGGAAUACUAGGAUUACACACUUGGUGAUGGAUGAUUUGGUGCCAUCUGAUUUUUCAACCUACCACACAUCUGAUGCUAUACUGGGGCAUAUUUCCAUUUUGGUUGAGAUUUGUAGAUCUCCAUUGAUUUGCAUGAUCAUCCAUAUUUAAGAGAUACAUGUCAAGUUGUGGUUGGUUUUUAUUUUACGAUGAUUCCCUAGUGGAGCCUUUCUUGAGUCAUUUAGUCAGGCUCAUACUUUCUAAUAUUGUCGUGAUUCUUUGAUGGAGUUAUCUCAGGCGCAUAGACUCCCAUAUCAUCAUUUCAGUGAAGUACAUGUUAGAUUUAUUAUAUAUCCCCAUUGAGUUAUUCUCAAGUCAUCAGGACAGACCAGAUGUACUAGUUGCUAUACAAAGCUGUUACCAUUUUCUUUAUUCAGUUGAGGGAUAUUUAUUCGUAUUACUGGUCACAAUAUCGAUGAUUUAUGCCGAGAUGAGCCUUUAAAGGAGCCUGACCUUUGGGUUUUGACUAUCUCAUUACCUAUGACUCUUUAGUAGAUCGUUAUGCUGCGAUUGUGACAGUUGCCCUAGUGGACCAUUUUUCUUGAGACCCGCCAAUGGAUCGUUCCUUUGAGAUGACGACAGAUUCCUCCAGUAGGGUAUCUUGAGUUAGAGGCAUCUGGAUUAUUAUGACACUUUGUUAGGCCUCGUGAUUUAGUCAAAUGGGUUGUGAGACUUUAUUUUAUAGUUGAUUUGACCAUUCCGACUUGUCAGUAGAGCAUCUUUUGAGACUCAUGGAGUCUCUUUUAGACCCUUUUAGUGGGUUGAGAUUUGCAACAACAUGCCACACUAGGGCAUAUUUCCCCUCAUCAUUCAUUUUAAGCUUGGCGUUCAGAGCCACCAUCUCUUCUAGUUUUAGGCAUUCAGAGCCACCAACUUGGUUUUCAUAAACCCGUCUUUUCUUUCAAGAGUCACAUUUAGGGUUUUUUUUUCUUAUCUUGUUUCCCUUAAAAAAAAAGAGUAAGAGAUGACUCCUUUAUUUAUAAAAUUAAUUUUUCACAAACAAAAAGCGAGUCUUGCCAUCGAGUGGUAACAUAUGUGAAAAAAUGGGAUCACACCUAUCUCUCUUUCCAUAGUUUAUUUAUUCAUUUGGAGACCCUUGGAAAGUGAUUGGAGGUCGUUCCCUGAUUCUUUAAGCUUGACUUCCCCAGCCGGAUCUUUUAAUCAAAAACAUUUAUAAAACCUAUGACCUUAUACUGGCGUAGCAAAGCUACUGUAGUAUAGCAGUUCUAGGGUCGAACUCAGGGAUGGGUUUUCACUCUACCAAUGAUAGACUCUAAAUUAGAAAUUGAUUCUGAUGAUUUCCUUUAGCACAAACUUGAAAUUUAAAAGAAAUUAAAAUUGUUUUGAAAGUGGUGAUUUAAACUAAACUCACAUAGAACUAAGUAAAAAGUGGAAGAAAGAAAGUCUCUCGGAGAUAAAGGUUGCUAGGUUCAAGUUCCAGAUGCAAAGUGGAAAAUUCCGGAUUUUUCUCCUCGCAUUGGGGAUUUAACCUAUAGUUAUUUCCCGAACCGGUAUAGGUUUGACAAUGAAGUUUUAAUCCAUAAAAAAUCAUUAGAGAUGGUAGUCAAGGUCCAUUAAUGACUUAAGACACUAUGGACUAUCACCUUGAAUCACUUUCCACUGGCUCGUACAUGAUAACUAAUGGACUGAUAUGGAUCUAGCAAUAAGCAUCCACAGAGACCUUAAGCUUACCAUGUAUUGGCCAGUCAAAGUGAUCCUAAGGGACUUAAGGCAAAAACCUUGGCUUUAAAAGCCAUUUAUGGACUCCAACUACCUGAAUUCAAUGCACGAAAACUUUCCACCUUUUAAUCUGGACUUUUCACCUAGCUUCCUUCACUCCAAGAAACUAAAUGUUUAGCCUCUCAUCCUCUGGGAAAACAUCCUCAGAGGGUGUUUGGCUUGCAAGAAAAUAGAAAAUAGAAGAGAAAAGAAAGUAAAAGAGAUCUCUGUAUUUCACUAAGUAACAAAUUUACAAUAGUUGGUCUCCUGGAGAAAGCUCCCCGACGAAGAUAUAUAUUCAGUGAUUACAAGAGAAUUUAUAUAGGAAGGUAGUUUUACCCUUCCUUGGAUACUUCCUAGCUAAGGAAUUACAUGGUUGGUUGAAUACAAGGAGAAAAUGGAAAUUUAAACACAAAAAUAUCAGAAGAAAAAGAGUCGGCAAAAAUAUCCAAUUUUCGCACGCUGAGUUCCAAUUUCGCAUGUUGGUUUGAGGUGUGCGAAAAUUUCGCACAGUGGACUGAGGAUUUCGCACCUUAAACAGUGGUGUGCGAAAUUGUUCCUCAGCUUGAUGCAGUUGUCUUCCGAAGUCCAUAUCUUCCUCAUUUCAGCUCCAAAUCAUAUAUGGUUUGAACCGUUGGAUUCUUGACUUUCUGAGCUUCGAAAUGGUAUAUAGAAUGCAGAAAAUGGACAUCGGGAAGUGCUCCAAAAGUGCACUAAAAGACUGCAGCUGUGUCCCCUGUUUUCAUCCCCUGUUUUCUUCUUCUCCAUUGUUUCUCCCUUGUAAACUUUGAACGAUUAAGGCAAAGGAUUAUGAGGCUCCAUAGCUUGAUUUCUUCAUAAAUUUAAGCUUUCAAAAGCUUUGCCCUGAACUAUAAAUAGCUCUCCCUCAUUCUUAAAUUGCUUUGGUGAGCAUAAAGCUAUCAAAAAGCACCAAAACUUAACACAAUUGUUAGAAACGAUUGCAAGGGCUCCUAACAUGCUAAUUGGGUUAAAAGGUAAUAAUUACUACUCAAUGGUGUUUAAAAGAGCUAAUUACAAGCUAUAAAAUAGCAUGUUUUGAGUAGUAAUCACUCCCCCCAACCGACAUAUUGCUAGUCCCUUAGCAAUUAAGGAGAGGAAAACUAAGCAAACGUAAUAAUAUAUAUAAAAGAGGUCAUGCAAUUCAUUCCAAAAAAUAAUUGAGUGGCAUGACUGAUAUCAAAACACAUCUCACAUGGUGAACUAAAGAUAUGAAGAUUCAAAAUGCAAUAGGAGUUGUCCAAGCUAAAAACUUAAACAAAAAGUACAAAGAGUGGAGAUUAUGCAAUUAAGUAUCAAAAGAAUCUCUACUCUCAAGGUUCCAAAUCAAACUCUUCCAUAAUAAGCUAAGUGUUAAUGAAAUUAGCUUCCGGAUAUAGUAUAUACAACUAUCCUCACCCUCCAACCUAAGCUUUUCUCGGAUAUUGGUAACAUUAACCAACUCUUAAUAGGUUAAGAACGCACCUUCUUAUUCGCAAUUCUUUUUACUUACUAAACUUAACCAAUUCACCCAUGUAGCAAGCAGAGGAUCGAUGACUCCCAACCAAUUAAGGUUUAGGGCAUCGGGUUUUAAAGGCUUUCGCCACCCCUUCGGAUCAUACUUAGGUUUCAAGGAAAGAAUAGAAGCUUAUUCUCUUUUUCUUUUUCUAAGACUCAUUGGUCUUUUUCUAAGACUCAUUGGUCUUUAUGAGGUGUCCCAACACUAUUUAAAAAGAGGUUAAGUAAUAAACCAAGUCAAAAUUUUCCUAAGCUUAGAAAGUGAGAAAGUUUUACAUUUUAUAUCCGGGAUCUAAUGUGCACAGUGUGUGUAAAGCUCGAAAUGGAAGAAGAAAGUUCAAAAUCAAAGAGGCUUCAAUAGAUUAUCAACUUUGAAAGCAUAAAACAAACUCUAAGACUUAAAUAAUUAAGUUAAAACUCGACUUAUCCUAUUUUAUUUUUGAGAAAUUAUCUUUAACAACCAGAGAGAAUGAUUCAAAAAACUUUAAAAAAUUUUAAAAUUUAAGCAAAAAUUAACUAAAAUACCAAAAUAACUUAAUAUUGACAACAAAACUUCCUUUCUCAAUUCUCCCCCCCCAACCAAGUUGAACAUUGUCCCCAAUGUUUCAAAAGCGAUUAAAAAUAAAGGGAGGAAGUGGUACCUCCUGAGUGAGAGAAAGUCUGAGUGUAAAGGAGGUAUGCAGUACCUUAAACCACAUGUUCCAAGGACAAAAGAGUAAUGAGAAAAGGGAAUAUAAUAAAAAAGGAUAUAUAUAUAUUACUUGAAAAAGAAAUAUACAAUGUAUGAUUUCAAGUACUAUUUCCAAUCCCAAUUUAUAACACAUGCAAAAGAUGGGAUUUACAAGUCUAAAAUAAAAAGUAAAACAUAAAAAGAUCAGAUAUGAGUGGGGUCAUGUGAUGGCUCUGCUCUGAUCUCCUCCUCUGGUAUAGGCUGCUCAGCUGGCAAGCUCUCCUCAUCUGGCACUAGAGGCUCGGAUGGUGCAGACCUAUCAUGCCCAAGAGGGGUCUGCAUACUCAGAUGUUGCUGAAUCUGAUGAAGGAUCGUGGUAUGCUGGGCCUGAGUAGCGAUGAUCUGAUCCUGGUGUGCCCGAAUAGUGGCCAUCUGGUGGAUAAUAGAAUCCUGAGCAGUGCUCAGUGUCCGCAAUGAACGCUCUAAGCCUCUGAAUUCUGUAAGAGAAAUGGUGACAGUGGGCUCAGAUGGAGGAGGAGGUGCUGGGGUAGCNNNNNNNNNNNNNNNNNNNNNNNNNNNNNNNNNNNNNNNNNNNNNNNNNNNNNNNNNNNNNNNNNNNNNNNNNNNNNNNNNNNNNNNNNNNNNNNNNNNNAAGGAGCUUCCCCCUCAGAUGGGGGAAUGGCCGGGGUCUGAACGGGAGGUGAAGGUGCAGCUCCAUGGCGGCUCGCUGUGGCGAGGUGUCGGUGAGGAUGGGGAGGCGGAAAGGCCUCCUCUGGUCUUCGCCAUGGCCGAAAUGAAGGGGAGAUGGGUGUUCGGGAUUCCAGAGGUUUUUCAGAUGGUGCUUAGGAGAGUCCUUUGAGCUUCUGGACUUCAGGGGUUUAUAUAGGAAUGAGGUUUAAGGGGUUUCUGAUCUUUUAAAAUUUUCCAAGGCAACCGAAAAGUCGUUUUUGGACGUUAGGCACAAUUUCAGGGGUAAAAUUUUAAUUUAAAAGUCGGUUUUAAAUUUUUAGAAGUUAAAAUUUUACCGUGCGAAAUUUUCGCACCUUGGCCUGCAAAUUUCGCACAUUGGAAUUGGGUGUGCGAAAAUGGCACCCUUUUUACUGAUGAUUUCGCACGUUAAAAGGAGGUGUGCGAAAUUUUCGCACCUUGAAUAGUGGUGUGCGAAAUUUUCGCACACUAUUUCGCACAGUGCGAAAAUCAGCUUGAGGUGUGCGAAAUUGGCACACGUGUGCCAGGAGAGGAUUUCGCACAGUGCGAAAAUUUUCGCACCUUCCACAGUGGUGUGCAAAAUUGGAUUUUAGGAAAUUCGCACCUUGAAAAGGGAUUUCGCACCUUGAAAUUGAUUUCGCACCUUGAGGUAGGGGUGUGCGAAAAUGGCUUCUUUUGGCCCAAGGAUUUCACACCUUGGUUUUGGGGUGUGCGAAAUUUUCGCACCUUGAAAUCAGGUGUGCGAAAAUUUUGGCACCUUGAAAUUGGGUGCUCUGCUUCCUUGGUUUUACUCCCAUGUUCUGCUUUUGAAGAGCUCUCCUCACCUUUCAUGAUUUUUUCUGAAAUUUAUCAUGAAAAUUGACUUGAAUUAAGACAAAAUAAACUAAGAUUAAAGAAAAAUUAAAAUAUAAAGAAAUAAAAAUACUAAUAUAACUAUAAAACUAUAACAAAAAAUUCAUGGACUUCUUUAGCCCAUGAUACCCUGCUUUUCCUCAAAGUUGUGGUGGUUCAAGGAGGUUGAUCUCCUCCUUGUCUGUAUUGUAAGGCUCUAUAAAUGGCUUGAGACGAUGGCCAUUGACUUUGAAGGUUUGAUUGCCUGUGGGAUUGAAUAUUUCCACCACUCCGUUGGGAUGCACUUCAUGAAUUAUGAAAGGACCCGUCCACCUGGAUUUCAAUUUUCCCGGAAAAAGAUGAAGCUUAGAGUCAUAAAGCAAAACUUUUUGUCCUUUGGUAAAAUUCUUCUGAUUUACCAACUGAUCAUGCCAUUUUUUCAAUCUUGCUUUGGCAAUUUUUGAAUUGAGGUAUGCAUCAUUCCUCAAUUCCUCUAAUUCAUUCAAAUCUAAACAUCUCUUUAACCCGGCUCUUGACAAAUCCAUGUUGAGCUUUUUGAUUGCCCACCAUGCUUUAUACUCAAUUUCCACUGGAAGGUGACACGCUUUGCCAUAAACAAGGCGAUAGGGAGACAUUCCUAGAAUGGUCUUGUAAGCGGUCCUAUAAGCCCAUAAGGAAUCCAGGAGCUUGAUAGACCAAUCCUUCCUAUUCACAUUGACCACCUUCAUCAAUAUAUUCUUGAUCUCACGGUUGGCUAACUCAACUUGGCCACUAGUUUGAGGGUGAUAAGGUGUAGCUACCUUGUGCUUAACCCCAUAUUUGGCUAGAAGAGUCUCAAAAGGUUUAUUGCAAAAGUGGGUUCCCCCGUCACUUAUAAUGGCCUUUGGCACUCUAAAUCUUGCAAAGAUGUUGUCCUUGAGGAAUUUAAGUACCACCUUAUGAUCAUUGCUCCUACAUGGGAUUGCUUCUACCCACUUAGAGACAUAAUCCACUCCUACCAAGAUGUAGGAAUGUCCAAAUGACAUUGGAAAUGGUCCCAUAAAGUCUAUACCCCAGACAUCAAAGAUAUCCACUAUUAAGAUGGGGUUCAAGGGCAUCAUAUUUCGGCGUGUUAGCUUACCAAGCCUUUGACACCGAUCACAUGCCUUACACAUAGUAUGGGCAUCCUUGAAAAGAGAGGGCCACCAGAAGCCUGAUUGGAUCACUUUCAUAGCUGUUUUCUGGGAGGCAAAAUGGCCUCCACAUGCAUUAUCAUGGCAAUGGGAAAGAAUUCCCGAUUGCUCUUGCUCAGGAACACAUUUCCUUAUAAUUUGAUCUGCACAAUAUUUGAAAAGAAAAGGUUCCUCCCAAUAAUAGGCAUGGAUCUUAGCCAAGAAAUGCCUCUUGUCUUGAGCACUCCACUCACUUGGUACUUCUCCAGUAACCAAAAAGUUUGCAAUGUGAGAAUACCAUGGAGCUACAUCUACUGACAUGAGAGACUCCUCAGGGAAGUCAUCAUUGAUAGGUAGACCAUGUGAGUCAUGUGCUAUCACUAGUCUGGACAAGUGGUCAGCUACCACAUUUUCUACCCCCUUUUUAUCCCUGAUUUGGAGAUUGAAUUCUUGGAGCAAAAGAAUCCAUCUUAUCAAUCUUGCCUUGGCAUCCUGCUUGGUUAGCAAGUACUUCAAAGCAGAAUGGUCAGUGAACACUACUAUAGAGGACCCUACCAAAUAAGCACGAAACUUAUCCAAGGCAAAAACUACAACCAACAACUCCUUCUCAGUAGUUGUGUAGUUCUUUUGAGCCUCAUUCAAAGUUCUGCUUGCAUAAUAGAUCACAUAGGGCUUUCCAUCUUCUCUUUGCCCUAAAACAGCCCCCAUAGCAAGAUCACUUGAAUCACACAUUACCUCGAAAGGUAAUUUCCAAUUUGGGGCUCUCACUAUUGGUGCAGUUGUGAGGAAUUGCUUCAAUUCCUCAAAACUUCUCUGACACUUCUCAUCCCACACAAACUUGGCAUCCUUUACCAAAAGCUCACACAGGGGUUUUGAGAUUUUUGAGAAAUCCUUAAUAAACCUCCUGUAGAAUCCUGCAUGUCCAAGGAAUUGCCUAAUUCCUUUAACAUUUGUGGGAGGUGGCAACUUAACAAUAAGUUCCACCUUUGCCUUAUCUACCUCAAUGCCAUUUUUGGAGAUGAUAUGUCCUAAGACAAUUCCUUUUUGUACCAUAAAAUGGCACUUCUCCCAAUUUAGCACUAGGUCUUUCUCAAUACAUCUAUGGAGAACAGCUUCUAAAUGCAUCAAACACUCCUCAUAAGAACUUCCAUAUACAGUGAUAUCAUCCAUGAAAACUUCCAUGAUACGUUCAACCAUAUCACUGAAGAUGCUUAGCAUGCAUCUUUGGAAAGUUGCAGGAGCAUUACAUAGACCAAAGGGCAUUCUCCUAUAUGCAAAAGUACCAAAGGGACAAGUGAAGGUUGUUUUCUCUUGAUCUUCCAAAUCAAUUUCUAUUUGGAAGUACCCUGAAUAACCAUCUAGAAAACAAUAGAAAGGAUGUCCUGAGACUCUCUCAAGGACUUGGUCCAUGAAAGGCAGUGCAAAAUGGUCCUUCCUAGUUACUGAAUUCAACCUCCUAUAGUCUAUACACACCCUCCAUCCUGAAGUAGGACGUGUAGAGACUUCUUCCCCUUUCUCAUUCUGGAUCACAGUGAUUCCAGAUUUCUUUGGGACUACUUGGGUGGGACUCACCCACAAGCUGUCUGAAAUGGGAUAGAUGAUCCCAGCUUGAAGUAGCUUCAAAACUUCAUUCCUCACCACCUCUUGCAUGUGAGGAUUCAGUCUCCUUUGGGGUUGCCUCACUGGUUUUGCAUCAUCCUCCAUAUAAAUAUGAUGGGUGCAAACCAAAGGGCUAAUCCCUUUCAAAUCAGAAAUUUGCCAUCCAAUGGCUUUCUUACAUUUUCUGAGGACUCCUAAAAGACUAUCCUCUUGAUCACUAUUGAGGGUUGAGGCAACCACUACUAGACAUUUUUCAUCAUCCUCCAAGUAUGCAUACUUCAACUCCACAGGAAGUGGCUUUAAAAUAAGCUUUGGAGGGUCCUCCACAGCAACUCCUUGUGAGUCUUCCUGGUUGAACAGUGGCAAGAUCUCUUCCCGUCUCCUCCAAGGAGACAUAAUGGCUAGCACAUCAGAGGGUUCAGGGAACCCAUCUUCAAGGACUUCCAGGUUUUCAUUCAAGCUCUCCUCUAAACUCUUGUCACAGUGCUCUUCAACCAAAGUGUUGAUCAAGCAUACUUUCUCAAAUCCUUCUUCCUCUUCAGGGUAAAGAUGCCUCUUACAUAAGUGGAAUAUGUUUACUUCCAAAGUCAUGUUUCCAAAUGUGAGCUGCAUCACCCCAUUCCUACAGUUAACGAUGGCAUUUGAGGUGGCUAGAAAAGGCCUCCCUAGGAUGAUUGGCACAUAAUUUUCUUCUUUGACAGAGGAAUCAGUAUCAAGCACCACAAAAUCCACAGGAUAGUAGAAUUUGUCCACUUGAACUAGAACAUCCUCUAUCACACCCCUUGGGAUUUUGACUGACCUAUCAGCUAAAGAGAGGGUCAUGGCUAUAGGCUUUAAUCCUCCAAGUCCCAGUUGUUUAUAAACAGAGUAUGGGAGCAAAUUCACACUUGCUCCCAAAUCUAAUAAAGCUUUUUCCACAUGUGUCCCUCCAAUGUUGACUGAUAUGGUGGGACAUCCCGGGUCUUUAUACUUAACUGGGGACUUACUCUGGAUGAUAGCACUCACUUGCUCAGUGAGGAAUGCAUUCUUUGUCACCUGUAAACCUCUCUUGACUGUGCACAAGUCCUUUAGAAACUUUGCAUAUGUGGGGACUUGCUUGAUCAUAUCAAGUAAAGGUAUAUUCACCUUCACUUGCCUCAGCNNNNNNNNNNNNNNNNNNNNNNNNNNNNNNNNNNNNNNNNNNNNNNNNNNNNNNNNNNNNNNNNNNNNNNNNNNNNNNNNNNNNNNNNNNNNNNNNNNNNNNNNNNNNNNNNNNNNNNNNNNNNNNNNNNNNNNNNNNNNNNNNNNNNNNNNNNNNNNNNNNNNNNNNNNNNNNNNNNNNNNNNNNNNNNNNNNNNNNNNNNNNNNNNNNNNNNNNNNNNNNNNNNNNNNNNNNNNNNNNNNNNNNNNNNNNNNNNNNNNNNNNNNNNNNNNNNNNNNNNNNNNNNNNNNNNNNNNNNNNNNNNNNNNNNNNNNNNNNNNNNNNNNNNNNNNNNNNNNNNNNNNNNNNNNNNNNNNNNNNNNNNNNNNNNNNNNNNNNNNNNNNNNNNNNNNNNNNNNNNNNNNNNNNNNNNNNNNNNNNNNNNNNNNNNNNNNNNNNNNNNNNNNNNNNNNNNNNNNNNNNNNNNNNNNNNNNNNNNNNNNNNNNNNNNNNNNNNNNNNNNNNNNNNNNNNNNNNNNNNNNNNNNNNNNNNNNNNNNNNNNNNNNNNNNNNNNNNNNNNNNNNNNNNNNNNNNNNNNNNNNNNNNNNNNNNNNNNNNNNNNNNNNNNNNNNNNNNNNNNNNNNNNNNNNNNNNNNNNNNNNNNNNNNNNNNNNNNNNNNNNNNNNNNNNNNNNNNNNNNNNNNNNNNNNNNNNNNNNNNNNNNNNNNNNNNNNNNNNNNNNNNNNNNNNNNNNNNNNNNNNNNNNNNNNNNNNNNNNNNNNNNNNNNNNNNNNNNNNNNNNNNNNNNNNNNNNNNNNNNNNNNNNNNNNNNNNNNNNNNNNNNNNNNNNNNNNNNNNNNNNNNNNNNNNNNNNNNNNNNNNNNNNNNNNNNNNNNNNNNNNNNNNNNNNNNNNNNNNNNNNNNNNNNNNNNNNNNNNNNNNNNNNNNNNNNNNNNNNNNNNNNNNNNNNNNNNNNNNNNNNNNNNNNNNNNNNNNNNNNNNNNNNNNNNNNNNNNNNNNNNNNNNNNNNNNNNNNNNNNNNNNNNNNNNNNNNNNNNNNNNNNNNNNNNNNNNNNNNNNNNNNNNNNNNNNNNNNNNNNNNNNNNNNNNNNNNNNNNNNNNNNNNNNNNNNNNNNNNNNNNNNNNNNNNNNNNNNNNNNNNNNNNNNNNNNNNNNNNNNNNNNNNNNNNNNNNNNNNNNNNNNNNNNNNNNNNNNNNNNNNNNNNNNNNNNNNNNNNNNNNNNNNNNNNNNNNNNNNNNNNNNNNNNNNNNNNNNNNNNNNNNNNNNNNNNNNNNNNNNNNNNNNNNNNNNNNNNNNNNNNNNNNNNNNNNNNNNNNNNNNNNNNNNNNNNNNNNNNNNNNNNNNNNNNNNNNNNNNNNNNNNNNNNNNNNNNNNNNNNNNNNNNNNNNNNNNNNNNNNNNNNNNNNNNNNNNNNNNNNNNNNNNNNNNNNNNNNNNNNNNNNNNNNNNNNNNNNNNNNNNNNNNNNNNNNNNNNNNNNNNNNNNNNNNNNNNNNNNNNNNNNNNNNNNNNNNNNNNNNNNNNNNNNNNNNNNNNNNNNNNNNNNNNNNNNNNNNNNNNNNNNNNNNNNNNNNNNAUAUAUGGUUUGAACCGUUGGAUUCUUGACUUUCUGAGCUUCGAAAUGGUAUAUAGAAUGAAGAAAAUGGACUUCGGGAAGUGCUCCAAAAGUGCACUAAAAGACUGCAGCUGUGUCCCCUAUUUUCAUCCCCUGUUUUCUUCUUCUCCAUUGUUUCUCCCUUGUAAACUUUGAACGAUUAAGGCAAAGGAUUAUGAGGCUCCAUAGCUUGAUUUCUUCAUAAAUUUAAGCUUUCAAAAGCUUUGCCCUGAACUAUAAAUAGCUCUCCCUCAUUCUUAAAUUGCUUUGGUGAGCAUAAAGCUAUCAAAAAGCACCAAAACUUAACACAAUUGUUAGAAACGAUUGCAAGGGCUCCUAACAUGCUAAUUGGGUUAAAAGGUAAUAAUUACUACUCAAUGGUGUUUAAAAGAGCUAAUUACAAGCUAUAAAAUAGCAUGUUUUGAGUAGUAAUCAUUCCCCAACUUAGAAUGGACUUUGAUACCCUUGGUACAUCCUUUACAAAAUUUGGUACAUCCUUUAUAAAAUUUGGUACAUCAUUCACAAAUUUUGGUACAUCUUUUAAAAAAAAAAAAAUGGUACAUCCAAUCCUUGAGCUAUCAACACUCCUAUCUUGUUACCCAUGGUCCAUUUAUUCCUUUAGGGAUCUUUGGGAAGUAAUUAGAGGUCAUUCCUUACUCCGAAAUAAACUUUGGAACCCUAGGUACAUCCUUAAGAAAUUUUGAUACAUCCAAUUCUUGGGCUAACGAGACACUUAUCUCCCUUUCUAGGGUCCAUUUAUUACUUUGGAGACCCUUAGGAAGUGAUUGAAGGUCGUUUCCCACCUUAGAGUAGACUUUGGCACCCUUGGUACAUCCUUCACAAAAUUUGGUACAUCCUUAAAAAAAUUCGAUACAUCUAAUUCUUGAGUAAUCGAGACCCCUAUCUUAUUACCCAUGGUCUGUUUAUUUCUUUAAGAACAUUUGGGAAGUGAUUGGAGGUCGUUCCCUACUCUAAAAUGAACUUUGGAACCCUAAGUACAUCCUUAAGAAAAUUUGGUACAUCCAAUCCUCAACCUAUUGGGACAUCUAUCUCCAUUUUCAUGGUCCAUUUGUUAAUUUUGGGGACACUUAGAAGGUAAUUAGAGGUCGUUCUACACCCUGGAAUGAACUUUGGAACCUUAGGUACAUCUUUAAGAAAUUUUUGUAUUUAUAUUGUUAUGUAAUGGUUUGAUGUUGCUGAUUUAAAUAAGGUAGUUGAGUCAUAUUUUAAAAUCAUUCGGGGAAAACAAAUUGUAUUUAUUCAUGAACAGAUGAAAAUGAAUAACAACUGAGGUUAUUAUUACUUUUAAUGGUAUUAUACUAUGAAUCAUUGAUUCGUUCCCAAUUAGUGUCUUAGCUGAUUCAUAUCCUCUCAAUGGUCCCUGAUAGUGGUGUCAUUUGAUUCGUGUCCAGCUGGUGUCCCUUGAUUUUGGUCCUCAGGGAGUAAUCAACAAAAUUUAUAACCUAUUACACCAUGAACUAGGGUAGCAAAGACAAAGCUACUAUAGCAUAGUGGCUCUAGGAUCGUUCACUGGGAUGGGUUUUCACUUCACAAUUGAUAUUAAUUCAAAGCUGAAUUGGUGCCUUUUCAUUUCAAGGUUAGCUUUAAAAUAAAACAUAAUCUUUGGUGGAAAAGGUUUGGUUUUAAGCUAACCAAAAAUAAUAAUAACUGAUUUUAAUUACAAAGAAAAGCGUUCCUUAGAGUUUCAGAUCACUAGGCUCAGGUUCCUUGUACAAAAAGGGAGUUUCGGUCACUUGUUUCUUUUCCUCGUGAUUACUACUCAAAAAGUGCUAUUUGAUAGCUUGUAAUUAACUCUUUUAAACACUUUUGAGUAGUAGUUAUCACCUUUUAACUCAAUUGGCUUGUUAAAGACCCUUGCAAUCAAUUCUAAUAAAAAAUGUGUUAAGUUUUGGUGUUUUGAUAGCUUUUUGAUCACCAAAGCAAUCUGAGAUUGAGGAGAGUUCUUUGGAAUCCAUGCAAGGAGUAUACCCAGACAGGGCGUUCGGAUACAUCAUCGGAUUGCAUCCGGACAACAUUCCACCCGGAUGUCUUUUCAUCCGGAUGGCGCUGCUCCGCCGCCAUUCCAUCCAAAUGUAUCAGCCGCCAUUCCAUCUGGAUGUAUCUCAACCGCGCACUUUCCACCCGGAUGGCUUACAUCCGGGAAUAUGCUUACAUCCAGAAAUCUACUGCGCCGACAUUCCAUUCGGAUGUCUCACAUCCGGCACAUUCCAUCUGAUAUUUUGCAUCCGGCACCUGACGCCGGAUGGGAGAGGAGGCAUUUUAACUUCUCCAGACGGACGUAUCUGGAUCAUCUGAUAGCGUCUACCCGGAUGGGAGAGCAGCCAUUUUGCACAGUGCCGCGGUGUUCUCCUGAAGCUUCCCGAUUUGUGUCACUGACAUUUUGAGAUAUUUUGGGAUAUUUUGAGAUAUUUUGCUUUACAUAUUUGUUGUCUAAAUCCCCAAAAUCUCCUUGUAAUCCACCAAUUAUAGGAUUCCUUAGUUAUUAAGUUUGGAAAAAGAAUAAAUAACCUUUUUAUAUUAUUAUUGUAAUUUUCAUAUAUAUAUCUCUCGGGAGCCUGUUCUCGAGACGAUCGAUCCUUUGUACAGUUUUCAAGGGAAGUAAAAUACAAAGCCUUUGCUCUGCUUUACCUUCUCAUUUUUAAUUGUAUUUUCUUACUAGCUAAACAAGCUCUGAGGAUGUUUCCUUAGAGAAUAAGUGGCUAGACUUUUAGUUCCUUGGAGUUAAGAUUGUCGGGAAAGGUUCCAAGUGCAAGAAUUAGUAGCUUUGUGGUUUCAACCAUUAAUGAAGAGAAAGUGUGACCCGUUAAUGAUUUCUAUGUUUUUAGUUAACUUAAAACGCCUUUAAAUCACCUGGCCCAAUACUUGGUAAGGCAAGUGAUCUCCAUCUGUAGAGAUGCACUAGUUUAUCUCUUGCGAGCCUCUGGGAGGUGGUUUGAAGGUAGGAUUUUCUAGAAUAGCCAACACUUGGUAAGCUUUUGGACUCUACGGAGACAUCCAUUAGUUAUCUCUUGCGAGCUUUUGACGGAUAAUCCAAGGUUAAAGAUCACCUUGAAUGGCAAGUGCUAGGUGAGAGGUAUGAGCCAUUGCAAGGUGCAUCAGUGAGAGAGAUUUAGUGUUUGAACCCAUUAAAGGGAAGCAUCUGUACAGUACCGAUUAGAGAAUUGACUAUAUGUUAAUUCUCUAAUGCGAGGAAAUGAACCAAAUGACCGGAGCUUUGUUUUUGCAUGAGGAACAUCCCCUGUAAACCUAAACCUCCAAGGAAUGUUUUUCUCCAUAAGUAAUUUUCAUUACUUCCUUUACCGUUAGUUUAAACCAAACCUUUUUCAUCCAAAAAUUAUGUUUUCUUUUAAAGCUAACCUUGAAAUGAAAAAGCACCAAUUCACUUUGAAUUGGUAUCAUUUAUGAAUUGAAAACCCUUCCCAAUGAACGAUCAUAGAGCCACUAUUCUAUAGUAGCUUUGUCUUUGCUACCCUAGUUCAUGGUGUAAUAGGUUAUAAAUUUUGUUGAUAACUCCGUCAAUUAAGGAGCACCAACUGGACAUGAAUCAGUUGAUACACCGACUGGGCACGAAUCACCUCGCAUUGGGGAUUUAACAUAUAGUUAUUUCCCGAACCGGUGUGGUACAGAUGCUUCCCCUUAAUGGGUUCAAACACUAAAUCCCUCUCACUGAUGCAUCUUGCAAUGGCUCGUGCCUCUCACCUAGCAUUUGCCAUUCAAGGUGAUCUUUAACCUUGGAUUACCCGUCAAAAGCUCGCAAGAGAUAACUAAUGGAUGUCUCCUUAGAGUCCAAAAGCUUACCAAGUGUUGGUUAUUCUAGAAAAUCCUACCUUCAAACCACCUCCCAAAGGCUCGCAAGAGAUAAACUAGUGCAUCUCAAUGGAUGGAGAUCACUUGCCUUACCAAGUGUUGGCCCAAGUGAUUUAAAGGCAUUUUAAGUUAACUAAAAAGAUAAAAACCAUUAACGGGUCACACUUUCUCUUCAUUAAAAACUAAAACAACAAAACUUACAAUUUAUGCAUGAGGAAACUUACCCGACUUUCUUCACUCCAAGAAACGAAGAGCCUAGCCUCUCAUCCUCUGAGGAAAAAUCCUCAGAUUUUAGUUGGCUAGAAAGAAAAAUAACAAGAAAAAAAAAAUAUGAAGGAAAAACAGAGCAAGUGCUUUGUAAAAUAUAUUUCUUACUAUUACAAAAGGUUGUCUCUAAGAACAAACUCCUGAGAGAUCUUUAUAUGAAAAUUACAAUAAUAAUAUAUACAAGGUUAUUCAUCCUUUCACUACUACAAAAAUAGUUUAUGGUGUCACUAUUUACGGUGUCACUUUUAAAAUAAUGACACCAUAGGGUUUAUAAUUAAUAAAGGUGACACAUCAUAUAAAAAAUAUUCAAUUGAGGUAGUUAGAUGAUAUUAAUUUUAUAUUUAUAGUGUCAUUUUUUGGGAAGUGACAUCAUAUAAAAUAAAUUUUUUUAAGUAUUAUAACUUAAUGAGCCCACUUUUAGAAUUAAUAAUGAUGGAUACUAUAUAAAAAUCCCAUUGUUUCCAUAUCUCACCCACAAUCCAAAAAAUCUCAAUAUAUAAAUCCUAUAUAUAAAAUCAUGAUCUUCUUCAACCUUUUCUCUCACCCAUCCAUAGUCAACACGCUCAAAACCGACAUUCUUCACUUUGUGGACUCCCAGGUAACCCAAAAUCUCUUGGAUCUAUCAUUUUUUUUUUUCUUUUAUUAAUGCCAUUAUAUUAAUUGUUUCAACAUCUUUGUAUUAUGGUUUUUGUGAAUUGUGUNNNNNNNNNNNNNNNNNNNNNNNNNNNNNNNNNNNNNNNNNNNNNNNNNNNNNNNNNNNNNNNNNNNNNNNNNNNNNNNNNNNNNNNNNNNNNNNNNNNNUCAAAUGAAAGUGAUGAAAGAGAGUAAAUAUUUUAAUGCGCAAUUAUAUUUUAAUGUUAUUUUUUUUUUUACAUAAGGGUUUAUUUAUGUUUUCAAUUUUGAAGUUCCCUUUCCAAGUCCAGAAACAAAAGUAGUGUCCAACCUUAAAAUGGGCAUGUGUGGUAUUGACGGGAGAUGAUAAGAUGGAAAUCAUAACCAUAGCCAUGUUCUCUCUAUGUCUUUCUAUCAUCUUCAAUUAAUUCAUGGGCAUAGAUAUUUUAUUUAGUUUUUAUAUUUAGUUUAUUUAGUUUCUAAAAUCCAAUUAGCUAGAUAUUUUAUUUGAUUUUAUUUUUAUAUUUAAGUAGUUGAGUUUUGGAAAGUUUUUAUAUUUUGUUAAUAGAGAUAGAAAUUUUAUAUUUUUUAUUAUUAGCAAUUUCUAUUUUGUUAAAUUGUAAGUAUCUAUCUCAAUAAGAGAUUAUUAAUAUUCAAAUGAAAGUGAUGAAAGUGAGUAAAUAUUUUAAUGCUCAAUUAUAUUUUAAUGUUAUUUUUUUUUUUACAUAAGGGUUUAUUUAUGUUUUCAAUUUUGAAGUUCCCUUUCCAAGUCCAGCAACAAAAGUAGUGUCCAACCUUAAAAUGGGCAUGUGUGGUAUUGACAGGAAAUGAUAAGAUGGAAAUCAUAACCAUAGCCAUGUUCUCUCUGUGUCUUUCUAUCCUCUUCAAUUAAUUCAUGGGCAUAGAUAUUUUAUUUAGUUUUUAUAUUUAGUUUAUUUAUAGUUUAUUUAGUUUCUAAAAUCCAAUUAGCUAGAUAUUUUAUUUGAUUUUGUUUUUAUAUUUAAGUAGUUGAGUUUUGGAAAGUUUUUAUAUUUUGUUAAUAGAAAUAGAUAUGAGGACUUAAAGGGUUUAUAUUUAGGUAGUGCUUGAGCCAAGGAAAAUGAUAGUCCACUAUCUUGACCUUAUGCAUCACAAACCAUGUGAGGACUUAAAGGAUAUCGUAAACAUGUAAGUUCUUCUUAUUAUUUUUCAUAGUAUUAUUUUUAAAUAAAAAAAAUACAUUCACCUCAAACACAUUUUUUUAUUAUUUAUAUAUAUUAAAAUAUAUAACAUUUACCUAUUUUAAAAAUGUACCCAUUGAACUUAUUUACAUAGGGCUCUUCAAAUAUUUGCAAAGAAAACAUUUAAGAGGGAGCCAUCUUAGCAACUAGUGCAGGUGACAUCCAAAAAAUUUUCUUUACACAUUAGCUUAUGCAUUUGCACCAUUUAUAUAUGUGAAUACUAAUGUUAUUUUAUAAUUGAUCGAUUAGUGUCCAAGACAAGAAGGAGGGUUCGAAUGUGGCUACUUUGUUAUGAGAUUCAUUAAAGAGAUAAUUUUUUAUCCUACAAUUAUUGCUUCAAAGGUAUUACUUAUUUAAUGAAUUGUACAUAGUUUUAGGCUUCCAAAUGUUAUGCAUUUUAAUGUUAUUUUCUUAUUUGAUUUCAGUUUGGUAAUAAAAAAAACAUAUUCUCAAGUAGAAUUCGAUGAAAUUAGAGGAGAAUGGGCUACUUUUGUGCUACAAUUAAUCAUGAAUCAUGUUGAUGCAUCAUGAUCACCAUGCAUGGUGAGUCCCUUAGCUACUACAUGAAUUUUUCCAUAGGUAUUGUAUAGUAAUGCUUAUUCUUUGAAUAAUGUUUCUAUUUGAAAAAAAAAAAUUAAUUCUUAGAUUUGUUCAUUUAUGAUAACAUAGAUCCAUGUUUAUUUUCUUCAAUAAAAAUCUCUAAAACUCAUUAAAUUUUGAAAUGCAGGUAUACACUCUUGGGAGGGUGAAAUGGAGAAUAAAAAGAAAGAAAAAGGCAACAAGAUUUUGGGUUUUUAAAUGCAACUCUUAUGUCAUAUGUUGUAGGACAUAAACAUUACUUUAAUUGCAACUGAGAAAUUUAGAUUUUUAGAUGGGACUUCUAUGUCAUUUUAUGGUUAGCCGGUUUUAUGCUUAUGAAAUGGAGGUAUACAUAAAUCUUGGGAUCUUUAACAUUUCUAAAUCAUGUUUUGGUAUGUAUUCACUCUUCUUUUUUAGUUUUGAUGGGUUUGAUAUGUUGGACGUACUAUCCUUUUGUGAACAUUUGAUAUACAAAUAUUAUUAGAUGAUCAAUGUAUUAUGAGUUAUUCCAGAAACAUUACAGAAAAAUGAGUUAAAUAUAAUAUGAUUGUUAUAUUUAUGGACAAAAUAUAAACAGGUUAAUUAUAUUAAUUCAUAAGCAUUACAAAAAUCAACAACUAAAACCAAUCAUAUAUUCCACAAUAAUUUACAAUGAUGUGAUACCAUAACUCAAAGGUGAUGCAUUUAAUGUGACAUCAUAACUCAAAGAUGAUGUAUUUAAUGUGACACCCUAUCAUCACUAGAAAUAUAUGGUGUCACUUCUGAAUGGGUCACCAUUUAUAUACUUUGGUGUCACUUCCAAAUAUGUCACCAAUUGGUACCCUCUAUGGUGUCAGUGGAGAAGGUGACACUAUGUUGUAGUGACACCUUAUGUUUAUGGUGACUCGUUAUAAAUGUCACCAUAUACAUUUUUCCUUGUAGUGUUUUUUCAAACUUAAUAACUAAGGAAUCCUAUAAUUGGUGGGUUACAAGGAGUGUUUGGGGAUUUAGACAUCAAAUAUCUAAAGCAAAAUAUCUCAAAAUGUCGGUCGCAAAUAUCGGGAAGCUUCAGGAGAACACCGCGGCACUGUGCAAAAUGGUUGCGAAACUCUCUGGAUAAGCACUAUCAGAGGAUCCAGAUAUGUUUGUCCAGGGAAAUUGAAAUGCCUUCCUCUCCCAUCCAGCGUUAGGCGCCAGAUGUGAGAUAUCCGGAGAAGGUGCCGGAUGUGAAAUAUCCGGAGAAGGUGGAACGUCACAAGGGAGACUGUCUGCGUGUGCAAGGUGCAGGGACCCCUCCCCCUAAUGACACGGAGCGCGCAUCACUAUCCGGAGCACUCCAUCCAGAUUCCCCAAAUGACACGUGGCACGCUCCCCUAUCCGGACUCCCUUAGGGAGAAGCACACGACACUCGUGAUCAUCACACCCCGGACGAUAGCAUAUCCUAUCCGGAUAUGUUGUCCGGAUCAUUGACUAAAGUGAGCAAGCCUUGCUACAGCCCACGUUCCGCCGCCCUCCGAUGGUGUGUCCGGACGCCCUGUCCGGACAUCUUUUGCAUGAAAGACCCCAUACUCCUUGUAUUUUGGAUUUGCUUAUGGAAAAGUACUUCAAAGCUUAGGUUCUUCAUGUUUCUGAGCUUUGUCCGGACACCCUGGAUUCCAAAGAACUCUCCUCAUUCUCGAAUUUCUUUGGUGAUCAAAAAGCUAUCAAAACACCAAAACUUAACACAAUUUGAUUAGAAUUGAUUGCAAGGGUCCUUAAUAUGUUAAUUGGGUUAAAAGGUGAUAACUACUACUCAAAAGUGUUUAAAAGAGUUAAUUACAAGCUAUGAAAUAACACUUUUUGAGUAGUAAUCAAUCAUUUGAAUAGUUUUCUUCAAAAAUUUUGUCAAUUUCAAAUGGAUUAUAGUUGAAUUGAAAAAGGAAGGAAUAUAGUUGUAGCAAAGAAGGAUUGAAUUUGUGUGGGCAAUAUAGAAGAAAGAGGUUGACCCUUAUAUGAAAAACAGAUUGUUAACCAGUAGGCAUAAUAGUGGCCGACCUUUUCAUGUAGGGGUUGACCCUUUUUAGCUUAUGACCCUUAGUCAUAAUAUUAGUUUUGCUUGAAGUGGUUAGUAGCAAAAAUAAGGGUCAACCCUUUAGUUCAUAGGUAGUCCCAUCAUGUUUUUAAAAUUGUUUUUGUUUUAUGUGGGUAGUAGGCAAAACAAAGGUUGACCCAUUGUUUAAUUGGUAAGCCUUUAAAUAUGGAUGUUAUAACGUUAGAACAUUAAUAGUGAGGAAAAUUAUAGUUAGCUCAUGUAUUCAAAGGUAGAGCCUGAACUUAUAUUACAUAUCAAAUAAGUACCUAAUAAAUAAAUAAAUAAAAGUAAAUGCAUUGCGUGAUGUUUGGUAUAGAUAAUACAUUUCAAUAUUUAGCUCAUUAAUGUCACUCUAUAAAGUGUUAAUGAAGCGGAUUUGGAUUGUUCAUAAUCUAAAUGAGGUAUUAAUAUAUGAUGACUACAUGUAUGAUCGUGACAAUUAUUAUAAGUAGUUAGUUUUGAUAGGGUUAUUUAUAAAUAUAUAUUUAAACAAUUAAAUACCUAAUGGGGUCUAAGUGUGAGAAUAAAAUAAUUUAUGCUUAUUUUGUAAAUAUUGUAAGUAUUUUUGUAAUGAAUAUAUGUAUUAUUGGAAAUAUUUAUGAACAUGCCUAGUUUAUUGCUAUUUCUAUAUGUAUGUAUGUAUGUAUGUAUGUAUUAAAAAGUAAAAUCAAGGAUGUUCAUCAUCUCCUCAUAAGGAUGUAAUUGGGUUCUGAAGUCCAUUUUAGGGUAGGGAACAACCUCCAAUCACUUCUCAAGGAUCUUUAACGGAACAAACAAACCAUGAGUAAUAAGAUAGGGUCCUAGUAGCUCAAGGAUUGGAUGUCGCAAAUUUUGUGAAUAAUGUUCCAAAUUUUGUAAAUAAUAUACCAAAUUUUGUAAAUGAUGUACAAAGUUUGUUUUGAGGUAAGGAACGCCCUCUAAUCACUUCUCGAGGGUCUCCAAAUUAAUAAAUGGAUUAUGGAAAGGGAGAUAAGUGUCUCGUUAGCCCAAGGAUUGGAUGUAUAAAAUUUUCUUAAGGAUGUACCUAGGAUUCCAAAGUCCGUUUUGGAGUACGAAAUGACCUCCAAUCACUUCCCAAAGAUCCCUAAAUGAAUAAAUGAAUCAUGGGUAAUAAGAUAGGGGUCCCGGUAGCUCAAGGAUUCGAUGUACCAAAAUUUGUAAAGGAUGUAACAAGGGUGCCAAAAUCCAUUUUGAGGUGAAGAACGACCUCCUAUCACUUUCUAAGGGUCUUUAAAGGAAUAAAUAGACCAUGGAAAAGGAGGUUGGUGUCCUGUUAGCUCAAGGAUUGGAUGUAACAAAUUUUCUUAAGGAUAUACCUAGGGUUCCAAAGUCCAUUUCGAAGUAAGGAAUAACCUCCAAUCACUUCCCAAAGAUCCCUAAAGGAAUAAACGAACUAUGGGUAAUAAGAUAGGGGUCCCGGUAACUCAAGGAUUGGAUGUACCAAAUUUUUUUAAGGAUGUACCAAAUUCUAUGAAGGAUGUACCAAAUUUUGUAAAAGAUGUACUAAAGAGGCCAAAGUCCAUUCUGAGGUAGGGAACGACCUUUAAUCACUUUUUGAGGUUUUCCAAAGGAAUAUUUUUAAAGUGUCCCAUUAACUCGAAGAUUGGAUGUACCAAAUUUUCUUAAGGAUGUACCUAGGGUUCAAAAGUCUAUUUCGAAGUAGGGAUAAACCUCCAAUCACUUCACAAAGAUCCCUAAAUGAAUAAAUGGAUCAUGGGUAAUAAGAUAGGGGUCUUUGUAGCUCAAAGAUUGGAUGUACCAAAUUUUUUUAAGGUGUACCAAAUUUUGUAAAGGAUGUACCAAAUUUUUUAAAUGAUGUACCUGAAGGGAAAAACACAGAUAUCUCUGUUUCCCAAGUCUAAAUCAGGUUAGGAAUAUGCAUAACUAUCCUAGGCUUUUUUAAAAUCUUAUGUAUAACAAAAAAAUAACAUUUGUAUACUUUAAAAGGAUUCAGAAAGUGCUAACGAAAACUAUACCUCAGAUUCAAAUGUUCUCGAAUCAAAUCCACAUGGUAAAUAUGAAGAUUGAAAUUGCAAAGUCUCGUAAAUCUAAAGUUUUCAAUCUGAUGACUCGACCCUUGAUCUUGGCACACUUUCGGUGGAGAAGAAAAAAAGGGUGGAUGCUAUGGCUCUCAAUCUUUCUGGAUGAUGAGAGACAAAAACUAUGAAAACCCUAACCUCUAGGAGGUAUUUAUAAGGUUCCUAAGUGGGCUUAAGUGACUUAAGUCCACAUGGGAUUGGGUAACUUAAUUUAGCCUAAAAUGGGUUCUAAUUGAUUAAUUAACCCAAUAGGUUCAACUAAUUAAUCAGUAAGCCUAAUCCAGAGACCUUGUUCACUUACCUUUAUGCAACCUUGCAUAGUAACCAAAACAUCCUUAUGCAUAAAAGUGAACUUAGAGCUAAUUCGACCCUCAUAAUUCAUGCUAACAAGGUAUAUGAGCUCAAAAUGGGGAUCAUUAGGACCCAUAGGAAUACUGGCUCCCUCAUAAUCCAAUUCUAAAGUUGAUUCAAAAUCACACUAUAGAGAAUCAAUUGAAAUCCAAUAUCCUAUGUAAAUAACAACGAGACACCAAGUGCUUGAGUCUAUGACCUGCUAUCCAUUGUGUUCAGUCUCCCUAUGAACUAGUGUCCAUAGUCUACCAAGGUGAAAGCUAUCAACCUUUCAAGACUACUUCUACCAUCCUUAAGUUACAAAUCCUUCUAUUGUGUGUUUAAUUGGCAUAUCUUAGCUCUCAAAAGAGCCUAUGUAAAGUUCCACUUAAGAAACUACCAUGGCCAUAGUUUCCAUGAACACACCUCCUUAGGAUCACCCAAGGGGACACACUAUCUCAAUCCCAAGAGAUAUAAUAGUGCCUCUAUUGAGAAUACUUAUUGCUAUCGGUUUCCAUCAAUAAUGAUUUAAUCCAUAGGGAAUAUAUGAUCGACUUACGAUCUCACCCAUAGGUCAAAGUCGUUGCUAACUUUAGCAUAAACUCAAUAUUCUCUCAAGGUUGAGAGAAACACAAUGAAGCAGUUUGGUGAGGUCAUGACUCACCGUAAGUCCUGUCCAAUGUAUAACCAUACACACUAAUGCACUCACCAUGGGAAACCCAUCCCGAUAGCCAAGACUAGCCAUCCUUUCAAUUAGGAGGUGGUGUGCUACAACCUCUAAUGGGUUGCCUAAACCUAUGAAUCGGUUGUAGUGCACCAUGGGAAACCUAUACCAAUAGCCAAGACUAGCCAUCCUUUGAAUUAGGAAGUGGUGCACUACAACCUCUAAUUGGUUGCCUGGACCUAUGAAUUGGUUGUGAACAAGUCAUUUAUUUGCAAAGAACCUAUGACGUAGAUCUUCUAUGCAACUCUAAUGCACCUAAGUCACGUAUAAUGCAAAAUAUGUAAGCAAGAAUGCUCAUAAAGUAUAAUACAUGGAAUAAGGAUAGAUAAAAGUGAAAUUGGAACAUCAUUAAAUAAAUAAUGAAUUCCAAAUUUAUUACAUCAUGUCAUGCUUUAAGGGCACUAUCUUAACAAUAAAAAGGGUGGCAAAAUCCGUUCCGAGAUCGAGAACAACCUCUAAUCACUUUUCAAGGGUCUCCAAAGGAAUAGAUGGACCAUGGAAAGGGAGAUAGGUGUCCCAUCAGCCUAAGGAUUGGAUGUACCAAAUUUUCUUAAGGAUGUACCUAGGGUUCCAAAACCCAUUUCAGAGUAGGGAACAACCUUCAAUCACUUCCCAAAGAUCCCUAAAGGAAUAAUAUACCUUGCCUAAUAAGAUAGGGGUCCCGAUCAAGGAUUGGAUGCAUUAAAUUCUUUUAAGAAUACACCAAUUUUUGUGAAUGGCGUAUAAAAUUUUAUAAAAGAUGUACCAAAUUUUGUAAAUGAUGUACCAAGGAUUCCAAAGUCCAUUCCAAGGUUGGGAACGACCUUCAACCAUUUCCCAAAGGUCUCCGAAUGAAUAAAUGAACCAUGGGAAGGGAGAUAGAUGUCUUAUUAGCCUAAGAAUUAGAUGUACCAAAUUUUCUUAGCGGUGUACCUAGGGUUCCAAAGUUCAUUUCAGAGUAGAAAACGAUCUCUAAUCACUUCCCAAAGAUCCUUAAAAAAAUAACAGACCUUAGGUAAUAAGAUAGGGGUCCCGAUAGCUCAAGGGUUGAAUGUAUCAAAAAAUUUUAAGGAUGUACCAAAUUUUAUGAAAGAUGUACCAAAUAUUGUAAAGGGUGUACCGAAUUUUAUAAAUGAUGUACCAAGGGUGCCAAAGUCUGUUCUGAGGUCAAGAAUGACCUCCAAUCACUUUCUAAGGGUCUCCAAAAGGAAAAUAAUGGACCAUGAGAAGGGAGAUAGGUGUCCCGUUAGCCCAAAGAUUAUAUGUAUCAAAUUUUCUUAAAGAUGUACCAAAUUUUUUUAAGAAUGUGCCUAGGGUUCCAAUGUAUAGUUCGGGAUGGGGAACGACCUCCAAUCAUUUCUUGAGGGCCCCCAAAUGAACAAAUGGACCAUGGGAAAGGAGAUAAGGGUCUCGGUAACCUGAUGAUUAGAUGUACCAAAUUUUCUUAAUGAUGUAACUAAGGUUCCAAUGUACGUUCUGAGGUAGGCAACGACAUCUAAUGACUUCCCAAGAGUUCCUAAGGGAACAAAUGGACCAUGGAAAGGGAGAUAGUCUAGGUAACUUGAGGAUUGAAUGUACCAAAUUUUCUUAAGGAUAUACCUAGGGUUCCAAAGUCUAUUUAGAGGUGGGAAAUGACCUCCAAUCACUUCUCAAUGGUCCCUAAAUGAUCAAAUGGACCAUGGGAAGGGAUAUAGGGGAUCCCAAUAGCUUAAUGAUUGGAUGUUCCAAAUUUUCUUAAGGAUGUAACUAGGGUUCCAAUGUUAGUUCCAGAGUGGGCAACGACCUCCUAUCCUUCUUGAGAGUUCCAAAAUGAACAAAUAAACCACGAAAAAUGAUAUAGGGAUCCUAGUAACCCGAUGAUUAGAUGUACCAAUUUUUCUAAUGGAUGUAAUUAGGGUUCCAAUGUUAGUUUUAGGUGGGGACUAACCUCUAAUCACUUUUUGAGGAUCAGAAUAACAAAUUUUCCUAAAUAUGUAUCUAGGGUUCAAAAGUCCAUUUUGGGGUGAGAAAUAACCUCAAAUCACUUCUUGAUGGCCUUUAAAGGAGCAAAUGGACCUUGGGAAGAGAGAUAGGGGUCUCGGUAGCCUGAUGAUUUGAUGUACCAAAUUUUCUUAAAGAUGUACCGAAUUUAUAUAAAGAUAUAUCUAGGGUUCCAGAGUCUAUUCCGAGGAGGGAAACGACUUGCAAUCACUUCUUAAGGGUCCUCAAAAGAUCAAAUGGAUCAUGAGAAGGGAUAUAAGGGUCCUGGUAGCCCGAAGAUCAGACAUACCAAAUUUUCUUAACGUUAUACCUAGGAUUCCAAACUUUGUUCCAAGAUGGGAAACAACCUCCAAUCCUUUCCUAAAAGUCUCCAAAGGAAUAUAUGGACCAUGAGAAGGAAGAUAGGGGGUUCUACCCUAGGAUUAGAUGUACCUAUUUUGUUAAGGAUGCACGCAGGGUUUCAACGUUUGUUUUGGGAUGGGGGAGGACCUCCAAUCACUUAUCGAUGAUCCUCAAAGGAAUAUAUAAACCAUGAUAAGGGAGAUAGGGAUCCUUGUUCCUUUAGGAAUGGAUGAACCUAUUUUUCUUACGGAUGGAUGUACCUACUUUUUUUAUGAAAUUAAUAUAUAAGGUUAACUAUAAUUUUUUUUUAAUAAAAAUCUAUAUUUUAUUUUAAUUAAAAAUUAAAGAUUUUAAUGAAGCAAAAAAAUUAGAUUCAUGAUCAAGUUAAAACCAUAAGAAAAAAUAUUAAAGCAUCAUCACUUACUGUGAUUUUGAUAUGAUAAAUUUAAAAUAAUAAAAAUAAUAAAACAGUAUUACAAAUAUAUUUUUACUUUUACGUGUGAUAUGAUUUACAAAAUAAAUAAAUCUUUUAUUUAGCAUUAAUAUAAAAAAUCCUAUAUCAUAAACCUGUAAAUAAUAAAAUAUAAAUUUUAAAUUUAAUCCUUGAUUUAUAAAAUAUAUUACUAUAAUUAAUAUUUAAAAUCAUCAAGUAUAUUAUUUGUGGAAUAAUAUUUUCAUUUUUGUCCAUUAUAUAUUUAUGCUUUUAUUUAAUUUGCUAUAUUACCUAUUUAUUAUUUAUUAUCAUUUUAAAGUUAAUAUGUUAAAAAAUAACUAAAAUCAAUAAAUAUGGGAAGAUUAGAGAGUGAAAAAAAAAAUUGAAGAAGUUUUAUGAGAUAAUACAUUAACAUAUUAAAAUAAAUUGAAAAUGAGAGAUAGAAAAAUAGGACAUGCUUGCAAGAAAAAAGAAAAAAGGAUAAAAGAAAAAAAUAAAAUGUAGAAACGCGGCAAGAGGUGAGAUGUGUGAGAGAGUUUAUGUAAGAGAAAAAAAAAAGUGAUUGGUGUACUUGACAACAACAUUUAAUGUGGUAGGUGUACUUGCCCUCAACUUUCGAGGGUAAUUUUGGAACAAAUUCAUAAGCACUAUUGCAGUGCAUGAAUUGGUAAUAUUUUUUUCCAUUUUACAUUAAAAUUGAAAAAGUAAAAACAAAGUUCUAGAAACCAUAUUUUUUUUAUUGGUGAUGUACCAAAGCAUGAUUAUCCCAAUCUUAAAUAACAAAAAAUCAUAAAUUUUGAAUUUUAUUUUUAAUCUAUUUUUAAAAUUUUUUAAAUUCUAAUGUUUAAUUUUUUAAUUUCUAAAUAUUAAAUAAUAUAAAACUCAUGGCAUGAUGAAGCGCAUUAAAUGCAUUGUAGUAGCAUAUGGUAUUUUUGUAGCAAAGAUGACAUAGAUGGAGUUGUGUGGAGUGUUGUUUGGGAAAAAAAAGAUAAAAAAAAAUUAGAAAAAAAAAAUCUCAAACCCUCACCUAGUCAAGCACCCUUGCAACUUUGAAAAGAAAAAAAAAAAACCCAUCUUUAAAAAUGGAGAAAACCACCAUCGCAAACAAUGGCUCACCACAUUUGUACUCGAUGCCAUAUUCUCUUCAACCUUUCAUCAUCUUCACCACCAACCCAUUUACCUUCUUGAAAAGUCAUUUUCCAAUUGCCAGUCAUACCCACCAUUCUCCAUUACACAUUUGUAUCUGAUAAUAAUUGUGAACAAUAGCCAAUUUGAUUAAGCAAAUCACUAAAGAAAGGGAAGGGGUGGAAGGAGAUGAAUUAGGUGUUACAUUUUUUAUUUUUUUUUCAAAAAAAAAAAAACCAAUUAAUAAAAAAAAAUAAUAAAAGAUAUUAAGUAAGACAACAAUUAAGUAAAAGAUAAAGAGAAAAUAUAUGCAAACUCAUUUAUAGUGGUUCAAAAAUCCACCUAUGUCCACUCUUUGUAACCUCCUAAGCAAGUGAGAGUUCCACCAUUAAAGGCCUUCAACUUAAGCCUUCAAGCUUUAUAUUUAGAUUCAUGGGCUCCAAUGGGCACUCACAAUCCCUUCAAGUACUCCACCUAUUUGAAGUCUCUUCACUCAAAAUGAGUAAAUAAGGAAAGUUCUAAUGCUUUCUGUUAGGACAUUGAGUCUUAUUUAUAUGUUGACAAUUUUGUUAUGUUUUAUGUUUGACCAUAAAAGUCUUUUUAGAUAGUGACUUGCUCUCCAUUAAAGAUCAAUGGUUGUUGUUCAUCCAACUAAGAAGUCACAGGUACAUUUAAAAAGGUUUGGCUUGUGGCAUAUAAGGCUUAUUUAAGGUAUAAAGGUUCAAUAUCAUUUUUGGACUUAAAAUGAUUUAAAUUGAUUUUUCAAAAGAAGCAGGGGCUGCUCAAGUGGAAAGGACCACUCAAGCAGUCAGCUUGCUGAAGUGGUCUAAGUCUGUUCAAGCAGUCAUGACAGCCCUGCCGAGUUUAGACACAGAAUUUGGAUGAAUUUCACUGGAACUCUAGUUUAAAAACUUAAGAUACUAAAACUCUUUGGGCUAUAAAAUACCUCCUGAAUAACCCUUUAAGGGUUAGGGAUCGAAAAUUGAAGAGAUCUUAGAGAUUAGAAACCACUCAUUCUUAAAAAGAGGGACUCCUUGAGAGAAAGCUUAAAUUGUUAUAUCAUUCAUGAUUUCUCAUUCAAGGAUUUAAAUCUUUAAAUCAUGGUUUGAAGACCUUAAUCCCUUUGGAGUGGCAAAAUGAUCUACUAGGAAGUAAUAGGAAGCUGCUACAUCGUAAAUAUGGAUCAAGUUGUAGGUGUUGAAGAGUAAGUCUUUAGGGUAAAGUAGCCAAGUAAAUUUGUUUAACUUGAUUUCAAAUAGUGGAUUUAGAUUGGUAAGUCUUAGAUCUUGUGGUUUUUUUUCUCCAUAUUUUAUGGGGGUUUUUCACGUAAAAAUCUUAUGUCUCAUUGUCUAUAUCUUUUAUAUUUGAUAUUAUGUUUGUAGGGUUUUCAUAAAAGGUGAAUAUCUAUAUAUUCCUGCUUAGAUUUUAUUUGAUUAAGUUUGAUUGAUUUGUUGGGAUUGCUAUCAAGGUUGUUAGGGUUGUUAUCUUGGUGGUUAUGGUUGUUAUCCUUAUAACUAAUUAUUAUUAUCUCUAACAUCUCUCAGGAUAUCCUUUGGAUAUUAAUAAUUAAUUUAUUUUAUCCCAAAUAAUUUUUAGAUAUCAAUUAGCCAUAAAAAUCAAGUUUUACCAUUCUAAAUUUGUGUUGAACUCCGUUUUUAAUAUCCAAGAGAACCUUGAAAAUUUCUUAAAGGUAAAAAAAAAAAUGAUAUAAUAUAUAAAUCUUUAUUUAAAUUUUUAAAUCACCCAUUCAUUCCACCUUUGGAUAUUUGAUAUUGGACUUUUAGUUGUUAUUCAAGUGAUAUUAAAGCAAUACCCAUUUUUCAAUUGGUAUGAAAGCAAAAUGAAAAAUCGAUUCUUUAUCAUAUCGAUUAAAAAUCCAAUUUUUAUUGAUUAGAUUGUUUAAAAAUCAAAUUUUUAUUAAUCACAUAGGAUAAAAAUCAAAAUUUUAUUGAUCCUGUAAGUCUAAUAUGGAACAAUAAAAAAAUGGCGCUCCUUUGAAUAGUCCACCCUAUUUUGAUGGGAAUAAUUACUCUUAAUGGAAAACAUGAAUGAUGUUUUUCCUUAAAACGUAAGGUGAAAGGGUGUGGAACUUAUUUGAAUAUGGUUGGGGACCACCAUUAAUCCUUGAUUCUCAAGGAAGAUCAACAGGUGAACUUAAACCCAAAAAAGAAUGAGACAAAGCCGAUAAUAAAUGUAGUGAAGCCAAUGCUAGGGCUUUAUUUAAUAUUUUUAAUGAAGUUUGUCCAUAUAGGUUUUUAAUGAAGCAUGGGAUAUUCUUCAAGUCACUCAUGAAGAUACGUACUCUGUAAAGAUUUCUAAAUUACAAAUGCUUGCUAAUAGGUUUGAAAAUAUUAGGAUGCAUGAAAAUCAAACUUGUUCUUCCUUUUAUUUUAAAUUAAGUGAUAUUGUAAAUUCUUUGUUUAACCUUAGAGAACUUAUUUCUAAUUCUAAGAUAGGAAAAUAUUGAGAUUUCUUCUAGAGAAAUUUAAACUGAAAGUAACUACCAUAGAGGAGAGCAAGGAAAUUGAUUCCAUAAGAGUUGAUGAACUUGUAGGCUCCAUUCAAACAUAUGACAUUGACUCUACCUAGUUCCUAAAAUCCUAAAGACUCUACUUUAAGGCUUUUGAUGAUGUGAAAAAAUAUAUUAAAAUGAAAUAUGAUAUAACUAAGGGUGAAUUGGCCCAUAUGGCCAAAAAGAUUAAAAAGGUCAUGAAAUUCAAUAGAAUGUUCUAUAAGUACCAAGAAUCUAGAAAAGGAAAAAGACCUAAUGAACAAUCAUCCAAUAAGAAAAGAAAAGAUUCAUUCAAAGGUAAGAAAGUUGAAUGCUUUAAUAGUGGAAGUUUAGGACAUUAUGCUUAAGAUUAUCCUAGCCCCAAAGAUGCCAAAAAGUCUAUGCAAGCAACAUGGAGCAAUACUGAUUCUAAAGAGAGUGCUUCCAUAGCUUCUGAAGAUGCAAGGUAUGAUCUCAAUGACUUGUUAGCUUUUACUGCUUUUAUGGAACUAGUGCAUGAUGGUGAUGAUGAUGAUGAGUUUACUAAUGAACAUAGGGCUAAAUUCUUGAGUAAUCUUGUUGUUGAGCAUGAAAGACAAAUUAAGAGUGAUAUGAAAAAUAUGAUAUCCUUGAUGUUCAUAAAAACAUAAUUGAUGUGCUUAAUGUUGAAAAGACUAAUUUGCUUGAGAAAUUUAGGUUCCUUGAAUCUGAACACCAUUCUCUCCUUGAGGGGAAUAAUCUUCUCAUUUAAAAGAUAAAAAAUAACAAGCCUUUUUCAUCUAUGAAUAAAUUUUUUUACUUCGAAACUAAAAUGCUUAAUGAAAUUCUUGAUAAAUGCAAAACCUAUGGUGAUAAAAGAGCGUUGGGGCACAUUAAUAAAGAUGAAACUCCUUUUAGUGGAGAUAUUGUGUUUGUCAAAGGUAAGGAUGAUACCCCUAACUAAGUAGAAUCUCAUAAAAAGACAUCACUAUGCACACACUAAAAGAAAACUGAAUUCUCUUAGUUUAGAUGCUACACUAGGUUUUUAGAAAGGUUUGAAACUCAAAUAAAUAGACUGAUGAAUAACUUUAAUUCCGUUGAAAAAUAAUAUCUUGAAUAGUGGAAAGGUAAUAAAACCAAACAAAAGCCUAGAAGUCAAUCUAGUUUCUCUAAGUCACCACCUAGGACUAAGCGAGUUUGGUUGAGAAAGGAUAGGCCAAAAUGUCAAGUUAUGUUUAAUGCUCUUAAAGCUAAAUCUUCUAGUAAGUGGUACUUGGAUAUUGGGUGCUCUCGGCACAUGACAUGCGACAAAUUCUCUUUUACUUCUCUUGAAAAUUAUGAUGGUAGGGUUGUUACUUUUGGAGAUGGAAGCCUAGCUCAAGUAAAGGGCAAGGGCUAAUAGUGAUCCCUGGUUGUCCUAAACUAAAUGGAAUUAUAGAUGUUGAAAGACUGAAGGCAAACCUCUCAAGCAUUAGUCAAAUGUGCGACAAAAACCAUAAAGUGAAUUUUCACCAAGACUUGUGUGGGGUAGUUAAUAAAAAAAGGAAAGGUAGUCAUCAUAGGGCAUAAGACAGUUGAUAAUUGUUAUGACAUAAAUCCUAACUCUAGAGCACCUAUUUUGUGUAGUAAGGCUAAGCUUGAUUCUAUAGAGCUCUGGCAUAGAAGACUAGGUCAAAUAAACUGUAGGGAUCUUGUGCACUUAGUGAAUAUUGAAAAAGUUAAAGGUAUCCUUAGACUUAGUGGUGAACCCAAACCCAUUUAUGAUGAGUGCAUGAAAGGAAAACAAACUAAGAGUUGACACAAAAAGGUUAAGGAGAUAAGGACCACUAGACCUUUUAAAUCUUCUUCACAUGGAUCUUAUGGGUCGAAUGCGAAUUAAAAGUAGAGGUGGCAAGAUAUAUGUCCUUGUAGUAGUAGAUGAUUUUUCAAGAUACUUUGUGAUUUUUUUAAAGGAGAAAUCAAAGGCCAUAGAACAUUUGAAGUCUUUAUUUAAUAGAAUACAAGUGGAAAUAGGUCAUCCAAUUGCAAGAAUUAGGAGUGAUAAGGGGAGAGAGUUUGACAAUGUUAAAAUUGACUUUUUUAUUUUUAUUCUAAAGGAAUUAAACAUGAAUAUUCAACCCCUAGAACUCCUUAUUUGAAUGAAGUAGUUGAAACAAAGAAUAGAAUGCUACAAGAAAUGACAAGGGUGAAGAUUCACAUCCAUAAUACCCUUGAAAAAAUAUGGGUAUUGCUCUCAAUACCCCUUAAAUAACCAAAAGUCAAAUAGGAAACACCUAGAGGGGGGAGGGGGAGAGGAGGAUGAAUGAGUGAUUUAAAAAAUUAAAUCAAUAUUUGUAAAUUAUAAUCACUUUUACUUAUCCUAAGAUAUUAUAGGGACAACUUGCAUAUUCAAAAAGGAUUUCACCCUAAUAAAAAACUUAUUUUUAUUGUUAAUAUCCAAAGAUCAACAAUAUAUGUUGAAGAAUAUUAGGGAUAAUAAUAACCACAACCAACCUAAAAAGCUCAACAACCAAUUAACAAAUCAAUCCAAUAUAUUCAAUAUCUUCAACUAGAAUAUAUGUAGAAAUAAAUAUAAACUUUUUAGAAUAGCCUUGGAAGAUAUUAGGUUAAAACAGAUUAACCUAUUUUAGGCAAUUUAAACGUAAUAUCAAAUAUAAAGAGAUAUACAAUGAGACAUAAGAUUUUUAUGUGGAAAACCCCUACUAACCAUGUAGAUAAAAAAAAAAAACAUGAGGCCAAGACCUAUUAAUCAAAAUCCACUAUUUGAAAUCAAGUCAGACAAAUUUACUUGACCGUUUUACCCUAAAGACUUACUCCCCAAUACCUAUAACUUGAUUCAUGUCCGCAAUGUAGCAAAUACUUAUUGCUCCCUAGUAAAUCCUUUGGUUCCUCCUAAGGGAUUAUGAUCUUCAACUAACAAUUCAAAAAAUCAUAUCCUUGAAUGAUAGAACAAGAAUGGUGUGACAAUAAGGCUUUUUUUACCAAAGAGUACCUCUAAAGAAUGAAAGGUCUCUAACAAUUAGAUCUCUACGAUCUUUAAUCUCUUAGCCUGAAUCUCUAACCCUUAGAGGGUUACAAAGGAGGAAUUUAUAGGUAAAAACCAUAAGGAUUUCGGUAUUUCAAGUUUCCAAAUUAGAAUUGGAUUGAAAUUCAUUCAAAAUACUUUUCUAAACUUGAAAAGACUGUUAUGAUUGCUUGAGAAAACUUAUACCGCUUGAGCGCUCUAACUGCUUGAAUGGGAUUAAUCACUUUAGUGAUCCUACUUUUUAAAAAACCUUUUAAGCUCAAAAAUGAUACCUAUCCUUUUAUACCUCAAAUGAGCCUUUAUAUGCCACAAUUCAGACUUUUUUAGACAUACCUGUGAUUUCCCAAUUGAAUGAAUAACAACCCUUAAUAUUCAAUAGAGAGCAUCUCACUAUCUAAAAAGACUUCUAUGGCCAAACAUAAAUUGGAAUAAAAUUGCUAAUGUAUAUGUCCUAACAAUCUCCCAUUUUUGAAAUUCUGUGACGAAACAUUGUUACAUAGACCCACCCAUACUCUCAUAAUGGAGUUUACAUAACACACAUUAACACUCAAAAGUAAACUAAAGGAAUACUUUGCAACGCUUUGUAGUACUUGUCUUCCAACCUUAUAACUUGCACACAUACAAAAAACUAUACUAAAAACAAAACAAUAUGCAGUAUAAUAUAUGAUCAAGAAAGCAAAAUAGGAUACUUGAAGAUUUUUCUUGAUGCAUUGUGUAAGCAUGAAAAAAAAAAGAACAAAUUCCUAUAAUGACACCAAGGUACAAAGCAAAGCUCAAGAGGAAUUUGAAUGUGUAAAAAUCAACCAAACAUAAUAAAAACUAGAUAAGACCCAAUAAUUUAACAGUAAAGUGCAAGAGACAUUCACCAACCAAACAUAAGCAAUAAAGGCCCUAAGAAAAAACUUAUAUGCUUGAGAUUAGUUCUAGAAAGAUAGUUGGUUCUAAUAGUAGUAAUUUGCAACAUUCACGUUAGGAAUCUCUCUUAAACUUUAAAGUCAUGUUUCCUAAAGAUGAUUUGGUUUACUUCAAUGCCUCUUGUUUAGUUUCCUCUAAUAUUUCAACUAAUUCCCUUUAAUUAAUAAAUAAAAGAAUUCAAAGAAUUCAAAAACUACCUCUAAAUCAAGGAGUUUCUAUUUUUCACCAUUUUUUUUACUCCUUUUUUUUAGGUGAAUCAAAUAUUCAAUGUUUUCUUUUUAUAUUAAUUUAAGUGAGUUAAAUCCUUAUUUUUGUCAUAAAAAAUGACAAAGCAAUAGAAAUACAAACACAAGAAGUACAUAAAAGAAAAAUACAAAGAUGAACAACAUAUAUAUAUAUAUAUAUAUAUAUAUAUAUAUAUAGAGAGAGAGAGAGAUAAAUAAAAGCUAAUCUUAAUAGAGAAAACACCCAAGAGGGGGGGGGGGUGAAUUGAGUUUUAAAAUAUCUUUUUCAAACACCAUAAAUUCAAGGAAAAAAAAAAGCACAAAUAUAAAGAGAUAGGGUUAGAGGAAGCAAACUCAUAAUUUAUAGUGGUUUGACAGUCCUUGUCUACAUCCACUCUUCUCAAGUUCCUAACUGAGUGAGGGUUCCACUAAACUUGAAGCUUCAACCAAGCUUCCAACACCUUUACACUUGGAUUCCUGUUCAAUGGGCUCUUAUAAAAUCUUUUCAAGUCUUUACACACUUGAAGCUUCUAACACUCAAAUAACAAGUUCAAAUCUCUCAACUUAGCUCAAUAAUGGCUUAAAUACAACUCAAAUUUAGGAUGAAUCACAAUAGUACACUAAAGAAUAUUCAUAUGAAGAUUUAAUGCACCAAGAAAAUAAUGAGAGCUUUUAAUGUAAGAACAAGUAGGUAAACAAAUAAAUGCUUCUCUUACUCAUAAAUGAAGUGGAACUUUCAAUUUAUAGGUUUCUAGCCUCCGGAGCCAAAAUGGAAAAAGGAUAGCCAUGAUUGGUUGAGUUGGGGUUGAUCAGUUCAUUAGUCGUUGGACAUUAAAUGCAUGACAGGUGACCGUUAGGCCUCGACUAAUCCUUGAUCGGACAUCGACCAAGAAGACAUAUCCCUCAAUUGGGAAAGAAAAGCUACUAGAAGAGAUAGAAGGUUUUUUGCAUCUCUUGAUCAAACCUCAAUUGGGAAGGGUUAAUCGAUCAAUCGGUACUCCUAACUAGUUGAGUCAGUUCACCAUUUUUGGCCUGACUCACCUAUAUUUUUUUUGGUCUUUUUGCUUUUAACACUUAGGCAAGAUCUUUAGGUAAAUUAAUAUGUCAAUUUUGAAACAAUUUGUUUAAGGUUCAUUUGAUAAAACUCGGGUUUUGAUGGAAAUGUAACUUUAAUGCAUAAAUCGAGUUUUCAAAGAUACAUGGAAAUAUAUGAAAAUCCUAAGUGCACCCAUGCAUUCGUCUUACACAUGUUUCCUAUGAUUAAAAAGUCUUCCAAUUGUCUUGAUCUUGCAUCCAUUAGUCCUUAUAUGAAUUUCCAAAUUAACACCUGAAAUUCUUUAUAAUUCAAACCAAUUAGCAACUUAACCAUGGUUUGUUAUCAUCAAAAUGCAGUUAAAAGAACCCUUGGGCUAACAUAUAUAUAUAUAUAUAAUGUAAUUCUAGAUACAUAAGAUAAUCAAAGAAUAAAUUUCUAGAUCAAUAAAUAUAUAAAAAGAAAAACUCAAUAACUAAACAUCAGGAGGAGGUGGAGAAGGAAAAGAGCUUGAACUACUCUGAGUAUGGAUCCAUGAGAUGAUGUAAGUUAACUAACCCUGGAUCACAUAGAGCUAAACAUCCUAUAAGUCCAACCUCUAAAGCACUAUAGAUAUGAGAUCCAUUUCUUAAGAAGUUAGGAGUGCGGAAGACGAUGAGCCAUGAAGGGCUCUAGAUAAUCUAACACAUCCUCGACUAGAGUGAGUCCUCAAUGCAACAUCAAGAAUGGUUGCAUCCAACUCUAGAGCUUGAAUCUCAUCCUCCUCGGCAAAUGCCUCCUAAGCAACCUAUUGGUCUAGUGCAACAUCUUGGGAGCCAUCUAGAACUAGAGGAGCCAUGGGACUAUACACGUGACUAUAGUGUUUGGCCUAAGAGCUCUCAUCCAACAAAGCAUGAACAACCUAUACCCUUUGUGCAGUAGCAAUCAUAAAACCAAUAUCCUCCAAUAAUCUAGAGAUAAGGAGUCUGAAAAUGAGUACACCACGACGAAAAUAAGAAGUCUCAAUAAAUGGUGAUGGUAUCGAUGAUCACCUGACCAAUGUCGAAUUAUUGUCCAAAUAGAAUGGCAUGGAUGAGACAAGUAGUCAAGCAAUGAAUUUUGGUACAAUAGGAAGAAGAGUAAAAAGAAUAUGUCAAGAAAGUAGCAAAAAUCCAAACUAGCUUGGAGAAACCAACUAGAGAAAUCGAAAUGAGAAUCGAAAAAAGCUCUUCAAGAGUGAGAGACUGAACCUCUAGAAGAAAAGAAGGAAGACACAUCAAGUCUAGACAUGUUGAAUACACACCUAACUGACAAUGAGAUAAUCUAGAAUGGCUAACCAAAUAUGGUCACUCAAAAGGAGUGAAUAGGAGAAGUGGUAUGCAUGUUUGUAUAGAACAUGUGAACCAAAAGAUGAUAAUAUGAACCAUGUAAGGUAAAUAAGGACUUCCACCCUCUCACUUUGAGAAUGGUAGGAAAAUGACUAUCCUGAAAGGCACAAAGAUCAAUAAAAUGCUCGACCUCAAUGCGACAGCUCUAAAAGCAAGCAUAGAAAUGAUCAUGUGUCUCAUGAGAAAGGAAACACUCUAUAAGGAGAUCAAAAGGGUCAAAAUGGCCUUAAAGAGCAAUGCCCUAAAUUAGCUCAAGUAACCUAGGAGGAGUCACCUCUCGUUAACGUUUGUGACUAGACAUAACUAGAGAAAUACCAAAAAAACACAAAAAAUAAGAAAUAUAUUGAAAAAUCUAAUCCGCUAUAAAUGUCUUAAACAAUGCAAAGAACAAUACUAUGAAGUCGAAGAUACAAAAAAUGAAGAAAAAUGUUUCAUAGCGCUUGAGAAAAUAGAAAAAUGUUUGAAAUGAAAAAUGACACACUAGAUGAGUUUUUAUACUUAGAUGUACCAUUGGAUUAGAUUAGUGCUCAAGUAGGAUGCUCGAUGGAUGUGCCACUAGAUGUAACUAAGAGUGCUUGAAUAGUAAAGACGUUGGAUGUGGCUUGAGUGCUUGAGUGUUAAGGACGUUAAAUGUAGCACUCGAGCGGCUAAAGCCAAAAUAUACAUAUAUAUAGCAAGUGAUAGAAUACUCAACUAACAUAUAGACAAGGAUUGACACCAAUUGAAACAAAUUUUAAUAAUAAAGAGUAGAUAAUUAAGCUCAUAAACUUUUAACAUUAGCUCAAUCAGUAAUAGAUGAAGUAUGUUACUUUAGAUAGUAUAUGCCAAUUCAUCAAGAAUGAAAUUUCAAGAUCAAAGGUCAGAUUUAAUCAUAAUCUCCUAUUCAAAAACCCAAUGCAUAACCAUCAAUGUAUAAAAGAGUCAACAUAGAAACAUAAGUAUUGAUUUUCAAGGAAAUACGACUUAUUGUUUAGUUCAAUAUUUUGAAAUUAAUUACUUCAAAGAGAUCUAAUCACAACUUUGGUCAAAUUAAAGAACACAUCUAGUCAAUUUGAACUAAGGUUGUCAGAUUUUUGUUUUGGCCUCGUUGAUCUACAUACAGUACAACUUGACUCCCUUUUAAUAUGAUAUCAUAUUUCUAUUCUUUUCCUUUUGUUUUUCUAUUUAAAAGUGGAGGCAUUGUACAUCAUGGUCAAUUGAUUUUUCUUUUUCUUUUCAUUCAUGGUUGUCUUUUUUAUCCAUUUUGGGGUGGUUUCCAAAUGUUGCAAGUGAGCAAUAUACAUUUAGGAGCAUGAAUCUUGGACAAGAGUAUAAGAGUUAUGCUUAACCAAGGAUUUAAUAUUUUUUACAAACUCACCUUGAGAAACAAAAAAAUGAUUAUAGUUAGACAAGGUAUGUGGAUAAUACAAUUUGAGCAUGACAACGAAUCCUUUCAAAGCAAUCAAAGUCUACUUUAUGAGUUCAACUUAAAAGGUCUUCCCCUUGAUCAAGUAUAACAUGUAACCAAUAUUGAAUUUUUCACAUACAAAGACAUUUAAUUAUCAGGAAUCAAAUGCAUCAAUAGUGAUUAACAAUUAUCUAUGAUUCUAUCCACAUCAAAUCUUAUAGAUAUAGUAUAUUUUUCUAAAUCACAAACUAGAAACAUUAUGAAUCAUGCUCAUAGCUGUGAAAGGCGCGCCUAGGCUCGGGGUGUGAUUACUACUCAAAAAGUGUUAUUUCAUAGCUUGUAAUUAACUCUUUUAAACACUUUUGAGUAGUAGUUAUUGUCUUUUAACCCAAUUAACAUAUUAAGGACCUUUGCAAGCACUUCUAAUCAAUUUGUGUUAAGUUUUGGUGUUUUGAUAGCUUUUUGAUCACCAAAGCAAUAGGAGAUUGAGGAGAGUUAUUUGGAAUCCAUGGCAAAGCAAUGAAAAGCUCAGAAACAUGAAGAACCAAAGCUUUGAAGUCCUUUGCCAUAAGCAAAUUCGAAAUGCAAGGAGGGAAAGUAAAGAGAAAUCUGCCAUGAAGCAUUUUUUAUGAUAGUCAUGUCAGCCACUUUUGGAGCACUUCCUGGAGUCCAAUUUCACUACAAGGAAAAAGAUAUAUGGUGACAUUUAUAACGAGUCACCAUAAACAUAGGGUGUCACUACAACAUAGCGUCACCUUCUCCACUGACACCAUAGAGGGUACCAAUUGGUGACGUAUUUGAAAGUGACACCAAAGUAGAUAAAUGGUGACCCUUUCGGAAGUGACACCAUAUAUUUCUAAUGAUGAUAGGGUGUCGCAUUAAAUGCAUCAUCUUUGAGUUAUGAUGUCAUAUUAAAUGCAUCACCUUUGAGUAAUGGUGUCAAGUCAUUGUAAAUUAUUGUGGAAGAUAUGAUUGCUUUUAGUUAUAGAUUUUUGUAAUGCUUAUGAAUUAAUAAGUAAGAUUAACUUGUCUAUAUUUUGUCCAUAAAUAUAACAAUCAUAUUAUAUUUAACUCAUUUUUCUGUAAUGUUUCUGGAAUAACUCAUAUACAGAUCAUCUAAUAAUAUUUGUAUAUCAAAUGUUCACGAGAAGAUAGUACAUCCAACAUAUCAAACCCAUCAAAACUAAAAAAAGAAGAGUGAAUACAUACCAAAACAUGAUUUAGAAAUGUUAAAGAUCCCAAGAUUCAUGUAUACCUCCAUUUCAUAAGCAUAAAACCGGCUAACUAUAAAAUGACAUAAAAGUCCCAUCUAAAAAUCUAAAUUUCUCAGUACUAAUUAAAGUAACAUUUAUGUCCUACAACGUAUGACAUAAGAGUUGCAUUUAAAAACCCAAAAUCUUGUUGCCUUCUUCUUUCUUUUUAUUCUCCAUUCCACCAUCCCAAAAGUGUAUACCUGCAUUUCAUAGUUUAAUGAGUUUUAUAGAUUUUUAUUAAAGAAAAUAAACAUGGAUCGAUGUUAUCAUAAAUGAAAAAAUCUAAGAACUAUUUUUUUUAUUUUCUUUUUUUCAAAUAGAAACAUUAUUCAAAUAACCUAUGGAAAAAUUCAUGUAAUAGCUAAAGGACUCACCAUGCAUGGUGAUCAUGAUGCAUCAACAUGAUUCAUGAUUAGUUGUAGCACAAAAGUAGCCCAUUCUCCUCUAAUUUCAUCGAAUUCUACUUGAGAAUAUGUUUUUUUUAUCACCAAACUGAAAUCAAAUAAGCAAAUAAGAUUAAAAUGCAUAACAUUUGGAAGCCUAAAACUAUGUACAAUUCAUUAAAUUUGUAAUACCUUUGAAGCAAUGAUUGUAGGAUAAAAAAUUAUCUCUUUUAUGAAUCUCAUAACAAAGUAGCCACAUUCAAACCCUCCUUCUUGUCUUGGACACUAAUCGAUCAAUUAUAAAAUAACAUUAUAAUCAUACAUAUAAAUGGUGCAAAUGCAUAAGCUAAUGUGUAAAGAAAAUUUUUUGGAUGUCACCUGCACUAGUUGCCAAGAUGGCUCCCUUUUAGAUGUUUUCUUUGCAGAUAUUCGAAGAGCCCUAUAUAAAUAAGUUCAAUGGGUACAUUUGUAAAAUAGGUAAAUGUUAUAUGUUUUAACAUAUAUAUAAAUAAUAAUAAAAAUGUGUUUGAGAUGAAUUUAUUUAUUUAUUUUAAAAAAAAAUAAUACUAUGAAAAAUAAUAGGAAGAACUUACAUGUUUACGAUAUCCUUUAAGUCCUCACAUGGUUUGUGAUGCAAAGGGUUAAGAUAGUGGACUAUCAUUUUCCUUGGCUCAAUCACUACCAAGACCCAAUGAAAGCUAAAACAUUAAAAACAAAAGUAUCAUCUAAUUAGAAAUAUAAAUUAAUCAUAAAACCUCAAAUUAAAGUAUAAUAUUUGUCACUUACUCGGGGUUGUAAGGUAUGAAAACAUAUUUAGCAUCUUGGCACUCCAUUAAGCGUUUUGGCAACAAUUGUGCUCUUUUCUCUGUUUGAGGAGAAAAUAAUCUUCAGAAAACAAGUGAAAAUAAUAUAAAAUAACUAAAAAAUGUUCUUUGAAAACACUACUAUGUUUUCUAUUCUUAAGAACAAAAAAUAUGAAAUAAUUUUUUAUCGUUGAAAGUAUUUUCUAUGUUUUUUGUUUUGAAAAACAGAAAACUGCUCUAAAAAUAAUUCUCAAACAAACCAUAAGUUUUUUUCUAAUUCAUUGCCACCAAAAUAGAUAAGCUUGGAUUGGAUUGCUUUGGCUUAUUUAGAUUGGGGAUAUUCUUUCAUGGUAAAAGUUUAUGCCUCAUUUUUUUCCAUUUCUACUAUGUAGCAAUUAAUAUCUUUUUUUUCUCUCUUAUGCAAGAUUGACCAAACUGGAUUUUGUUGCCAAAACAAGUGACCAUCAUGGCUUUGUGUGUUUAUAAAUACAUAUCUAGUCUGAUCAAUUUCCAAAUACAUUCAUUUAAUUCUGAAGUUCUGGAGAUGUCUCAAUUCAUAGAUUAUUCACUGUCAUUUGGCUCUAAGUGGAAUCGCUCAGGAGACAUUCUUUUUGAAAGAGCCAUUUUGAUUUUUCCAGAGGAAACCCCAAACAGGUGGUACAAGAUUGUCACUCAAAUCCCAAGAAAAUCUCCCAUGGAUAUGCUUGAACACUACAUAAAACUCAUACAAGAUAUCGAUGUGAUCGACUUCGGUAGUAUGGAUCACUACAUUCCAGACCGGUGGGAUUUAGAGGAGGAAGAUCAAGAGGAAGAAGAAGGUAGUACUAGCUCAAAAGUCGAGAAGAAGAAAGGGACUCCAUGGAUUGAAGAAGAGCACGUACUGUUUCUUGAAGGAUUAGUUAAAUAUGGAAAAGGUGACUGGAAAAGCAUCUCUAGAAACUUUGUGAUCACCAGGACGCCAUCCCAGGUUGCAAGCCAUGCUCAGAAGUACUUUGCAAGACAAAGGCCUGGGAAUAUGGGCAAGAAAAGGAAGAGAACCAGCAUUCAUGAUAUCACGACUGAUGAUCUUCCUCCACUAGGUGGUGUAACUCCAUAGCCACUUUUUCAUGCAUUGCAGUAUCAUUACAUGGUUGUAAUGGUUGCAUCCUAUAUGAAUUAGACAUUUUGUCAUCUCAUAAAUUUCUACAAAUGAUCAGUAUUUCAAUUUAAUUUAAUUUACUUUGCUUUGUGUGGAGGUCAUACUCAUACCUUCUUCCAUGAAAAUUGAUUCUGAGAAAAUUUGAAGAAGUUGUCCAUUAUAAGGAAUGUUGUAUUUUUCACCAAACUAAGGCAAGAAAAUGAAAUUAUGUUAAUUAAGAAAAGUAAUAUAUAGUAAAGAAUUUUGUACUGGUGACCAACUUUACAAUAUUACAAUAUACCAAGGCACGUACAUGUUAUCUCUCAUCUCCUUAUACAUAGAUCAUUGUGUCUCAGGAGGCACGUACCAAGGCAUCCAUUGAUUCACAAUUGUUCUCAUCUCCCACACAAUAGGGGCCAAGUUAACUGAACUAUCCUCCACUAGGAAUAUCAUGUAUGGUAGAAUAUUGAUUUAGUGGAGCUUGAGUACUUUGAUUUUGGGGGGGCUAUUUGCUGCCAUGGGUGGUCAGUAUUUGUCCAUGACGGAGACUAUCUAUCCUCAAGUGGUGAGAUGCUUCUACGCCGACAUGUAGUAUGAAUUUGGGUGGGCUAUUGAGACUACUAUGAAGCGGUUAUGUGACCCCACAAAAGUAAAACAUUAUGAAAUACCUAAUAUUCGAAGCUCAUGAAAAACAUCCCCAACCCAUAUUUAUAAAAUGGCUUGCUAGUUUACAAUAAUAGAAAACUGAUUGACGUGCCUAUUCAAUCUGUAAAAGGACAUAAAGAAGUAGCGAGAAUGGCAAGCCCCUGUUAUCCUACACGGUUUUAGAGUUACUUUCUUGUCUAAAAUUGAUUAUACCACAAAUUUCAAAUUUUAGUAAUUUUUUGACAACGGAUUUGAUGUGGGGACCACAAGAUAAAAUGUUCUACCAAAUGAAUUUAUUUUUCUCAUUACUAAAUACUAACAUUAAAUUUUCUUCCAUUUUCUUAGUCUCCAAGCAUCACCAAAACUAAUUGAUAAUGCCUACUUACAAUCAAAUUAUAUUAUUUUCUUCCUCCUCAAUUGAACAACUUAUGUCACUUCUAAAGUCUUAGGUGGAUAGAAAAAUGGAAAAGGUUUUUAUUUCUUUAACUUAUGUUAGAAAGAAAAUUAGAGGGAGAAAAAGAAAAUAUUCCAUUUUAGCUCAGGAUCAAUAUGGGAAUUAUGUUGUACAGGUUUGCUAUAUUUCUUGCAAGCUUUUUCUUCAAUUCCUCAUGUUUCUUUACACAUGGGGUUCUGAUGUUGGUUGGAGAAAUGACUUGGUUUCAUUGGCAUUGUUUACCAAGACAAGAGCUUUCUUGAGAUGAGUGAGAUUCCAUUGUCAAUUUUGUUUACAAUCAUCUAGUCAUAACCAUUGAUAAUCCCCUGAAAACAGGUCUUGCUUGUUUGUUUUUAGUGUUUUUUUUUUGUUUGUUUUUUAUUUAAUAUAAAUUUUCUAGAGUCUCUUGACUCUCUCUGAAUAAUACACCUCAGCGACUAGGUAGAACACUAUCAACAGAAUCUUUUACAACCAUAUUCAUUACGUUCCUAGGACAAUCAAUCUCCUAAACAUUAUCCUCAGUAAAUCUAUGGCUAAAGUGUGCUAUCUUCUCUACUGGCCUGUUCCUCUCCCUUGAGAUAUGACUAAAUUUAGCAUUCAUUCUUGAUUGAGAGAGAUAUAAUGUUGAAACAAUGACACCAUGUGCUGAAACAAUGACACCAUGUGUUGUUGAUAAAUGUCACACACACAAAAAUUCUAGGUCUAAGUUUUUGUGUUUGUGUAGCGCCUAAACACACACUAGACCAGCCUUCCUCCAAACCAUAAGGUACACACAUAGAUUACGGGGCUCUCCCCAACUUGUAACUUACUGAUUUCCAACAGAAUACAAGAGGCGCUCUGUAAAGACUCCUACUAGGUAGUUCACUUGCUUUUUAGAAGGUCAGGCUCUCCUUUUAUAAAGGUUGCACCAAGCAGUCCUAAUCCUACUAGGAGACUAACUUUUGAGUCCUAGUCUGAGUUUGAAUCAAUCUCAACAGAUGACAAAUUUGAGUAGGACUCCAAGUCCUACUGAAUUUAAAACUCUCAUGCCACAUCUCUCUACCUCCUUAUGCAUGAAGAUUUAGUUUCCUAUCCCGAUUAGGAGUCUUCUCAUGUCAAGAGUCCCUUUCUCUUCCUGUAUUAGGUCUCAAUCUCCCACUUUGACUAAAAGUCUCAUGUGAUAGGAGUAUGUCUCAUGCAAUAGGAGUCUUGCUCAUGUGAUGCAUCAGUUCACCAUGCUUCCUAGUAUAGGAGACUACACCUUGCUCAAGCCAUCUCGAUGCCAAGAUGUGUCUACUCAAAUCAUUCUUUUUUUUUUCUCUCUCUCGUUUUUGAGAAGGGAUGAAGAUUAUGUGGCAGUAUAUCUCAAAAAAAAUCUAUACCUAUCGUUCUCACACAAAUACAUAUUAAAAAUCAUUCAUUUUUUCUUGUUUUCCACUUGUUUUUAUGGAGUUGAUCGUGUGUUUGGUUCAGAUUAAAAAAUCAAUUAAUCUACAGGUUUUUUCUUCUAUGCUAGAACUUUAAACCUAAGUUUUUCUUCCCUACAACUCAAAAAAACGCAGUUCAUAAAAACCAUAAUACAAAAAUGUUGAAACAAUCAACAUAAUGACAUUAAUAAAAGAAAAAAAAUGAUAGAUCUAAAAGAUUUUGGCUUACCUGGGAGUCCACAAAGAGAAGAAUGUCGAUUGUGAGCGUGUUGACUAUGGGUGAGAGAAAAGGUAGAAGAAGAUUAUGAUUUUUAUUAUAUAUAGGGUUUGUAUAUUGAGAAUUUUUGGAUUGUGGGUAUCAUGUGGAAACAAUGGGCUUUUUAUAUAUUGGUCCUCAUUAUUAAUUCUAAAAGUGGGCUCAAGUAGGCUCAUUAAGUUAUAAUAUUUAAAAAAAAUUAUUUUAUAUGAUGUUACUUCCUGAAAAAUGACACUACUAAUAUAAAACUAACAUCAUCUAACUACCUCAAUUGAAGAUUUUUAAUAUGAUGUGUCACCUUUAUUAAUUAUAAACCUUAUGGUGUCAUUAUUUUAAAAGUGACACCAUAAAUUAUUUUUGUAGUAGUGUUUAUGCAUGUUAUAUGUCAUUUCGAAGCUCAGGAAGUCAACAAUCCAAUGCUUCAAACAGUGUGAGAUUCGGAGUUGAAAUGAAGGAGUUACAGCCAUUGGAAGCCGAUCACUCCAAGCUGAAGGAAGAAUUUUGCACGGCUGCGAAAUCACCCUUUUGCUGCGAAAUGAUUUCGCAGCCAUUUUGCACAGUGCUGUGGAAUUUCUCCUGAAGUUUCCCGAUAUUUGCGACCGACACUUUUGGAUAUUUUGCUUCAGAUUUUUUAUGUCUAAAUCCCUUUUUUCUCCUUGUAACCCACCAAUUAUAGGAUUCCUUAGUUAUUAAGUUUGGAAAAGGGGUGAAUAACCUCAGAUAUUUUGUUUUGUAAUUUUCUUUAUAUAUAGGUCUCGGGAGCCUGUUCUCGAGAGGAGGACGAGAACCUUUUGUAAUAGUAAGGAAUAUAUUUUACAGAGCACUUGCUCUGCUUUUCAUAUAUAUAUUUUUGUUUUCUCGUUAUUUUUCUUUCUAUCCAAUCAAACUCUGAGGAUUUUUCCUCAGAGGAUGAGAGGCUAGACUCUUCGUCUCUUGGAGUGAAGAAAGCCGGGUAAGUUUCCACAUGCAUAAAUUGGAAGUUUUGUUGUUUUAGUUUUUAAUGAAGAGAAAGUGUGACCCGUUAAUGGUUUUUAUCUUUUUAGUUAACUUAAAACACCUUUAAAUCACCUGGGCCAACACUUGGUAAGGCAAGUGAUCUCCUUCCAUGGAGAUGCACUAGUUUAUCUCUUACGAGCUUUUGGGAGGUGACUUGAAGGUAGGAUUUUCUAGAAUUUCCAACACUUGGUAAGCUUUUGGACUCCAAGGAGACAUCCAUUAGUUAUCUCUUGCGAGCUUUUGAUGGGUAAUCCAAGGUUAAAGAUCACCUUGAAUGGCAAGUGCUAGGUGAGAGGUAUGAGCCAUUGCAAGGUGCAUCAGUGAGAGGGAUUUAGUGUUUGAACCCAUUAAUGGGAAGCAUCUAUACAGCACCGGUUAGAGAAUUAAUGCGAGGAAAAGAAACAAGUGACCAAAACUCUCCUUUUUGUACGAGGAACCUGAGCCUAGUGAUCUGAACUCCAAGAAACACUUUUCUUUGUAAGUAAAAUCAGUUAUUAUUUUUGAUUAGUUUAAAACCAAACCUUUUUCAUUCAAACAUCUUUAUGUUUUCUUUUAAAGCUAACCUUGAAAUGAAAAGGCACCAAUUCAGCUUUGAAUUAAUAUCAUUUGCAAAGUGAAAACCCAUCCCAGUUAACGAUCCUAGAGCCACUAUGCUAUAGUAGCUUUGUCUUUGCUACCCUAGUACAUGGUGUAAUAGGUUAUAAAUUUUGGUGAUUACUCCCUCAAUCAAGGAGCACCAGCUGGACAUGAAUCAGUUGAGACACCAAUUGGGCAUGAAUCAGGGUGGCGCGAUGCCACCCUCCGGCGCCUCACCUGAAGGCAGACGACACCCCUUCAUGAAGGUGUCGCUUAGGCACGCAAGGCGUAACGCAGUCACCUGACUUGCCUCCGACUAGGUACGCGGCGUACGCCCUCCUUAUCCUUCUUCUUCUUCUUCUUCUUCUUCUUUUUCUUCCAUUGGGUUGCAAAGGACUAGGCUGAGCCUUAAUUUUCAUUUUAUUUUAUUUUAUUUUUUAGGUCUGAAACAACUUCGUUUAGGCCCUUUUUAAUUUUAAAGGAACAUGCCAAAAUGAUGUCGUUUUGGAGCCUUUUUUUUUAUAUAGAAAAAAAAGGCCAAAACGACGCUAUUUUGGCAUGUUCCUCCAUUCCAACCCUCUUUUCUAGUCUUUCUCAACCUAAGACCACUCUCAAUCGUGAUGGAGAAGUGAAGAAGAAGAAGAAAAAUAGGGGAAAAUAGGAAAAAAAAUAGAGGGAAAAUAGUCAUGUACCUUCUGGACCUCGGUAUUUUUCUCUUUUCUUCACUUUUUUGUAUUUUGACAUAAAAAUUUACUAAAUAAAAAUAAAUAAACAAAAAACACUCAUAUGCAUAUUUGUUGUUAAUGUGAUAUGCAUUUUUUUUUCAAUUUUUUUUCUUAAUUUAAUUAUAAUUAUCUUACUGUAGAGUAUAUAUAAUUUGUUUGCAAGAUGGAUAAUGAGAGUGGAACUCAAGUGGACUCCAGUACAAGUGGAAGAAGAGAUCCUAGAUGGAAAUAUACUCGUUUGGUUAAUGAAAAAGAUUUGAACACCAACAUAUGCAUUUUUGUGAUAAAGUAACCAAAUGAGGCAUAUAUAGACACAAGCAACAUCUUGUUGGUGGAUAUAGAAAUGCUAAAAAGAGUAGAAAAUGUCUGGAACAUGUUAGAGAAGACAUGGAAGAGUAUAUGAGUUCCAAGAAAAAUAAAAAAUAGCAAAUGAAUAUGGGGAGUGAGAUGUUAAUGAAGAUUUGUUUGGUUUGGAAUAUGAAGAUUUUGGUGAGUAUAUUAAUAGUAGAAUGAAUGUCACCAACAUUUUUAGUGGAGGUAGUAACCGAGGAGGAAGUGAUGGUAGGAUGUUUUCUUCAAAAAAACCAAGACAAAAAGGUCAUAUGGAUCAUUUUUUUCACUCCUAAUGCAGAGAUGGUUGUUCAAAAUCGAAGGAGUGGAAAGAUUAAUCAAACUACCAUCAAUGAUGCCUACAAAAAGGAAACAAGAGAAAGAACUUGUAUUCUUAUCACAAGAUGGAUGUGUGAGGCGAUUAUUCCAUUUAAUGUAGUCACAUAUCCGAGUUUCCAACCAAUGAUUGAGGUUAUUGGCCAUUAUGGUGUGGGUAUGAAAGGACCAACUUUUCAUGAGGUAAGAGUUACUAACCUUAAGAAAGAAUUGGCUCUCACAAAAAAUUUGAUGAAAGAUCAUAUGGUGGAAUGGGGAAAAAAUGGAUGUUCAAUUAUGUCAGAUGGAUAGACCAAUAGGAAAGAGAGAACUUUGGUGAACUUUUUGUUUAAUUUUUCAAAGGGAACCAUGUUCAUGCAAUCCAUUUAUGCUUCUUCAAUGAUUAAGACGGGAGAAAAGAUGUUUGAGUUACUUGACAAAUGGGUAAAACAAGUUGGUGAGGAGAAUGUUAUUCAAGUUAUAACAGAUAAUCACUCAAGUUAUGUGAUGGCAGGUAAUAAAUACUAUUUCUUGAAUUUUUAUUUACUUUUAAAAUUUGAAUUAUUUAUCUUGAGAACUUAUGUAAAUUUAUUAUUUACAAUGUCACAUAGGGAGGUUGUUAGAAUUAAAGCGCCCACAUUUGUAUUGGACACCAUGUGUUGCACAUUGCCUUGACUUGAUGUUGGAAGAUAUUGGAAAGCUACCAAACAUCAAGAGGACAUUGGAGAGGGCUAUAUCACUAAAUGGGUAUAUUUAUAAUCGCUCAGGGCUACUUAACAUGAUGAGGCGGUUUACUGGACAAAGGGAAUUGCUUAGGCUUGCUAAGACUCGGUUUGCAACUGCUUUCAUCACAUUAUCGCGAUUGCAUGAACAAAAAAACAACUUGGGGAAGAUGUUUACAAGCUCAAAUUGAUCAGAUAGUAAAUGGGAAAAAGAGUAGAAAGGGAAAACUAUAGCCAACAUAUUUCUAAUGCCUUCAUUUUGGAACACUAUUGUGUUUUGCUUAAAGGUUUUGGGUCCCCUAGUUCGUGUGCUUCGUUUGGUUGAUGGUGAAAAAAAAGCUCCUAUGGGAUACAUCUAUGAGGCCAUGAAUAGAGUUAAGGAUACAGUUGUGACAAGUUUUAAUGGAAAUGAAGAGAAGUACAAAGAAAUCUUCAACAUCAUUGAUAAGAGGUGGGAGAUUCAGCUUUACCGGCCUUUGCAUGCAGUAGGGUACUUUUUGAACCCGGAAUUCUUCUAUGAUAAACCAGAAAUAGAGUAUAAUGCGGAGAUUAUGAGUGAUUUGUAUAAAUGCAUCUUAAGGCUAACAAGAGACCUUGCUAAGCAAGAAAAAGUUGUGGCCAAAAUGAGUUUGUUCACAAAUGCCCAAGGACUAUUUGGGAAUGAGUUAGCUGUUAGGACAAGAAAGACUAGAGCACUAGGUUAGUUAUUUAGUUUUGUUUAUUUAAAUGACUACAAUUUAUUUUUGCUAAAAUAGGUGAAUUGUUUCACUAAAUUGUUAAUAUCUAUACUACAGCUGAAUGGUGAGCUGCAUAUGGAGCUUCAGCUCCAAAUUUGCAAAGGUUUGCAAUGAAAGUCCUCAACUUAACAUGCAAUGCAUCAGGUUGUGAAUGGAAUUGGAGCAUCUUUAAAAAUGUAAGUGACCAAAAUAAUUACAAGUAAUAGUCUAAUAGAGUCUUGAAUGUAACCUAAAAGCUAAAACUUUAAAAUAUAUUUAUAAGCUUAUGAAUUUUUGCAGAUUCAUAGCAAGAGGAGAAAUAGGUUAGAUCAUCAACGCUUGAAUGAUUUGGUAUACAUUAAGUAUAAUCGAGCCUUAAAGAGAAGAUACAAUGAACGUAACACCAUUGACCCAAUUUCUUUGAAAGAUAUAGAUGAUAGCAAUGAAUGGUUGAUAGGAAGAAUGGAAGAUGAGGAUUCUCAUGGAGGUGCACAAGAUGAUUUUGUAUUUGAUGAUGAUAAUUUGACAUGGGGUGAUGUUGCUAUAGCUACUAGAGCUGAGGAGGCCAGGUUUGAUACUAGAGCUAGAGCUAAAGCUAGACCAAGCUCAAGCAUAAUACCACCAACGAGGAGGAUAGCUUCAAGUUCUAGAACCUUGCCUUCUCAUUCACUAAUAGAUGAAGAUGAGGAUGGAGACAUGGUUGAUUCAGCAUAUGAAGAAGAUGGGGAAGGCUACAAAUAUGGUGAUGGAAAUGAUGAUGAUGAUGAUUUAGUUGAUUUAGAGGAGGAGUGAUGAUUGCUUGUUGUGGACAAAUUUGUUAUUUAAGUGUUUUUUAAUGAUGUUUUUGAAUUGUGGACAAAUUUCAUAUUUUGGACCUUUUGGUUUGGAAACUUUGGAUUUGGAUAUGUAUUGGGCUAUUAGCAAUAUGGAUUUGGAUUUGUUUUUAUGCUUGGAGUUCUUUAUUUUUUAUGUUUUUCGUUGAUUAAAUUGAAGUUUUGGAUGAUAUUUGACGAUUUAUGUGUUUAGGACAAAUAAAUGAUUGUUAAAUUUGAUUAUAUUAUAUUAAAAUAUAUAUGUAAAUUAGGGUGCGCCUCACUUCACAAAAGCCCGCACCUUAGGUGCGCCUUGCGCCUCAGGCUCCAGGACUACAUUGCGCCUCAGGCUCCAGGACUACAUUGCGCCUUAGGCUCCAGGACUACAUUGCGCCUUGGUGUGCCUUGAUCCUUUUAAAACUAUAAUCAUGCUAAUAUAUCAAGUAAAUAAACAAAAAUAAUAUGCCCAAAACAAAAUAAGGCCAAAUGAAACAAGAAGAUAUAAACAGUAAGCUCAACACCUUUGAAGCCUAUACCUAUGAUGAUCAAUCAAUUAAGCAUAUGCCUAAAGAUUUCCUUAGGUACUCAAACUUAAGAGAAUCCAAGGGUUUGGUAAGAAUAUCUGCUAAUUAAAGUUCCAUGAAAGAACAAACCAUAAAGAAACAACAUUUUUUUCAACAAGAUCCUUAAUGAAAUGAUUACGAAAUUCAAUGUGAUUAGUAUGGGAAUGAAGAACAAGAUUCUUUGAGAUAUUUAUAGCACUAGAGUUGUCAUAAUGCAUGUUCAUGGUUCCUUCUUCAAUUCCAUAGUCUUUAAGCAUUUGUUUUAUCCACAGGAGUCGCAUACAACAAAUCCUAACAACAAUAUAUUGAGCUUCAAUAAUAGAUAAAGACAUAAAAUUUUGUUUCUUACUAAGCCAAGCCAUAAGCCAAUGUUCAAUAAAAGAUAUGUUUUUUCUAUUCUCAAAUGUUUCUAGCCCACUCAGCAUGGGAAUAUCCAACAAUCACAAAAGAAGAGUCAUAGGGAUACCAUAAACCAUAAUCAAGAGUUCCAUUUAUAUAACGAAUAUAUAAUUCUUUUAAUAGACAUUAAGUGUGACUGUUUGGGGUUUGCUUGAUAUCUAGCACAAGCUCCAAGACUAAAAGAUAUGUCAGGACGACUCGCAGUGAGGUAAAGUAAGCUUUCUAUUAUAAUUCUAUAAAGCUUUUUCUCAACAUUUUUUCUAGCUGCAUCCUUACUAAGCUUAGUGGUAGUGCUCAUUGGUGUCUUACAGUGUUUAGAAGAUUGUAGAUAGAAUUUUUGAACAACUUUCCUAGCAUACUUGGAUAGAGAAAGAAAGAUUCCAUCUUUUAGUUGCCUAAUCUGCAAUCCUAGGAAAAAACUUAAUUCAUCUACCAUGCUUAUCUUGAAUUCAGUCUUCAUCUCUUUUGCAAAACUAAGGGCAAGGUCAUUAGAGGUAGCUCCAAAAACUAUAUCAUCAACAUAAAUCUGAGCUAUUAACAACUCAUCAUUGGACCUAUUAAUAAACAAGGUUCUAUCAACUCCCUCUCUUUCAAACUUUUUCUCUAAAAGAUAGGUUAUGAUUCUCUCAUACAAUGCCUUAGGAGCUUGCUUUAAUCCAUAAGUAGCUUUCUUUAACCUAUAAACAUAAUUGAGGAAUUUAAGAUCUCAAAUUAUGUUGCUCAACAUAGACUUCUUCACUUUGGCAACUAGUUUUACUUUGCUUCUCACAAUGACCCCAUUUUCAUUUUGUUUGUUCUUGAGUAUCUAUUUUGUACCUAUGACAUGAUUAUCAUUAGGCCUAGGAACUAAGUACCACACAUCAUUCCUAAUGAAUUGAUUCAGUUUUUCCUAGAGUGUGGACAUCCAAGAUUCAUCUUUUAAACCUUUCUACACAUUCUUUGGCUCAAAUUGGGAGGUAUAGCAUACACAACCCAUCUCAUUUAAUCUUGAUUGCCACUUAGUAAUAACAUGUUCAUUCAUAUUACCUAUAACAUUGAGAUUAUGUAGUUUUUAGGUAUUUUGGAUCUAUGUUUAUCCCUUAUUUCUUCAGGAGUGUCAUAAAGAAGUACAAUUUCAUCAUUGUUGGGGUCAAUGCCUUUUUAAGGGUUAUCAUUAGCAUUAUCUUUAGAAGUCACCAAGUCUUUAGGGUUAUCCUUGAUUGAUUCUUAGGUUGAAAUUUGAUUGUCAAUUAUAUUCUGGUCAUACCUAGUAUGAUUUAUAACUACAUUAGAAGAUUCUUGGAUGACUUGUGAAUUUUGAUUAUAAACCCUAUAGGCUUUACUCAUAGUCGAAUAGCCUAGAAAGUACCUAAAUUAGAUUUAGUAUCAAACUUUCCAAGGUUCUCCCAUCCCUAAGAAUGUAGCAUUCACUGCCAAAAUUCCUAAAAUUAUGAAAGUUAGGUUUUCUCCUAAUCUAUAAUUCAUAAGAUGCCUUUUUUGUUCUAGGUCUAAGAAAAAUCCUAUUAGCAUAACAAAUAGUAUUAAUUGCUUCUUCCCAAAAUAGCAUAGAGAUAUUAUACAUGUGAAUCAUCAACCUAGUCAUCUCUUGUAGCACUUUCUUUUUUCUUUCAACUACUCCAUUCUAUUGCGAAGUUCUAGGGGUUGAAAACUUAUGUUUAAUUCCUUUUAACUCACAAAAGAGGUCAACAUCCACAUUGUCAAACUCUCUCCCUCUAUCACUCUUAAUCCUUACAAUUGGAUGACCAAUUUCCACUUAUAUUCUAUUAAAUAAAGACUUUAAAUAUUUUAUAGCCUUAGAUUCCCCCCUAAGAAAACUCACAAAGGAGUAUCUCGACAAAAUCAUCUACAUCCACAAUGACAUAUCUCUUGCCACGUUUACUUUUAGUUCAUAUUGGACCCAUAAGAUCCAUGUGAAGAAGAUCUAAAGGUCUAGUAGUCUUUAUCUUCUUAACAUUUUUGUGUGAACUCUUAAUUUGUUUUCCUUUCAUGCACUCAUCACAAAUGGGUUUAGGUUCACCACUAAGUCUAGGGAUACCUCUAAUUCUUUCAGUAUUCAUUAAGUGCACAAGAUUCCUAUAAUUUAUGUGACCCAGUCUUCUAUGCCAAAGCUUAGUAGGAUCAAGCUUAGCCUUAUUGCACAAAAAAGAUGUUCUAAAGCUAGAAUUUAUGGCAUAAAAAUUAUCAAUUGUCCUAUGCCCUAUGAUGACUAUCUUUUCCUCUUUAUUAAUUACCUUGCAUAAGUCUUGGUGAAAAUUCACUCUAUGGUCUUUGUCGCACAUUUGACUAAUGCUUAAGAGAUUUUCUUUAAGUCCUUCAACAUAAAUUACUUCAUCUAGUUUGAGCCAUCCAGGGAUAACUAUACCACUCCUGCCUUUCACUUUAGUUAGGUUUCCAUCUCCAAAAGUAACAAAUCCUACCAUCAAAGUUUUCUAGAGAAAUGAAAGCGGAUUUGUCUCAUUUCAUGUGUCUAGAGCACCCACUAUCAAGGUAUCAUUUACUAGAAAUUUAUAUUUAAGAGAAUUGAACACAACUUUACAUUCAGACUUAUCAUUUCUCAACCAAACUUGCUUAGUUCUAGGUGGUGACUUCGAGGAACUAGAUUAACUUCUAGGUUUCUGAUUGGUUUUAUUUCUUUUCCCAUCAUUCAAAAUGUUGUUUUUAAGGGAAUUAAAAUCAUUCAUAAGUCUAUUCAUUUGAGUUUCAAACCUUUCUAGAAACCUAGUGUAGCAUCAAGAUUGAGAGUGUCCAGUUUUCUUACAAUGUGUGCAUAGUGAUGUCUUUUUAGGAGAUUCUACUUGGUUAGGGGUAUCAUUCUCACCUUUGAUAAACAUGGUUUAUCCACUAAAGGGAGUUUCAUCUUUAUUGAUAUACCCCAAACAUCUUUGAUCACUAUGGGUGUUGCAUUUAUCAAGUAUUUCAUUAAGCACUUUAGUUUUAGGGUGAAAAUUUUCAUUCACAGAUGAAGAAGGCUUAUUAUUCUUGAUCUAUUGAGUGAGGACAUUAUUCUUCUCAAGGAUAGAAUGAUGCUCAAAUUCAAGAAAUCUAAUUUUCUCAAGUAAAUUAAAUUUUUCAGCACUAAGCACAUCAAUCUUAUUUUUAUUUGCAUCAAGAACUUUAUGAUUUGUCAUAUAACUCUUAAUUAAUCUUUCAUGCUCAAUAAAAAGAUUGUCAAAGAAUUCAACCAUUUGUUUAUCAGUAAACUCAUCAUCAUUAAUAUCACUAUCACUAUCACAAUAAGAAUUAUUCUUAUAUUCUAUAGAUGCAACAAAACUUAACAUGUCAUUGGGAUCGUACCUUGCAUAUUCACAAAUUGUAAAAGCACCGUCUUUAGAAUACGAGUAACUCCAUGUUGCUUAUAUAAACGUUUUAAUAUUUUUGGGGCUAGGACACUCUUAAGAGUAGUGUCCCAUGCCUCCAUACACUACAAGAAAAAGAGUCAUUAUUGACAUAUAUCCUCUUGACUUAAGAUAAUAUAUGUGAAGAUAGUCUAUUUAAAUGAACAAUUAUGACAUAUACAACUUUGUUUAAACCAAUAAUGACAUAUAUAAUAGUUAUUGCAUUUUUCCAUGACUUAUGAUGAUGCAACCAUGACAAAUAAUUUAUAAGUCAAUCUAUAAUUAAUAUGUUCAUAUGUCAAGGUAUCCAAAUGAAAUCAAUAUAUAUAUAUAUAUAUAUAUAUAUAUAUUAUUUGCUAAAUUUUCCUUGGUUUAAUGAUAUGCAAUCUUGACUAAAAAUUUAUUAGUCAAAGUAUAGUUAAUGUUUUCUGCCUAAAUAAAAGUAAUAAUGACAUAUAUGCAUUUGCUAAAUUUUUAUAUGGUUUAUAAUGAUACAACCUUAAUAGAAAUGUAUAAGUUAAUAAAUAUUUAAUAAAUUAAUAUGUUAAGAUUAGAAUAUUUGGUUGCGUCACUUUAACAUGAAUCCUAGCAUGCAUGGUGUCCAACUAGCAUAGUAGAAAUAGCCAGAGUAUAAGGAAACACCAAUUAUGGCACCAAUCAUGUAUACAACUCCAAAAAUCAAGGAUUGUGAUAAAAACAUGUUAGCAAAAGGGGUGACACACUAUUAUCAAAAGAAAAAUUAUUAAUUAAUAUUCAGGAACAUCAUUUGAUCAUGAAAAAUUACGACAACCCUCUUUGUUAUGUCUAUAUCACAAUACAAUAACCAACAAAAGUUAUGAGAUGUCAAAUGGUCUUGAAUUAAACAACAAUGCAGGCAUAAUGCAAACUUCUAGUCCAUAAUCAAAACAAGGCAUCUUUAAGAAUAAAUCCUAAGAAAAUAUUUAAAAAAAAAAAAGAAAUUGAUCACAAAAACACAUAAAAGACUUCUCGUCAAUGUCUAUAUCAACAUACCAAAGUUCAAGCAUUCAAAUAAACAACAUAUUCAAUUCAAAAUAUCCAAAAGUUCAAAAAAGUUUAGAAUUAGGCAAAAAAAAAAAAAAAAACAAUGUAAACUAAAUUUAAAAAAAAAAAAAAAAAACUAAAGGCCUUAUAAAUUCAUAAAAAAAAAUAACACAAGUCAUUUAAGAUGUUUAGAUCAUCCAAAAAUUUAAUUCAAGGGUAGAAAGCAUUCAUAAGAAUUUUUAGAACACUGUAAUUUAUCAAUUGUGCAUAUUCGAUUAUAUGCAAUAGGUGCGACUUUGAAAAAUCAUAUCUUCCUCAAUAAAGCGUAUUUUUUUUAAUAUUUUAUGGGUUAAAAUUCAAUUUUAAGAAAAAUCUAGAAAAAAUAUUCGUUUAAAUUGAAAAGAUUAAAGGUAAUUGAAUUUUACAAAGUUCUCUCAAGUGUAUAAAAGUAGACCUAAACAGAACAUGCUAAAAGAGAUUAUCAUAACUUGACUUUGAGAAAAGCUUUUUGACUCAAAUAACAUUCCAAAUAAGGAACAUUGUACAAUUUUUGGAAUUUUUUUUAAAACUUCAUAAAAUUAUCAAAACAAAUUUUAAAACUAAAGGGUCAAUAGCUAAGUGGAAGUUGGAAGGAAGGAUGUGCUUUUUUAAAAUAAAAGAAAAUCUUUUAUAUAGGGGUUCCAUCAAGUCCCCAUUCAAUAUUCAUAAGUUUAAUCUGUAUAUUUCCAUUAGCUUGAGAGUACAAGUUCAAACCUAUGUGGAUAAAAACAAAAUAUUUGAAAAACCAACAAAGGAGAAUUCAACUUAGAUUGAAAUGAGUUGCAUAAUUUCCAAAGAAAACGUGUUCUUUGCCUAAACCUAGAAUGAAUGUUUUUCUGAUGCUUUUUAUUGCUUUAAGUAUUUUUUGAAAACGACUUUAGAGGAAGUAAAAGAAACCAAGUGAUUUGAUGAUUCCUAAUCAAUAGACAGAAAAUAGGUUUUUUUUUUUUCUUAAAAGAAUUUUAAAAUAAGAGAAGCUCGGCUUGGAUCACCUUUUUUACUACUUUUCAUUUGGGAUCUAUUAGCCAAACUUAUAAUGAAAGAAAAUUCAUUUUUUAGUAAAAGAAGGUUUUGAAGAUAUGGAGUUUUCAAGGACACUAACAUAAAGAACAUGCAUGCAUGUAAGUCAAACCUUAUCAUUGAUAUCCAUCAAGACUAACACUUAAAGAUUUUUUUUUUAAUUUAAAAAAAAAUGAAUUACAAUAAAUUUACGAAACUAACAACAUCCUAAGAAUUUUGUAAAGCAAACUAAAAUCAAUAUGUNNNNNNNNNNNNNNNNNNNNNNNNNNNNNNNNNNNNNNNNNNNNNNNNNNNNNNNNNNNNNNNNNNNNNNNNNNNNNNNNNNNNNNNNNNNNNNNNNNNNUAAAAUCAAUAUGUCAAACUUUAACAUCCCAAGAAUUACCAUGUCCCAAAAAUAAGAAUUUUAAUCCAACAACCUAAACAACUAACAUGCAUUAUGACGAGAGAAUCUAAAAACCUAAGAAUUGCCAUGUCAAAGGUGAAAACUUCAAAUUCAAUAAUACAAUCAAAUACUAAAAAUUAAACAUGAGACAUGCUUACUGACAUUCUGGUGGUGGGCGCUAGGAUGAUGGCUCUUUUGCUGCGUCUUCUUCUCCAAAAAUUCUGAUUGUGGUCCUUGGAAAAAUUCUGAUCGUUGUCCCAUGAAAAAUUCUGAUCAUUGUACUCGAAUCCUUGUCCACCUCUCCAAAAAUUCAGAUCACAGUCCUCGCAAAAAUUAUGAAUGUUGUCCCUGUAAAAAUAAAAAUAAAUUAUGAACAGCCACCACUCUAGAAAUUCUAAUCAUCGUUCUCAAAAAUGGAGAAAGGACCGCCCUCUAUGUGCGAAUUUUUUUUUCCUUCUAGCACUUUGAAUUUCUUCCCCAACACGCUCAAACCUGCUUCUCAACCCCCACCUUGAAAACUCCACCAAAACGUUGAACGACACGAGCCAUCAAGCUAUUAGAAGAAGCAUCAUGGUCAUCGGUGUAGAUGACGGGGUUCGGGUCGGAGCUUUCUUGUUGGAUGGCUUUGAUGGCACGCCACAAGGCCCUCUCACCAUCACCACCAUCAUUGGUAUAUGGAUGGAAGAAUCCGAACCCCCGUCAUCCAUUGCUCCUGCCUUUGAUGAUCGAACGUGAUAUAUAACUCAAAAUUAAGGCUAUUGUACCCGAAAUUAGGCACCAUACCAGUACCUCAUUCGCCAAUGAUCUCUGAUUUUCUUACUUUCAGUGGAUGAAAUGAUCGAAGAUCUUGGAAAGUUGGAAAUGUUCCUCUUAAGUCUCAAUAACCCCCCCAAAUGUCGUGGCUUCCAAAAUUUGAUGUGGAUUAUUUCCUCUCAACUUUCCAGAAUGUGGUUUGGAACUCACGAAAUGGUGUUCGUGUGUCCUUCUAUGGUGCAAAUAGCAAGCAAGCAUCCUCGCGGUCCAAAUGGCAAUGUUGGAUUCAGUAUGGUCACAAGGUGAUGUCCUCUGAUGAAUAAAGGGGGUUUUGGAUGGUGUGGUUUAUCGUAAGGAGACCCUCAAAAUCAAAUCUCCCGUCCUUGCUCCUCAUUUUUUCUCCCAUUUGUACCCCGUUUUUAGCCUUCUUUAUUUAUUUUUUAUUUUUUUUACGUCCCCUCUGCUUCGAAACCCCCCUUGAAAAGUCUCUUAAGCCGUCCGCUUCAUCUCAUUUCCUUCUACUCAGAUCCUCACUUUCCCAUGCAGCAACCCGAUUCUCCAUGGUGCAACCCUAGUCCCCAUGAUGCGGGCCCCCCUCCUCUCAUCUUCUCUUGCUUUCAGUAUAAGUUUUCUCACAUUUUAAAAAUUCUGGUCAAUCCUUAAGGAAUGUGGUAGCAACAUCAAUAUUCUCUAGUAUUUCCAUAUCUUCCCACAAUGCAGCCCGUCCUCUUGCUUUCAAAGUCACCUAAUCCCCAUACAAAAAAAAAAAAAAAAAAGAAUCAAAGAAAACGAGGAGGAAGCAUGCAAGAAUAAUAAAUAAAUAAAUAACUAAAAUCGUGCAAAUUUUAAAAAAAAAAUCAAGAAAAAUUAGCCACAUGCAAGUAUAGCAAAAUAUUAAUUCAUGCAAUCUUAAUAAUAAUAAUAAUAAUAAUAAUAAUAAUAAUAAUAAUAAUAAUAAUAGCAAUAACAAUGAUGAUGAUGAUAAUAGAAACAAUAAUAAAAAAACAAUUCUAAUGAUGAUAAUAAUAAAAAUAAUAACAACAAAAAUAAAUGAUGACUAUAAAAAGGUAAAUAAAAAAUAAAUAAAUAAAUAUAAGUACACAACACAUAUUCAUAAAGAAAAACAUGCAAGCUAUGUAAGUCAUGCAAGCUAUGCAAGUUACGUGAGCCAUGCAAAUGAUGCAAGCUACAUUUGUCAUCUAAAUGACUUAGGGGUGUUAGGGUAAGCCUAAGCGGACUAAGUGCACCUAAACAUGGCAAGUGUUCUUAAUGGGCCUAAAUAUGUCUAAGUGAGCUGUCAGAAAAGUGUACUUAGUAUCCAGAGUGGCUCAAAGAGGUAAGCUAUAUGAGUAGCAAUGGGCCACAAAAAACUACUAUAGAGUUCUAAAAGAGCACUUAAUCAGGGCAUGUGCUAAGAGGAUAAAAUGGAAGGUCUACACCUUGCAAGAUAUUAAGGAUAAUCAAUUUAAUUUAUUUUAGGCAAUUCAAAUAGAAUAUUGAAUAUAAAACUAUAGACAAUGAGGUACAAAUUUUUUACAUGGAAAACCCCCACAAAUUGUAGAGAUAAAAAACCACGAGAUCUAAGACCUACCAAUCUAAAUCCAUUAUUCGAAGUCAAGUUACAUAGAUUUACCUGGACGUUUUACCCUAAAGACUUACUCUACAACACCUACAACUUGAUCCAUGUCCGCGACGCAACAAUUCCCUAUUGCUCCAUAGUAAAUCCUUCGGUUUCUCAAAAGGGAUUACAAUCUUUAACUAACAAUUCAAAGAUUCAAAUCCUUGAAUUAAAGAACAUGAAUGGUGUGUCAAUUAGAUUUUUCUCACAAGAAGUCCCUCCAAAGAAUAGCAGGUCUCUCAACAAUCUUUUAGGAUCUCUAUGAUCUUUCUAAUCUCCGAUUUGUAACCAACAAGGGGUUACAAGAGAUCUAUUUAUAGGCAAAAGCCAUAAGAGUUUUGGUAUCCCAAGUUUUCAAAUUAGAGUUUAAGUUAAAUUCAUUCAAAAUAGGUUUUUAAACUCGAUAGGACUGGCAUGACUGCUUGAGCAAACUUUGACCACUUGAGCUAGCACUUUACUUGAGCAGUCCUUACCUCUUGUAUAGGUUGAUUGCUUGAGUAGGAUUAAUCACUUAAGCCGUCCUUAGUACUUGAGAGAGAUUAACCGCUUGAGUGGCCUCUACUUUUUGAAAAAUAAUUUUUAAAAUCAUUUUAAGUUUAAAAAUGAUACCAAACCUUUUUAUACCUCAAAUAAGCCUUAUAUUCCAUAAGCCAAACCUUUUUAGAUGUACCAAUGACUUUUCGAUUGGAUGAAUAGCAACCCUUGAUCUUCGAUGGAGAGCAUGUCAUUAUCUAAAAAGACUUUUAUGACCAAAAAUUAAUUGGAACAAAAUUGCCGAUAAAUACACAAGACUUAAUGUCUUAACAAUUCAUUCCCCAUCCUUCAAGCCCAUGACUUAUUCAUUUUUCCCUUGUUUUGAUCCCCCCAUGCUUCUUAAUUUUUAAAUAUUUCUUUAGGCAUAUUUGAUCCCUUCCUCUUCCUUGGUUAAAAUUGAUUCUAGUAACUUCUAUUUUUUUUUCCCUCAUUUGAACACGAAAUUAAGCUCAAAAUAUAUGUUAGAUAUGCAACUAAGGUCUUAGCACUUAAUUUGGGUGUGUGGAUCCCUUUAUAUAGUAUAAAUCAUACCAUAUAUAUGUCAUUAGAGUGUAUAUUUUGACCACAAUCAAUAUCCUAUUAUAGGGUUGUGCAUCUUGGUUCAUUAAAGCAUAUGGGGACUAUUCCCCUUAUACCUGGCUAUGAAAGCCUAAGAAUGAUUGACAUUUGCAUCUGGAUGCCUAGUUGGGUGCAUGUAGCACUAACCGUGAGUCCAUACACUUAUCACUUGAGUGAUUCUACCCAAACUUAGUCAUUGUUACUAAUGAAUAAAGAAAAAUCAAUAUUUUAUUAAAAAGAAUUAAAUAUUUUGUUUCUUUUUGUUCAGUUAAAAAUAAAUUAAAAGCUUUUAAAAAAAAUUAAAUUAAAAAGCAUUUUUUUUUUUUGAAAAAAAAAAACACACAAUCAAUCUAAAAUCUAAAAGAAAAUUACUUUCAAUAACAAGCUUUUUAAAAAAAAAAGAAAAAAGAAAAGAAAAAGGCAAACAAACAAACAAACACCACUUUACUUAUUUUUUUUUUUUUAAGAAAUAUUUGGCUAAAAGACUUCAAAUACUUCUCAAAUCAUAAGAAUGACCUUUCUUCUUUAUUCUUUAAAAAAAAAAUGAAUCAUUUUGGAUAAUAUUACAUUUUUUUUUCUUUUUUUUUUCUCAAAAUAACAUUUCUCCCUCAUCCCCCAAUCGUUUCCUUCUCAUUCUUCCAAUGAAUUUUCCAAGUUCUUUCCUAGUGAAUUUGGGGGCGUGGUUCAAAUCGAAGAAAUGAUAAAAAUCGAUCACAACUCUCAUCUUUUUUUCUUAUUCAAGAUCUUUCAUUUGUUUUUUUUUUUUUUUUUUUUGAGUUGGUUUUUGUUGUUUUUUGCAGUCUUCAUCAAGAUCCUGCAUUAUCCUUUAUAUGUGUGUGUGUUUGGUUAUUGUUUUUUGUUAAUGGUUUUUUUGUUGUUGUUUUUUGUAGUUACUUUUUGUUGGAUUUUCGUGUGUGUUUCUUUCUUUCUUUUUUUUUUUUUUUUUUUGAAUGUUCAACUAGGAUUUUGGUUCAGGUUUUUUGGUUGGGAUUUUAUUAGUGGAAUUUUUGUUAGGAUUUUUUGAGGUUGUCCUUUAGUGGUAAUUUUUACUAUUUUUUGUUAAAUUUUUUUUGUAGUUUCAUUUAAACUUCUAAAAUGUGAAGAUGAGAUCACAUAAUCCUUUUAUUUAAUGUUUAAGUCCAUAUAAAUAUUCUAAUUAAGAACUUAAUUAUAAUUAAGUUUUUUUUUGUAGAUAAAAUGUUAAAUUAACUCUAAUUAAGUUUUUUUUAAAAAUAAAACUUAAUAACAACAAAGUUUAGAUCAUUAUAAUCGAGUUCUUUAUAGAUGAAAUGGAAAAAUUGACCGUAGUUAAAUUAUUUGUAAAUGAAUUUAAUUCUAGUUAAGUUUUUUUGUAAAUCAAACUUGACUCUUGUAUUUUUACUUAAUAUAAAUAAACAUCUAAAAUGAAAGCAAGAAUGAGUAAUUUGUAAGAUAAGAUAGUUACGAAAAGAUAAUGAUUUUUAUAACAAACAAAAUGAAGAAGGAUAAAAGUAUCCAAAAAGAGUUAUUUCUCGACAAAAUUAAAGUGUGAGGGGUCAUUUUUACAAUUUGAGAGUUAUUUUGAGUCAUGUGUCCAAAUAACCCCUUUUUUUAAAAAAAAAUUCCAAACCAAUGUUAAUGUCUCACAUGUAAACAUUGAGAAAUUAUUUAAAUUUGUAAUAUAGUUUCAUAUUGUCAAGGCCAAAGGGCUAUAGAUAAAUGAUGGAUUCAGACUUGGAACUUCUUUAUUUAAAAAUAUAUAUAAUUAAUUGAUAAUCAGUCAUGCUAGACUUAUUAUGUUUAUUUAAUUUUUUGUUCCCCUAAAAUAAAUCUCUCGCACUUUGACCCUUGUUAUUUCAUAGUUAUUACUGGUGCUCAAACUCUUGAGCUAGGGUCCAUGAGUGAUGUGAUCUAAUAAUACUCUUCCUAGAGGUGGUGAUUGACCUAUUUGCCUAUAGAACCUAGCACUUGCACUAAAGAGUAUUGAAAGUGAACCUUGGCUAUGCUUCUCCAAAGGUUUAAGUUAGAUCUUAACUGAAUGAAGGUCGACAAGCAUGGAUUACCUACGGCUUGAGAUGAGAGAUGGAGGUUGGGAGAGAGUUGAAAGCUAAUUGAAUUAGAGUGUGUGGGAAGAGACAUAGUUUAUGUUGCUACUCCAAGGUAGGUUGACUAAAGGGUUGAGGUCAACUCUUUCUUCAUGAAGGAACUAUUAGUUGGGUAGGCCUGUGUUUGGCAAUGCUCAAUAGAUUGUUAGGAAUAUAUAUGCCCUUGACAAAGAGUUGACUUCCAUAUUGAGUCAUUGGUGUAAGAGGUCGAGUAAGAAAGAGCAAAAGGAACUAGGCCCUAAAUGCUUAGGUCAAGGCAAGUGAUGCUUUUGAAAAGUUGUUUCCCGAUUACUAUUAUUUAAGAUUUAUGGCCUUGAUUACUAUUAUUCCUUAGUAUUCAAUAGAAAUAAAAUAUUACAAAAUCAAACAACUUAUUACCCAAUAUUAUUAAGCUCUACUUAAUUUUAAAUUCUAUUUAAAAUCAAUUCAAAAAAACAAACAACACCUGAAUCACAAGUGAAAUUUCUCAUUUUAAAAUUGAUUUAAAAACCUUUAAAAAAAUUAUCCCUUUUUUUUUUAUUUGUGUUAUCAAAUUUUAAAAACUAAUAAAAAGUAAAAAUGUAUAACAAGUCUGAUUUUUAAAAUUGUUUGCAAACUUUGGUUAAAAUAAACAUUUAAAAAUAAAUAUGUCACUAAUGACAAAAAACGAUUUUAGGAGGUUUAAGAAUGGGUCCACCGAUCCCACAAAGGGUGGUUGAAGAAAAGCCGACUCUAGAAAAAGCCUCAGCAUUCUAGGAGACUUCCUUCUAAUUUGAUUCAUUGGGUCUAUUCUACGUGUUCUACUACCAAAUUGGAACUAACCUAAUGCCUUUUAGUUUGAUAACAAGACCUUCCAUCCAUUCAUGUCCACAAGCUUCAUUUUUCUUUGUGAUACUUUUAACAUAUAAUAUAUAGAAUAUAAACAAUUAACAUUUAUAAAAAAUUUUACAAGUUUUAUUAUUGAUAAAGAGGAUAGAAAAUAUUUCAUUUUUCUAUGCAAUCACAAGGAAUCGACAUUGUGUUGGUACAUGUGAGAAUGAGAAGAUUUUUAAAAAAUUAGGUAUUUAAAAAUAUAUAUAUAUAACAAUUAAAAGAUUAUUUAUAAAUUUAAAACUCUUCAUGAAGAGCUAAUAAGAAAUUAUCUUUUGAGGAGAAAAGUUGAAUUUAACUAUUCAAUUUUUAAGUUGAAUUACAUUAUAAGCAUUGAAUCAGAUGUGUAAGUUCUUAAGACAAUUAAAAUUGACAUCCCACGUUGUAAGUAUCAACCGACAAACUUAUGGUGUCUGUUUGGUUUCAAAAAUUAUCAAAUUUGGCAUAAUUUUCAUGAAUUUCAUAAAUCUAAAAUCUAAUUUAGAAAUCAAACUUAAAAGAUUCCCUAUUAAUUAAGAAAAAUAGAAAAUCUUACAUUACCUAUACAUCAAAUUCUUUAUUUACUCCAAUCUUAGAGUCUAGAUAGUCAUUAAAAUAACUCUAGGGAUAAUAGAGAGAAGCCUCACAUUUAAAAGAACUUCAUAAAUGAAAGAUCACUCAAAAUAUUUAGGAAAACAAUAUCAUAUCAAUUAAUCAAACUAUCAAACCAUUGAUAUGUUAACUAAUAAGUAAGGACAUAGUUCUGCGUCAGUUAUGAGAAGAUGAAAACCUAUUGCGAAGAAAGACUUCGAUUUUGCAACCUUGGGUAGACUAGACAUAGCAUUGCUGGUACAUGCUGAUGAACUAGCUNNNNNNNNNNNNNNNNNNNNNNNNNNNNNNNNNNUUUCUUGACAAGAUUGAUCCUGGGAUGCAAAUCAUUGCAUUACUAGGUGAUGCUUAUGAGGCCACAUCCUCGUUAUGCUUGCUGGAGACUUUAACAGCAUGCCACCAAGUACACUGUAUCAGUUUCUGGCCUCAUCUGAAAUGGAACAUCAAUCACAACAUAGAGGCCACAGAUACCAGCAGAAUGAAGAUGCAUCCAGAACAAGGCCAUUCAUGCAUACAUGGAGCAAUGAACAAUUAAGGCCCGUCACUGGCAGCACUGGAGUUAUCUCAUAUGGUCCUUGUCAAACUCCUAUUCUUGGCUUCUGUGCAUAGUACCACUGGAAGUUUUCCCACUCCAAGAUCAGAAGGUUGAAAUAUUCUCAAGCAAGGACUUGAUCUCCAGGUUGACCUUGACUAUUGAUACUGCUUCCAUUGGACCUCUUCCUCUCUCGGAUUCAUUCAUCACUCAGAUGGGUACAAAUGACUACUGUUCAAUUCCUCAACAACUCAAAGAUCACAAAUGCAAGGGAUCAUAUGGAACUGGAUGGCCUACAGAAAGAGAUGGUGAAAGAACAGAGAAGGUGGACUCGUUAACAACUGAAGCAGAAAGGCUAAAGACUUCUUUACUUUCACAUACGCAAUCAAAAGAGGAGGCUAAGUAAGUUGCCUCUAGUCUGGGUGGCACAACUUAGAUGGAUGGCAUUGGAGAUAUGCUUGAAGUGAGUUUGAAAGAGGUUAUUUAUGCACAAGCACAACAACAUGAAUUGUAGUUUAAGCCAAAACCAAUCAGAAUGUAUAAUGGUCACCGGAUAUGUGGUUUUGGUAACACCAGCAUAAAAGUGGAUCCUCUAAAUCAACAGGUACGUGUUUGCUCAGCAUGAGAAAAGAUGGUCCUUGACCAUAGAGCAAUUCCAUUUCUGGAUUCCCUUGAGGAAUCUAACUUAUGGGUUUGGGAGUGACAGCAGGCCUAGUUCAUGGAGACUUUCAAAUGACAAUCUUGUAUCUCAUCCCAUUGAGGAUAGAGUGAUUGGUAUUCUUGACUGGGAGUUCAUCUAUAGCUUCAUUGGCAUCGUGUUGGGACCAAAUAUGCAAUCCAGGAGUAUAGCUUUCAGAUGAUAGUUGUUUUAAGUCAGGGCAAUCAGUGCAGUUACACGUUUCAGUAUGGCAAUGCUAGCAGCUAAGCGUAAAAGGGUCAUGGCCUAUGCUCUGGCUUAUCAGUGGCAGGUGGGAUCUAGGUAGCAGGUUGCUCCUUCUGGGCUUGAACCAGAUGAAAGCAAUUGGGAUGUGAUUCGGUUGGAAAGAUAAAAACAAGCGGGAUAACUCCUUCCCCACUAAAUCAGCAAUGUUUCAAGAGACAUCCAAUACAGUUUCUACCAGAUAUUACGCGUAGAGCAAGAAGUGGUUGGGGAUGACACAUCAACCUUGCAAUGUGUUCUUAACUCUGAUAUUGAAAGAACCCAACUUUUGGCAGAAAAAGCCCAUAUAAAAAAGACUAGCUCCACUCAUUUUUAAAGAGGUAACUAGGAGGGUUCACUUGGAGAAUAUCUGGCAAGCAAUACUCAAAGCAACUUGGAGAACCCCAUGGAAAUAAUUAAAGAAACUGGAAAUUUCUGCUUUGAGGUUCCACUGAGCACUGGUCAAUAUACAUGUGCUGUAGUCUACAAGGAAGGUGUGACUAAGUUGAAAGAAGUUGGACGCAACCUUUCCUAGAUAGAGACAAUUAGUUUUCCUGUGUCAAGAAUACUGCUGCCCACAUAUUGAAUUCAACAUUUGCUCCCUGCUGAUAUUUAGUCCUUUUUCUGGUCUCUUUAUUCUGAAGCAAAGAUGGCUUUGCAGAACAUAGGUGCUGGGAAUAGUGAUGAUUCCUUUUACAGGUAUGAGAUGCCCAAAAUGGUUGCCAAAAUAGAGGGUCGGGGAAAUGGUAUUAAUCAGAAAAGUUCAGCUUUUGCUCAAUGAGUUCCUGGACCUGGCAUGUGAGUAUCCUGAGCUGAAAACACUAAGAAGUUGCGACUUGUUGCCUGUCAGUUGGAUGUUUGUGACAUGGAAUCCCAUAAACCGAAUACCCAUGAGACAAGCAUUAAAGAAUUCAGAUGCUUGCCUUCUAGCUUACCAUUCUCUUUCUAGGCCUAUGAAAGAUAGUGGAAAUACACAAGCUGUAGUGGAGGUCUAUCUCAGUGAGAUGGAGGGUGUCCUAAAGAUUUCAUUACUUGUUUUUUCGCAUGGAUUUCUAUAAGUUCAAGGGCUUCAUAUGGAUGAAAAAUGGGACAUGGGAGCAUCAACAGGUGAAUUUUCUCAUGCAGGUUGCAGCUAACCGGUUAAGACUGCUAGAGGUUAAUCACUCAUAUUUCCAGUUCUUUGUUUCACAUGCUGAAGUAGAAGAGAAUACUGGGGAAACAAUCAAACCCGGUGACUAAGGUUUUCUUGAAGUUUCGAAAAUAAAAAAUGGAGCUCAUAAUGAACAAGAGAACACAGUAGUUGAGCUGCAGAAUAAAAAAGUGAAUUGUGAGAAAAUGGAUGAGUCAGUUAUAAUGUUGAGGACUUGAAGCUAGAGAAUGAGUAGCAGCACAGGAAAUCUGAUCUGGAACUGGACCUGACUACUCUACCACAAGCUUCUGUUGAUGAUUCAAGUUGGGAUUCUGAGGAACUAGAGUUGAGCUGGAGUGCCUUGGUUGAUGAGGUAGUGCGCCAAAACCAAGUGAGCAUGGACUCUGAAAUCACUACGGUAAGUUCUUCUCCAGACUACCAGCAAUAUGCAUAGGUCUCCUCAUGCAACCACCAGCGGUGCAGUCUCAGUCCUAUCCCUGGGCCUCACUCCUGUAUGGCUACCUUGGUGCACACUGUCCUCUCCCAAACCAUUUCUGUUGUUUCCUUGUGAUCUUACAUGUUUUAAAUUGGGUUUUCAAAAUCUUUUUCAUUCAAAUAAUCUCAGCUUUAAAAAUUCAUCCUUAGACAUUUUAGGCAUUAAAAUACCGACAUUUAAUAAACACUUGCAACCAUUAUUCUCCUAGCAUGCACCUUCUUAAUUUUCUUUAAUUUUCAACAAUUUUCUUGAUUUUCUCUAUUUUUAAUAAAUAUGAAUAAAUUCCAUAAUUCCAAAAAUAAUGGAAUUCCUUCCAAAUUCCUGUGAUUCCUCUAUUAUCAUUAGAGUUAGAAUUUAUAGGAUUAGUUCAUGCAAAAAUAAAAUUGGGCCUUGUUGGGAGCUCAACAUCCAUGAUAUUUUCCUUUAUAAUAAUCCAAGUGAAAUGCAUGUUAUGUAUUUAUUGACUUUGGUCCGAUUUGUAAAGUGUGUGAGAUUAUUUGCUAUGGUACACUAACCUUGUUUCUUUGAGGCACUUUUCUUGCUGCACAGAUAUGCUCUCAUCUCUACCUUGUCUAUUUAUUUAUUCCUCAUUAUCAUGCAUGAUUUGUUUUAGUCCAUGACUCUUGGUCCUUGGUAUCCACCAAUUAACCAGUCAAUUGCCAUACUUGCUUUAACUUGAUUAAUAGAAACCUAAUUUUAGGGCUUAGAGGAGUGCAAUGACUUAUCACCGUACCUUCCUGAUAGGUAACUUGACCACCGGAUCCUAACUCAGUUUUCACAAACUUGCUUUUCCCUUCUAAGAGUCACAAUUAGGAUUUUAUUUCUUAUUUUGAUUUCCUUUCUUAAAAAUAAUAAAAAAUAACUGGUGACUUCAACUUUUUUUUCCUAAAAAUCAAAAUUUUCACAAAUAAAAAGUGAGUCAUGCUAUCGAGUGAGAAUGCAUGUGAAAAAUGCAAGUCCACGAGAUCCUAUACUAGGGCAUAUUUCCCCACUUUGAGCUUAUCAUAUUCACAUCAUAUUCAAUUGGGGCUUCAUUAGGGACAUGUUUCUAUUCUUGAGACUAUCAAACCUCUUGUCAUUCUAGUCAUCCUUUUGAGAUUUGAUUUGGAGUAUUUCAUUUUAGACAUGGACAAAUUUAUAUUUUGAUUUCUUAGUGCAUUAUCAUUGAGUUGGAGACCUCACGAUUACCAUAGUUUCUUCAAGAGUAUUUAUACCCAAUUAGAUAAGUGAGAAUGUUUAUGCUUUCGAUGUAGUUGACGAGUUUAGUUUCUUCUCAUCGAAAAUUUUUCUUGAGCAAUAUGUUGAUAUCUCAUCAGAGUGUCAAAUUUGAUGUCACCUUAUUGAGAGCAUUUGAUCAGCAUCUUGUUUUUUCUCAGUUGAGCAUCUCAUAUGUCAUGCUGACAAUUAUAGUUCAAGUGUUGGACAAAGUUUUGAUAUGACUCUUAUUGUUAUAUUAAUCAUUAUUUGAUAUUAGGGCAUACCUCCUUACAGUUUUACCUUGGUGGAUGAUUUGUCAUUUUUAACCUUGCACAUUGGGCCAUACCCCUUUCAUUGAGAUUAUACAAUCUUCUGUUGACUUUGUGGCCUCUUGAUUCAUUUGCUAAUUCCUAUGAAUUAUCAUCUUAGGCCUGUUCUCCCUUUCAUUGAGUUCAUUAUCUCAAUUGCACCUUCUCUUAAGUCCUUUAGUUGUUUUGGCUAUAGAUUAUACUCCUUUGUUCCCAUUUAUGUUAGGUGUUCUCAUUUGUAAUCCUCGUACUCACCCUUCUUUCAUUUUGUUCAGGACACACCCCUUUGACAUGCAUGUUUGUGGCAUCCUUUCAUUUUGGUUUCCUUUGUGGCAUUUUUUCCUUUAAGCAUCAUCUGGGGCAUACCCCUUCACAGCCCGAAGUUGUUCAUUAUAUUCCAGUUUAGAGUUUAUCAUCAUUUUAGUUUCAUUUGUGGCAUUCCUUUUAUUUUGAUUUCAUUUGUUGCAUUCUUAUAUUUGAGUAUCAUUUUGGGUAUACACCUUCUUUUCAAUGAGUUGAUCAUCUCUAUCUUUACUCACCUUUAAGUGGUUCAACUUGGAGUCGCAAAUCAUGAUUUCCAUUAAGUAUUCAGAGCCCAUAACUCGAAGCUAUUCAUUUUAUUUCAAUUCAGAGUUUAUUAUAUUUCAGUUUUCAUUUACAUCAUUCCAUCAUUCUAGUUUCGUUUGUAGCAUUCCUUUAAUUUCGAUUUCGUUUAUGGCAUUCCUCUCUUUGAGUAUCAUCUGAGGCAUACCCUAUUUUAUUUAGUGAGUUGAUCAUCCUUAUCUUAGUCACCCUUAGUGGUUUAACUUGGAGUUGUGAAUCAUGAUCUCAUUUAGGCAUUUAGAGCCUAUAGCCUAGAGCUGUUCAUUUUAUCUUAGUUAAAAGUUUAUUAUCUUGUAGUUUUCACUUAUAAUAUUCCUUCAUUCCAGCUUUGUUUAUGACAUUCCUAUAUUUGAGUAUCAUUUGGGGCAUACCCUCUUCUAUUCAGUGAGUUGAUUGUUCCUAUCGUAGUUAAAAUGUAUUUUUAAAUUUUAAAUAAUGUUAUUGGAUGUCACACAUUAUAUUAUACAUGUACUAAUUUAUUUAAUAAAACAACGUCAAAAUUUCUAUUAUUACUUUUUAUACCAUUUAUUUACAUUUUUUUCUCAACAUUUUCAUAAGUUUUAAUCAAUUUUCAUCUCACCAAUAUUUUGUGUCAGAAUAUCCAUCAAUAUUUCCCAAUAUAUCCUUAAAAACCAAUCUAUAUAUAUAUAUAUAUUGGAUAAUAAAAAAAGGUGGCUAAAAAAUAUUAAAAUGUUAAAACUAUUAUGAUUUAAAAAAGUAUGUUCUCUAUAAAUAUUUUAGGAAACUAAAAAAAAUAAUCAUAAAAUUGUUUUGUCAUUGGCUAGAUCAUAUUUAUCAUAUAACUAUGGUAAAAAGAUUUCAUAUUCAUAAGGCAAAAAUUAUUUUUGGAACAAAUUAUGUGUGGUAUUACUAUUGACUAUAAUAACACUAUUUUAGUGGGUAGUAAUUUUUAUAGAAAAAUUGUUUAUGAAAAUUCACUUUUUUUUUUCUUUUUUUACAGGUAAAUUGCUUUUGUUACAAAGUAUAUUAGUUGAGCAUUUGCAAUAGUUUAAAUCCAUCACAAUAAUAUUUUUCUCGACAAGUAUUUGUUGUUGCAAUUAUUGUUGGUAAAUAUUUGAAUAUAAGCGAUAGAAAAUUCAAUUAGUGACGAAAUAGGUGUAUUAGAAAUUUGUGAUAGCCUAAAUUCAUCGCAAAAGUAAAUAUAAAUGGAUUGAUAAUACUUAAUGUUUUGGUAAUGUGUUUAGAGCCUACAGCUCGGAGUUAUUCAUUAUAUCUUAGUUUAGAGUUUAUUAUCAUUUCCAUUUCAUUUAUAGCAUUCCUUUAUUACAAAUUUGUUUAUGGAAUCCUUAUCUUUAAAUAUCAGCUAGGGUAUGCCCCUUUCUUUUCAAUGAGUUGAUCAUCCUUAUCGUGGUCACCCUUAGUGGUUUGACUUGGAGUUGUGGAUUGUGAUCUCCUUUAGGCCUUUAGAGCCCAUAGCUUGGAGUUGUUCAUUAUAUCUUAGUUCAAAGUUUAUUAUCGUUUUCAUUUUGUUUGUGGCAUUCCCUCAUUUUGAUUUCAUUUGUUGCAUUCUUAUCUUUGUGUAUCAUCUGGGGUAUACCCCCUUCAUUGAGAUAGUUAGAUCUUCAUUUUCAAUGAGUUGAUCAUUCUUAUUUUAGUCACAUUUUAGAGGUUUGACUUGGAAUCGUGGAUUGUGAUCUCAAUCCCUUAGGAAAACCCACAGUCGAUAAUAUUCAUUUCAUCCACAGCCUUAAGUUGUUCAUUACAUCAUAACCCUGAGCUAUUAAUUACAUCAACAACCCUGAGUUGUUCAUUACAUCAGAACUCUAAGUUGUUUAUUCCUUCACAAGCUUGAGCCUUACAUUAUUUUGGCUACCCUGAAGUGGUUUGACUUGGAGUUUGCGUAUCGUACUCUUCCUUUCGACUAAUUUUAGAGUGUCCAAAGCCCCCAUCUUUUAAGCGUUGAAAGCCUACAACCUUAAGUUGUUCAUUGCAUCACAACCUGAAGUUGUUCAUCAUUUUUAGUUAUCUUUGAGUGAUUUAACUUGGAGUUAUGCACCACACUCCCCUUUCAGCUAAAUUUUGGGCAUUUGAAGCCCACAUUUUCGAGUUAUUCACUGCAUCACAACCCUGAGCUAUUCAUUACAUCCGCAGCCUUGAGUUGCUCAUUAUGUAUACAUUCAUAAUACCUUGUCAUAUUUUGUAUGAAAAGUUAUUCUUUUACCUAGUUCAGUGAUCUUGAGUUCUAAGCUUACCGCAUCAUGUGUUAGGACAAAAUUUCUAGUCCUUUUUAGUUCUUUGGCAUAGUUCACUUCAUUCCAAUCGUUACUCUUACUUCUACUCAUAUUCCUUACAUUAGUGAUCUCUAUUAAAGAGGGGUAUAUUUGUAGACCCUUCAUUUUAUCCUCCUAACACUUGUGAUACUUUAUGUUUUCCUAAGCUUCUCUCUUACCCUAUGGUUGUCCCUAGGUGACCCAUUAACACUCGUAGAUUUUUUUUUUUCCUAAGCUACCUUUAGGGAACCUUUGUUGAGGGGCUCAUCUAGACCCACAAUGUGACUUUGACAGCUUCUCAAGUAAGAUUUUAGGUUAGACUUCACUUAGAUUUUUUUCUAGGAUAGGGUCACUUAGAUCUUUUUUAUGAUAGGAUCACUUAGACAUGUCCCUAAGCUUAGUUCACUUAGGUUGGUUUUCUUGAGUUUGAUUGCUAGGUUUUAGGUUUAGGUGAGUUUUUGACUUAAUUUCAAUAUUUGAAUGCAUGGGGUGAGUAUCAAUAUUUAGUUAUGUGAGUUCGAUGUGUCGAUUUUCUUAUUAUCUAUUGCAUUAAGAUUAAUAUUUGGAUUUUGAUCGCAUGCGUUUGAUCAUUUUUUUUUUUUUUUUUUUUUAUUUUAGAACAUUUAUGUGAGACUAAUGUUGUGACUUUUAAUUGCUUGAAUUGAUGUUUAAUCUUAAAUAUGCAUACAAUUGACCUUUAAUUUUUAAUUCCAUAAUUUUAAUUUUUAAAAAUUUUCAAUUUCAUGACUUUUACUAAUUUUAAACUUUAUUUUAAUUUUGCAUGAGAUUUGAAUGUAUACAUUGGAGAAGAUCCCUUAGUGUACAUGACUUCCCUCUAAUAGGAUGGAGAUCAAGACACUUUGGAGAUCCUUUUUUAGUUGAAGUGAUACAACCUGUAACCUACGUGUGAACAACAUGGACCCAUUGACCUUCUACAAGAUGCACAAUCUACACAAAAGGAAAUGAGACAUUUAUGCAACACAGAUAAAGGUUUCUUUCCUAAAAGAAGUACAGGCUGCCAUAUGAUAGAUUAGGGCUUUGGACUGUUAAAGAGAAGUGAUGCAUGAUUUUUUAUUUUUUAUUUUCAGAAAGAAACUUACAACACGCAUAGGAUUCAUGGGGCCACUUUCUAAAAAGAAAAGGGAUUCUUUCUUUUGGAUGAGAAUGUAGCAUAAAAGGUGAGGGCCACUUUGGAGAGAAAAAAAAAAAACCACACAGCUUCAUGGAGAGGAGAGGGCAUAGUCUGCCAUUGAAGGAGAGUUGACAACCACGUGUUCCUUGAGGAGGGGAUUCUCUCCACACAACACGCAUUGCAUCCUAAGGAGAGGAGGGUCUUCACACGUUGCCGAUCAGAGAGAAUACACAUGCACAUGGAGGAUCACUUACAACCAUAAAUAAUAGCAACUCAUCCACAGCCCCACACACAGCCGUGCAUAUUGGAGAAGCAGUAAGCUGCCACUUCAAGAUUUACCAUUGGUAGCCCGCACACAUCGUUUGGAGAAGGUAAGUCUUUUUUUUUUUUUUUUUUGUUUCAAUUCUUAAUUUUCAGUUUGUAAGCUAGUUUUCUUUAUAUUUGUUUUUAUUCCAUUAGAUUGAAAGUGGGAAUUAUUAAUCUUAGUUUUGAGUCAUCCUAUAUAGUUUAGGUGUUUUAAGAAUUCUAGUUUACAAGUUUAAUUGACCUCAUCUAAUCAAAUUCAUGUUUUUUUUAAUUUGUUUUAACUUAAUUUGGUUCAUUUUAAGUAGUUUAGGUAUCUUUAUAAUUUUAGCUCAUUAAUAAAAUUGGUCCCAUGUUUGAAAGUUCAUAUUUUUAGUUUGCUUUAAUUUAAUUUGGUUCAUUUUAAUUAGUUUGGGUACUUUUAUAGUUUUAGUUCAUUAAUAAAAUUGAUUCCAUGUUUGAAAGUUAAUGUUUUUAGUUUACUUUGAUUUAAUUUAAUUCAUCUAUUUAGUUUAGACACUUCUAUAAUUUUUGGUUCAUUAAUAAAAUUAAUUCUAUGCCUGAAAGUUCAUGUUUUUAGUUUUCUUUGAAUUAGUUUGGCUCAUUUUAAUUAGUUAAGUACUUUUAUAAUUUUAGUUAUUCUAUGUUUGAAAGUUCAUAUUUUUAGUUUACUUUAAUUUAGUCAAAUUCAUUUUAAUUAGUUUAGGUGUUUCUGUAAUUUUAGUUCCUUAGUUGAAUUGAUCCUAUCUUUUUUUAGUUUUUAUUUUAAAAUCAUUAAUGUUAGUUCUUGAUCAUCCUUAUCUUAAUUUAUUUGCUUUUAAGAUCCUAGUGGUUAGUUCAUUAAUUGAUAUCUUGUUAGUUUGUCUAAUCUAAAAUGCUUUGCUUGUUUCUUUAGUGAUCCUUCAUUUAAUUUGAUUUUUUUAGGCCCUUGGAAACUCAUGAUGAUUGGCAUUUACUCUCACCUAGUUUGGGUUGCUACAAAUUAUCACUUUGUGAUUUUAUUUUCCCUUGUUUUGCUUGGUUUUUUAUUCUUGUGUUUUGUGGUUUAAAAAUGGAACUUUCUCUUUUAAAAAGAAAGUCUUUUCUCAAAAUGUUCUUUAUUUAAAUGGAUUUUAAAAACUCCUUCAAUAAUCCUUAGGGUAAAAAAAAAAAAAAAAUCCUUUUCUUAAAAAGUAUGCAAGCAUGUUUUAAUAGGUUUACACAUUUCUUUUAUUUUCAGUAAAAAUUGUGAUUUUGAGUGGAAUAUGAAUCCAAACUUAUGGUCCCAAAUGCAUGGGAUAAUUCUUGGCUUUGAUGAGUUUGUCAAUACUCAUGCAAGGUUGGGAAUCCAUAGGCUAGAUUUGUGCAUAGCAAAUAAGGAUUUGGUGAAACCCCUUCAUAAAAUUAUUUUUCAAAAACCUUUUAUUGUAAACUUGUUGGAUUUGUUGCGUUUCUAGAAUAAAAUUUCAAUUUGGAUAAUUUAUGAUACUCCUAAAUUUUUUCCUGUGGUUGUAUGAUAUGGUGAACUUCAUGAACUUGAUUUUAGAAGUUUGUUUGAAUCAAAAAUCAUAUUUCAAAUGGAAAUUAUGAAUUAAUCUUUUAGUAGGUUCAUUUUUUGCCCCAUUCUGGAUACCCGGAUUGUUUUUGUAUUUUCAAAUUACUAGGUGACUUUGAAAAAUUAUUUUGAUUUUUUUCCUUCAUUCUAAACUUCUUGAAAUUUAUUUUAUACACAUAAAAUAUUAAAAAAAUGUUUUGUUUAUUAGGAAAAAUAUCUUUCCUUUGUUAUACCCACUAUUAGCAUCUUAGAUCUAAGCAACAAAAGCAAUACCAAUUUUUUAAAAAUUGAUCUUUUAGGGUUAAAGUAUUAACCUUUAGGUUUCAAGGUUCCCAAAUCUUAAAUUCCAAGUGUUGAAAAUGAACUUGAAGUUAUUGGAAGUCUUGUAAACCCAUGAUCUUCCGCCCAAUGACUUAACCUUAUUCUUGGAAAACUACUAGUGAGGACGAAAGAAGGGUAGAGGCUAUGACUCUCUUUCUCUCUGGAUGGUGAGAAGCAAAAGUUAUGGAAACCCUAACCCAUAUGGGCUAUUUAUAGGGAACCUAACUAGCCUUAAAUGACUUGAGCCCAUAUGGUUGGGCUUGGGUAGCUUUAUCUAACCCAAAAUGGGUCUUAAUUGACCGAAUAAGGCCUACUAAUUAAUCAAUUAGCCUAAUCCAAAGACCUUGUUCACUUACCCCUAUUGAUUCGUGCCCAGCUGGUGUACCUUGAUUUCGGUCCUCUGAUGGGAGUAAUCAACAAAAUUUAUAACCUAUUACACCAUGUACUAGGAUAGCCUCAGCUAGCAUAGCAUAGUAGCUCUAGGAUCGUUCACUGGGAAGGGUUUUCAAUUAUGAAUGAUACCAAUUCAGAGUUAAAUUAGUGCCUUUUCAUUUCAAGGUUAGCUUCAAAAGAAAACAUAAACUUUGAUUGAAAAAUGUUUUGUUUCAAGCUAACGAAAAAGAAAGUAAUGGGAAUUACUUAUAAAGAAAAGUGUUUCUUGGAGUUUUAGGAUCACUGGGGUCAGGCUCCUCAUGCAAAAAUAGAGGUUUCGUCACUUUGGUUCUUUUCCUCGCAUUGGAGAAUUAACAUAUAGUUCAUUCUCCAACCGGUGUUGUACAGAUGCAACCCAUUUAUGAAUUUCAGCAUUAAUUCCCUCUCACUGAUGUAUCUCGCAAUGGCUCGUGCCUCUCACCUAGCAUUUGUCAUUCAAGGUGAUCAUUAACCUUGGACUUCCCUUCUCAAGCUCGCAAGAGAUAAAUAAUGGAUGUUUCCUUAGAGUCCAAAAGCUUACCAAGUGUUGGCAAUUCUAGAAAAUCCUACCUUCAAGUCACCUCCCAAAGGCUCGCAAGAGAUAAACUAGUGAAUCUCCACGGACGAAGAUCACUUGCCUUACCAAGUGUUGGCCCAGGUGACUUCAAGGCGUUUUAAGUUAACUAAAAAGAUAAAAACCAUUAACGGGUUACCCUUUCUCUUCAUUAACAGCUGAAACAACAAAACUACCAAUUCUUGCAUUCGGCACCUUACCCAGCUACCUUAGCUCCAAGAGACAAAAAGCCUAGCCACCCAUUCUCUGAGGAAACAUCCUCAGAGCUUGUUUGGCUAGUAAGAAAAAUACAAUCAAAAUGAGAAGGUAAGGCAGAGCAAAACUCUGUAUUUUACUUCCUUUAAAAUUAUACAAAAAGUUGGUGUUCUCUGAGAACAAGCUCCCGACAUAUCUCCCUUAUCAAAAUUACAAGAAUAAUAUAUACAUGGUUAUUCACCCUUUUGUCUUUCUUAACAACUAAGGAAUCCUAUAAUUGGUGGGUUACAAGGAGAAAAUGGGGAUUUAGACAUCAAAUAUUUGAAGCAAAAUAUCUAAAAAUGUUAGUCGCAAAUAUUUGGAAGCACUCAGGAGGAUUUCGCAGACAUACAAGAUGGCUGCGAAAUUUCACAAACGUACAAGAUGGUUGCGAAAUCAUUUCGCAGCCAAAGGCUGAUUUCACAGCCUGCGAAAUUGGCCUUCAGCUUGCUGUGAUAGGCUUCCAAUGGCUCUAACUUCUUCAUUUCAACUCCGAUUCAUGUACCGUUUGAAGCGUUGAAUUGCUGACUUCCCAAGCUUCGAAACAACAUAUAGCAUGCAUCAAAUGGACUCUGGGAAGUGCUUCCAAAGUGUCAAACAGUUGAUGUCCUCUUGCAUUCUACAUGUUGCUUUCAUCCUUGCAUUCUUGAUUAUUUUUUUGCAAAGGACUACAAAGCUCCAAAGCGUGAAUUAUUCAUGUUAAUGAGCUUCCAAUUUCUUUGCCAUGGAUUCCAUAGAACUCUCCUUAAUCUUGGAUUGCUUUGGUGAUCAAAUUACUAUCAAAAGCACCAAAACUUACACAAUUUGAUUAGAAAUGAUUGUAAAGGUCCUUAACAUACCAAUUGAGUUAAAAGGUAAUAACUACUACUCAAAAGUGUUUAAAAGAGUUAAUUACAAGCUAUCAAAUAGCACUUUUUGAGUAGUAAUCACCUAUGCAACCUUGUAUAAUUACCAAAACACCCUUAUGCACAAAAGUGAACCUAAAGCCAAUCUGACCCUCAUAAUCCAUGUCAACCAGGUAUAUGAGCUUAGAGCGGGGAUCACUAGGACCCAUAUGAGUAUUGGCUCCCUCAUAAUCCAAUUUUGAAGUUGAUUCAACAUCCCACUACAAAGAAUCAACCAAACUCCAGUAUCAUAUGUAAAUAACAACGUGACACUAAGUGCUCGGGUCCAUGACCUACUAUCCACUACAUACAGACUCCCUAUGAAUUGGUGUCCGUAAUCUAGUAAGGUAGUGUUAUCACCUAUCAAUAAUACCUCUCAAAUCCUUGAGUUACAAAUCUUACUUAUUAUGUGAUCAACUAACAAACUCUUGCUCCAAGGAACAUAUGUCAAAUUCCACUAAAGGAAUUACUAUGGCCAUAUAUUUCAUGAUCACGUGUCCUUUGGAUCACCCAAGGGAACACACUGUCUCAAUCCUAUGAGAUAUCAUGGUGCCUAUAUUGAGAAUACAUAUUACCAUCAACCUCUAUCAACAAUGACCCAAUUCAUAAGGAUAUAUGACUACUUUAGGGUUUCACCAAAAUGUUAAACCCUUUUGUUUAUUUUGGCACAGACUUGAUAUCCUCUCAUGGUUUAGAGUCCAUGCAGUAUGGUAACUUGGUGAAUUAUGAUAAUUGAUUGCCUUGUGUCAUGAUUCACCGUAAGUCCUAUCCAAUAUGCAUCACAUACACUAGUGCACUCACCAUGGGAAACCCAUCCCGAUGGCUAAGACAAGCCAUCCCUCUAAUUAGGAGGCGGUGCACUACAAUCUCUAUUGGAUUGCCCAAAUCCAUGAACCAACGGUGGAUAAAUUACCUACUUACAAGGAGCCCAUGACUUGUAUAUUCUAUGCAAUUCCUAAUGCACCCAAAUCAUGUACAAUGUAAGAGACAUGAACUAAAUGCUCAAAUCAAUGUCAAUACACCAAAAGGAUAGCAAGGGGAUGGUUAAGUCUAACUUUGUUACAUCAUGUCUUGCUUUUGAGGGCUCAAUCCCAACAAACUCCCAUUAGUCCCAAAAGUAAUAUGGGCACCAUAGAAAAAAAUUUGUUCCAUAUCGCAUCACCUCUAUAUACUAUCUCACAAUAAGGUAACACUUCUUAUUUAUGUGUUUCCUCUUCUAGUGGUACUUCAAUUCUUUAGACCAUGCCAUCAUCCCACUAUUAUCACAUAACAAAAUCUUAGAUGAUAUAGUUAAGGGAACUACCCAUAAGCCAAAAGGCUUUCUUUGUUGCUAUAAAAACAACAAAAACCCACUUAUAGUGUACACAUACCUAGAGGUAGACUUGCGAGAGUCCUUAUCAAACUAAAGUCUAAUUUCCCAAUACGAAAGGAGUACCAACUCAUCGCAAAGACUCAGAAACAUACAAUCCCUUGUUUUCCAAAGAUACUAUAGUAUAUGUUUGACAUCCACCCAAAGCUCUAAUAAGGAAAUGAACUAAUAUCCACUCAUUAUUCAUAAACAAAGAAAAUAUCUAGUCUAGCACAUAGUAUCACAUACUUAAGGCUAUCAAUUGCAGAGGUUUUGGAUAUCACCUUAGUGCAAUCUCUCUCCAUAGAUCUCUAAGGACAUUGAUCCUAAGAAAUACAACUCCAAAAUCAAAGACUAACAAACCAUCUUGGAUUUUUGCAUCAUGUAGUUGACUAAGUGCUCAUUUAUGUAGGUGACAUGGUGCAAUUUUCCUAUUCUUGCAAUCCUGAAUGACCAAAACCCGAAGAAUAUAUUGCAUCUUCCUCUAGAUUUUCAUCUAGAACUGAGUAGACUAUCGGAUCUUGAUUGAUGGCAAUGUCCCUACAUCAUAUCCAAUGAGUAGAUUGUCAUCUACUUGCAAGAUCUUAGAGUAUCACCAUGCUUCCUUAUGUUUUCUUGUACACACAAGGCCAUUUACUAUGAAAAUGUUUGGUUGUUGUAUCUUACAAAUGAGACACACUGCAAUAGAUAGUAGUAAUUUGAUGGAUUUGAGUAUGAUCACUUUUGAAAAGGUUUUCCAUAAUUGAAACAAAGUUUCAAACUAUAACCUUUAGCUAUAGUCUUAGCCAUAUAAAACUCAAGCUUUUCAUCUACUCCUAUAUUCUUUUUGCACACCAAAUUACACCUAUGGGUUUUAUCCAUUUAGGUGCUUCUACAAGAAACCAAACUAUGUUAGAAUACAAAUAUUCUAACUACCUUUCCAUAUCUCCUUACCUUAAGUGAGCACAAACAUUGCUCACUACUUCAUCAUAAUCUAUGGGAUAUAAACCUUCCACUAUGAUGAGCCACUAAUGUACUAAAAAUCAUAGAAAUAGCAUUCCUAUAACCCUUUGGAUCUAUAGUAUCCUAUGCAAUGUGGGACUAUUUUCUAAUAUAUCCUCAAAUCUAUAUCAUUUUUUACCUUAUUCCUUAUCAUAUAGUCUUCAUAAAAAAAUUUGAUGUUUGUGUCAACAUUUUCUGAUGAUCCUGACUAUAAAGGUAAUAACUCAAAAAUCCUAUAAAAUGAUAAACCUCUUAAGAAAAAGAGGUUUUACACAGUCUAUAAAACAUAUCCCCAAAAGAAUCUAAGGAAGAUGAGAAACCUAUCCACGAUCUCACUAUGUCCAUACAAGUUUGAUAUCUUAUUUCCACCUCUCCAUUUUGCAAUAGAGACCUUGGUGCACAUAACUAGGAAAUAAUCUUGUGCUCCAUUGGAAAGAUUCAAAUAAUCUUGUCCUUAAAUUCAAUUAAUGUAUCCAAGGCAUUGGAUCUCCUAAGUGUAUAUUCAAACCUAGAGUAACCAUCACUAAAAGUGAUGAAAUACCCAUACCCUCCCCAUGCAUGGACACUAAAAUUUCCAUACAUGUCAAUAUGCAUGUACUCCAAACAUUCUUAGGCUCUAGCCCUCUUGGUCAUUUUACCAUCUAUAUAGGAUUCAUAGACUAAAAGAUCUUCUAAAAUGAAAGAGUUUAGACUUUAUCAGUUUUUGGAUCUUAUUUAGAUUAAUAUGACCUAGGUCUAGAAACCAAAUGUUUAAUUAGUUCUAGGUUUAAUCCUAAGAUUUGACCAUUCUCAUCCCUUGGAAUAGAAGACAUAUAAAAGAAGAGGAUAUUACCCCCCCACUAACCUGCAUAACUAACCUUGCAUUUGAAGCUAAAGUAAGUAUAAUCCCAUCAUUUAACCUUCUCACUUGUUGAAUAUCUUAUAAGGACUUACAAAAAGUGGGCCUGGAAUCUAUCCACCAUAAAUGGUGAAAUCCACCACUAAAUAUUCACCAACGAGAAAAGUGUACUUUUUGUUUUCCUUUAGGUAAACUAGGCAUUCCUUUUCUAGCUUCCUAGAAGGUCACAAAGGAAUUGCCCUUGAGCUUGUUUUUUUUAUUAUUUCUAUUAAACUUUCCUUAUUUGGUAUUCUUCUUCUUCUUCUUCUUAAAAGAAGAACCUGAAAAAUCGUUGACUUCCAUAUGAACACCCUAUAAUCUUUGAGAAUCCCCUUAGUCAUUCUGAAGGAAAAUGGUAAGGUCUCUAAGAUCAUAUGAAUAUUAGUGUUCAUAAUAGUACUAAGAGUAGCUUGUCAAAGCUAGCCUACCCUUAUCACCAAACACCAUUGCAAACUAGAAAGAGAAUAUCAAAGUCUCUAGUAAUCAACAAAGAUCCAAGUAGUAGACACUUAGUCUUCUAAUCUGUCUAAUACCACCUUGACAUACCACUUUCCUUUUGCUAGGCUAGUUCAAAAGGAAUAGCUAGCUCUACCUAAACUAAGUUCUAUGUAAUUAGUUACUAUAUCCAGAAUAAAAUUAAGUCCAAAUGAUUAGUUAGGCUUAACCCAAAGUGAGAAAGAGAGUGAUUAUAAAUAAAUAACAUGACAUCUGUAACAAAGAAUAUUACUAAACAUAUGACAUAAAUGAGCAUUCAAGGCAAAUGAUAAUUAAUUUAGUAAAAAUGUAGUGCUCUUAAACUAUAUGUCUUUUUGCAAGGUCUCCUAGUAUCAUAAGAAUCAAGCCUAUAUGGGGUAGGUCAUGACCUUCCAAGUAGUUAGAGACCUUCUCAGACUGAUCUCCUUCCCUUAACCAUAAAGGUACCUAAAGGCAAGAUACCUUUUAUUUGGUGCAUAGACUAUGCAAGUGGGACUGCAUGGGACGAUUCUACCACUUCAUAUCCAAUGUCUAGUGUAUAACCAUUGUCCUUGAACUAUCAAUGUUACCAAGUGAAGAACCCCACUGUGGGGGUGGUUGCUCCCCCUUACAAACAUAUCUAGUCUUGUCCAUGUAGAGAGUCCAUAUAUCCUGAUUCUUAGGGCUAACCCACCAUGGGGGUGGUGAUGAACCCAAAUCAAGAUGGACUCAACAAUGGAGUCCAUGGGCUUGCCUAAAGCCCUCUCCCACUUAACAUAUUGAGAUAAAUAAAAACAUUUUAAAACAUUAGUAAUUACCUUAAUGAAUAAAUUAUCUUCUUUGAGAAUUUCCAAAAAUAUUUAUUUCCUAAUUGAAAACCCAAUGUUAUAAGAGAAUGUCCAUAUGAAAAAUUUAAAAUUUCUAUGAGAGUAUUUUAUCCAAAAAAUAAUUUUGAUAAAAUGUCUACUCUCAAAUUUUAAAAUCUAUUUUCAUAAAAAAAUAUUCUUCUUCACACAAUUCCAAUUAAUAAAUAUUGUCUAGAAAAUAGUUUCAAAGAAAUUUAUUUUCAUCAAAUUACUAAAUAUGUUUUUGGUAAUAAUCUUUUAAUGAUAAAUUAUCUCUAAUGAAAAGGUCCAAUAGAUAUUUAUUAUCCAAACUGGAAACUUAGUGUAAUAAGGAAACCUCCAAUUUAUAAAAUCUUGAAAACUUAAGAGCACCUUAUCCAAUUAGAAAAUAUUUAAUUCUUCAAGGAUUCUCAACAUAAAUAAAUAAAUAAGAAAAAUAUUUCAAAUCCUAAAAAAUAAAUUUAGCAAGGAACUUUAUCUCUCAUAUUCAAAAUUCUUCAUAAAUUUAAUUUUCUUAUUCCUACACCUCCCUAAUUUAGUACAUAUUCUUAAAUAUGAAAUCUAAUUUUCAUAAUAAUCUAUUCCAUUAAAAUUAGCAAAAAUAAACUUUUAGUAGUUCCCUGAAUGAUAAAUUUUCCAUCUUGAAAAUUCAAAAAAAAAGUAGUUACUCUCCAAAUUAAGUAUUAGUGUAAUAAGAAAGUUUCCAAAAACUUAAAAAAUAAAAACUAAAGAGCACUCUAUCCAAAAAGGAAACUAUUAUUCUAUAAGAAUUCUUAUCAAAAUAAUUUAGAAUUCUUUAGAAUAAUUUAGAAAAGGAAACUUGUCUCUCUAAUUUAUUUUCACAUGUUUUAUUUUCUUAAUAUGCACUAUUCCAAAAUUAAGUAAAUAACAUACUUUGGAAUCUAAUUUUCAAGAAAAUUUAUAUCCAUUAAAAUUACUAAGAGUUUUAUACAAUUUUCAUAAGAAUCUUUUAAUAAUUCUGGUGAGCUUCUUAAAAUAAAUUAUCUAUCAUGAGAAUUUUCAAAAACUUUAUUUAUUCACUAAGUUGGAAUACUUGUGCUUAUGAGGAAUAUCCAAUUUUAUAAAAAAAAAUUAAAAUAAGAGAAUCUUCCCUUAAUAAAGAAACUCAAGUCCUUGAAGAUCUUAAAAUUAGAAACUUUGAAAAAAAAAAAAAAAAAGAUCUUCUAAGGAUUUUUAGAAAAGGAAACUAGAUUCUCUCACAAGUUUUUAAAAAAAUCUUUCCACAUAAAAAAUUCUUUAAUAGUAGCAUCAUUCCAAUUUUGAAUAAAACUUAAUUUGGAAAUAACCUUCUUAUGAAAAUUUAUUUUCCAUGAGAAAAUCCAAAAUUAGUAACUUUGAAAGCACUUUUCAUCACAUGCAAUAUAACAAUAUGCAUAAAAAAUGAAAUAUUCAAAAAAGAGAUCCCAUGGCCAAGGGAUAAUUUUCACAACUUUCCAAUUGUGAACUAAAGCCAAUGGUCUUCAACUUGACACCAAUAUUUGGCAUUAGAACUCGCCAAAAGAAGAUCUUGUAAAGCUGUCACAAUUCAACAACUUUCAAGCCUAACAAGUGGCCUAAAAAUUAAGCCCAAACAAGCAAAAAAUAAUUGGAUCUGUAUACAAUCCCAUAACAGCAUACCCUAUGCUUAACUUUGCUUCAAACGACCAUAUCUCCCUCAUUUCAACUUCAAAUUGUGAACCAUUUAUGGUGUUAGAUUCCUGACUUUCUAAGCUUUAAAACCAUAUGCACCUUGCCCUAAGAAACUCAUAGGAGACAACCCUGAUUUUGAGCAAAAAAUAGCGUUGUUGUGCAGCCAUGGAUCUCGAAAAAAGAAACUUUUUUUUUUAAUUCAAUCAAAGGAAGGAUUCAACAUUUCUUCCAUAUCCAUUAAAAUCCUUUAAUCUUCAUAGAUGAUGUUCCAAUAAAGAUCCAAUCUUUAUUGACAUCAUUGAGGAAAUAUUCUCUUGUAGCCCUCCAUAGAUAUUAAAAAAUAUUACUUUAUAUCAUAAAAGAAAUCUUAUGGAGCUUACAACCCGAUCUAUAGAAAAGAUUAAAACUUUAUAAGAGAAAAAGAAAACCUAUACUCCUUUAAUGGAUCUUACAACCAAAUCCAUGAAGAAACAAAGAAAAAUAAUAGAUCAUCUCAUUCAAUCAUCACAAGCAAUAAUAAAAAGGAACAUACAUGCACUUCUUGUCCAUGGGAUAAUAUCAAGGCUGCAAAAAAUAUGUUAGUUCACCCUAAAUAAAGAUCUAAGAAUGCUUAUAACAUUGUGCUCUAAUACUAAUUAUUGGCAUCUUAGAUCUAAACAAAAGCAAAAAUUUAAAAAAAUAAAUAAAAUUGAUCUUUUAGGGUUAAAGUACUAACCUUUAGGUUUCAAGGUUCUCAAACCUUAAAUUUCAAGUGUUGAAAUGACCUUGAAGUUGUAGGAAGUCUUGUAAACCCACGAUUUUCUGCCCAAUGACUCAGCCUUAUUCUUAGCACACUUCCAAUGGGGAGAAAAAGAGGGUGAAGGCUCUAGCUCUCUUUCUUUAUGGAUGAUGGAAGACAAAAUUUAUAGAAACCCUAAACCCUAGAGAGUAUUUAUAGGGAUGCUAAUUGGACUUACCCUUGUGCAACCUUGCAUAAUUACCAAACCACCCUUUAUGAACAAAAGUGAACCUAGAAUCAAUAACCCUCAUAAUUUGUGCCAACAAGGUAUAUGAGCUCAAAGAAGGGACCAUUGGGACCCAUAGGAAUACUAGCUCCCUCAUAAUCUAAAAAUGAAGAUGAUUCAACAUCUCACUAUAGAGAAUCAUUUGAACUCCAAUAUCCUAUGUAGAUAACAACGAGACACUAAGUGCUCAAGUCUAUGACCUACUAUCCACUACAUAUGAACUUCUCAUGAAUUGGUGUCUAUAAUCUAACAAGGUAGUUCUAUCGCCUAUCAAUAUUACCUCUCAGAUCCUUGAGUUAUUGAUCCCACUUAGUAUAUGAUCAACUGACAUACUCUAACUCCAAGAAGCAUAUGUCAUUCACAUGUCCUAUGGAUCAUCCAAGGGGACAUACUAUCUCAAUCCCAUGAGAUAUCAUGGUGCCUAUAUUGGGAAUACCUGUUCCCACCAAUCUCCAUCAACAGUGACCUAAUCCAUAGGGAUAUAUGACAACUUUAGGGUCUCACCUAAAAGUCAAAGCCUCUUGAUGAUUUUUUCAUGAGCUCAAUAUUUUCUCAAUGUUGAGAGACAAUGUAGUAUAGUAGGUUUGUGAAUCAUGAAAAUUGAUAGCCUUGCGCCAUGAUUCACCAUAGGUCAUAUCCAAUAUGCAUCACAUACACUAGUGCACUCACUAUGGGAAACCCAUCUUGAUAGCUAAGACAAGUCAUCCCUCCAAUUAGGAGAUGGUGUACUACAAUCUCCAAUGGAUUGCCCAAAUCCAUGAACCACUAUGGACAACUUAUCUACUUACAAGGAACUUAUGACUUGUAUCUUCUGUGCAACUCCUAAGGCACCCAAGUCAUGUUCACUAUGAAAGACAUGGACUGAAUGCUCAAAUCAAUGUCAAUACACCUAAAGGAUAUCAAGGGGAUGGUUAAGUCUAACUUUGUUACAUCAUAUCUUGCUUUUAAGGGCUCAAUCACAAUACCCACUACACUAUCUUAAUGUUGAAUAAAGAGGUUCUUUGAUUGUUUUUAAAAUUGAUUUGUAUACUUUCUUGUCUUGCUAUUAUUAUUUUUUUAAUUAGAUAUUUUGAAUAUAUUGAAUGAUUUUUUGUAUGAUUUUAGAGCACUUUUAGGUUGGUUAAAAAAAAUUUGGUUUAUGCAUGUUAUUAAAUUAUGUCAUAUUCUGAACCCUUUAAUAUAUUUUUGUAAAUUGGAUAAUAAAGGCUUCAUUAUAUUUUUUGGCUAGUUGGAUGAUAAACUAGAUACGUAGAAGAUGUUCCCUAAAAAUUUUUGUAAUUAAAUUCACAUUCUAAAUAUUUUUCAUAGGAUUUACUUGCAUGUUGAAAUUUUUGUAUAAUGUUUUAUUUAUUAUUUAAUAUGGAGUUAAUUGACUAAUCAUCACUUGAUCUUGCCUUUGGUAUUGUAUUGUAGACAUAUGAGGAUGUUAUAUGUUUUUUUUUCUAUGAUGAAAUAAUUCUUCUAGAUAUUUGUUUAGAGUUUUUCAAGUAAAUGUAAUUGUUCUACCCUUUGCUGUGUGCUUUGUCUUAUUCUCUAAUUUUGGUAUUUUUAAGCUAUCUUGUACAUAGUUUAGCCUUAAGAAUGAGGUGUAUGCAUGUCCUAGGUAAUAGUUUAUAUUUCUUUGGAUUCUUAUCAUUUUAUUUAAGCUAUACAUAUACCAUGUGUAUUAAGAUUCACUAUCACAACUAUUUAUUAUUGUAACUGUUCUAACCACCCUUUAGCUUUAUGGAAAUUCCUUGUAGGUUAUUUAUGCAAUCCAAGUACACCCCUUACACUUUUACCCCUUAGGUUUUGUAAAUAUUUAUGUUUUUUGUGUCAACAUCUUCAUAUUUGAUAUUGCUUUGUUAUGCUAUGAUUGGUGUUUGAUUCCUUGAAUGAGAUAAAAUGCAUGUUGUAUGUUGUAUUAUUUGUCAAACUAACUUUGAUGUUUUCAUGAAAGUGCUUUAGUUUGUAGUUUAACAACGCUCAUCUUCCUUUCUUAUAUGAUUGAUUUAUGUGGUUUGAUUGUUUCAAUGUGAAUAGCAUUUUGUUUGGCCUUAGGUACACUUACCUUUGUUAUUUUUUGUAUCCAUGAUUUAUCACUUAAUUGUCAUACUUACCUCAACCUAGUUAGUAGAAACCUAUUUGUAGGGCUUAGAGGGAUGCUACCUUUAUGGUACUUUCCUAAUAGCUAAUCUGGCCUUGAUCUAUACUUAGACUUGGUUUUUCAAAGAUGCAUUUUUUCAAAAUUAAGGAGUCGUUUUUUAGGGUUUUAUUUCUUAUUUUAUUUUCCCUUUUAAAAAUAAAUAAAAAUAAGUGGCAAAUCCAAGUUUAAAAAAUCAAUUUUUCACUAAGAUAAUGAGUCACCUGGUCAAGUGAGGAUGCAUGUGAAAAAUGUAGGUCCACACAUGUCUUUCCCUAAAAAAUGAGUCACCUGAUGACUUUAUUUCUUAUUUUAUUUUCUCUUUUAAAGAUAAACAAAAAUAAGUAUCAAUUCCAACUUCUAAAAACAAAUCAGCUCUUCAUAAUAAAAAUGAGUCUCGUUGUCGAGUGGAGACUCACAUGAAAAAUGUGGGUCCACAAAAUGGUAACUCCACUAGGAAUGCUUAGAGGGUUAAACUUGAACUCGAGUUAAGGGGAAAUGUGACAUUGAAUUAAUAGAUUAGUGGAUACCUUCUCAUUGUUCCUUUGUUGUAUGCUUGCAUAUUUUAGGGCAUAUGAGAGGUUGACUUGAUGAUUAUUUUGUAAAUAUUGCAUGUGCCUUACUGUAUAUUGAUUUUUGUUAUUAUAUGUGUUUAUAUAUCUGCCCAUGUCUAUAUAUAUUUAUUUUUCAUGAUUGUGUGCUGCAUGACUACCUUUCUUCUCCAUAAUUCGUGUUUUUCUUCUUUGUAUAGGAGACAUGUUUAUCCCUCGAACUCCCUAGUCUUGGUCGAUUUUCUUCUUUUGAUAUCGUAUUUUGUGUAUGAGACUUGGUGUCUUGUUUGUUUCCUGACUAAGCUAGCGAUUAGGAGUAAGGUCUAGUUGUGGGCUAUGUUUGGGAGCACCUAGAGUAUUGUCAUGACAUUAUCAACUCCAUGAGAUUGUUAUCGUAAAGUAGGUUACCACAUCAUCGGCCUUACCACAUCAUUUUUACUUUAUCAUUUAGUCACCUCAUUUCUACUAUCACCCCACUUUACCACAUCAUCCUAUCUCACCAUGUCAUCACUUUGCCACAUCCCUGAUGCCUUAACAUCAUCUUAUGUUGCCAUAUCAUCCUUGACACAUUUUUUUAAUCCUAUUAACAUCCUACCUUAUAAUCUCAUUCUUAACGCCAUUCUUAUUUUGCCUCAUCAUCAUACCUUAUCAUUUCAUCCCAUAUUUUUUUUUUCAUAUCAUCAUCCUAUCUUUUGCACCAUUGUGAUGCCUUAGAGAGCAUCACAACAUCAUUGACAUCAUGUUAAUAGAGGUUGAUUACUACUCAAAAAGUGUUAUUUCAUAGCUUGUAAUUAACUCUUUUAAACACUUUUGAGUAGUAGUUAUUGCCUUUUAACCCAAUUAACAUGUUAAGAACCCUUGCAAUCAUUUCUAAUCAAAUUGUGUAAGUUUUGGUGUUUUUGUUAGUAAUUUGAUCACCAAAACAAUCCAAGAAUGAGGGAGAAUUGCAUAUAGUUCAUGGCAAAGCAAUGAAGAGCUCAAAUUCAUGAAGAACCAAGCUUUGGAGCUCCAUAGCCCUUUGCCAAAGUCGUUCAAAGUAUGCAAGGAGAGAAGCAAGGAGAGAGGAAAAACAGAGUGAAGAAAACAGAGGAAAGCUAGCUGCAGUCUUCUUGCGCACUUUUGGAGCACUUCCCGAAGUCCAUUUUCUACAUUCUAUAUACCAUUUCAAAGCUCAGGAAGUCAAGAAUCCAAUGCUUCAAACGGUGUGCUAUUCGGAGUUGAAACGAAUGAGUUACAGCCAUUUCAAGCAGAUCACUCCAAAGUGUUGCGAAAUCAGCCUUUUGUUGCGAGAAUUUCGCAGCCUUUUUGUACAGUGCUAUGGAAUUCCUCCUGAAGCUACCCGAUACAUGCCACAAGCUGGAACGCUGAGAACCUCAAGGUGGAAGCCAAUUUCGCAGCCCUGCGAGUUUAACUUGUUGUUGCGAAAAUAUUUCGCAGCCCUCUUGAGUGUCUGCGAAAUCUCGCAGACACCAUUUUUCACCUGCGAAAUGAUCCUUAAUGCUUCCCGAUGUUUGCCACCGACUCUUUUGGAUAUUUUUCUUCAGAUAUUUUUGUAUAAAUUUCCAUUUUCUCCUUGCAUUCAGCCACUCAUGUAAUUCCUUAGCUAGGAAGUAUCCAAGGAAGGGUAAAUUACCUUCCUAUAUAAACUCUCUUGUAAACACUCUCAGGAGACGCUCGGGGAAGUAUGUAAUAUAUAGAUAUAUCAUAUAUAGAAUCAAGGAACAGAGCACUUGCUCUGUUUUUCAUAUAUAUUCUUGUCUUCUCUUUUAUUUUCAUUUUCUAGCCAACCAUUCUCUGAGGAUUUUUCCACAGAGGAUGAGAGGCUAAGCUUUUUGUCUCUUGAAGUGAGGAAAGUCGGGUAAGUUUCCACAUGCAUAAUUUGGAAGUUUUUUUGUUUUAGUUUUUAAUGAAGAGAAAGUGUGACCCGUUAAUGGUUUUUAUCUUUUUAGUUAACUUAAAACGCCUUUAAAUCACCUGGGCCAACACUUGGUAAGGCAAGUGAUUUCCAACCAUGGAAAUGCACUAGUUUACCCCUUGCGAGCCUUUGGGAGGUGGCUUGAAGGUAGGAUUUUCUAGAAUAGCCAACACUUGGUAAGCUUUUGGACUCCAAGGAGACAUCCAUUAGUUAUCUCUUGCGAGCUUUUGAAGGGAAGUCCAAGGUUAAAUAUCAUCUUGAAUGGUAAGUGCUCGUGAGAGGCAUGAACCAUUGCAAGGUGCAUCAGUGAGAGGGAUUUAGUGUUUGAACCCAUUAAUGGGAAGCAUCUGUACAGCAUCGGUUAGAGAAUUGACUAUAUGUUAAUUCUCUAAUGCGAGGAAAAGAAACAAGUGACCGGAACUCCCUUUUUGUAUGAGGAAUCUGAGCCUAGUGAUCUGAAACUCCAAGAAACACUUUUCUUUGUAAGUAAAAUCAGUUAUUAUUUGUGGUUAGUUUAAAUCUAAACCUUUUUUCAUUUAAACAUCUUUAUGUUUUCUUUUAAAGCUAACCUUGAAAUGAAAAGACACCAAUUCAGCUUUGAAUUAAUAUCAUUUGCAAAGUGAAAACCCAUCCCAGUGAACGAUCCUAGAGCCACUAUGCUAUAGUAGCUUUGUCUUUGCUACCCUAGUAUAUGGUGUAAUAGGUUAUAAAUUUUGUUGAUUUCUCCCUCAAUCAAGGAGCACCAGCUGGACACGAAUCAGCUGAGACACCAAUUGGGCACGAAUCAGAGGUCACCACAUCGUCGCCACUUAGAUUUUAAUCAUUAAAGACUUGUUUAACCCAUAACUAGAUUUAAGAUAUAUGUGUGACUAGUGUGUUUACUUUUCUGCUUUAGUUUAAGAGGUUAUUUGGAUGCACUUAUGCCACACACUACACAGUUUAGAUUGUCUUGUAUGUGUGUUGAGAAAGGUAACAUGCAUUAACUAGUAGAAAACCUUGACCAUUAGGAAACCACCUUAAGAUGUUAAGGAAGUCCAAGUGUAAAGGUAAUGACCACCUUACAUGGAAGUUCCUAGUAUCUUUGGAGGCAUGUAGGAGGUUACGUAUCGAUAAUGAGUACGAUUGUUCCUACUAGGCCUACCUUUUAAAGCUACUUUACCUUGUAGAAUGAGAAUUAGAUCCUUAGACCUAGGAUACCUACCCACACUUAGGUGCAUUUGUGUAUAGGAAUUUUCUGACAACAAUUUUGCAUCAACAUUAGAGUUCCAUUAGCAUAGAUUAGUUGUAUUAUCAUCCUCUUCACUCUUCAUUAGUUGGAUUCGGUUAGUCAAUCUUCUAAGUUAUACAUUCAUCGAUCUUGUAUAGUUUUCUUCCUCUUAGAAUUUUGUCAACCUUAAGAUGUUGUAUAUAGAGAGGAUUUACAUUUUUAAAUGUAUUGUCAAUCUUUUAAGGUGUUGUACAUUAGGUGUAGCAUUCUAGGAUGUGUUUAUUUGACAUUGUUAGACCUAAGUCUAGGGUUUUGUGUUCUGUGGGUCAUUGAUAGGUUCCUUAGGUGAGUCAUGUUAGUUAGAGUUUUGGGGACCUAACUAGUUUCUUCUAGGUGAGAUGGUGAGACGUUUGUCAAAGUUGGUGAGACUAUUUAUUUUUGUUUCAUCAAAGGUCAUCUUGGUUAUCGAGUCUAUGUUAGUCUUGUGGUAUAGUUAAAGUUUGAAUUCAUUGUAGAAUGUUUUGACCUAUUAGUAUUUGUUUCUAUUAUGGAUGUACAUUGAUCAUUAGACUUGACCUUUUUCAUUAAAUAUAUGUUUGUGUCUUAUAGUGCACAUGUUAGACUUUUGAUAUGACGCAUUUUUCACUUGCAUAUCAUGAUCAUUAGGCCUGACCCAUCAUAGAGGAUACUGAGCCCAUUAACCUAGGACUAAAUAAUCAACUUAGGGAGCUUAAGAUUGUGGCUCAUUUGUCUUGUGAUCAGAUUUGUACCUUACCCACUUCCAUUCCCAACUUGACCUUUACAUCCUAUCUUUCUCGAACCUUGUACGACAUUUACCCCUUGACACCAUCACAUGACCUUUACAUCAUUUUUUAUCAUAGCUUAUACAACAUCAUCUAAAUGGACAUUAUUCCAUUCUAUUUAUUUAUUGUAUGUACUUGAGGUUGAUUUUAUGAGAUGAGAAGGAUGACUUAUGAUGAGUAGGAUGGUCGAUUGCAUGAGAUCAUUGACUAUUCUAUGGUUGAGGGGAGCAUAUUGAGGUUAUUAUAGAGCAUCCAGAAUGGGAUAUUUAUGUAUGAUUUCAAAGGAAUGGAAUGCCUACAUUUUGAUGGACACCAAUCUUUAGUGUUGACCAUGCAAGAGUUUAAGAGCAUGAUUUUUGAGGUUAUGAUCAAAGGAGGGGUGGCCAUUAUUUCAUGAGCCUAUUUAUCUAAUCACCUUUAUGUAUAAAGUUACACUUUGCUAGCCAAUUGAGUCAUGUACUUUUAACCUUUUGAUUCAUUAGCCCCCUUACCUCGUUUCUCAUACCUAGGGUUAGGGCCUCUUGGCACAUCUUUGCUUAUAGAUAAGAUCACCUAGGUUAUGGGCUCCUCAGGUGAUUCAUCUUUUGUAUUCAUUAUGUUCGUCUUAAUCAUUUGUAUUCUUUCAUCCAUACCUCUUCUCAAUACUUGUUGUAACCAUUUGAAUCAUUGUUCCUUAUUCUGUCAUUAUGAGUUCAUAUAUGUACAUAAGGGUUAGUCUUCUUGUAUAUAUAUCGAGAUUUGUAUACGUUGCCUUGGGAUCCUUGUACAUGAUUUCUUGGAUUCAUUGGUUUUAUUAUUGUUAAAAAGAAAAAAAAUUAUGAUGUUAAUCUUUGUUAGCGGCUUUUGUGAAAGGUUUGAUAAUUUCAUUAUAUAUAUCCAUCUCAUUUAUACAUCGAGUUAUGAUUGAGUUGUGGGUUUUAUCUCUAGCUAUGACAUUUUGCUUCCCUUGUACUCAAUUACACUUUUUAUUUAGAGUUUUAUUCUCAUUCAUAGUGGUUAUGUUCUUUUUUGCUUGUAUAUCGAGUUGUUAUUCAUUAACAUUGUUUGCUUUACCUCUAGCCAUUGUACUAUUUCUUUGAUUCCUUUGAGCCUAUUCCAGAGUCUCACCUUUGAUUCCUUUGGUAUCUAUGUAGUUUUUAUCUUGGGUUUGUUUUUCUUUCCAUUGAUUUCAUCUUUUCAUUCAUUCAUCAUAUGUAUCAUAGUGUAUUCUUUUCAUUCAUUCAAUUAUCUAUAUCAUAGAGCAUUUGUGAGGUUUACAAUCUUUGAGUUUCUUUAUCUAUUACACUGUAUAUGGAAAAGGCAUGGGGAUUAUAUCAUUAGGAUUAUUGAGCUUAGUUUCCCUUUGUUUCUUUUACCCUAUUACCUUAGACUACAUUACAUCCUGGGUCUUAAGACCACCUUAAGGUCAUGACAUCUUGCAUUAUGCUUGAUAGCUCACAUGUGGGCAACAUUUGAGAUUGGUUGGAGAUCACUUGGAGCAUGAUGGAUAAGAAACUAUGAGAAGGUUUAUACUAGGGCAUCGAUGAUUGAUUUUUGAUAUGAUAGAUUAUACUAAGGCAUAGUCAUUUCAUUCUCUCUUAUGGAGUGAUACAUUCCCAAUUGGUGUCUCAGCUGAUUCAUGUCCAGCUGGUGUCCCUUGAUUUUGGUUCUUAGGGAGUAAUCAACAAAAUUUAUAACCUAUUACACCAUGUACUAGGAUAGCCUUAGCUAGCAUAGCAUAGUGGCUCUAGGGUCGUUCACUGGGAUGGGUUUUCACUUCACAAUUGAUAUUAAUUCAAAGUUGAAUUGGUGCCUUUUCAUUUCAAGGUUAGCUUUAAAAGAAAACAUAAAGAUGUUUGAAUGAAAAAGGUUUGGUUUUAAACUAACCAAAAAUAGUAACUGAUUUUACUCACAAAGAAAAGUGUUUCUUGGAGUUUAGAUCACUAGGCUCAGGUUCCUUAUACAAAAAGGGAGUUUCGGUCACUCGUUUCUUUUCCUCGCAUUAGAGAAUUAACAUAUAGUUAAUUCUCUAACCGGUGUGGUACAGAUGCUUCCUCUUAAUGGGUUCAAACACUAAAUCCCUCUCACUGAUGCAUCUUGCAAUGACUCGUGCCUCUCACCUAGCAUUUGCCAUCCAAGAUGAUCCUUAACCUUGGAUUACCCGUCAAAAGCUCGCAAGAGAUAACUAAUGGAUGUCUCCUUAGAGUCCAAAAGCUUACCAAUUGUUGGCUAUUCUAGAAAAUCCUACCUUCAAACCACCUCCCAAAGGCUCGCAAAAGGUAAACUAGUGCAUCUCAAUGGACGGAGAUCACUUGCCUUACCAAGUGUUGGCCUAGGUGACUUAAAGGCGUUUUAAGUUAACUAAAAAGAUAAAAACCAUUAACGGGUCACACUUUCUCUUCAUUAAAAACUAAAACAACAAAACUUCCAAUUUAUGCAUGAGGAAACUUACCCGGAUUUCUUCACUCCAAGAGACGAAGAGCCUAGCCUCUCAUCCUCUGAGGAAAAAUCCUCAGAGUUUGAUUAGCUAGAAAGAAAAAUAAUGAGAAAACAAAAUAUAUAUGAAAAGCAGAGCAAGUGCUCUGUAAAAUAUAUUUCUUACUCUCGUCGGAUUACAUAAUGAUCGUCUCUCAGAACAGGCUCCCCAUAUCUUUUAUAUAUGGGGUUAUUCACCCUUUGUUCUUACUUAAAGACUAAGGAAUCCUAUGAUAGGUGGGUUACAAGGAGAGUUUGGGGAUUUAGACAUCAAAUAUCUAAAGCGAAAAAUCUCAAAAUGUCAGUCACAAAUAUCGGGAAGCUUCAAGAGAAAUCCGUUGCACUGUGCAAAAUGGCUGCAAAAUUUUUGCAGCAAAAGGACAACAUUUUUGCAGCCCAAGUUGAUUUCGCAGCCGUGAAAAAAUUUCCUUCAGGUUUGAGUGAUAUUCUUGCAAUGGCUGUAACUCCUUCAUUUCAACUCCGAAUCAUACACCAUUUGAAGCAUUGGAUUUUUGACUUCCUGAGCUUCGAAACGACAUAUAGAAUGCAUAAAUUGAACUCUAGGAAGUGCUCCAAAAGUGGCUGACAUGACUGUCAUCAAGAAUGCUUCAUGGCAGAUUUCUCUUUGCUUCCCCUCCUUGCAUUCCGGAUUUGCUUAUGGCAAAGGACUUCAAAGCUUCGGUUCUUCAUGUUUAUGAGCUUUCCAUUGCUUUUCCAUGGAUUCCAAAUAACUCUCCUCAAUAUUGGAUUGCUUUGGUGAUCAAAAAGCUAUCAAAACACCAAAACUUAACACAAUUUGAUUAGAAUUGAUUUCAAGGGUCCUUAAUAUGUUAAUUGGGUUAAAAGGUAAUAACUACUACUCAAAAGUGUUUAAAAGAGUUAAUUACAAGCUAUCAAAUAGCACUUUUUAAGUAGUAAUCACUCCCCCCAACCGACAUAUUGCUAGUCCCUUAGCAAUGAAGGAGAGAAAAAUAAAAAUAUAAAAUACAUAAUUUACAACAUCAUGCUUAAUCAAAAAACAAUUUCCAAGUGGCAUGAUGAUCUAACUCUCACAUGGAAUAUUAAAGAAAUAAAACUCAAACUUCAACAAGAGUUAUCAAAUAACUUGUCUAAUCACAAUUCUUAAAGAGAAGGCAUUAUGCAAAUUUAAGCUUUAAAAGAGUUUCCACUCCCAAAGGGUCAAACCUUACUCUUCCACAAAAAUCUAAGUGUUACUUAUUAGUUUCCGAAUAUAAUAUGUUGAACUAAUCUCUCCCCCCAACCUAGUUCUUUUUCAAAGCUUAGCAAACUGAUUAACCUCCAAUAGGUUAAGAACGCACCUCUUUUCUCACAAUUUUUUUUUCAUUGUAGGAGUACAAGGCUUAAAGGUAUUCUUUUCUAAAUUGUCCAUGUAACGGGGGUCCAUUGAUGACUCCCAACCAAUUAAGGUUUAGGGCAUCAAGUUUUAAGGAUUUUUCAACCACUAACUCCUCAGAUUUUACCCUGGCCUUUUGAGAAUGAAUUUUAAUACCCAAGCACCUACAGUAUGUUAAACUCCACCUAUUCACCCUUGUAACGAGCAUUGAGGUCAGUGACUUCCAACCAAUGAAGGCUUAGGGCACUAGGUUUUAAAGAUUUUCACCAUAUACCCCUUAGACCUUGCUCGGGUUUCAAGGCAAGCAAACAUUUUUUCUUUCUUUCUUUCUUUUUCAAAGGCUCAUUGGCCUUUUAUAAGGUGUCCCAACACUAUUAAAUGAGGUCAAAGGUACCAAGUCUAAAAUUUUCCUAAGUCAAGAGGGAAAUAGUUUUUCAUCUUAUACUCAGAACUUAUUGUGCAUAGUGUGUGAAUAGCUUAAAGUGGAAGAACUAAACUUGAAUUCAAUAGAAGUUUCAACAAUUCAUCAACUAAAGUAAGCAUAAUACAAAAUCUAAGUCAAGUAAAAAGACAAAAAUUCAAUUUCUCCCAUUUUAGUUUGAAAAUUUUUCCUUAAUAACCAUGAAGAGUAGAAUAAAAACUAAAAAAAAAAAAUUUAAAUUAAGCAAAAAGAAACUAAAUUACCAAAAUAACUUAGCAUUAAUAACAAAACUUACUUCCUCAACUCUCCCCCCAACCAAGCUGAACAUUGUCCGAUUGAAAAAUAGGGAGGAAAUGGUACCUCCUGAGUAACAUGGAGUCUGAGUCAUAUAGGAGAAACCACAUGUUUCAAAGAAAACAUAAGAGUUAGUGAGUAGAGGAAAUAGAAAAAUGCCAAGUUUAAACAAAAAAUGAUGUCUAUAUAUGAUGUAUAUAUAUGAUGUAUCAUCAGUAAUACAUCCAAUCCCAUAAUAUAAGACAUCAAAACAUGGAAUUAUCUAUACUAAUAUAAUAUGUAAAGACAAAAAGUAAAGAGAUGAUCAAGUAAUGGUAAGGUCCUAUGGAGUUGAUGCAUCUGUGGUGGCCUCUUGAGUGGAUUGGAUCAGGACUUUGGCCUCUGUUUUAGUAGUCUCCUUAGGUGGCAUAGUCUCCUCAACUGGAGCUCUCAGCUGGAGCCAUGGGCUCUGAUAGUUUUAGGAGGUCAAAAAUGGAGUGAGAGGCUUCGUGUGUGUGAUCUCAGGGUGCAUGGGGCUCUCUCCUUAGAUGCAUGGUUGUGAGGCUCUGUUGGCAUUUUUGCAACUUCCCUUGGCUUUGUAAGGUGUUUUCACAAAUCAUUUCAUAACUUGGAGGCCAUUUCUUAGCCACUUCGAAGCCAAAAGGAAAAAAGAAAAACAUUUUUUUGCAGCCCAUUUCGAAGUUUGGAAAUCAUUUCACAACCAUUUUAAAGUUUGGAAAAUCAUUUUGCAAUCAAAAGACCAUUUUCACAGCAAAUGGAGGAUUUCACAGGGGUAGCUAUGGGGUUGCGAAAACAUUUCGCAGCCAAAUGGGAAUUUCGCAGCCCAUUUUGAUGCCUGGAGCAUUUUCAUAGCCAUUUUGAAGCUUGAAGAUCAUUUUGUAUCCAUUUUGAACCUUGGAGAUCAUUUUGUAGCCAUUUCGAAGUUUGGAAAUCAUUUGGCAACAAAAUGGGAAUUUCGUAGCCCAUUUUUUAAGCUUGAAGCAUUUUCGCAGAGGGGAGUGGAUUUUGCGGAGGAGGGGAAUUUUUGCAGCCCAUUUCGCAGCUGCGAAAUGGGCAUAUGGGUGCUGCGAAGUGGCACUCGUGUGCCAAAGGGUGGUUUCGCAGCUGCGAAACACCCUUCGAAAUGGGGGCACGGCUGCGAAAUCAAAAAAAUUCCCGCUUUGGCUUUGCGCGGUUUGUCUUCAAAUGGCCAUAACUUCUUCAUUUCUAAUCCAAAUCGCACACCGUUUGAAGCACUGGACUCCUGACUUCAUAAGAUUUAAAACAACAUAUGUUAUACAUAAUUUGAGCUCCAGAAAGUGCUCCAAAAACGUGUCCAAUAGUAGCGAAAUGGGGUACGGCUGCAACAUUUCCAUUCAUCUUUGUACAGUCGUCUUCAAACGGCCAUAACUUCUUCCUUUCAACUCCAAAUCGAGCACCGUUUGAAGCUAUGGACUCCUGACUUCCCAAGAUUUGAAAUGACAUAUGGUAUGCAUGAAAUGAACUUCGUUAAGUGAUCAAAAUGUGUCCAAUGGGGGUGCGGCUGUGACAUGUCUGUUCAUGGUGUGCGCGCUGAAGGAUUUUAAGGCAUGGGGAUUUCGUAACCAUUUUGCAGCUGCGAAAUGAGUGUAGGGGGCUGCGAAAUGGCUCUCAUGUGCCAAAGGGUGGUUUCGCAGCUGCGAAACACCCUUCCAAAUGGCGUAUCGACUGCGAAAUGGAGGAUUUCAAGGCGUGGAGGUUUCGCAGCUGCGAAAUGGAUGUACGGGGCUGCGAAACCAUUUCGCAGCAAGGGGGCGAUUUUCGCAGCAGGUCAAUUUUGGCUACGAAAUUUCGCAGGCCAUGCUCUCUCCUUGCUUUUGAGCUCCUCUUGAUUCCCAACUUCCUUCUUUCACCUCUUUUGACAUUUCUCUUGAUUUUGAUCAUCCAAAAACCUAUGUUACAUCAAAACAAAUUAGAAUUAAAGCAUUGAAAUCAAAAUUAAAGCAUUGAAAUCAAAAUUUAAAACAUGAAAUUAAGAUUAAAACAAGUAAACAACAAAACAAAAAGAUAUGGACUAGCUAGUCUUUAAAAAGACUAAGUCCAUCAAAAAAUUUGAUCUUGAUUUAGCUUGCCCGGAUCCCAUAUGAAGUUUGCAUCCCUCACUUGAGACUUGGUUUGUAUGAUUUUCCCAUACAAAGCUUGGGGGAAAGGUGGAGGCAUGUGUUUUUUCAUCAUUUCUUCCUUGAUGACUAUCCUCUAUGGUUCUUCAUCUACAUUAACAUCAUAGCCAUCUUUUUCUAUGCUUUUCCCCUUUUUCUUUUCUUUUUAUUUCCUCCCUCUUUUCUUUCUUUGUUUCACUGUCUUCCUUAUGCUCUAGCUUGCAUGUGGGCAGAUCAACCUCUUAACCACUCCUCAAAGUGAUAACCAUUUUAACUUCCUUCACCAUUGAAGAUUCUCCCUCCUUAGCCUCCAUUUCAUGGAUACCCUUUUGAUUUUGAUGAGGUUGAGAAGGAAAGUUUUCUUUCUCUUGCACUGUGUUGAGGUUGGCAAACCUUGAGAUUGAACAUUGGAGAUUAUCUAUCUUCUGAGAUAGAUCACUUUGCACUCCAUCCAUCUUUUUGUUCAAUGAACUCUCUACACUGUCAAUUCUUUGAGUAAGCUAAGCAUUGAUGGAUUUUUAAGCUUCGAGAAAGUCUCCCACGACCUUGCUAAGAUUCACCAUAGCUUGAUCAAGGUUCAAGGCUUGCGGAAGUGCUUGAACAUGUUGCUUGUACUGAGGUGAUUGUGGUUUCCAAGAGAAAUUUGGAUGGUUCCUCCAAUUGGAAUUGUAGGUGUUGCAAUCACCAAACAUUUCUCUUACCGUUGGAAUGGUAGGACACUCAUCCACCAAGUGCUCAUAAGAUAGACAAAUGGAACAGGGCAUAGGUUUCAAUGGUGUCUGAGAGAUGGCUUGCACUUCUUGCAUCUUCUUCAUUUCUAGCUCUUCCAAUCUCCUUGCCAUAGCUGCAAUCUUUGUCUUCAUGUCUAUGUCGUCAUUCAAAAUAUACAUCUCACCCUUAGCAUUAGGUUGAGACUUCAUUCUCCCCAUAUUUCUAGCAUUUGGUUCAUCCCAUCCUCUUGAAACUUUAGCCACAUAACUCAUGAAGUUCAUGGCUUCCUCUACUAUCUCGUAUUCAAUAUGGCAUGCACAACUAGCAAUUUGUGAAUUAAAAACAGAGAAAACAAAAGAAAAACAAAAGAAAACAAUUCUAAGAAAAAAAAUUAAGGUAAACUAAAAACUAAAUAAAAGGUAUACUCAAAUAUGAACAAAGGAAAAUAGACAAAUAAAAAGAGUUAGUAAAAAGAAAAGAAAAUUCACCAAACUUGUGAUGAAGAUCACAAGUACUCUAGAAAGGUGAUAUCACUGUAAAGUGGCACCAUUCCCGGCAACGGCGCCAUUUGAUACGUUCCCAAUUGGUGUCUCAGCUGAUUCAUGUGCAGCUGGUGUCCCUUGAUUUUGGUCCUCAGGGAGUAAUCAACAAAAUUUAUAACCUAUUACACCAUGUACUAGGAUAGCCUUAGCUAGCAUAGCAUAGUGGCUCUAGGGUCAUUCACUGGGAUGGGUUUUCACUUCACAAUUGAUAUUAAUUCAAAGUUGAAUUGGUGCCUUUUCAUUUCAAGGUUAGCUUUAAAAGAAAACAUAAAGAUGUUUGAAUGAAAAAGGUUUGGUUUUAAACUAACCAAAAAUAGUAACUGAUUUUACUCACAAAGAAAAGUGUUUCUUGGAGUUUAGAUCACUAGGCUCAGGUUCCUUAUACAAAAAGGGAGUUCCGGUCACUUGUUUCUUUUCCUCACAUUAGAGAAUUAACAUAUAGUUAAUUCUAUAACCGGUGUAGUACAGAUGCUUCCCCUUAAUGGGUUCAAACACUAAAUCCCUCUCACUGAUGCAUCUUGCAAUGGCUCGUGCCUCCCAUCUAGCAUUUGCCAUCCAAGAUGAUCCUUAACCUUGGAUUACCCGUCAAAAGCUCGCAAGAGAUAACUAAUGGAUGUCUCCUUAGAGUCCAAAAGCUUACCAAGUGUUGGCUAUUCUAGAAAAUCCUACCUUCAAACCACCUCCCAAAUGCUCGCAAGAGGUAAACUAGUGCAUCUCAAUGGACGGAGAUCACUUGCCUUACCAAGUGUUGGCCCAGGUGAUUUAAAGGCGUUUUAAGUUAACUAAAAAGAUAAAAACCAUUAACGGGUCACACUUUCUUUUCAUUAAAAACUAAAACAACAAAACUUCCAAUUUAUGCAUGAGGAAACUUACCCGGAUUUCUUCACUCCAAGAGACGAAGAGCCUAGCCUCUCAUCCUCUGAGGAAAAAUCCUCAGAGUUUGAUUAGCUAGAAAGAAAAAUAAUGAGAAAACAAAAAUAUAUAUGAAAAGCAAAGCAAGUGCUUUGUAAAAUAUAUUUCUUACUCUCGUCGGAUUACAUGAUGAUCGUCUCUCAUAACAGGCUCCCCAUAUCUUUUAUAUAUGGGGUUAUUCACCCUUUGUUCUUAUUUAAAGACUAAAGAAUACUAUGAUAGGUGGGUUACAAGGAGAGUUUGGGGAUUUAGACAUCAAAUAUCUAAAGCGAAAAAUCUCAAAAUGUCGCUCGCAAAUAUCGGGAAGCUUUAGGAGAAAUUCUGUUGCACUGUGCAAAAUGGCUACGAAAUUUUCGUAGCAAAAGGACAACAUUUUCGUAGCCCAAGGCUGAUUUCGCAGUCGUGCAAAAAUUUCCUUCAGCUUGGAGUGAUCUGCUUGCAAUGGCUGUAAAUCCUUCAUUUCAACUUCGAAUCGUGUACCGUUUGAAGCAUUGGAUUUUUGACUUCCUGAUCUUCGAAAUGGCAUAUAGCAUGCAUAAAUUGGAAUCCAGGAAGUGCUCCAAAAGUGGCUGACAUGACUAUUAUCAAGAAUGCUUCAUGGCAGAUUUCUCUUUGCUUCCCCUCCUUGCAUUCCGGAUUUGCUUAUGGCAAAGGACUUCAAAGCUUCGGUUCUUCAUGCUUCUGAGCUUUCCAUUGCUUUUUCAUGGAUUCCAAAUAACUCUCCUCAAUCUUGGAUUGCUUUGGUGAUCAAAAAGCUAUCAAAACACCAAAACUUAACACAAUUUGUUUAGAAUUGAUUGCAAGGGUCCUUAAUAUGUUAAUUGGGUUAAAAGGUAAUAACUACUACUCAAAAGUGUUUAAAAGAGUUAAUUACAAGCUAUCAAAUAGCACUUUUUGAGUAUUAAUCAUGGAGUAUGAUAGAUCAAGAGUCACUCAUAUUCAUAUCGACAUAUAUCUAUUUUUAAGAUAUAGGAUAAAGUUUGAUUUUGAUUUGACGAUUUACACUGGGGCAAAUCCAUCUCAGGGAGUUUAUAUUUUGACGUAGCCCUCUUAUUGGUGAUUAAUUUUUUAGAUGAUAACUUAUGUUAGGGCAUAGUCACUUCAUUCCUUCUCAUGGAGAAUGAUAGAUCAAGAGCCACUUGGAUUCAUGUCUACAUAUAUUCAUUUUUUAGAUUUGGGAUAGAGUUUGAUUUUGAUUUGACAAUUUACAUUGAGGCAUAGCCACCUUAGAGAGUUUAUACUGGUGUAUAACCCUUUCAUUGAUGAUUGAUUUUGAGAUGAUAACCUAUCAUAAGGCAUAGUCACUUUAUUCCUUCUCAUGGAGCAUGAUGGAUCAGGAGUUGCUUGGAUUCAUAUCGACAUAUAUCCAUUUUUAAGAUCUAUGAUAGAGUUUGAUUUUGAUUUGAUGAUUCAUACUAGGACAUAGCCACUUUAUUCCCUCUCAUAGAGCAUAAUGGACUAGGAGUCACUUGGAUUCAUAUCGACAUAUAUAGAUAUAUAUAUAUAUAUAUAUAUAUAUAUAUAUAUAUAUAUAUAUAUAUAUAUGUAUAGGAUAAAGUUUGAUUUUUAUUUGAUAAUUUAUACUAAAGUAGAGGUCUAUCUUGAUGAGAUUGUGUAUAUUACGACAUAACCAUUCUAGAGAUUACCUUUCACCAAGGUUUGAACAUUUCAGAUGUUACCUUAUAUACUAGGGCAUACUCCUCUUAUCAGUGCUUGAUUUUGGAGAUAAUUAAUUUGUUGGGGCCUUACCCAUUUUGACUUGAUAGAUUCAUGUUGGGACAUAGCUCACUCAGUUGAUGAUUUAUUUUUUUUAUUUUUUUUCUGAAAUAAUAGUUUAUACUAAGCAUAACCACUCUAUUUAACUCCCUACAUUGGGCCAUAACCAUUAUCUUAGAGGUGAUCAUACAUUUUUUUCAAAAGUAAUUUUUAUAAAUAGAGGUGUGGACCCCGUAUUUUUGCUCGAUGUUUUCCCACUCGAUGGCGAAACUGGCUUUUUUAUUUAUUUGGUGAAAAUUUGAUUUUUUUUUUUUAAGGAAAUACUUGGAGUCGCCACUUAUUUUUGUUUUAUUUUUAAAGGGUAAACAAAAUAAGAAAAAAAAACUCUAAAUGUGACUCCUUAUUUGGAAAGGACAGUCUAUGAGAAACCAAAUACAGGUUCGGGGGUCAGGUUACUUAUCGGGAAGGUACGGUAAAGACCAUAGUACCCCUCUAAGUCCCUAAAAAUGGGUUUUUACUUAAUAAGGUAAGGCAGAUGUGGCAAUUGAUGAAGAAGUCAAUGGAUACCGGUGAAAUAAUUAAAUAAUAAAGUGAAUCAUGCAUCAGAAUAAAUGAAGUGGGAAUGAGAUCGUACCUUGGCAGCAAUUAAUAGUGCGCUAUCAUGGAAACAAGGUUAGCUCAAGUAUAAAAUCAUCACAUGCAUAUCAAAUAGUAAGAGAAAGAUCAAGCAAUAUUCAUUAAGCAUAACAACUGACAAUCAAGAGAGAAAACUCAAGUGUAGGGCCCCCACCAAAGCCCAAUUUAUCUUGCAUGAAUUAGUCUCACAAAUUCCAUUAUUUUGGAAUUGUGAAAAAUUCAUUCUUACUUAUUUAAAAAUCAAGAGGAACAGAAAAAUUGUUUUUAAAUCAAAGAAAAAUUUAUGAAGGUGCUUGCCUAAGAGAAAAGGGCAACAAGUUUACUAAAAACAGGAUUUUUGGUGUUCCUGAACCUUAAGGAAAGAUGAAGAGUAGUAGAAUUAAAGAAAUAUUUGAAAACUAGAGUGAAAUCAAAAUUAUUCAAAAAAAUUGAAAGCUCUAAAAUUAUUUGAAAAUUAGCAUUUUGAAAAUUAGAUUUAAAAAUCGGAAUUUUGGGAAUUAAAUUUGAAAGAAAUUGGAAUUUUGAAGAGUUAUUUAAAGAUGGAAUUUUAAAAAUAAAUAAAUAAAUAGAAUAAUAAUAAUAACAAAAAUAAUAAUGAUUAAAUAAAUAAAUAUGAGAAUUGGAAUUUUGGAAAUUGGGAAUUAAGUUUGAAAAUCGGAAUUUUGAAGAAUUAUUUAAAGAUGGAUUUUUUUAAAAAUAAAUAAAUAAAUAGAAUAAUAAUAAUAAUAACAAAAAUAAUAAUGAUUAAAUAAAUAAAUGUGAAAGUUGGAAUUUUAAAAAUGAACAAAUAGAAUAAUGAUAAUAAUGAAAAUAAUAAUCAUUAAAUCAAUAAAUGUGAAAAUUGGGACUUUAGAAAUUAAGAAUUAAAUUUGGAAAUCGACAUUUUGAAGAGUUAUUUAAAGAUGAAAAUUUUAAAGAUCAAACAUGAAGGAUAGGAAUUUCAAAAAAUUAUUUGAAAAUAGAAAUUUGAAAAUUAAAUUUAAGAAAAGAGGAUUUUGAAGAAUCACUUGAGAAUGGAAUUUUAUUUAUUAUUUUUUUUUUAAAUUAGAUUUGAAAGAAAUUGGAGUUUCGAAAAUUUAUUUGAAGGUGACAUUUUAAAAAAAUAUUAAAUUUGGAAUGUUGGAAUUUUUGGAAAAUUUAUUUGAAGAUUAUAUUUCGGAAAAUUAAUUUUUGAAGAUUGGAAUCUAGGAAAAUUAUUUUGAGGAUAGAAUUUCGGAAAAUUAAAUUAAAAAAAAAUGAAAUCUUGGAAAAUUAGAAUUUUGAGAAAUUAUUUUGAAAAGUAAAUUUGAGAAUAGAAUUUCGGAACAUUAAAUUUCGAAAAUUGGAAUUUUAGAAAAUUAUUUUAAUAUCCAAAUGUGAAUAAAUAAUAAAUAAAAAAAUGGGUUGUGGUGAUCCUCGUGUGCAAAUUACACAUGUCCAGUACAGUGGCAAUAAACCCAUUUUCCAUCAGUUGCUCCAUGCACUGCUAGAACCCAUUUUCCAUACCCCUUAUCCACCACCGCCAUCAAAGCCAUUAAAAGUCUCAUAACUAGUGCAGCCAUGCAUGGAGCAUUAAACCCAUUUCCCAUCCAAACAAACAGAUACCAUCGAUCAAACUUUGAGAAUCCUCGCCGGCUUCACCACCGGAUUCUCCUUCGCGAUCAUUGCCCGUCCUGCCGCCUUGUAAUCGAACCUGCACUCAUGCCGAUCGGAGUACCGAUGAUUCGAGCAGAACAUAUUGCCACACCGGUACCGAAAGCCGAUCAGUCCUAGCUUCCUCUUGCAUUUGGAGCACCAGUUCACCUCCCUCCUCAUAUCCUUGUUUCUCAGUUGUGAACAUUUCCUCUUGUAAAUUUUCUGAGUGCUACCUCCAGCCUUAACCUCGUCAUAAAGCUUCUUUUCCCAAGCAUACAACCUUCCCAGUGUUAAUGAAUGGCUUCAGGAUGAAGACCGUGAUGAGCUACGGUGCCCUGUGAUAGCUUGGAUGAGUUUUUUUUUUUUUUUUUUUUGUCGAGUUCCCUACAUGCUCUAACCAUGGUACAAAGCUCGAAGAUUUCAUAUUCAUUUAUCAAUUAUGGAGAGCAACGCAAAUGCCAGAGAAGCAUCUCCAUAGUGCGAAACCUUAAACAUCCAACCCAAAAUGCCACAAGCUGAGAACUCCCAUAAACGAAGACCACCUCUGUAUCUGACCAACCAUGAGCAAACCCAUUUUACCCGAUCUUCACAAAGUUUCCAUCUCUCUCAAAAACAUUUUUGAUAUCAUGACCUCCAUAGCCAGGACACCCAAGAAAGGAAGGGGAAGAAAACAUGGAUGCAGAAACAUAGAGAAUGAAACCCAAGGAGAAUGGAGGAAAGGCAGAUAAUGGGUGAGUAAUCAAACAAGCAACAUUUCAUUGUUUGCCAACGGGCUGGGGUUGGUGAGUGAGCCAAAACAUAUUCUAAGUAAGGAUCAAAACACGGUCGCGAGCAUUUCAUAAAGAACCAAAACAAAAUCGAACUAAUUUCAACAAAACCAAUAAAAAAUGAAACAUGAACAUAUUAUGGCCCAAACUAAACAAUUCAAAGAUCAAUAAAUAAAACUAAAUGCAUGACAUGAUACCCAUACCCAAGCCAAUAGUAGAUGAUGCUCAGAAUAGCAAUAACAAGAAAGGAAAACAAAGAAAACCUAAAGUAAGGCAACCUGUAGUGGCCAUACCUGAGCUCCUUAAGUGAAACUGUGUUCGGCUUCUUUUCCUUCAACUCUCUCUCUGUUCUGCUUCUCUUCCAUUCAUCUCACCCUUUUUUUUUUUUUUUGUAGACUCACCUCUGUCCUAAAAAAAACCGCUCCUCAUCGCAUGCUCCGAUCAUGCUCUACAGCUCCCUCAUUCCCCUCAUCUCUACCUUGUUAGCUCCCGUUCCAUCCAUCAUCUCUUGCUCAGAGAUGUCUCUCUCUAAACCACCACCAUGGCAAGUUGGUGGUGGUUGCCACACGUCCAUGCAGCUCGCCCCCUCUAGAAAGAGGUCCCCUCACUUCAAAAAUGAAAAAAUUUCAACUCCCGGGUCGCGUCCACAUAGGGAUCUACAAGAGGUCUUAAAGAAUUUUUAUUUUUAUUUUUUAAAUAAGAAUAGCAUGAGUAAACCUUUAAAUCGAACUAAAAGACCUUUUUUAAUUAAUUGGUAAACUAAUCUCCUACUAGAUGAAAUCUAGAAUUCUUUCUUAAUAAAGUUGGAAUCCUUGGGAACAAAUUUGUGAAAUUCUUUCUCUAAAUAAAUUAAUAAUAAAGAAUUUUUUUCUAGGUAAAAUAAAAAAAUAUGUUUUUAAUAAAAGUGGGUUAAAUUCCUUCUUAUAAACUUGGAAAUAUCUUUCUUUAAGUUUGUAGAUUUUUUAAAAAAAAAUAAAUAAAUAAAUAAAGAUUGAAUCAAAACAUUUUUUUAAAUAAAUUAGUAAAAUUCACCCCUCUUCUUAAUAAGGUAAGCAAAAAUCAUUUCUUGUACAACAAAUCAAAUCAAAUCUUUUAUAAUAAAUUGAAGCUUUGUGAAUAAAUAAAUUUAAAUUACUAAUUUGAAAUUGUUGUUAAAAUAAAUGAAUUCUUCGAAAAUUUUUGGAAAUUAUAUUAUGAUAUUUGAAAUAAUAAAAUCUUUCUCAGAAAUUAUUUUGUGCAUCUCUCAUGUAUCAUUUCCACAUAUCCUUAUAAUUUGCUUUUGCAUUAUUCUGUGUACUUAUCAUUCUUUUUUUCAGUAUCCAUGAUUAAUUAAUUAAUUAAUUGUCAUAAUUCCCUUUUACGCGCUUACUAAAAACCUUUUUAAGGCUUAAAGGGGUGCUAGCCUAUGGUACCUUCUCAUAUGGUACCUUCCCAAUAGGUAACCUGACUUCUAGAUUCGAACUAGGUUUUUACUGACACGUCUUUUCUUUAAAAAAUGAGUAACAAUAUGGCUUUAUUUUUUUUCUUUUAAAAAUAAACAAAAAUGAGUGACGACUCUAACCUGAAAAAAAAAAUAGUUUUUUAUAAUAAAAACAAGUCUCGCCAUCAAGUGAGACACACAUGAAAAAUGAGAGUUCACAAUUGUAUUUCUUAGACUUAAAAUAUAAUACAAUUACUAAAUCAAUGAAUGUUGUGAGUUUUAAAAUCUUUGAUCAUAAAAGAUACAAAGUAUAAUGGAACAAAUAGAUUUCAAAAGAAAAAAAAUGUUUAAAAUGGAAAAUCUAACAAGAAAGACAAUGAAACAAGGUGAUACGGUAGGAGUGAUUACUACUCAAAAAGUGCAUUUUUAUAAGCUUAAACUUAAUUAUAUUAAGCACUUUUGAGUAGUAGUUAGAUCUUUUAUCCCAAUUGGCAUGUUAAGGACCUAGCAAAUGUUACUAACCAAUUUUUGGUAAGUUUUAGUGUUUUUGGUAGCUUUUUGAUCAUUGAAACAGGCCAAGAUUGAGGGAGAGUUUGGAGCACAUGAAGAAUCUGAGCUUUGGGGCACUUCAAAACCCCUUGCCAAACUUGGAAAGGGGUUGGCAAAGCUAUUAGUAGUAAGAUGGAGGAAAACAGAGCAUUUUGCAAGGCAAAAUCAUUAGUUUUGCAGGGUAUGCCAAAUUUUGGCAGGGUGUGCCAAAGUUUCGCAAGAUGUGCAAAAAAUCACUUUGUGCGCACCGACCUUCGAGAUUUUUCUCCAGAACUGUAAUUUUUCCUUUUUACUCCUUUUGUAAUAGAUAAAUGACAUUAGGGUUUGUUUAGGAACUAUAAAUAGGGGUUGGAAAACCUCUCAAAUCAUAUUAUGUUAUGUUAGAUAUUAUGUUUUAGAUACUUUUGUAAAGACGAGUUUUUCUCUGCCUUUCCUUCUCAUUUUCUCUUCACUUUCUCUCUAGCCAAACACCCUUUGAGGAUGAUUUCUCAGAGGAUGAGUGGCUAAGUUUCACGUUUCUUGGAGUGAUGGAAGCUAGGUAAAGGACCCGGAUGCAAAUGUGGGAGUUUUCCUUGCUUUAAAUGAAGGUAGUUGUGUAUCAUUAAUGGUUUGUAUUUCAAGUUUCAGCUUUAAUCCCUUAGAAUCACCUUGAAUGGCCAAUACUUGGUAAGCUUUUAGGAUUCUAAGGAUGCCAAUUGCUAGAUCCAUGGAUGUCCAUUAGUUAUCAAGUACGAGCCAUUGGAAGGUAGUUCAAGGUGAGGGUCUUUAGUGUUUAAAGCCAUUAAUGGGAAGCAACUACCAUUUUUCAAGAACCCUUUGGAUCAAAACUUAUUUGCUAAAUACAAAUCCGGUUUGGGAGAUAACCAUCCUUUAUGUUAUUGUCCCCAAUGUGAGGAGAAGAUCCGGAAUUUCCCACUUUGCAACAGGAACUUGAUCCUAGUAACCUAUAGCUCCAAGAGACUCUUUUUGUAGUAAUUUCAGUUGUUUAUGUAUGCUUAACUUAAAAUCAACCUUUCCAAUCAAUCUUAUUUUCAUUAAAAACUAAAUUUCCAAAAAAGGAAAUCACCAUUUCUCAUUUCAUUAAUGUUAAGUGUACAAAGAAAACUCAUCCCUGUGGACAAUCCUAGAGCCACUAUACUAUAGUAGCUUUGUCUUUGCUACCCUAGUAUAAGGUGUUGUAGGUUUAAUAAAUGUUUUGAUAAACACCCAACUGGGCAUGAAUCAAGGAGUUAAAUAGAGAAAUAUUUUAUCCAUGAAUUUAUAGUUUAUUUAGUAGAAAAAAUUUCUAAAGAAAUAUUGCAUACAUUAAUGGAUUAAGUAGAUAAAAGGAAUUUAAGCAAUUUGACAUUUAUGCUUUAGUUAGAUAACAUCAAAUAGAAAUUUGAUAUUAUUAGUUUCCAUAUUGAGAUUAGAAAUCUAUUAAAUGGACAUUAAGAUUAUCUUUCUUUGAAUGGCUAUAUAAAUUAAGAGUAUAUGGGGGUAACCUAAAGGAUUUCUGACAAGAACACGAAGUUAGGGAUAUAUACAUUUAGCUAGGUUGGAUUAUAACCAAUCCAAGAAUCAAAUAGGAGUUGAUUGGUUUUAACUAAAGUAUUAUAAAUUUAUUUAUUGACUCAAACUAAUCCAACUUAAUAUUAGUUUGAUUCAAUUUAGUUAACUUAAUUUAGACCAAAAUAUUGAGCCUAUAUAUUUUUUUUCUCUACAUUGACCAUAGAACCAAAAUGAUUGAUUUGUUUUAGAUAAAAAUAGUUUUUUUUACAAAUAAUAAAAUUAAUUUUUUUUUAAAAUAAUGUGUAGGAGCAAACCAGUGGGUUAUUUUCUUAUUGGGAGUAAGUCAAUGAGUAGUAUUAUUGACAUAUUGGGUGCUCAUGACUUGAAAUUAUAUUAUCAUCAUUAUUAAGUUCCACGGUACACGAAUUUUAAAUGUUAGGUCAUGCCUUAUGCCAUAAGCAACUUUUAUUUGUAAUAAAGCGAUGAGAGUUAGGAUCUAGGCCUCCAACACCAAACUGUAGCCUAGCUAAGUUAGCUUUGGAUGGCAUGGUUUCACUCACAAAGUCUCAAGAUUGUCCACAAAACUCCAAAAUCCAAGUAAAUUAUAUUUGUGCCUCCCCUUCUACUGCUUGGGUUUGUUUGCCAAUCCACUUUUAGUAAGUGAUCUAGGUCAAACCUUUCAUAAUCCAAAUACUUAAACUAGUUUGAUCUCUAGUUUCACUACACUACCAAAAUAAAGUAAUUCAAGUAGAAAGAACCAAUGGCACAUACAUGACAAGUUUUGCUAUUGGGGAAGUUUACAAAUAGUCUGUGGAGACCUUUUUCUAGUAUAAUUUGAGACAAAUGCUAAUGGGUUGCCCAUGAACUAUUAUCCAAGGCUAGUUAGGCUUAUCUGUCAAACAAUAGAAAUUCAAGAUUUGGGGGCCAAAUGAAAGUGAUCAAGUUUGAAGUUAAUGGAAUUGCUUAUUAGCUCAAUAUAGAGGCUUAUCUCAAGCACCUUAUCAGUACAAUGCUUCAAGUUGAUUAACUACAUGCAUACACUAAAGACUUCCACAACAAAGGAAAUUUGGCAAGAAUAAUCUAAAGAGCUACUGCAAGAGAGAAUGAUCUUUUGAACAUAUGUAAUUGGUUGUGCAUUAAUUAAGAAGGCUUCUAAAGUUGGAUAAGUUGUUUAUAAUUUUUAAAAGGGAAUUUGCAAACUUCACAGAAUUGAUCUAAGAGAUAUUUACCAAUCAUGAUAAUAAAGUAUUGAGGAAAAACUUUAGCAGCAAACCAAGUUGUAUUUGCUAAGAAUACUUACUACAUAAAUAUUAAGAAAGAAACUAUUUAGUGGUAAAAGACAAGUUGAUAGUUUUAGUUCAUGAAGUUUUCAUUGUCUAAGCUAACAUCAAAAGCUAUAAUAAGAUAAAUCCCAAUAAGGUAAGACAAAAGGCUACACAGAAGGGAGAUCUUGCUCCUUGUUGAAAAUCUCAUUCAAUUGCAAAUCUACCACAUCAAGAAUGCUUCCUCUUCUAUAAUUUUCUCAUACCCAACCACAAUACUAUUAUUAUACUUGUUCUGCAUGCUUUUUUUCUUUUCUUUUUUUUUUUAGCUUUCUAAGUUAUUUUUUCUUUGGCUAUAGCAAUAGUUUCACUAGUGUGUUAAAUUCUCUUAUAGGUAAUUCCUCAAACAUAUAAUGUCCUCAUUGUUGCUAUUAAGUCUUGUAGUAUGAAAUGAAAAAUUAAAUUUCUUGUAUUCAAAAUCAAAUGGAAGCACAUGGAUUAAAAAAGGAAAACACAAGAGAAACAUGAAAUCCAAUUACAAAGAGUAGUAUCAAAUUUUCCAUAUCUAAAAAAUUCAAGUGUUAAGAUUUCUAAGAAUGAAAAAAAAAAAAAAGGUACAUUGAGAGAAGACCUACAUCUACAAAACAUCAAGGUGUGAGGUUAAGAGAGGAAUGAAUUCAAUCCAUACCUGAUAUGAAGACAUGGAUUCGAACACAUUGACUAGAUUUGAAGAAUGCAAUUCAUCCAUGGGAACUUGUGUACUUGAAGAGGGUUGGUUUUGGGAGGUAUUGGAAGAUGAUUGGAGUAUGGUGGUAGUUGUUGAAAGGAUAGAUGGUGGUGGGAAGCCAUAGCUACUAAUGAAGAGGAAGUUAGAUGAAUUGGAGACUCGAUGAAGAAGAUAAUGUGAGCUUGAUAAAAUUUCCUCCAACUUUCCCCUUCUCUUUCUCUCUUAUUUUCCUCACUAAUUUUUAAGGAAAGUAGAAGGGAAAAUAUUACAAUAUUUUCUUUAGCAUUUUCUUUUAUAUUUAUUUCCAUCAUAUUUUUCAUGUCACCUAAACUAAGGAAAAUAUCUUUCCAUAUUAUUUUUUUGGUCCUUUCCCUUGCAUUUCUAAAAAUCAAACACAAUCUUUAUAAAUAAAAAUUAAGAACUAUACCAAGAUUGUAUAUUCUUCCUCUUUAUUCCUGCAUUUCUACAUCUACUACUCUAUUUGACAUCAUAUUUUUACUCUAUUAUUCAAUAAGCAUUCCUCCCUUCAUAUAGAGUUAUCUUCACACCAAUUCAUAAGAUAAGAAAGACGAAUGAACCUUGGGGCAAGGUUGGACAACUAGUGGCAACUAGUCAAGGCUUGAAGUCAACUUUUGCUUGACUUUUUUUGGCAUGGGAAUCUACUUGUGGACCCCUCUUUAGCAUGAAAAUGGCUAGAAUGUGUUAAGCUCUCUUAUUAGAUGAUAUAUGAUGUGUGAACCAUACGCCAAUCAUAGGGUAGGGAAUAUAUGGUAAUUAUGCAAAAAUAAUGAUAACAAAAAAAAAAAAAAUUGGUAUCCAAUUAUAUAAAAAGACAUCUUCCAACAUUUGAUAUAUAUCUGUAAAAAUUAAGCGGAAAAUAUUUUUAAAAAAAAACAUAUUGAACCUAAAAAUAGGGACUUAAUAAUAAAAUAAAGCAAAAAGGUAAAAGUAAAACAAAAUAUUAAAUAUGAAUAUUGUUUAGGUAUUAAAAAUAUUAUUAUUUAGGUUUAAUCAUGGUUUGUUAGAGGAGUUUGUAUAUAUUAUUUUUAUUUUUAUUUUUUAUCCUAUCUCUAUCUCUGCACAAAGUUUGUAAAUUAAAUAUUUAUUUCUGUUAUUUAAAGGAAUUAUUGAAAUGAUUGCAUGAAAGAUUUAUUCCAUAACCUAAAAUAAUGAUAUUGGCAUUAUUUAUUUACAUAUAUAUAUGUGUGUGUGUGUGUGUGUGUGUGUUUACUCGAAUGAUAGGCUGAUUUUUAGCCAUUAUAAUAAUAAUUGUAUUAUUUAUUAUUGAAAUAAAAUGGUUGUUGUCCUCUAAUUUUGAUUUGAAAUAUAGGGGGUAUUUCUAACACUAAGAUGAUGUUUAUUUUUUUAUUGAAUAAAAAAAAUUAAAAUAUUUGAUUUUAUUUUAUUCAACUAAAAUCAACUUGUUGAUAUCAAUCAACAUAACUAAAAUUAACUUAUAAUUAAUAAGUUUAGUUUAGUUAUGUUGGUUGAUAUCUACUGGUUAUUUUUAACUAAAUAGAAAAAAUUAAAUAUUUUAGUUUUUUCUAUUCAAUAAAAAAGCAAACGCAUCUAAAAUUAUAUAAUAAAAAUGCUUUGACUAGAAAUAAAUUUCAUGUGGACCACUAUCAAAUACCAUGCACAAGGAGAAAUAUGAAUCCUCACUAGCUCUUUGAUUUUAAUUCAUUGAAUUUCAUGUUCCCUAAAACAAAAUUAUAUUUCAUGUCAUGUAUUAUGAGUAGACAACCAUUCCUUAUGUUAGAUUUUAGAUAAAGAACAAAUAUUGGAGAUUGAAGUUGUAAGAAAUUAGGAAAUCCUAAUUUUAAAUAUGUAACAAAGUUCUAUAAUCGCUUCAAUCCAUGUUUUAAAAUUUGUAUUUCUUUCUAAUAUUGGAGCAAACAUUUUCUUUCUUUCUUAUAAAUUUAAUCUGGGAAUGAUUUAAAAAUAAAUAAAUAAGAGCCCUUCUAAAUAUUAAAAAGUAACACUUUCUUAUAAAAUUUAAUUAGGUGGAUGGUAAGGUCAAAUUUGGGAUAGCUUCAUAGUUUUUGCUUUAACUAAAAAAUAAAAUCAAAAUUAAAGUAACAAUUUUUAAGGGGAAAUAUUGAUAUUGUAAAAGUUUUAUUAAACAUGAAAGAAUUUCUUAAAUAAACAAAAAUAGAAUUGUAAAAUUCUUAUAAGAAAUAACAUUUUUAUGACUUCUACAUGAAACCUUUUUUUAAAGUUGUAAGUUUUUUCUUAAAAAUAAUUAAAUAGGUAUAAAAACUUUUAUUUAACUCUUAAAAGUCAAUCCAAAUAAAAUAUAUAUAUAUAUAUAUAUAUAUAUAUAUAUAUAUAUAUAUAUAUAUAUAUAUAUAUAUUUGAAAAUCACUUUUAAAAAUCCAAAAAAAAUCACUUAAAAAUAAUUUAUAAACAUUUUAAAAAAAAUUUACAUCUAAAAAACAAAAAAUUAAAAAUAACACUUUCUUAUAAAAUUUAAUUAGGUGGAUGGUAAGGUCAAAUUCGGGAUAGCUUCAUAGUUUUUGCUUUAACUAAAAAAUAAGAUCAAAAUUAAAGUAAUAAUUUUUAAGGGGAAAUAUUGAUAUUGUAAAAGUUUUAUUAAACAUGAAAGAAUUUCUUAAAUAAACAAAAAUAGAAUUGUAAAAUUCUUAUAAGAAAUAACAUUUUUAUGACUUCUACAUGAAACCUUUUUUUAAAGUUGUAGGUUUAAAUAAAAACAAAAUUAAAUACGUAUAAAAACUUUUAUUUAACUCUUAAAAGUCAAUCCAAAUAAAAUUUAUAUAUAUAUAUAUAUAUAUAUAUAUAUAUAUAUAUAUAUUUGAAAAUCACUUUUAAAAAUCCAAAAAAUCACUUAAAAAUAAUUUCUAAACAUUUUUUUUAAAAUUUACAUUUAAAAAACAAAAAAUUAAAAAUGAUUUAUUUUUACUAGUUAUUUAAAUUUAAGAAAGCAGGAAAGGUUUACUCUGAUGUUAAAAAUAAAAAAUAAAAAAAUAAAAAAAAUAAAAAAAAAUUAUGGGUUGAAAAGUAAUUAAAUCACUAAAAAAUAGACUUAGAGUUCUUAUUUUAAUUUGAAAUAAAUAAAUAGAAAAGAACUGAUUUUCUCUCAAUUGUGUAAGACUUCAUAAAAAUAUUCUUAUUUGCAAAAUAUUUUGAGUUUUAAAAGUAAAAAUUAAACAAAUCAUUUCAUGACCUUUUUCACAAGUAUCCAUUUAGAUCAUAGUCUAAUUUUAAAAUAUUUGAAUAAUCCAAUCACUCUAAACUAUAUCAUUUAUAAUUUUUAAAAUUAUUGGAAUAAAAUAUGGAUAAGUAAAAAAUGUCAAAUGAAAGAUAAUUUCAAACUUUUAUCAUGUUGAAAAGAACUGGAAUGGGCAAAAGUUGUCAAAUCAAGACUUCAAUGGAAAAUUCCACCAUUGCAUAUCUCAAAGAUUAUUCAACAACAUUAUCUUUAUAGACUUUUAACAAUCCAUGAAAUUGACAAAUAAUAUAAUAAUCCCAAACACAAUAUUCUAAAACUUUACAUUAUUCUUGUUAUUUUAAUACAAGAGGAAUCCUUAGUCAACAAUUUUUUUGAACAAAAAAUAAAUAAUGAAAUCUACAACUUUACAUUAUUCUACAAUUUUUUUGAACAAAAAAGAUAAAUAAUGAAAUCUUUGGCAUGUUAAUUCUUUGCAACUUCAACAUGGUGGCAUGUUGGAUGGCGGAGGCAACAUUUGAGCUUCUGGGUGUUUACCAUUUUUCACUAUGAACGUAGUUUCCAUGCCCCAAGUCAGAUGGCAUUCUACAUGGCAGUGCAUGAACCACACUCCUGCAACAGAGAAAAUAUACCAACAUUACACCUAAUUUAUUGCAAUAUUAAGAAAAAUUAUUUCCUUGGUAUGCAGGUUGGUAGUUUCAAGGGGUUUUUUUUUUUUUUAAUAGAGGACAUGAGUGCUUGCAACAUACCAGGGUUGGAUGCCUCGAAUCUGAUUGCUACCCAACCAUUCGUAGGAAUAGAGAUGGUAUUCUGAAAAGGAGGAUCCACCAAAUUAUAGCGCAAAGGGUCCCUAUUUUUAUCGAAAUUCCUAAAUCCCCAUCCAACAAGGUAGAAACUGUAUCCAUGGAGAUGCAUGGGGUGGCGUGUCCCUGCAACCAAGUUUGUCCCUUGAAAAACAAUCUCCAUCGUGGAGUUAUACUCUAGCACCCUUACUUCUGUUCCGUUUUUCGGCGUCUAAUACUCUAAUGGAAGAUAAUCAGGUGUAAAAUUGAACACCAGUGGUGGAACGCUAGGAAAUUUAUCUCCAUAUACACCACUGAUGUUAUAAUAGUAAGCUUGUAGUAUGUCAAUCGUAAGGGAUUGGAAGCUUAUGUUGUUUAUACUUCCAGAGAACCGCAUCCCAUUGGGCCCUGCACAUGAAUUAUUGGGGCAUAGGAACAAGUUUACAGAAACAGUGUAAAUCAGUUUAGUGCUCAGGCUCAAUGGGACAUUGGAAGGAUGUUCCGCAACUGCUAAGCUUCGGAGGCCGGCCAUGACCUGAACUGAAGCAUUUGUGUCAUUGUAUGCAGGAAAAUGAGGCAAGGAGGGAGGUGAAGAUGGAGUGUAGUAUCCCCUGUACUGUACAAUAGCUGUGGUGGUUGUGUUAUCAUAAAAAUUUUGAGCUGCCGGGGCAAUGGAAUAAAUUUUAGCCACCAUGUAAUAGUGAUCCGGGCAUUGGUUAGCUUCUAGUAAGACAUCGAAGGUUUGGCCAGGAUAUAUUGUGAUAUAAUCUCGUGUCAAUGGUUUCAUGUAGCUACCAUCUAUUCCAAC
rnacentral:lncRNA from 1 species